CUGAGCUCAUUAACAAAAGCUUGGUCCAACCAAUGGAUAUCAAUAUUGCUAAUAAGGCGAGCUCUGUCCGUGUACAUGACAUGGUGCUUGACCUUAUCACUUCCUUGUCAAAUGAGGAGAACUUUCUCGUUACAUUGGGUGGUCAGCAUACCAGGUCACUGCCAGGUAAGAUCCGUCGACUGUCUCUCCAAACCAGUAAUGAAGAGGAUGUCCAGCCAAUGCCAACCAUGAGCAGCUUGUCCCAUGUGAGAUCACUUACUGUGUUCAGUAAAGACCUCAGUUUAUUGUCAGCACUUUCAGGUUUUCUUGUCCUACGUGCAUUGGAUUUAAGUGGUUGUACUGACGUGGGUAAUCAUCAUUUGAAGGAUAUUUGCAAUUUAUUUCACCUGAGGUAUCUGAGUCUACAAGGGACAUCUAUCACUGAGGUCCCGAAAGAGAUGAGCAAUCUACAGCUUCUGCAAGUGCUAGACAUAAGGUCCCCCAUGAAAAAAUUGCCAUCAACCUUUGUUCAGCUAAGACAGCUGGUGUUCGUUGACAUGGGUAUUAAUAUGGUCUCUACAUUGCUUCUAAAAGCAAUGUCCACCUUGCCCUCCCUCUCUUCCCUUGCAAUCACAUUAAGAGAACUGAGAGAGGAAGACCUCCAAAUACUUGGUAGCAUGCCAUCUCUGCGUGAUCUCUCUCUAUUUGUAGUGUAUCAGGGAAAAGUCACAUAUAAAAGGCUAGUCAUUGGCAAUGGUUGUCCCUUCCAGUCUCUGACAAGGUUCAGUAUAAAGAGUAUAGAAGCCACUGUCUUCAUGUUUGCACAGGGAACCUUGCAAAAGCUCCAAAUCCUGGAGUUAGAUUUGUAUGUUGAGAAAACAAAACACCAAUUUGGUGAUUUUCAGUUUGGGCUAGAGAACCUGUCUUCGGUUGAGCAUGUCUAUGUGGUUGCUCGUAGUGGUGGUAGUGAGGAUGAACUGACCAAUGCACUUGAGAAAGAGCUUGAUAUUAAUCCCAACAAGCCCAUACUGACGGUGAAGCAGGUAACUCCAUGCUGAUUCCCCUUUGUUCACAGUAACUUAACUAUAGUUACUUGUCUGCUCUUUACACUUUACUACUUGUAUAGUAUUGACUCCUACUCCAUUCUGGAAUUUGGCGCUUCAAGUACUACUAGUUCACUCCGCGCAGCUUCAUAGUCUAGAGAAUUUAAAAUGCAUGCGGCCGCAAAGCCAGCGCGUGAGCAGCAGUCUCCAAUGAAACGACAACUUGCUUCCUGGCGACUGAUGAACGGCGGUGCUGGAGGAAGGGAAGCACGCGAAGGCGAGCGGCAGGGACGUGGGGCUUCGCGUGCGCUGCAUGCGUCCCAUCUAGACGUCCAGAGCUGCCAAGUGCAGCCGUUGCCCGUCCUUUGCGCGGCCAACAUCCGCUAUACGCCACAAAAUAUUGUCUAGUAGAAUCGGUUCGUCUCUAGGAGCUCUAGGAUGGAAGGAAUCGACCUCGGAGGCUCUCCACCUCCGGCUAGUGACCGUGAAAAUAUAUCUUAGAGCACCAGCACCCAGGCCCCUCUUAUCUAGCCAUCCAUUCUUCGCAUCAAGAUCCGUGUAAGUACAUUUCUCUUUUUUUCUCUCUCACAUAGAACGUGUCUUCAAAUUCAAACCUUUGCAGAGCAGUAAAACUUUCUAGCUAGAAUCUAGGAUAAAUUUUUUAGAUUUUUCCGUCCAACAUAAAUAUACAAAAUAAGUUUCAUUUGAUUAAAAUAUAUAUUUUUUAGUAUUUAUGUUGGACGAAAAAUUCAGAAAGUUUUAUCCCACAUUCUAGUUAGUAAGUUUCGCUGCGCUGCAAAGUGUGAAGUUCAUAACAUAUUCUAUAUGAGAGAAACGAAAAAGCGAAAAUUUCAUAUAAGAAGUUAGUUGUCUUGCACAAAUCUUAAAGCAAUAUUGAAGAGUCAGAAUAGCAGGGCCUGGGUGCAAGUGCUCUACAAAUCUGCGUCCCUAGUGACCGCCGCCAUGUAAUCUCCUGCUCUGGCGCAUCCUGGCCUGCUCCACCAACCUCUUAGGCUUUGUGGAGCCGUAAUGAAGCUUCUACCGUCGUACCGCCGAGGCUCUGCGACCCCUAGCACACCUCCCUGUGGCGGUAAUGCCUCGCUCCGCCAGCCGCCUUGGUCAACCAUGUCCUCGUCCCGGAGUUUCCCCUACAUUGCAGACCAUGCGGACAUGGUCUAGGUGAGCGCCUGGUGUUUGCUCGGACACUGGACGAUGUAGCAUGCUCUCCCGCCAGCUCGUGCCGCUGCCUCGGGUGCUCCUAUGCUGUCCCGGGCGCCGCCUCCGUGUGCACGAUCGCUGGUGUUCAAAGCGCCGGUGAGACACCGACGGGGGCCCAUCCUUGGAUUGAUUGGGUUAGGGUAAUCCCCUGUUAGCAUAUUAAACUGACAUGUUGGUCCGGCCGUUUUUAUUUCCUUUCAUUAAAUUAUGCUUACUGUAAGGCCACAUCACCAUUGACUGGUCAACUGGAAUUCCACGACAGCAAACCACCAUAUAACUGUGUAACGCGGGGNNNNNNNNNNNNNNNNNNNNNNNNNNNNNNNNNNNNNNNNNNNNNNNNNNNNNNNNNNNNNNNNNNNNNNNNNNNNNNNNNNNNNNNNNNNNNNNNNNNNNNNNNNNNNNNNNNNNNNNNNNNNNNNNNNNNNNNNNNNNNNNNNNNNNNNNNNNNNNNNNNNNNNNNNNNNNNNNNNNNNNNNNNNNNNNNNNNNNNNNNNNNNNNNNNNNNNNNNNNNNNNNNNNNNNNNNNNNNNNNNNNNNNNNNNNNNNNNNNNNNNNNNNNNNNNNNNNNNNNNNNNNNNNNNNNNNNNNNNNNNNNNNNNNNNNNNNNNNNNNNNNNNNNNNNNNNNNNNNNNNNNNNNNNNNUAGAGUAAACAGUUUCAAUAGUUUAGGGUAUAUUCUAACCACUAUUGAAGUUGGUAAAUUAAACGUUGUGCUUAGUUGAGGGUUGUAAAAUAAACCUUUUUUCUAUUUCAUUUAGUUUUACUUAUUGUCUUUUUAUUUGUUACUUCCACCGUUCCAUAAUUCUUGUCGUGCAUUCGAACUAAAUCCACGACAAGAAUUAUGCAAUGGAGGGAAUAAUAAAAUAGAAAUGUUUGCUGCUGAUAGUUCCUCUUUAUUCCAGGUGGGCGAGUGUUUGGCCUCUGACUUGUUGCUAAGUUUAAACUGGGCACUUGGUAUGGCACCGAAUCCUAUUGAGGCAUUGCAUUCAGUUUAAGUGAAUAUCUGUCUCUAUUAUUUCAUUGGUAGACAUAUAGUAAAUCUCUGAUUAAGGUGCCGUAAAUGCUUGGAUACUAAACUAUUGUAGAAAAAUAUAAAAAAAAUUCCUUAUAAAGUGUUGUAAAACUAGGGGUUUGUAGAUUAAGUUAUUUUACUCAUAGCGAGGCUGUUGGAUGAAUUAUUGUAGAAUUCAAAAUGGUUACUCAUAAGAACUUAGAUAUUUCUGACAAAUUUCAAAAAAGGUAGAGAGAAACUAGAAAUCAAAAGAUACAACUUAAUUCAUUUGUACGGGAGCUAACUAAUGCGUUGUUUGGUGGGUGCAGGUCCCGAAGUGCUGUCCAUAGAAGAGGAAUAACCUGAGUUGAUGGAAUAUAUGAUCAAAAUCUUACAAUGUUUCAACAAUGGACCGAUCUUUGAUUCUACUAGCAAAGAACUGAUCGAGGAGGAUGCCUGUGGCCCAUGCAGACACAACCAAGAGCUUACCAGAUGGAAUUUCCGCAUUAGUUCAAAACUGUAGCUAGUACAUGGAUGGUAUUUUGUAACAAAUCAUACGGUGUAGCGACUGAUCCAACCAUUGCAUGCACUUGGAUUACUGUUUCUCUGUCAAGAAAGUACCAUUAAAUCUGAAUAAUUACGGCUAUUUAUUGAGUGUGCUUGUGAUGUACCGGGACUGAAGUAAAUUUAUGUUAGCUUGUUGGCAGAAGUGAUGGCCGUAUAGUUUAAUUUAAUCUGAUUUGUUAGUAAUAACAAGAUAUCCGGCCUGGUACUAAUAAGCGGCAUGCAUGCAUGUAGAUGUGAAGCGGCUCAUCGGCCGGAGUUUCUCUUAUUAUGAGUCGGUGCAGGGCGAUGCAAAGUAGUGGCCGGAGGAGAUCUCGGCCAUGGUGCUCGCCGGCCUCAACGUCAUGCGCAUUAUCAACGAACCAACCGCAGCGGCGAUGGCUUACAGCAUCACCAAGGAGUGGAACCACGCUGAAGAGAGGGUUGUGGUCGUCUAUAACUUGGGCGGUGGAACACUUGAGUGGCCAACCGACACUUGGGGGUUGUGGUCGUCUAUAACCUGGGCGAUCGAACCAACCUACGUGCAUGCAUGUCGCGAUGUGCCUUUUCUUGGUUACGUUUCCAAAGUCCAUCCAUUCGCCAUUAUCGCUUCGCGUAUCCCGCCCCAUUCAAUUCUCGAAUCCUUUUCUUUUAGAGUCAAUUACACCACAGGAUGCCUGAACUUGCGGCAUACAUUGAACCAGUGACAGAAUUUGACUUGGGCGUGCAUCUACAGUGCUCAUCAUGUUUGUAUACGUACAAGGUGUUGAUGUGGCAUGCCAGCAUGGCGCGGGCCCACCUGACAGUGACUGGGAGGCGGGGACGAGGGCAUGUGGCCUUUUUUGGCAGAAAACACCUUACAAUUAUUUUUUGUCACGAAAAAGCCCAUGGAAUUCUUUUGUUUUUUAAAAAAUCUCCUCAGACGUGUCUCUAUGACCCUUGGGACCCACCCGUCAGGAAACAAUACGAAGAGAAAUUAAUACGCACGAACUAAUCAUUUAAACAUGACCAUGCUAGCCAUCACACCAACUCUUACGCGCUGUUCCCCUAAAAGAAAAAACUCUUACGUGCUGUUCCCCUAAAAAUUAAACUAUUUUACGUGAUGUCCAUCACACAUGGGUCCAUUUUUCACACUAUAUACUAUUUAUAUUUGUUAUUUUAAUUUUGUUUUUAAAAUUAUACAUUAAUAAUUUGUACAAUUACUUGAACAUUAUUUUGAAUAAUAAUAUUUCUCUUAAUGCGAAUACAUGAAUAUAGCCUAAAAAUACAUGAAUCUUUUUCUGAAUACAUUAAUAAUAUUUAUGUAAUUUGAUGAAUAAUAUUUAUUUGGUUAUGUACGCAUUGUUAAAUAGUCAUGUGUAUUUUUUGAAUUACGUGAACAAUAUUUCAAAUAAGAACAUAUUUUAGAAUUGUAUGAACAUUAGCUUAAAUAAGUAUAUUCUUUAUAAUUUUGUGAACAUUACUUAAAAUAGUUUAUUUCAUUGGCAGUGAUAUUAUUUAUAAUUUAAAAAUUUCUAAGUAAGAUAAAAUAGCUAACAUGUGAAAAAUGGACCGCCGUGACAGCAGCCCAUUUAAGACUUAUGUGCGUGCAUCAAAUGGUACUUGAUCACUUCGCUAGCCCGGCCGGCUGUAGUCUUGCAUGUCUUCUGUUAGAACCACGGCGGCGCAAUAUUUUGCAUAUUAUCUUCCUCCUUGUAAUGUAUCGUGACAAAAAAAAAAACAGGUCACAUGCCCUCAUCCCUGCCUCCUAUUCACUGAUGGGUCGGCCCUGUGCCAUGCUGGCGCACCACAUCAGCACCCUACACGUAUACAAGCGUAGUUAGCACCGUAGAUGCACGCCCAACCAAGUUCUGUCACCGAUUCAAUGUAUGCCGCAAGUUUUAGCAUCAAACUGACUUUUGUCGCCAAGUUGAGGCACCUGUGGUGUAAUUGACUCUUUCUUUUAUCGCUCCCAAGGAUCAUCCAUGCGGGCGUUUUUUUUCUUUAUUUUUUUUGAGUGAAAAAACUUGCUUGCUACAGUAGCACGCACGCGCACGUCCUCCCAUUCCAUCUUUUCAACAAUAUACCCAUUCCAUCCAUCCCAUCCCAUCCCAUCCCAUCCAGCCCUCGUGAUGUUGAAAGUAUAACCAUGCUCGGUUUUCAGGUAAACUCUCUUUACCUUCAUAGUUUCCAUAGCACUGAAACAUAUCUUAUCCAAUACAAAAAUUCUUGCAUGGCAGGGGAUACACUAGUAGAAUAGUGAAAAUUAAAAAUUAUAAGUUGAAGCAAAUGAAGAAUAUAUAAGUCAUGCUUAAUUACGAAAAAAGAUUUGUCGUUGUGACUUACUGUAUCGAAUUCGAAGGUCUCAUCCAGCUUGAUGCUGAAUCGCCUAUCAUCAACAAGGAAAUUUCUGUUGCACAGGCCGCGCUGGUCUUCACAGUAUUCGCACAUAAUGAAAUCUUUUUCAUCGUUAGACGACAUUUCCUAUGUUCAUAUAUGUGAAACAUUAAAAACUUAGUAAUUCUAUUAAUUCAACUAAUUCAACUACUUCUAUUAAUUCAACUAGUUCUAUUAAUUCAACAAAUUCAACUAAGCAUUUACUAAAAAUAAACUUGUUCUAUUAAUUUUCUUACUAAAAUAAACUAGUUCUAUUAAUUCAACUAAUUCAACUAGGAAUUUACUAAAAACAAACUACUUCUAUUAAUUUACUUACUAAAAUAUAUAAAGUAACUAUAUAUAGUAAUAUUUUAAUUAGAUNNNNNNNNNNAUAAACUAGUUCUACUAAUUCAACUAGUUCAACUAAGCAUUUACUAAAAAUAAACUAGUUAUAUUAAUUCAACUAGUUCAAAUAAUCUCAUAUACCUACAUUUUCUUACUAAAAAUAAACUUGUUCUAUUAAUUUUCAUACUAAAAAUAAACUUGUUAUAUUAAUUCAACUAGUUCAAAUCUCAUAUAUAUACCUAAUUAAUAUCUAGCUAAUUCAUCUAAAAUUGACAUUAAUAUUUAACAUCUUUUCAUAUAAUUCAUCUAACAUUAACAUUCAAACAUUCUUAUCUACGUAAUUCAUCUAACAUUAAUCUAAACAAUAGAAAACAGAAAAUAAGUAAAAAAAAUAUGUGUGUGUGUAUUUGUGUGUGUACGAGCGGGGGCCGGUGUACGGGCGGCGGCGCGAGACGGCGAUGCGACAGGGAUGACACGACGACGGGCUGCGGGCCGGGGGCGACGGCGUGAUCGAGACGGCGACGUAGUAUGGGGCGGCAGCGACGGGCGGCGGGGGCGACGGCGGUGACAGCGAUGACGGGCGACGGGAGCGACGGCGCGCGGCGGGGCCUGCGAGGGUGGCGCGUGAUGGGCGAUGGCGCGGUGGUGACGGCGAUGUCGCGCGAAGAAGUUGGAGAAGAAGUGGGUCAAUGAAACUGAUUUUUUCGUAAAUGCCAUAUAUAUAGGAGGGGCCUUUAGUACCGGUUGGAGCCACCAACUGGUACUAAAGGCCAAUUUUUGCCAGGUUAAGCAACGGGAAACGACCCCCUUUAGUACCGGUUCGUGGCCUGAACCGGUACUAAAGGCCAACGCAUUAGUACCAGUUGGAGCCACCAACCGGUACUAAUGGUUGUGCGCUGCCACUAGCGGUGCACAAUGUUUAGUCCCACCUCUCCGAGCGAAGGGCAGCCGCACUGGUUUAUAAACCCAGCUGCGGCUGCCCCUUCGACCUUCUCUAUAUAGCAGGCUUCUGGGCCUAACUUCGGCGCGCUGCCCUGUGAGCCUGCUGGCCCUUCUUGGCCUGUAUUUGCAAACCCUAGGUCUGGCAGGCCCACUGGACAGCGCCCCAACAAUUUUUAUAUAGUGUUUUCUUUUCUGCAUUAUUUAUUUUUGAGUAAAAUUUUUAUAUAAUUUUUGCGUUUUCUGUUUUAUUCAUUUUCUUCUAUUUAUUUCUGAGUAGUUGUUUUUGCUGUAUUUAGUUUCUUUGUGAAUAUAACAAUUUUUAUAUAGUUUUUUCUUUUGUGAAUUAUUUAUUUUCUGCUAUUUAUUUUUGCGUAAUUUUUUUAUAUAGUUUUUUCUUCUAUUUUAUUUAUUUUCUUCUAUUUAUUUCUGAGUAGUUUUCGCCGUGACCCUCUCUACUCUUUUGCACAUGCUAUGCGGGUGAAAUGAUGAUACCAUGCCAAGUUCCAACAUUUUCAGAGUUCAUUUUGUAGUGAUUUUCAAUUUCACCGUCAUUUAGCUCUCUAAACAAAUCGGUAAAUGUGUGAAAAACAGCAAAUGAUGUCAGAACGUGUUGGAAAUUGAUGACAUCGCUUUGAAUGUUGCAUACUGAACACAAAAAUAGGCUGGAGUUCAAAAAAGUUUAAAAAACAUUGAAGUGCCCGUGUAAUAGAUGAGUUCUCGUCCGAAACCCUGAUACUCCGAAAGAGAUUAUCCAGUUUGUACACGAGGUGCGUCCAGUUUUCGUCGUGACCCUCUCUACUCUUUUGCACAUGCUAUGCGGGUGAAAUGAUGAUACCAUGUCAAGUUCCAACAUUUUCAGAGUUCAUUUUGUAGUGAUUUUCAAUUUCACCAUCAUUUAGCUCUUUAAACAAAUCGGUUAAUGACUGAAAAACAAAAAAUGAUNNNNNNNNNNGAGACGGCGACGACGGGCGGCGGGGCCGGCGAGGGCGGCAAGGGCGGCGCGCGAUGGGCGACGGCGCGGCGGCGGCGGCGAUGUCGCGCGAAGAAGAGAAGAAGUGUGGUCGAUGAAACUGAAUUUUUCGUAAGUGCCAUAUAUAUAGGAGGGGCCUUUAGUACCGGUUCGAGCCACCAACCGGUAAACCGGUACUAAAGGCCAAUUUUGGCCAGGUCAAGCGGCGGGAAACGGCCGCCUUUAGUACCGGUUCGUUACACCAACCGGUACCAAAGGCCCACCCAUUAGUACAGGUUGGAGCCACCAACCGGUACUAAUGGUUGUGCGCUGCCACCCGCGGUGCACCAUGUUUAGUCCCACCUCGCCGAGCGAAGGGCAGCCGCACUGGUUUAUAAACCCAGCCGCGGCUGCUCCUUCGAACUCCUCUAUAUAGCAGGCUUCUGGGCCUAACUAGGGCGCGCUGUCCUGUGAGCUCGCCGGCCCUUCUGGGCCUGAAUUUGCACACCCUAGGUUUGGUAGGCCCACUGGACAGCGCCCCAACAAUUUUUUAUAUAGUUUUUUUCUUUUCUGCAUUAUUUAUUUUCUUCUAUUUAUUUUUGAGUAAUUUUUUAUAUAGUUUUUUCUUUUCUGCUUUAUUUAUUUUCUUCUAUUUAUUUCCGAAUAGUUUUUUUUGCUGUAUUUAGUUUCUUUGUGAAUAUUUUUGUUUUAGCUCUCUAAACAAAUUGGUAAAUGAUGAUGUCGCUUUGAAUGCUGCAUACUGAACGCAAAAAAAGUCUGGAGUUCAAAUAAGUUUAAAAAACAUUGAAGUGCCCGUGUAACAGAUGAGUUCUCGUCGAUACUCCGAAAGAGAUUGUCCAGUUUGUACACGAAGUGCGUCCAGUUUUUGCCGUGACCCUCUCUACUCUUUCGCACAUGCUAUGCGGGUGAAAUGAUGAUACCAUGCCAAUUUCAACAUUUUCAGAGUUCAUUUUGUUGUGAUUUACUGUUUCACGAUCAUUUAGCUCUUUAAACAAAUCGGUGACUGAAAAACAGCAAAUGAUGUCAGAACGUGUUGGAAAUUGAUGACGUCGCUUUGAAUGCUGCAUAAUGCCGGCUCAAAAAAAGUCUGGAUUUUAAAUAAGUUUAAAAAAAAUGAAGUGCCCGUGUAACAGAUGAGUUCUCGUCCAAAACCCUGAUACUCCGAAAGAGAUUGUCCAGUUUAUACACGAAGUGCGUCCAGUUUUGAAGUGAGUGGCGGCCGACGGGGGAGGACCGGCGUGGGGGAUUGAGGGGGAGACCGAGUGAGUGGAGAGAGUGAGGGCGUAAACAUGUAAAAAUAUACAUAAAAAAUACAUUGAUUAUCAAUGAUCUUUUUGUGUACAAUCUGAAUUGUCAAUAUGAGUCCUCAACGGUUUAGAAACCGGUGAAUUCUCAUAUUGAGUUCACAAAUUAUACACAUAGAGUUCAAUGAAGACCAAAUGCUUGUGAUAGUUUGAGAAAACAUGUAAAAAUAUACAUAAAAAAUACAUUGAUUAUCAAUGAUCUUUUUGUGUACAAUCUGAAUUGUCAAUAUGAGUCCUCAACGGUUUAGAAACCGGUGAAUUCUCAUAUUGAGUUCACAAAUUAUACACAUAGAGUUCAAUGAAGACCAAAUGCUUGUGAUAGUUUGAGAAGUAACAUAUUUAAGGUGGUAAAAAUCUUGCUAGGGGAGCGAGGUGGGACUAAAAACAGCCUGCCACAACCUCUUUACUACCGGUUCGUCCCACGAACCGGUACUAAAGAUGACGGCCGGGCCCAGCAUCUUUAGUACCGGUUCGUGGCAUGAACCGGUACUAAAGGUCUCCUCCCGCCUAGCCAUUUGAACCGGCACUAAUGGACACAUUAGUGUCGGCUAAAAUGCAAACCGGGACUAAUGUGUGUCACAUUUGACCCUUUUUCUACUAGUGACGACUUCGUCGAGCUCGUCAGCGAGCUUUGUUCGUCAUCUUCGUUCGUCGGUCGUGUCGCCGUCACCGGAAGUACUCAGCGUCGGGACUGGGGCCGACACUCGGAACAUUCUACUGAUGUGGUAGAUGCUGUGCUGAGCAAACAUAAGCAGAGUUAGCAAGGGACUGUAAUAGUUACGGGAAAACAAGGCAGCAGUGGGGAUUACGGUCUUAUAGGUUGGCCUGAAACCAUUUUAUCGGGGAUGUGCUUUAUCUUAUGCCAGUUUGGAUCUCCUUCUGUUUCACAACUCUUCAUGAGCUCAACAUCGCAGCACCGAAGUAUGAACAGCUUCAGAGACUGGGGCAGUGUCGGAAGCGACCGGAUAUUCAUGCAAUGCUCGAUCUUCAGUGCCUUGAGCGAAGUGAGGUGCUCCAAGUUGCCUGGUAAGGCGUCCCAGCUGCAGUCCUCAAGGUUGAGCAUACGAAGAUGAGGGAAAGCCUCAAGUUGAGGGCCAGGUCCCAGUCGGCUGCAGCCAUAGAUUUCAAGUAGUUUCAGGUUCUUUGGGCCACCGGUCAGCUUACCCACCAUCCAAUCUGGGUACCUUGAGCCGUUGUAGUCAUAGAUGAGCAGUGCUUCUAGCCCCACGGGAGGGCACAGGCCCUCAAGCACCUCUGCUGCAACUUCCGCAUUGCCAUUGCCCCGUGUAUGGGAAGUCAAAAAACAUAGUAUCAGUUCCGUGAGCCUUUCCUUGGCAGCUAGAUUGGCUUCCUAAGUUGAUAAGGUCAUUCCUUAGCCUGAAGAAGGGUAUUCUUUGAAGUGAGCUCAGCGUGCCUAUGUUAGGAAAGCUCACAUCCCAGCAGAAUAUGUGCCGCAAGUUGAUAAGGUCAGCAGCACAGGUAAAAUCCGAAAUUUUGCCAAGACCAAAAUCUAGCAGCUGGAUAUGGAGAAGUUUAGCUAGUGCACUUGGCAAAAUAACCUUGCAGUUGUCACUUUUCCGGAAAGCUAGAUAGCGGAGGUGCUUUAACUGAGUAAUGGAUUCUGGGACCAAGAACUUAUCACUGGGAUUGCUGGUUGAACGGCAUUUUUUGUUGAAAGCAAUGGCCAGUACCCGCAACUUCAGCAGCCUCACGCACAUACUCUCAAUGACCUUUUCCUCAACUGGUCUAUUCUCUUCGACCACACAAAUAAUGAGAGUGCGUAAAUUUUCCAAUCCAAGGAUCUUCCUGGUAAUCAAUUCCCCAUCAUACUUCUGAACAAAAAGAUGACGGACAUCUCGAGGGACAUCUUCUUGGCAUUCUCCUUGUUUACUCCAUCUAUUCUCGAUUCUGAAGCAAUCAUUUCCAGCAACCUUGACUAAUAAAUCAUGCAACAGAUCAUGAAUUGUAAAAUGAUCAACGCCAGAACCAGUUCCUUUUUCUUGCAGAAAUGAGCAUGACACUAACUCUUGAAUGUAGCCCUCGGCAACAUCUUCCAUCUCCUCCGUUGCACAACUGGUCUUUACAAAUCCUUGUGCUGUCCACAGGCGGACUAAUUGGUCUUUUUCCAGUUUGAAUUUUCUGGGGAAAAUACUGCAGAAUUCAAAGCAUCGCCUAAUGUCCGGAUCAAGCUGCUGAUAGCUCCACCAAAGAGCAUCCAUGGUGUAAUUCAACAUGUCAAGCUUUGCAACAUUUUUCCAAAAACUGAUAUUUGGGUUUGCCCCAAGCCGUCCUGCAACUGUUACUGCUGCAAUAGGUGAUCGGUGUAGUUUUUUGGCAAUCUCUCUCCCAACUUGUUCAAAUUCUUGAAGGGCAACUCUUGUAUCACUUAGCGCAUAAUGCAUAAACAUCGCCAAGUACUGAUCCUCAUCCAAAUCAGGCAUUUCAAUAAAUUUAUCGGCACCCAGAGCUCCAGCUGCUUCUUUUGUUCGAGCCGUCACCAGGAUUUUGCUUCCUUUCAGCCCAACAUUGAGUGGAGAGAUUAGCUCCUCUAGGUGUUGGUCAUUCUUGUUUUUCACCCAGAGAUCAUCCAAUAUCAAGAAGAAACGUUUGCCACACAAUGCUUCCUUCAACUUCUUAUCUAGAGCCCCACGAUCUGAAAUAUUGGAGUGACUAUCUCCGGUAAUAUACUUCAGAAUUUCAUGAAAUAUAUCAUCCACACUGAAAGUUUCAGUCACAUGAAUGCACAUGAUGGUGUCGAAAAGUUUCUCAUCCUUGCAUUCCUCCUUUAUGUAAUCUUGAAUAUAUCCUGCAAACGUGGUCUUCCCAGACCCAGCAACACCAUAUAUACCAAUCACUGAGUAACAUGGAUCAGCACUUGAGCUUGCUGCAUCAUGCUCUGGUAUCUCACGAAGCCUUACCAUGAUAUGAUCACGCAGCCCCUCUCGACCAAAUACCUUCCGCUUGCUAGCAGUUCUAAUUCUACUCCUAUUCUUGUUAGCAAUAUCGUCUGGUGCACUCUUGCUUGCCGUGCCCAAGAGCGGUGACUUCGUCACUUCGCUGAUGGUACUUUGUACCUUCUCUAUUCUUUUAUUCAAGUUCCAUCUUGAGAUAGCAGUAAGGACAACAUCCAAUGCAGUGGCAUUCUCCUGCAAGAUGCAAAAUCUCAAAUGGGUAUGUCUGUCACAUGUCUAUUCUAUCUAUUAGAAAUAGGUGACCAUAAUACAAAACAAAUUAUAUAUCACUGGUGGAACAAAAAUCGCCAAGCAAUUACAAAAAUGACUGGUACAAAAAACUGACCACAAGUAAAUAAAAUAGUAUUAAAGUGUAAAUAAUAAACAAGGGAAAUAUGAUAAUGAUAACUAUAUUGUCCAUCUAUCGUAUGGAUCACAUUUUUUUUUCAAAUACAGGUUUUCUUUGUUGACCUCAAUGACUGAUGUCAAAUAAGAUAAUUAGUAUUACUCUCAUUAUCAUAGUAACGGAUUAGAAAGAUAUUGUAGUACGAUGCAUGACACAUAAAGUUCAGAAAAGAAUCUUUCUUAACACAUGGACGGAGAGCUUUUACAUGUAUAUAGAGUACAUAUAUAUAAGAUGAGGAGUGGGCGACGAAAUUGGAUGUACCUGAUAAGUUGUGACACCAACCACCUCAUAGGACCAAUCUCGGUAAAAGCGUAACCAGUUGAAGCUGGAUGUACAAUAGUACUUGACGAAGUUGAAGGAGCUGGAAAAGCAAGAGAGACACCGCCCCAAGGAAUCGGAGGAUGGAGCUGUUGGUUCGUGUGAGGCUGCAGCACUGGUAGUUACCGGAAUAGACUCGCCGCCGGAGGGCGCCGCAACAUUUAUAGUCACAUGACCGGGCUCAUUUGAGGCGGCAACACCGAUAGUGACGGCCUCACCGGAAGCGCUCAAGGAAACGACACAAAGAGCUCCUCCGUGCCCACUGCAUUAGCCGAGCCCAUCUGCUCCGAAUGAUGCGUGCAAUCCCGUCGAGGAAGGAUUGCACGACGCCGUCGAGGAAGUCUCCGACGCAGAUCUUCUCAUGAGCAUCAUCGAAGAUGUCCUCUGCAUCCUCCCGAGCGUGCCUCAGCAUGGCGGCCAUCUUGUCCAGUGCGGCCACAUCGGAGUUUGAUUUCUUUCCUCUCAGCAUCAUCCUCUCCUGAUCUACGGCCCGCAGCGUGUUCUCCAUCUCGGGCAUGAUGCUGAUCACUAGCCCCUGGAGCUUCUGUGCCGCAUCGAAACCCAGGCGGGAAAGGAUCUUGGGCAGGAUCAAGGUGAUGACAGGCGACACCAACCAGCCCAACACGACCAUGGACCAACCAACAGAGGCAACGUCCCAAGCAGUAGCCAUGGAAUGCUAUGGAUUUUCUAGGAAGAACCUUCUUGCUGGAACAUAAGAUUUAAGGAAUCAUUUUACAAGACACAGCAAGCAAGGCAGAGACAGACAGAAUAGAGGUUUGGAAAAAGAGGUGAUCUUUAGCUACGUACCAAUAUCUUCUUCUGCUCGCUGCUUGUCGAUCUGCUUCUCCACUUCUUGUGCCUACCCGGCGAUGUUGCGGGCGGCCGGCAGCGAGGAGCUAGCUAUCUUUAUGGUUGGAGUACAGAGCUCCUGGCGUUAGAGCAAUGGUGGGGAGGAGGCCGACUAGCAGUUGGAAUGGCCUGCUAUUUACUUGGACAAAAAUGAAGCCUUAUCAGCAUGGACAGCAUUUCCAAGCAAGGGCGCGCAAGUGGCAGGAUCAAACACGGAAGCAUCCGUUGAACAGCUCAACAUCCGAGUAAAUACCAGGAAGCACGGAUAUACAGUAGUAUGAAAUGAAAUGAAAUACGGGGAAGAAGUUGAAAGGAUAAACCAAAUACAAAGACCUCAGCAUGAGUCGUGUCCUCUGGUGGCCACUCGUUUCUCCAUCACAAGUUGGCAUCAAAUAAGAAGACUGCAGAGCAAAUUAAAGACCAGCGAAAGCUACAUAAAUUAGGUACUCGAAUUUCCAUUUCCAGAAAAUAAUAAUCUGAGCUUAGUGCAUGAGUUGCUACAGCUGAGCAGUUUCAGAGAACCCAUUCAACGUCUGUUUAGGCAGCAGAAAAGUGAAGAGGGGUGGGGUUGCAGAUGAUGCCCUUAAUUAGCUACUCUCUCCGUCCAGAAAUACUUGUCAUCAAAUGGAUAAAAGAAGAUGUAUCUAGAUGUAUUUUAAUUCUAGAUACAUUCUUUUUUAUCCAUUUUGAUGACAAGUAUUUUCGGACGAAGCGAGUACCAAUCCUUCCUUCACGAAGUGUCAUCCUCCCUGCAGUGCAGUGGAAUCGGUCCUCGAUCGCUUCACCACUUGCUUGAUGUAUUAUUGUACGCGAUUGAUUGCUGGUUUGGUCGUUAGCUACGUUGGACGUCUUGGUACGUUGUGAUAGAAGAACGCGUGGACAGUCCGCACAGAAGAUUCAGCGUGGAAGCCAGGCCCUGAUGCGCGGGCCAACGGCGAGAGUGAGAUGAGAGACCGGAGAGGCAGUGAGCGUGAAAUCUAGGCGGAAGUAUAUAGAUUUUGGAAAAGGAGGCUUGCCCCCGGGCUCUGCAUCUGAAGUAUAUAGAUAGGCGAGCAAGACUUUUGGUUACAGAGAGACUUGUAGCAAUUCCAUCGAGCUAUAGUACGUAGCUUCCAGGCAACGGGCGUACGUAGCUUAGCCGUUCCAUUCAUUUUUAUGGUUCUCUUGGACCACUCGUGUUUUUCUUUUACUACUACUACUACGAAAAAGGGUUUCCCGCGCUUUAUAUUAUAAAGCACAACAUCCAACAACAUGAGAGUAUAGGUAGAGGGUACAGAUAACAAAUAAACGAGGUCCGGCUGGGGGCACAGCCAAACAAGCCCCAAAGACAAGAAAAAGGCAACUCUAAUCAGGCUCCGGUGGUGGGGGUGGUGAUGGCGGGGCCAUCGCGGCUGCAGAAGAGCGAAGACCUGCGACGAUGGAGUCAGUGAAGCCACGAUCACGUCGCUUACCAAGCGGUCUCUAGAGCUGUAGAAAUCCACACAUUUUAAAGAUGGCAUCAGUGACACGACAAGGAAUCACGUGCUCGAUCACCAGUUUAUUACGGCAAUUCCAGAGGGUCCAUGCCAGGGUACCCACUCCUACCCAAAGGGAGGGCCUACUAAUGGGGGGGGAUCUAGGACCUCCCUGAACAAGCCUGGGAGAUUAUCAUGGCACCAUGUCCCAUCCACGACAUCCCGGAAGCCACUCCAUAGGAAUCGCACCGCCGGGCACCACAAGAAGAUGUGGUUGGAGUCAUCCGGAACUCCACAUAAGGGGCAAAGGCCAUCACCCGGACCAUUGCGCUUCUGGACCUCUGUGCCCGAAGGCAGGCGACCAGAAACCCAUUGCCGCACUAGUAGAAAACAAGGCUUUGGUUGAAGCUCAAUCUACACAUUAGUCCCGGUUGCAUUACGAACCGGGACUAAUGUGAGCACUAGUCCCGGUUCGAGUGGUUAGUGCGUCGGGCAGGCAUUAGUCUCAGUUGAAAUGGGACCUUUAGUCCCGGUUUGAGACACCAACCAGGACUAAAGGGUGCGAUGCCCUUUAAUCCCGGUUGGUGUCUCCAACUGGGACUACAGAUUAGACCAUUAGUCCCGGUUCGAGCCACCAACCGGGACUAAAGGGGUUGAGGCUUUAGUCCCGGUUGGUAGCUCCAACCGCGACUAAAGUGGUUCUGAAAUUUGUUUUUAGUUUUUUGUUUUUUAGUUUCUGUUUUGAAUUGCUUAUAUCUUUUAGGAUAUUUGAUAUUUUUGAGUGAUUCUUUUUGCAUUAGAUUCAAAAUUUUGUCUAGUUUUUGUUUGUGCCAUUAGUUUUCAAUUUGAAUGAUUUAAAUAUGAAUUCGUUCAAAUUUGCUUCAAACCCUAGAUUGUGAAUAAUUUGAGUUUAAAAAUAGUUUUUAAUUUAAUUCUUUUUGCUCCUACUCACAUGUUAGAUUGUUGUCACAGUAAGAUUUAUUUGGUUAUUUUUAGAAUAAUUUAAAUUAGGAUUUUAAUUAAAACAGUACUGUUUUGAUUAUAUAGUUGUUUUAGUCCUUUAAUUGUUGUUCUCAAUUAUUUUUAGUUAGUUCUUUCUGUAGAUUUUAACAUGUUGUAGUAUGCUUCGGUUAGACAACAGUAGAUAUUUUUUAUAAUUAAUUAAUAUUUAUUUUGCUACUAUUUUGUAUUAAUAUUUGUUUAGCCUUUAAUAACAGUUGAUAAAACUAGUUUUGCUAUAGUAAAAAGUAAUUCCUUUUGCCACUUUAAUAGAACGUGACUCUGGCUUGGUUAACCUUAGUUGUGACUCUGGCUGGGACGGUGCUACCAGAUGUAGUAGACGGUAGCAUUGGAUGGACACCAUCCCGGACUAAAGGGGUUCUGCAAUUUUCAACCCCCCAACCCCGUAUCGUCAUUUCAGUUUUGAAAAAAACAUAAUAAAAUGAUAAAAACUUCAAAAAUUAAAAUCCUUCGAGAUAUAGUUAUGUUACUACAUCUACUAGUUAGGGAAAUUAAAAAACAUAAAUUUCGACAUGUUUUGCAAAAAAAGUGUUAUGAAAAAGUAAAACGGCUAUAACUUUUGCAUACGAUGUCGGAAAAAAACGUAUAAUAUAUCAAAAUGUUCAGCACGAAAAAUCGGUUCCGAUUUCGACGGUCAUAGGCCGUUUUGCAAAUUUUUGGUUUAUUAUAAUAGUUUCAAACUCAAUUGGUGCUUCAUGCUCAAGUUCAACUCCUAAGGGUUAAUAGGAUUGACAGCUUACUAUUGUCAGGAAAACAACAAGUCCAGACUUGGAAACUAGGGGGAAUAGAACUUGGAAGUUAAGUGUGCUUAGGCUGGGGUAGUGAGAGUAUGGGUGACCAGCCGGGAAGUUAGACGAUUUUGGAUGAGCGGUCCAUACUUGAGCAGUGAUGAGGGGUGAUUAGAGAUUAAAUUGUCAAAUAAUUCAGAAAUUUAAAAAUGGGAAAAAAAUUCAAAUUGUUUUUCAAACAAAUUCAAAAAAACAAAAUUUUCAAAAUAAAUUCCUUUAGUCCCGGUUGGUGUUACCGGUUCGUGGAGCUCCUUUAGUCCCGGUUCGUAAGCCAACCGGGAUUAAAGGUUUUGGGCUUUAGUCCCGACCCUUUAGUCCUGAUUCCAGAACCGGGACUAAAGACCCUCUAGAACCGGGACUAAAGGCCCGUCUUCUACUAGUGCCACAAGAAGAUAUGUAUCUUAAAUGGUAACUUGAUCUCCCAUAGUACCGUAAGUUCAUUGGGACCCGGAGUCGGCAAGAUCACGCGGUACAGGAACUUAGUGGAGAAUGAAUGUGUUGACUUUGAUGGCUAUGAAUGAUUGCAGGUUUUGAAGAUGUACUUUCUGUGUGCUGUGGAGGACCUGGAAGGUACAUGUACAAUGCGUCGGUUCAAUGUGGCGAUGCAGCUGCAACAACAUGCGUUGAUCCGUCUGCUCGUCUGUACUGGGCUGGCGUUCAUCUGACCGAGGCGGCUAACAGAUACAUCGCAGGCCGUUGGCUGGUCAAGAUAAACUCACUCAAAAGUUAGGGACGAGGCAACUUCAAUCAGUGGGCAGCCAUGAGGGUACCAUGUUUAUCAAAACGGACGAAGUACAAGCCUAUCAACAAUGCAUGUGUUAUAUCUUUGUGUGUCUUUUUGUUUUGUUUUGCGGGGGAUAUCUUUGUGUGUGUGAUCAGUUGUAUUGUUCUUCAAAAUCAAUAAAAACCUGAUACAUCGUCAAUUAAACGAACAUACGGAAGCUAUGACAUUUGUCCACAGGUAUGACUUGAGGCAUGACUUCGUACAUGUUUUGCUAUGACUUGAAGGUUUUCCUUUUGGUAGGGAUAUUUCUUGUUCACCCCCCUCCUUCCUCGAGCAUUCUUUCUCGUUUUUGUGGGAUUACUAGACAUCUUGCAGGUUGUUUUUUACCUAGAAACACUGUAAGGCUAGGCCCUAUUGUGUAAAUUUUUACUGCAGCAAAAUAAUUAGAUAAAAAAAGAACGAAAAGAACAGAGAAUAACGCAAGGACCCAGAUAUUUGUUCCUUUUCCUGUCCCUGAUUAUUAGCAAAUGUUUGUGAUUCCAAAAUCUUAUUAUUUCUUUGGGUCUUGAUAUUCUAACAACCCAUAUUUAAGAUGUCCAUGGGAAUAACGCAAGGCAGUGCUUGGCAGGAUAAAAGGCACUCAUCAUGUCUGUGUUCUCCAUGCAACAUGGAGUUCCGGCGGCCUGGAGCAAAAUUGCAGUCCCAGAGUAAGUGCACAGCAUAGUACUCGUCAACCAAAUUGCAUAAAGGAUUUUCUUCAAAGAAGAUUUCCUUACACGUUAUCAUAACACAUUACAUAAUUGUAGCUUCGGAAAUGCAAUGAUUUCAUCAAAAGAAGACUUCUUGAGUUUAAUCUGCCAAGCAAAAGGAUGCAAAAGAAUACCUAUUGCCUCAGUUGACUUGGAAUUUUCCACGACUUGAAGGAUCAUGCACCACCUGCCCCAUAGCACAUGAAUCCAUGUUGUUGCUAUUUGUUUUAUGAAAUAUAUCAAAUAGGUUAUGAAAACAUUUUUUUAGUGUGAUGGACAUGCUUAGUUCUGCUUUUCGGAGUUUAUUUGCCUCUAUUGGAACGACUAAAAUAUGAUAUUCAAUGUUUCGAAAGGUGAAUGUGCAGAUUUAUUACUCAUUUCUAACCUCAUGUAUUUGUUCCUCGAAAAGGAGGAUGAAACCCUGCCGCUGCACCUUCUUCGUCUACAUAACCCUAUAAUAAUUGUCCAUAAUUAUAUAUUAGGUCACCUUGGUUUUGGGCAAUGUAUUUUGUACGUGAUUUGUACUGUAAAUAGUGCAAGAAAAUAUUGGUGUUGCAAGAACGAGGGUUGGCUCUUCGGUUUUUCAAUUUAACUUGAUACUCUAAAUUUUAUCCUUGAUCUUCUAAUAUUAAUGAAUUUGUUACUGGUGCCUAUGACAAUGAACGAGUACGCCACUUGAAAUCCAUAAGGGUUUACGUGAUAUGCCAUUUUUAUUUUACCUUGAUAAACUACAAAGGCUAAGAGAAUGUAAAAUUUCUAGUCAAGUCCUGAUGUAUACUUCUUUUUUUAAGGAAAAGGAACAUUUCUUGGGUACUAUAGAUCGUGACUCAAGAGCUGACUUUCACUUAUGAUUUGGGGUACCCAACAUAAUGGACUUAACGUGCUCAAGUCCUGAUGUAUACUUCUUUUUGUUUUGAUAAGGAACAUUUUUUGUUAAUGGACUUAAUGUACUCAAGAACAUGUUAUAUUAUAGCGUGAGCUACCGAUGGAUUUGACUUAACGUGCAUUCCCCAACUGCACCGAUUAGAAUAUCCGUAUGUGCGAUGUUUAACUGGAUUACUUUUAUAGUUAGUACAAGCAAAAAAGUAUGUUAAUAGAGAGACAGAUAGGAAGCCAUUCAUUAGGAUGCCGUAAGGGUUGUACAAUGAUGUCUGUACAAGUUGGUCCUAGCUCGUGAUUCCAUCGAACAUUUUGCCGCCAAGUUGACUAGGACUCUAUAUGGCCCCCGGAAGCAAAUGGGCCAGCACCACCACGUCGGGCUCUUUCCAUAUUGCCUGUGCAGAACUCAAGAUGCACAAGCUCGUAUCCGUGGCUUUCCUAGUCUUCAUCUCAUGGUCGACGCUGGCGGUCUCUUCCCCGUCCGGAGUCCCUUGCUACCAAUCCAUCUUCAGCUUCGGCGACUCCUUUGCUGACACGGGCAAUAACCCUGUCGUCUUCAAAUGGUACUCCAUCUUCGACCCCGUCACGCGCCCUCCCUAUGGCACCAGCUUUUUCGGCCGCCACACUGGUCGCAACGGCGACGGGCGGCUCAUCAUCGACUUCAUUGGUACGUGCUCACAUCAGCUGUUCUUGGGCCGGCCAGUGCCAGCAACUACAAUACGUACAUACCAUCCUACAACUAUAGGUUCUUUCUCGGUGCAGCUGAGAACUUGGGCCUACCAUAUGUCCCGCCCAACCUGGCGCACAACGGUAGCUUCCGGCGAGGCGCCAACUUCGCCGUUGGUGCCGCAACCGCAGUCGAUGCUGGUUUCUUCCACAAGAGGGGUAUCCCCAGUGCCACCAGCAAGUUCCCGCUGAACACCAGCUUAGGCGUGCAGCUGGAGUGGUUUGAGUCCAUGAAGCCUUCCUUAUGUCGCACAGCCCAAGGUUACUUUAACCAUUCAAUGCCAUCGUUGUUAUCUUGUAGCUAGCUAUCAUUAAUUAUCCAAGUAAGCGGCUGAUGAGAAGUCAAAUUGUACGCAUGCAGAGUGUAAGAAAUUGUUCGGCAGAUCCCUCUUCUUUGUGGGCGAGUUCGGAGUCAACGACUAUCACAUGUCGUUCCAACAGAGAACGGUACAGGAGGUCAGGUCCUUCGUUCCUGAUGUCGUCGCGACCAUCUCCAAGGCCAUCGAGGUACGUUACGUACUCCAUCUGGCUAUCAAGUAGAUGCAUGUACUGAUUGAUCCAAGCAGGAUCCAUGAUAAACUAAUUGCUCGUGUGAGCAGAGGCUCAUCACCAUGCAUGGCGCGAGAAGCCUGGUUGUCCCUGGCGUGAUUCCGUCGGGAUGCUCACCGCCGAUCCUGACCAGGUUCGCUGACGCCUCACCACCAUCAGCAUACGACUCCAGGACCGGUUGUCUGAAAGCAUAUAACGAGCUGGGGUUGCACCACAACUCGCUGCUGCAGGCUGAGCUAGCCAAGCUUCAGGCCAAGCACCGGAAUGCCAGGAUCAUCUACGCCGAUUUCUUUGGCCCAAUCAUGGACAUGGUGGAGUCGCCUCACAAGUUUGGUCUGUCGCCAACUCAACCAAAAGAAUCUAAUAUGUGUUAGUUGCACAUAUACAAAUUUUCAUUACGGAAAGGUGGUUGACAGUUGACACUGAUGGAUGAUCACAGGUUUUGAACAAGACGUGCUUACGGUGUGCUGUGGAGGGGCUGGACGAUACAGAUUAAAUUCAACGGUUCCAUGCGGCGAUGCUGCUGCAACAACGUGUCCGGAUCCAUCAGCUCGUUUGUACUGGGACGGUGUCCAUCUGACGGAGGCAGCUAACCGCCACGUCGCCAAUAUCUGGCUGGGCAGCAUAACCUCGGCAACAAGAGUCAGCAGCAGCAAGUGUGCAAAGGGGCCAUAUCGACCAACCAGGUGAAAAACUCAUUUCUACUGUGGCUGUAUCCCAGGGUUGCUUCAAAAUUUCUUCCCAACCUAAUGUUCUAUGUAUUCAACAUUUUCUGCACACACAAUAUAAAUAAUUUUGUUGGGCCUCAUUAGUAUGAAAUAAUUUCAUAAGAAUUCAACAAACAAAAUUUUGGAUGUAUUCUCGGAAAGUGCCACCAACUGAAUUUUCAGUUUUGUCACUUAAAUUGCAACGUGUUCUGAAGCAAGUUAAGAUACAUUUAGAUCCAUUCCACAACAAUUUCAAUUUUUUCAGAAGUUUCACAAAUUUUCAGAAAAAACAACAAACUUCAUUUCAAUAAUAGGAAAAAAAACUAUAUUGGUUUCAUAUAAUUCACAACUAGAGGCGCACAACAGACCCACUUCACAAAAAGUCAACCGACAUCCACACAUGAAACUGGAAUUCUAUUUCAAUUUAGUGUCAAUUUUACCAAUAUUACAUGUUUUCAUUUUCAUUUCACAUGGUUUGGGUGGGGACACCAUCCAAUCUAACCAAGGCCUCCUUCUGCAUCCUACAACGAUCCUAUGAUCAGUGUGUUGUUGGACACAAUCGAACACCCAUACUUACCAAGACCACACGGUCGGGGAUGAUUAAUCGACACUUCAAACAAUGCAAUAGAAACUUCAACACAUCAAGUAACCCAUCGAUAAGCCACAAUCAAUUGUCUAGGAUAGCUCCCUAGUUGUACAUGAUUGUUCGUUCAGCAAGACUUGCAACUGUUCAGUAUUGAUGUUAAACAAGCUGCAAUUGCUUGCAUGCAGCUGGGCUACAUAAAUUUGCUUUGAACGGGUAGCAUUAAAUGAGCAUAAAGCACAUUGGUUAGUAUAAAGAGAACAGUGGAAGGGGCGCGUCGCUUCAGCUCAGGCGGCGCGCCAUGGCGCGCCCCAACCACUAAUGCUCACCAACGCAACGCUCGUUGAUGCACUACGUCUCCUGCUUGUUGUGUCACAUCAUCUUGUACGCACGGUUCAGCAACCACCUGAGGUGCAACCGGUGGACGGUGGUGGUGUAUUAUUGCUGUCAAUAUAAUGAAGUGAAUGCAGCUGUUUCUGUCUAAAAAAAAAACUGAAUGCAACUUAGCGCAUCUUUCCCCUAAACCUUCCGGUUUCAAAAGUCUCUAUUUCACUAGUAAAAAACAGGGCUUUCGUCCACUCCCAAUGUACACAUUAGUCCCGGUUGCAUUACGAACCGGGACUAAUGUGAGCAUUAGUUCCGGUUCGAGCGGCUAGGGCGCGGAAAGGCCUUAGUCCCGGUUCAAAUGAGACCUUUAGUCCCGGCUUGAGACACGAACCGGGACUAAAGGGUGCGAUGCCCUUUAGUCCCGGUCGUAUCUCAAGCCGGGACUAAAGAUUAGACUGAUGUANNNNNNNNNNNNNNNNNNNNNNNNNNNNNNNNNNNNNNNNNNNNNNNNNNNNNNNNNNNNNNNNNNNNNNNNNNNNNNNNNNNNNNNNNNNNNNNNNNNNNNNNNNNNNNNNNNNNNNNNNNNNNNNNNNNNNNNNNNNNNNNNNNNNNNNNNNNNNNNNNNNNNNNNNNNNNNNNNNNNNNNNNNNNNNNNNNNNNNNNNNNNNNNNNNNNNNNNNNNNNNNNNNNNNNNNNNNNNNNNNNNNNNNNNNNNNNNNNNNNNNNNNNNNNNNNNNNNNNNNNNNNNNNNNNNNNNNNNNNNNNNNNNNNNNNNNNNNNNNNNNNNNNNNNNNNNNNNNNNNNNNNNNNNNNNNNNNNNNNNNNNNNNNNNNNNNNNNNNNNNNNNNNNNNNNNNNNNNUCGCCAUUUCAAUUUUGGAAAAAACAAAAGAAAAUGAUAAAAACUUCAAAAAUUAAAAUACUUCGAGAUGUAGUUAUGUUAGUACAUCUACUAGUUAGGAAAAUUAAAAAACAUAAAUAUGGACAUGUUUUGCAAAAAAGUGUGAUCAAAAAGUAAAACGACUACAUCUUUUGCAUAUGAUGUCGAAAAAAAGUAUAAUAUAUCAAAAUGUUCAGCAUGAAACUCUGCAUCCGAUUUUGACGGCCAUAGGUCGUUUUGCAAUUUUUUAGAAUCCUCAAAUUCUAAAAAAAAGUUUUGCUCAAAUUUUAGUUUUUUUGAAUUUUGGUUAAAUCUGGUCAAACUGUGGUCAAACUACUUAUUCAAGAAAUAUUAGUGUUACUAAAUAAUUAUUCAAGAAUAUUAGUGUUACUAAAUAAUUAUUUUAGUUUUUUUGAAUUUUGCUCAAACUACUUAUCCAAGAAAUAUUAAUGUUACUAAAUAAUUAUUCAAGAAUAUUAAUGUUACUAAAUAAUUAUUUCAGUUUUAUUGCAGCAAACAAGAUAAAACAUCUCGAAAGAUUGGGGUAGUGUUGGAAGCGACCGGAUGUUCUUGCAUCCUCUAUUCACCAGUGACGUGAGGUGCUCCACAUUUUGAGGUAAGAUGUCCCAACUGUAAGGAAGUGUAGAACCCUUUGGUCUCGGGCAGCACAUAUAUAUUGAAUCAUUGCCGUGGCUUACAAGAUUGGGAGGUUGUUGGGACUCUUGAGAGUUGUACACGAGAGGGAGAAAGAGAGAUUACAUUGAGGGAGAAGUUUAAGCAGAAGAAGAGAUAGACUAUGUUUAAACAGACAAGCAUAUCUCUAUCUAAUACGUCUAGCACUCCCCCUCAAUCUGAACCCUAUGGAACUUCUCAAGGUUGAGAUUGUACUUGAAGUCAUCCAACUUUCUCACUCUAAGAGGUUUUGUGAAGCCGUCGGCUAGUUGAUCUCCAAUUGGAAUGAACCUUAUGUCAAGUAGCUUACGAGCUACUCUUUCUGUGAAAAUGUGAAAAUCAACCUCAAUAUGUCUUGUGCGUGCAUGGAAAACAGGUUUAGCUGAGAGAUAGAUUGCACCAAUAUUAUCACACCAUAAUCUCGCAGCCUGUGGAAUUUUAAUCCCAAGUUCACAUAGCAAAGUCUGAAUCCACAUUACUUCAGUUGUAGCAUUUGUUAGAGCUUUGUACUCAGCCUCAGCCUCAGUACUUGAUCUUGAGAUAGUUGCCUAUUUUCUUGCACUCCAUGACACAAGGUUUGUUCCCAAAAAUAUAGCAAAACCACCUCUGGAUCUACUGUCAUCAGCACAUCCUGUCCAAUCUGCAUUAGAGUAAGCACUAACAAGCAUGGAUGAGGACCGGACAAUCUGAAGUCCAAGUCUUUCUGAAAACUUUAGAUACCUCAAAAUUCUUUUAACUGCAGUCCAACGAGCAGUGGUAGGUGCAUGCAAAUAUUGACAUACUUUAUUCACAGAAUAGGAAAUAUCAGGAUGUGCUCCAUGCAAAUAUUGACCCAUGAUGUGCUCCUACUCCUACUGCAUGACUGCCGCCGCCAGGGCUCCUCUCCUUCGGGCCAACGCCAACUACUACGCCGCCUCGCUUGGGAUCGCCACCUUGCAGCUCGCCGGCCUCAGCCGCGGCCUCACGGCCACCGCCGCCGCCGUCUCCAUCCCCACCAAGAACACCAUCGUCACGCGUAAGUCCCUCCCCUCCCUUUGUUUCUUCCCCUAUGUUAUAUCCAUCGAUUCCUCAACCUAAGUUGCCAGCCAUCCACAUUCCGGUUACAUUGCUCUGUCUUGUGCUGCUCUGCUCUUGUUUUCUUCAGAGUUCAGACUUCAAAAGUUGUGUAUGCGUAUAGGUAGUGGAUGAACAGGAAAUUGGACAGCUUAGAAUGGCCAGGAAGGUUUUGAAUGAUUUGCCAGGAAUGUAGAACCAUUUCAGCAGCUGUCCUAAGUGUGUUGUUAUCAACAUAUACAGUUGUAACAGGAACAGACAUGCUAGAUGUAGAAUAAUAUUAUACUGUAGUAGCCAAGGGGGCCAUAAUCGGAUUGGGUAUGUGGAGAUGGAGGUCUAAUUCAAUUUACACUGAAACUGGGGACUGUCUGAAAUUCUAAUUUAUAGAGUAUUUUCCGUUGCAAGAGAUAUCACAACAUGGCAAUGGUGGCUACAACCUGGUCAGGCUAAACGAAUCGCUUGUGCUUUGACUCUUUUUUACUUGCCUAGCUACAUUUACAUGCGUUUUCUAAUUUUCUUCCCAAAAUAACAUCAGUUGAAUUAAAUGGUUAAGGGUCAUGAAUGAAUGGUCUAGUUCAGGUUGGAUCUGCCCCUUCCUCGAGAAGAAGACGAACCGGGCCAGCAAGGUGUCCUUCUCGAACCACAAGACCAAGAAGCAGUAGUUUGUCAACCUGCAGUACAAGAAGCUGUGGUGGGAGGCCGGCAAGCGCUACGUCAAGCUCAGGCUCCCCACCAAAGCCCUCAAGACCAUCGAGAAGCACGGCCUCGACGCCGUCGCCGUAGACCUCAACAAGAAAUGAUCGAUACAAGUCGGUUUGAGAUCUCCUAGCUAUUUGGAUCCUCUUCUUGAUUUUCUCACAUCAUCCAUUUCAGCGACAAAGAGCAGAUCACUUUAUAAGAGAAUCACAUAUUGUUUCCCCUUGUGUGGUGUGCACCGAUCAGCUCCAGGAGAAAAUCUGGUUUGAUCUGGAUGAUGAGGAGGCUAUACGUUUCUUCCAGGAUCUCAUCAACAAGGGUGUGAGCGCAUUGUUCCCUCAAACGGUCGAGACAAUCCAUAGAUGGGCUCAAGAAUGGCGAUGAACAGGUCCUCCUUAUUUGUUCAUGGUGUGUUUGGUAAUGUUUGUUAAUAUUAUUGUCAUAUAAUAAUGUGCUCUUGCGAUGGCCACUGAGAAGCUCCCUUUUUUUGAUUAAUCUCCAUUUUCACAAAUAACAAUGGAUACCAGGUACAGACAUUUUUUGAGGAACGGUAAGCAGAGACUGUAAAUGGUCAUCUGUACCCGCUUGGAUACUUCUAAGUUAUUUGUGAAUGUGUCUGUAUUAAACGUGGCUUGUGCGUAAUGUAAUCAGAAGAGUAUAUGGUGUACUAGAGGUGGCAGCAAUGUGUUGAUAAGACUGGAAUGGAAAUGCUAAGAACUGUGUGCUGAUGCCUGUUGAAAUGCUAGCAGCAUACUUGUAUUUCAAGUGUGACGUGCCUGAAUCGGUUUGAGACCUGAACCUGGUGUCAUGACAGAGAAGAACGCGGAGAGCAGUCAAAUUAUCGUGCUUACCAAGUCGAAAAAAGCUGCAACAUUUCUCAGCGUGAGAUAAUUAGCACUCACAAGUUGUAAAAAUUGGAUUCGAAAGUUUGUGGCGUGGUAAAUACGUCCAUGAAGCUGAUAUCUUUAUCCUCAUAUUGCUUGUCUGAUGGCUGCAUGCAUCCAUGGAAGAUCAUUUGCACUGCAUUGUGUUGGGAGAGUCGUGAGUUCUGGCACUUUCGACGCGUGUGGGCGACUUCAAAUGUUGUGUGUGUGUGACUGCUGCGUUGUGGGCAUCCACAACCACCUGGCUAGGGAUAGCCAUUUUUUUUCCUGUUUGGUUGAGUAGAAUGUCAAGUGGUUGGAGAUAGCCAUUUGUGUGUUUAGUUCGAGGGCUAAGGGGAGAACAUGUUGUUGUUGUGAUAACCACUUUUCUUGAGGUGGUGAGAUUACUACCAUUUAUUCAGGCAAUUUGAGCAACAAAAAUUCUCGGCUCUGAUUUGGGAAUAUAAACAGCAGCUCGGUUUCAUUGAUCAUCUUCACUGACAGUAAACAAACGGACUUAUAAUGUGGACUACUGGGUCUUAUCUGAACAUAAACUAGCAGAGGUAGUUAAAUUGACUAGUGCCAAAUAUAAUCUCAGAUUUGGGGAAAAACUCAAGGAGAGGGCACAACACGCAUAGCACGGCCGGCCAGAGCAACAGCAAUCAACGCACGACGCACGGCCGGCCGGAGUGCAGGACGCACAUGCAGCAAACCAAACACACUCUGCAUCAUUUUGAUGCAGGCACCCAGUGUUCUUGAUUUACAUGAUAAUAACAACACUUGUAACAGGAAGGAAGGAACACAUCUUCCUGGGGUACGCUUAAUGUAACCGGUUUUCUACAUCAAUUUCGGUUGCUUUGGCUCUUACACACUUGCAUAGCUGCAUUUACGUGCAUUUUGUUCCCAGAGAAUGUCAGUUGAGUUUGCCAAGUGUUAAGCUCAUCAAAGUUCAGUUUCGACAGUAUCUUCAGUACUUUAAGUUGGUUCAAUUUCGUCCACUGUUUUAAAUAGCCCGCUAUAGCUCCGCUAUAGCACGCUAUAGCGUUUACAAAAGGUCUUACGCUAAGAGACUUUGGUCCAAACUAAUGAGCAAACAUUUUAAAUAGCGCGCUAUAGCUCCGCUAUAGCACGCUAUAGCAUUUGAAAAUGGUCCGUCGCUAAAAUGCUUAGCGCGGUAUUUAAAACUAUGGUUUCUCAGUUAACUCUGGCAGUGUCGUUUCUUCAGCAGAUAACUUUGCAGCUGUGGUCCGCGCCAGAGCGAGUCUUCCGUUUCCUUGCAUGUAGGCAGGAAGCGUGCAAGUUCACGUUGCGGUGUAGGUCUUUUCUUUCGUUUAUAGGGUCUUGUUGUACGACAAUACCAUCCAUUUUUCACGCCCCUUUCGUUGACAGAUCUUCAUCAAGUAACUUGUUGCAGAGGUUGUUAUAUACUCUGGAUGCCUUAGCAUAAUCAUCCACGAGGCUACUGAAUUCAUUUAAUCAACGAAAGUCUUGUCGGCAUUACCUACUUCAUUCAUGUGAAAGGAUUGGAUGUUUUAGGACACCGAUAUCCACCACACGUGUAGCAUAAUAGGCAUUUGCCCACACACCGUGUGUGGCAUGAGCAAGGGGCAGUCCACACGGGUUGUGUGUGGGUGAACAGUACAAUUGCUCACACGUGUGCGCACAGCUACUUCGUGCCACACGCCCAACAAGUACUACUCAUCCCCAUCCCGCGCGUAUGGUACGAAGCAAAUAUGCCCACACGUCCUGGCGCAGCUACAAUAGGUACCUGCGGGAUGACAAUUUAGUUGCCAUCCGGGAUGGCAGAUGUAGUUAUCCGGGAUGGCAAAUAUGGUUGUAAAAGCAUGGCAACUCUCUCUGUUUUGGUUAACUAUAGUUGCCAUGUCUAAUUUAUGGUAGUUGCCGCGUGUAAUUAAACCAUAGUUGUCGUGUGUGAUUAACUACUUGCCACAUAUAGUCAAACAAUAGUUACUAUUUGUGUUUACCUAGUUGCCACGUGUGGUUAAUCAUAGUUGCCAUGUAUGUUUACCUGAUUGACACGUACGCGCAACUGCAGUUGCUGUCUAGCAAACAAAUCAUAGUUGCCAUGUGUGUUUACCUAAUUGGCAUGCACGCGCAACUGCAGUUGCCAUCCAACAACGUCGUGUCGGCGAAAAGCAGUUCGCCCACACGCGCGUGGACUAGGUGGCGGCUGUGUGGGCAGAUACUAGUUCGCCCACACAGCGCAGCUGGCAACCGCGUUGUUGUGGGGCGUGUGGGCGACCUCUCCAACGCCCACACACCAGCCUUGUCCUACGUGGCACGCGAAAACUGCCUCGGUGUGUCAAGAUUCGUGCAAACUUAACUGGACGGUGAUCCAGGCGUGUGGGCGAGUUGCAAUGUUGCCACACGUGUGGGCGUUAGUGUUUUCCGAUGUUUUAAGGGAGUAAAGUUACACUUACCAUAUGAAGUGAACUUUAGCAUCUUUUUUUUUAUUGUAAAACCUCAAUACAGGAAGGCUGGGUGCUAUGCAGGGUGUUCCACAAGAGCAGAACAACGUGCUCCCCAAAGGCCACCAUCUGAAGAAGCCUGCACAUUCUCCAGUGAGCUGGACCUUCUGGCUGUGCCACCGCUCAAGCCCCUCAUCGUUGCCUACAUCGCCUCAAUGGAUCAGUGAUUUUCUGGGACAUGCUGGGCUGGGACAACACAGAUGAAAGCCAUCAGGACAGCUCUGAGCAAUUCAAGGCUGGAGUUGCCUCCAAACACUGAAUCUUGCUAUCAGAUUACUGUGCUGCUAGUGCUAGUGACUGAAGUGUGGUGGUGACUAGUAAUUAGACGACAUAUUAUUUGUAAUGAUCUUGGAGUGGUAUUGGACCAUUGGCUGAUGCAGUGUAUUUUCUUAGGAUUUGAUAAAGUUAGCUCUGAUGCAGUAGGAUUAGUGAAAUGGCUUGGUAUAGCAUUUGUGCACAGGAUAGCUGAAAAACGGGAACACUUAGACCAUGUGUGCAAAAUACUAGAGAGCUGACUUUGGUUUCUCGACAAAGGCCCUCGAAAUGGAGUACUGCUCACAGCAACCCCAAGCCAGCACCUUGCAGAAACACAAGCAGAAAACAAUCUAGACGCAGAAAUAUCUACCACACAGUACAUUUGUAGUAUUACUUACUGAUAGGCAAAAGUAGACCAACAUCAAACUCCUUCACACUGAAUACUGAAUACUAAUGACAGAUGAAAUUAAACAGUAUGGCCACCAGGGUUGCAGAAAUCACACUGAGUACGUAGUACUGAGCACUGAGCACUCGCAAAUCACAGCAACGCAUUUCAUUUGAUGGUGUAGUCAACAUGCAUCCUCAGAAACACAAGAGAAUAUUUGUAUUAUUGUUAUACACCAACAGAGACAGCCUGGUCAACUGACAUAAAGCAUUACAACCAGGAAGAAAGUCAAGCAUCAUAACAUCAUCAACAAACAAAGUAAUGAUUCGGGAAAUAACUUAGACAGAUAUAUUAAUCUCGUGCUCGACGGAUCUGCCUUCACCACCAUGGUCGCCAUCUUCUUCUUCUUCUUCUUCUUCUUCCUUGGUUUCGGGAGGCUCCGGCUUCUGAUACCUGUCGGCGGAUGUCUCCAUCCCCAUGAAUGACAAGAGACACCAGACAUCAGAGAGCAGCUCUAGGCCUUCACUCAUGUUCUUCGCAUGCAAGUACCCCCUGCACCUACCGGCAGAGUAGCAUAGCAUCUCAACCCAUACCCCCUGGACCACCUCCCACCUCUCCCCUUCAUCCUGCAGCUCCAUCAACGCUUCAGCAAGCCUGCAUGCAUUGGGAACCAAAGCUCCUAUCUUGCUGGCCUGUAACGAGGGAGGCUGUUGCGCCCUUUGAAGAAUUCCCUGUGCAAGUCCACUUACGUCCGGUGCUAACACGCCACCCAUCAUGAGCUCGACAUCAUCACAGGCAACGGUGAAGAUACCGUUCCUGGUUCCGAGCAUCAGCAUCUCAGGACGGAUGGAGAGCAGGUAAGCCAUGUGGUUGGAUAUCACUCUGCUUUGAGCGGCAUGCUUUUGGCCGUGAGGUGUUGUGUUUUGGUGGUGAAAGCAGAGGUCUGUGGCGAUGUCAUCUUCAAGCUCCACCCCAGCCGUUUGUCGCGACCCAGACUAUGCUUGUUCAGUGUCCAUUGGCCUCUGUGGCUGUUGAACCUCCUGUAGCUGGCAGCGUCGUGGAUGUAUCCUGUCCACCCAUUCCUCACAUAUCCAAGAACCAAAUUUGUAAUUGGGAUUGAGGAUACUGGUGCGUGUUGUAUAUAACAAUGCAUGUUAACAUAGUCCUUGCAGCAGACAACCGUGGCAAGCUUCAUCAAAAUAGUGGGCCUCUUCUUACGAGCACAGAACGAAAAGAAGCUAUAUUGGGGAACCUUGAUAUAUCCAAAGGCUCCGAUCCAAGGACCAAGCAAGAGCAAUAGGAAAUCCAGCAACAUGCAUGGUACAAAAGAACAAGAUGUAAGUUAUCUUGACAUCUGUUGCGUUGUAGUCAUGAUAUUUGUGGCUUGUGGAGAAGAGGAUGGCAGAAGCUAAGGUCAGGAAUGGAAGCAAGAGAUGCAAACAGAAGCCAAGGCCACUGAGUAUCAUCGUCAGUUUUGUGUAGAGGAACCCAAAUGACCAAGCGAGUACGCGGUUCAACAACCUAUGUGCAUGUUGGUAAUCAAGGGCCAUUAAAAGCCGUAGGAUUUUAAUCCGACUAGAGUACGGAGUUGAUAUGUCUACCAGUAGCCUGUAGACAUAAUUUUCCUUAGAGUCAUCAGCUAGUUUUCCCGCUUUCUCUUGAUCACUUGCUAACUCUGACAGCAUCACGCACCUGCUUGCUUGUUGUAUAAAUUCUUCAAGCGGAAUGUCCUUCUCUUCGACUGCUUCUUCUUGUCUUCCACUUUUGGAAAACUCAUAUCCAAGACGGGAAAUGCAGUCUCCGCACCAACGUGCAACCAGACCUUGUUCGCGCGUGGAUGGGGAGGAAGAGGCGACCAUGCCACUGAUACUGGCGUUCUUCAGAGCCCAUGGCUUCUGGAUGGACCUGAUAAUCCCAACGACGAACAGCAAGAUUGCAGCCUGCAGUAACCUCUUCUCCCCGGACCACGACGUGCAGAACACGUAGAGGGCGACCGUGACCUGGGACACUGCGGUUAUGGCAUGCCGAGUCCACAGCUCGUUGUCUUCGAUGUUGUAGGCGGUCAUCGCGUGCUGGCCCCUGAGGUGGAUGAGGAGGACAGGCGUCCACAGGACCUGCAGGCCGCUCCCAUUGGCGGGCAGCUGCUUGUGGCGGUUGAAGAGGGUGGCCAGGGCGUAUAUGGCCAGAGCAUCCCCGCCUAGGUAGGCAAGCCACAUAAACAGUCUGAGCCAAGAUGGAAGAGCACACCUGCGCACCAGGGAGGAGAAGAAGAGGAAGUACUGGAUGAAGAGGCUGCCCAGCACCAGAAUGCGCAGCUGCCACUCAUCCCACCAUUGCACAGCGCCAGAGAAACUCAUACUUUGUGUGUGUGUGUGUCUCUCUCUUGGUCUUGUGUAUAAUUUGCAGCAACAGAUGUAGCCUUCCUCUUCUUCUUUCAACUCCAAUGGAUUGAUAGGUAGCCAAGAGAGAUGCAUGCCCUCGAAACCAAGAUGGAAAGGAAAAGAAAAGGGUGUUGUUGCGUGCCUUGCGUGGUGGUGAUAUCUAGUAGUUAACGUGCUCAUCGUGAUGUCGGUACAUCUUCUUUCCUUUACUUUUUCCGCUUACACGUAUCCCUUGCUUGUUGGUGGUGAUCACUCACUGAUACUAUAUUAAUAACCAAAUCCUUUUAAGGAUUCUUUCAUGCGGGGAAGACAGCGCCUAUUGUAUAUUUUAUUUGCGGGGAAGACAUAGUGUCCUGAUGUUGAUAGCCUUCUAGUACUUUGUUUUUCUAAUCUAGACAAGAUGUCACAUCUAAUUUGUUUUUUCUUUGUUUGUUGUUUUUCUUUUUUGGUUGACCUGAAGACUACCGGUGUCUGCUUUAUUCGAUGAGUUUCAAAUUUUCCUAUUUAUAUAUCCAUGGGAUAACUUUUUCUUCAUACUUUUACCUUUUAACCCAUAGAGUACGUGGAUAAUGGGUACCCAUUGCUAUCCCUAAUCACGCAGAAGGUAGGUGCUGGCCCAUGAACCCACGACCCCAUCCAUGACUGUGUACGUGUGUUAAAAAAUAGGAUUUGCUUACUCGUGUGCACGUGUGUUGCGUGCACUAGAUUGUGUCCUCCUUAAAAAAAUUUAGAGUAUAUUGGGUAAAGAAAGCUACUAUUUUUUAUGUAACUUUGUUAUGAACGGUUAUCUGUCUACUGCCAGUUUUAUUUAAAACGUGAAUACUUUCAGAUCUAUACGAAAAAAUGUACAUCGUGUAUGAAAAUUAAAAAGAAGUCGUCAAAAUAUGUACUUCAAAAUUAUAAUCUUUGUAUUUAAAAAAAUGUUAACCUGCAUAAAAAAUUGUAAAAAUUGAUGGUAUUAAAGGGUUCUACAAAAUUAUGGAUAACAAAUGUUCAUGAAAUUAAAAUUGGGCAUGAAUUUGGAAAAAUAUUCAUAAAAUGAGAAUGGUGUUUUUAAUUUGAUAAAAGUUCAUGAAUUUUUAAAUCACAAAUUUGAAGAAAAUCGCUAGUUUACAAAAAUGUCACAAUUUUAAGAACUGUGGCUUUUGGUAAGGGGGAGGGGGCGGGGAGGUAGAUAUUUUCACGGAAGCCGAAAAUUUGGAAUCGCUUCAGCCAAAAAACUGGCGCGCAAAGUGUGAUUAGACACGGUCCCUUAUUCAGAACUGUGUAUGAUAUGUGGACAUCACAAACGAUUCAGAUAGCUUUUACCCGUGCGUGAUGAGUUUGAACGUCACAAGUUUUGGUUCGAAUUUCCAUGGUUAUAGUGGUCAUCCACGUCAUUGCAUAAUUUGGGUACACAAAGGAGACUAAAACACACUCACACUUCUUAAUCGAGCAAGUUCAGCAAUCAAACAGAGCAAGCUGACCUAAACACUACUCUAACAAAUUAAAGACCGGCGCUCUUAAUUAAACAAAACAAAGAGUACUACUACGGCUAGUGCUCGUCGAUCUCCGCCGCCGCCUCCCCAUGUCCAGCUCGCGCCAGACGGUCUCCUGGGGAAGGGGCUCCAUGGCAUCCAUCGCACCAUACUUGGCAAGCAUCUCGCCAUCCGCGUCCGCCAUCUCCUUGGAAAAGGCCGCCACGAGCUGGGCGUGGGCGGACGCAAUCUGGGCUUGGACAGGCUCCGUCGUCGCAAGGUAUGCGGCAGAGGAACGGACGGCUGCUCGAACGCUCUCGGCGAUUGCCAGCUCUUCGGCUGUGGGUUGCCGACCGUUGUCGGAGAAGCUUCGUUCGAUUUGUGGGGUGACCGCCAAGAGCUGGGUGUGGGCGGCCUCAACAUGGUCGUGGCCGGACUCGAUCAGGGCUAUGGCUGCUGCCGCGGAACGGACAGCUGCUGUGCCGCUCUCACCAGUUGCUAUCCCCAAGGCAGAUGUUGCUGCCGCCACCUGAGAAGCAACAGCGGCCGUUUGGGCUGCCUUUGCCGCCCGGUCGCAGAUUGCGGCCACGCUCAUGCACCUCGUUAGCACGUGCAUGGCGGCUGUGGCCGCGCUCUCGCCGGAGUGGGCCACCGAAGUUGCCCUCACGACGUGGGUCCACGUGCCCAUCUUUCAUUGGUGACGAUUGAACAGUGAAAUGAUAUUUGGGGAGCGAGCUGGUGUGCUUGAGACGCCGGUUGUGGACUGUAGCCGACGUACCUUCUCGCGUAAGCCAUAGGCGUACUAUACACCAAUGGUGCUCCAGGAUAUUUUGUGCUGCAUCUCACACGGUUGGUGAUAAUAAACUGUGUGCGAUCUACUUGAUUUUUCAUCUUGAUUUGAAUUACAUAAUGGGGUCACAGCGGCAAUGGACGGUGUGUGAAUUGCUAGACCUUUUAUCUGGAGUGAACAUGCGACUAUAUGUGUGUCGUAAAAUAAUUGGAAUUAUUCAGGGUUCGUUUGAACAUUUUAUACAUUAAAUUGGUUUUCUAGCCAUUUCAGCUGCACAACUCAAAAUUAAACUACAUACACAUGCUCCAGUGCACCAACAUGGGUUGUAAAAUCAUAUAUGUGUCCAUGGGUUUAUGCUUAUCUCCCAUGCAAGAAAUGGGGAUGAAAUUCGAACAUCACGGCACCGUGGCUCUCCGGCAAAUGUCGACGUACUUGCUUUUGUAAUUCUAGUAAAUCCAAAAUUCGUCUGAAAUUCAUGAAACUUGGCAUGCUAUCAUGGAGCAGCAUCAACAUGUCGUGGUAGAAAUUAUGUCCCAUUUGGGGCAGGUUUGGGUAUAAGCUUCUCAUAAAUCAGAGCUUCUCACAACAAGUGUGAUGGUUUCGGUAGGGAACGUUUCACCUUUUUGGACGAAACGAUAUCCGUUGCCUCUUCCCGAUUUCAAUUUUUUUCCUAGUGUCAACAUAGAACAACAGGAGUGUUGUGUCAAUUUUUGAGAUUUUUCGGGUUUCACUUGGACAUUUUUAUACAUUAAGAGAGUUUUCUAUGCAUUCAUGUGCAUAAUUCAAAUUUGAACUAUGGGCACAUGCUCUAAUGCAUAUAAAUUAGUUGAAAAUUCAGAUCCAUGUCCUUGGUUGCCUGCUUAGGUCCCAUGCAAGAAAUGGGAAUGAAUGUCAAACACCCUACCACCGUCACUCGGUAGUAAACAUUGAGAUACCUACUUUUUAAAUUCUAGUAAAUCCAAAACUCGUCUGAAAUUCAUGAAACUUGGUAUGCUAUCAUGGUGCGGCAUCAACAUGCCGUGGUAAAAUUUUUGUCCCAUUUGGGGCAGGUUUGGGUAUAUGCUUCUCACAAACUAGAGCUUCUCACAACAAGCACGGUGGUUUCAGUAGGGAACGUCCCACCUUUGGGGACGAAACGAUACCUAUUGCCUCUUAUUGCUUCCAAAAAAUUACUCGUGUCAACAUAGAACAACAGGAGUGUUGUGUCAAUUUUUGUGAUUUUUCUGGGUUGGUUUGGACAUUUUUAUGCAUUAACUGAGUUUUCAAUGCAUUUAUGUGCAUAAUUCAAAUUUGAACUACAUGCACAUGCUCCAGUGCAUAUAAAUUGGUUGAAAAAUCAAAUCCGUGUCCUUGGGUGCAUGCUUAGGUCCCAUUCAAGAAAUGGGAAUGAAUUUCAAACACCAGGGCACCGUUCUUUGCGGCAAAACAUUGAGAUGCCUCAUUUUUAAAUUCUAGUAAAUCCAAAACUCAUCUCAAAUUCAUGAAACUUGGCAUGCUAUCAUGGAGCGGCAUCAACAUGCCGUGGUAAAUUUUUUGUCCCAUUUGGGGCAGGUUUGGUAUAUGCUUCUCACAAACCAGAGCUUUUCACAACAAGCAUGACGGUUUCGGUAGGGAACGUCCCACCUUUGGGGACGAAACGAUAUCCAUUGCCUCUUAUUGCUUUCAAUUUUUUUUGUGUCAACAUCGAACAACAGGAGUUUUGUGUCAAUUUUUGUGAUUUUUCGGGGUUGGUUUGGACAUUUUUAUGCAUUAACUGAGUUUUCAAUGCAUUUAUGUGCAUAAUUCAAAUUUGAACUACAUGCCGUCUGCCAAGGCAGACGGCAAAGGCAUGGAAGGCGGACGGCAAAGGCCUUUGCCAUCUGCCGCGGACGGCAAAAGGCGCCGGCAAAGAAAGGAUCGGCAAAGCCUUCUUUGCCGUCUGCUUCCUGAUGCGGACGGCAAAGGAGCCUUUGCCAUCAGCUGCGGACGCCAAAGAAAGCCGACGGCAAUAAAUUCGCUGUUAGUCCGUUAGGUGGCUAACGGCAGUCUUUGCCGUCCGUGGCUGACGGCAAAGAGCAUCAAGCCUUUGCCAUCUGCCACUGUAGGCAAACUGACCAAAUGGGUCAGUUGCCAGGAAGCACAGGUGGUAACCCCGUGGCUUCUUUGCCGUCCGCCGCGGACGGCAAAGAGCCCGUUGCCGUCGGUGGCAGACGGCAAAGAGCUUGCAUUGCAUCUUUUUUUCUGUUUUUUCUUAUACCCAACCAUUUUCACAGCAAAUAGAUGAUACAUAUAUAUUUUUCACAUGGCAAGUUCACAACAAACAUAUGAGAUAUCCAACGCAUAUAAUUUCAUCAUACAUGCAUAGUUCCAUCAACCAUAAUUAGCAAGUUCCACAUACAUGCAUCCAACCAUACAUAUUACAAUAUUGUCAUCCUACCAUACAUGCAUAGUUCAUCAAUACAAAAGAAACAUAGUUCAUCCAAACAAGCACUCCAUCUAUGCAAGCUUCCGUGAAGCGAAUGGAUUCUGCAAAAUGGGAAAUAAGAAAGUUAGAAGAAGAAGAUUAGAAGAAGAAGAAGAAGAAGAAAAUGAAGAAGAAGAAGAAUAUAUGACAUUUAUGAGCUAAUUUAGGUGAAAUUGAUCGUUUGUGAGCUAACUUAGGUGAAAUGGAUCGUUUAUGAGCUGACCUAGGUGAAAUGGAUCGCUUAUGAGCUAACUUAGGUAAAAUGCAUCAUUUCAGAGCUAACCUAGGUAAGAUGGAUCAUUUUGGAGCUAACCUAGGUAAAAUGGGUCAUUUUAGAGCUAGCUAGGGUAAAAUGGAUCAUUUAUGAGCUAAGCAAGGUAAAAUGGGUCAUUUUAGAGCUAAUUUAGGUAAAAUGGAUCGUUUAUGAGCUAACUAAGGUAAAAUGGAUCAUUUUAGAACUUACGUAAAAUGGAUUGUUUAUGAGCUAACUAAGCUAAUUAUGCCAUUUUUGACAUAAGUAAGCUAAGUACAUGUCAUUAUUGAGCAAACCUAGUUAACUAAGCAUAUUAGAGCUAACUUUGGUCAUUUUGGAGGAAACAAAGCUAAGUAUAGAUCGUUUUAGAGCUAACUUAGGUAAAAUGGAUGGUUUUGGAGGUCAGUAAGCUUAUUAAGUCAUUUUGGAGGAAAUAAAGCUAAGUCUAGGUCUUUAUGCAUUUGUUAAGCAAAACACUAGAGAAACUUACCGUGAUAAUGGAGGUGUGGGAGCGGGCUGGCUCGUGCCGGUAGUUGGAGAAGGAUCGUGCGAUGCUUGUCUGGAGUUACGCUGCACCAAAGAUCAUUUCCAAUGUCUCGUUAGCAUGAUGACACUCAAAUGUUAAGACUAGCAAGUAGUGUCCAUUCAAAUUAAACUCACCGUCGUCCCAGGAGCAAUCUCUGGCAUUGGCGGAGUGGUCUGAUCGGACUUCUCGCACACAGACUGCACAUUUGGUUUUGACGACUCAGUCAUACUAGUUAGUAAUGAGACAAACACUACAUGAAUGUUUUGGCUAAUCAGCAUAAGAAACUUACCACAAGGAGCUCAUACAUUACCCUUGCCUGCAUGCCAUUCCGUGCCCUCUCCUCCUCCAACAUCUUUGUCGUCCUCUCCUCCAACUCCCGCUGCCUCUCCGCCGCCUCCGACAGAAGUUUCUCCGUUCUAUCUCUCUCACUCUGUAUAGCAGCCUGCAACACCACUCCUCGUUAGCAUUUGUAAUCAUUGAUGGAAGCGCACACAAUGUAAUGGAGAAAGAUAUCUGAGUACGUAUAACUAACCUUAAAGGCGAGUUGGACUGGCCGUUCACGAGGCCUUAUCUCAGGAGCGGAUCUCGACUAGCGCGCCAUGAUCUCCGGGAGAGUGCCAGGACAACGGAUAAGCCUUUUCUUCUUCUCUUCUUCUCCUCCUCCUCUUCUUUCUUCUUCUUCUUCUUCUUCUUCUUCUUCUUCUUCUUCUUCUUCUUCUUCUUCUUCUUCUUCUUCUUCUUCAUAUUCUAGCACUAAAACUAAACUGAAUCUCACACUAAAUCUAACAGUAAGACAUAUCUAGCACUAAAUCCAACACUAAGAAUUAAACAGCAAAAAUAGAAAAAACAGAAAAAANNNNNNNNNNNNNNNNNNNNNNNNNNNNNNNNNNNNNNNNNNNNNNNNNNNNNNNNNNNNNNNNNNNNNNNNNNNNNNNNNNNNNNNNNNNNNNNNNNNNNNNNNNNNNNNNNNNNNNNNNNNNNNNNNNNNNNNNNNNNNNNNNNNNNNNNNNNNNNNNNNNNNNNNNNNNNNNNNNNNNNNNNNNNNNNNNNNNNNNNNNNNNNNNNNNNNNNNNNNNNNNNNNNNNNNNNNNNNNNNNNNNNNNNNNNNNNNNNNNNNNNNNNNNNNNNNNNNNNNNNNNNNNNNNNNNNNNNNNNNNNNNNNNNNNNNNNNNNNNNNNNNNNNNNNNNNNNNNNNNNNNNNNNNNNNNNNNNNNNNNNNNNNNNNNNNNNGGGGCAAGCGGCGGCAUGUGGUGGGGGCGGCGGUGGGUGGCGGGGGCGGCGGCGGGCGGCGGGGGCUGCUCUGGUCAUCGGGGAGGAGAGAGGGAGAGAAACAGAGAGAGGAAGGGGCGGGGUGGGGCUCGGCCGUUAGUUAGGUUACUUCUUUGCCGUCCGCUUUGUUUUCUCUUUGCCGUCUGCUAGCAGACGGCAAAGAGGGGGGUUAUUGAGUUUUUUCCAGUUAGCUCGUUAGUGGGGGCCAGCUUACUCUUUGCCGUCAGCCAGCGGACGGCAAAGAACAGGCUGAUGGCAAAGACAUUCUUUGCCAUCAACCUCUUCUUUGCCGUCCGUUUUCUGUAAGCGGACGGCAAAGAACUGGCAGACGGCAAAUAAGCUAAUUCCAGUAGUGACAUGCUCAAGUGCAUAUAAAUUGGUUGAAAAAUCAAAUCCGUGUCCUUGGGUGCAUACUUAGGUCCCAUUCAAGAAAUAGGAAUGAAUUUCAAACACCAGGACACCGUUGAUUGCGGCAAAACAUUGAGAUGCCUGGUUUUUAAAUUCUAGUAAAUCCAAAACUCGUCUGAAAUUCAUGAAACUUGGCAUGCUAUCAUGGAGCGGCAUCAACAUGUUGUGGUAAAAUUUUUGUCCCAUUUGGGGCAGGUUUGGGUAUAUGCUUCUCACAAACCAGAGCUUCUCACAACAAGCAUGAUGGUUUCGGUAGGGAACGUCCCACCUUUGGGAUGAAACGAUAUCCAUUGCCUCUUAUUGCUUUCAAAUUUUUUCUCGUGUCAACACAGAACAACAGGAGUGUUGUGUCAAUUGUUGUGAUUUUUCGGGGUUGGUUUGGACAUUUUUAUGCAUUAACUGAGUUUUCAAUGCAUUCAUGUGCAUAAUUCAAAUUUGAACUACAUGCACAUGCUCCGGUGCAUAUUAAUUGGUUGAAAAAUCAAAUCCGUGUCCUUGGGUGCAUGCUUAGGUCACAUGCAAGAAAUGGGAAUGAAUGUCAAACACCCUACCACCGUCACUCGGCCGUAAACAUUGAGAUACCUACUUUUUAAAUUCUAGUAAAUGCAAAACUCAUCUGAAAUUCAUGAAACUUAGCAUGCUAUCAUGGAGCGGCAUCAACAUGCCGUGGUAAAAUUUUUGUCCCAUUUGGGGCAGGUUUGGGUAUAUGCUUCUCACAAACCAGAGCUUCUCACAACAAGCAUGGUGGUUUCGGUAGGGAACGUCCCACCUUUGGGGACGAAACAAUACCCAUUGCCUCUUAUUGCUUCCAAAAAAUUUCUCGUGUCAACAUAGAACAACAGGAGUGUUGUGUCAAUUUUUGUGAUUUUUCGGGGUUGGUUUGGACAUUUUUAUGCAUUAACUGAGUUUUCAAUGCAUUUACGUGCAUAAUUCAAAUUUGAACUACAUGCACAUGCUCCAGUGCAUAUAAAUUGGUUGAAAAAUGAAAUCCGUGUCAUUGGGCGCAUUCUUAGGUCCCAUUCAAGAAAUGGGAAUGAAUUUCAAACACUAGGGCACCAUUGUUUGCGGCAAAACAUUGAGAUGCCUCAUUUUUAAAUUCUAGUAACUCCAAAACUCAUCUCAAAUUCAUGAAACUUGGCAUGCUAUCAUGGAGCAGCAUCAACAUGGCAUGGUAAAUUUUUUGUCCCAUUGGGGGCAGGUUUGGGUAUAUGCUUCUCACAAACCAGAGCUUCUCACAACAAGCAUGAUGGUUUCGGUAGGGAACGUCCCACCUUUGGGACAAAAAAAUAUCCAUUGCCUCUUAUUGCUUUCAAAUUUUUUCUCGUGCCAACACAGAACAACAGGAGUGUUGUGUCAAUUUUUGUGAUUUUUCGGGGUUCGUUUUGACAUUUUUAUGCAUUAACUGAGUUUUCAAUGCAUUCAUGUGCAUUAUUCAAAUUUUAACUACAUGCACAUGCUCCAGUGCAUAUUAAUUGGUUGAAAAAUCAAAACCGUGUCCUUGGGUGCAUGCUUAGGUCACAUGCAAGAAAUGGGAAUGAAUGUCAAACACCCUACCACCGUCACUCGGCUGUAAAACAUUGAGAUACCUACUUUUUAAAUUCUAGUAAAUGCAAAACUCGUCUGAAAUUCAUGAAACUUGGCAUGCUAUCAUGGAGCGGCAUCAACAUGUCGUGGUAAAAUGUUUGUCCCAUUUGGGGCAGGUUUGGGUAUAUGCUUCUCACAAACCAGAGCUUCUCACAACAAGCAUGGUGGUUUCGGUAGGGAACGUCCCACCUUUGGGGACGAAACAAUACCCAUUGCCUCUUAUUGCUUCCAAAAAAUUUCUCGUGUCAACAUAGAACAACAGGAGUGCUGUGUCAAUUUUUGUGAUUUUUCGGGGUUGGUUUGGACAUUUUUAUGCAUUAACUGAGUUUUCAAUGCAUUUACGUGCAUAAUUCAAAUUUGAAAUACAUGCACAUGCUCCAGUGCAUAUAAAUUGGUUGAAAAAUGAAAUCCGUGUCAUUGGGUGCAUGCUUAGGUCCCAUUCAAGAAAUGGAAAGAAUUUCAAACACCAGGGCACCGUUGUUUGUGGCAAAACAUUGAGAUGCCUCAAUUUUAAAUUCUAGUAAAUCCAAAACUCAUCUCAAAUUCAUGAAACUUGGCAUGCUAUCAUGUAGCGGCAUCAACAUGCCCUGGUAAAGUUUUUGUCCCAUUUGGGGCAGGUUAGGGUAUAUGCUUCUCACAAACCAGAGCUUCUCACAACAAGCAUGAUGGUUUCGGUAGGGAACGUCCCACCUUUGGGGACGAAACGAUAUCCAUUGCCUCUUAUUGCUUUCAAUUUUUUUGUCAACAUCGAACAACAGGAGUGUUGUGUCAAUUUUUGUGAUUUUUCGGGGUUGGUUGGGAAGUUUUUAUGCAGUAACUGAGGUUUCAAUGCAUUUAUGUGCAUAAUUCAAAUUUUAACUACAUGCACAUGCUCAAGUGCAUAUAAAUUGGUUGAAAAAUCAAAUCCGUGUCCUUGGGUGCAUGCUUAGGUCCCAUUCAAGAAAUGGGAAUGAAUUUCAAACACCAGGGCACCGUUGAUUGCGGCAAAACAUUGAGAUGCCUGGUUUUUAAAUUCUAGUAAUCCAAAACUCGUGUGAUUUCAUGAAACUUGGAAUGCUAUCAUGGAGCGGCAUCAACAUGCCGUGGUAAAAUUUCUGUCCAUUUGGGGCAGGUUUGGGUAUAUGCUUCUCACAAACCAGAGCUUCUCACAACAAGCAUGAUGGUUUCGGUAGGGAACGUCCCACCUUUGCGACGAAACGAUAUCCAUUGCCUCUUAUUGAUUUCAAAUUUUUUCUCGUGUCAACACAGAACAACAGGAGUGUUGUGUCAAUUUUUGUGAUUUUUCGGGGUUCGUUUGGACAUUUUUAUGCAUUAACUGAGUUUUCCAUGCAUUUAUAUGCAUAAUUCAUAUUUGAACUACAUGCACAUGCUCCAGUGCAUAUUAAUUGCUUGAAAAAUCAAAUCUGUGUCCUUGGGUGCAUGCUUAGGUCACAUGCAAGAAAUGGGAAUGAAUUUCAAACACCAGGGCACCGUUGAUUGCUGCAAAAUAUUGAGAUGCCUGGUUUUAAAUUCUAGUAAAUCCAAAACUCGUCUAAAAUUCAUGAAACUUGGCGUGCUAUCAUGGAGCGGCAUCAACAUGCCAUGGUAAAAUUUUUGUCCCAUUUGGGGCAUGUUUGGGUAUAUGCUUCUCGCAAACCAGAGCUUCUCACAACAAGCAUGAUGGUUUCGGUAGGGAACGUCCCACCAUUGAGGACGAAACGAUAUCCAUUGCCUGUUAUUGCUUUCAAUUUUUUUUCUGGUGUCAACAUAAAACGACCGGAGUGUUGUGUCAGUUUUUGUGAUUUUUUGAUGUUCGUUUAGACAUUUUUAUGCUUUAACUAAGUAUCCAAUGCAUUUAUGUGCAUAAUUCAAAUUUGAACUACAUGCACUUGCUCCGGUGCAUAUAAAUUGGUUGAAAAUCAAAUAUGUGUCCUUCGGUGGAUGCUUAGGUCACAUGCAAGAAAUGGGAAUGAAUUUAAAACACCAGGGCACCGUUGAUUGCCAGCAAAACAUUGAGAUGCCUGGUUUUUAAAUUCUAGUAAAUCCAAAACUCGUCUGAAAUUCAUGAAACCUGGCAUGCUAUCAUGGGAUGGCACCCGACAUGCUGUGGUAUUUUUCGUGUCCAUUUUGAGAGAAGGCGCACUCGAAUAAUGACAACCAACAAAGGCAUUUUGAAAAAAUAUCUGCCACUUUAAUAUCUCAAAUGUUUAUAUAAUUCAAACCGUGUGCGUUCUGUUAAGCAUUCACGUGACGCCAUGUGUCUUGAUUUUAAUGGCUGUAGGAGGUGCCGUGCGGACAACUGCUUGACCUUAACUGAACGGGAGCCGUGCGAGCGCCGUCUGGUGCGCAGGCUGACCGAGAGGCAUGCAAGCUAUCCUCGAAUGUGCAGGGUCAUCGGGAAGCGUGCAAGCUGUACGCUGCGCAGGCUCACUGGGGAGCGAGCCCUUUGAGUUCCAUGGCCGCCUGCCUUGCUCGCAUCCUCUCCAUUAAUGGCGCCCAAGCUGUAGUUUAAUUCGGAUUUUAAAUAUAAAACACUCGUCGCAAACAUUUUAAUUAGAACACCCAUACGCAACCGACAACUUCCCCAGGAAGCCAAAAGAAAAUGUGCCGAGCAGGAUUUCUGCAGCUCUUGCUCGCAAACGUUUUAGUUAGAACACCCGUAUUCAAAGUGAGAGCAACGCAGGAUUUGUGCAUCCCUUCAACGCAAACGGUUGUUUUGGACAAUCCGUGUGCGACCACGUACAAACAAUUUGGUAAGAUUUGUCAAUCCUUGUAACACUGUGAUUUGUCAAAAUAUGAAGCUAAAAAUCACUAGCAGUAUCUAAUUUUUGCAACUAAAAUUCAGUAAUUAAGCAUAGAUUUCAUUAAUAGAUUAAGCAGUCGUUCUUCAUUUAUACAAACAGUUCAACUCGACAGCUGCACCGACUAAACUUUUCCCCAAUUGUUGCCGACCACGUACUGAAAUAGCUAGUUCAACUAUAUAUACUAGCUAAUUUUAAGUGCGGUGUACAGUUCCACCACAUCUAUAGUCAGAUGAACUAAACAAAAUAGCCCCUAAAUACUACUACUACUACUAUUGCGGAGGGGCUUUGUACUAGUUCCGGCUGCCUCUCCUCUGCCGAGCGCGCUCAGUAAGACGCGGAGGAGGAGGAGCCUACCGACGAGGUGGGCAACCACAAUACGGUGCCUGCCGCUGUUGCAGCUUCAGCGACGCUCACCUCGAACGCCCUCUGCCGCUGCAGACGACCCCUCUCGAAGCGGUGGUUCUCCUCGUACAUCUCCUGAUUCCUCGCCUCUGAGGCGACGUGUGCCGCGGCCACGGCGGUGGUAAGGCUCUUUGCGUGCUCGACGAUGCGCUCCUCCUCCACCCGCAGGAACUCGGUGUAGCACGCAAGGUCGCUGAUGCACGUGCGGGCAUCCACCUCCGCCUCGCGCAUUUGGGCGGUGGUGGCGGAGCGGGUGAUGACCCUGGCGGUCGACGGUGGGCUGGCGGCCAUGGCGGCCAACGACGGGGUGGCGGGCACGACCACCACCUCCCGCCUUUGGGCCGCGGUGGCGGAGCUAGUGAUGGCCACAGUGGCCGGCAGUGGGGUGGCGGCCACGACGGCCACCUCCCGCCUUCGGGCCGUGACAGCGGAGCGGGUGAUGGCCCUGGCUUUCGACGGUCGUGUGGCGGCAACGGCGGCCGGCAACAGCUGCCGACGGGCAGCGGCGGUGGAGCAUGUGGUGGGUGUUCCGCGCACACCCAACAGGGAUGCCACGUGCACUACACUACGCAGGGGACUGCGCCGCCGCCACGGUGUAGCCUCCGAGCUGGAGCUGUCCUCUAAUGACGGCAGAGUGGCUGAGCGAUGACGACGGACCGGUGCCAUUGGCGAUUGUGGGAGAAGCAGACGAGAUAAGCUACAGGGAGGGAGGGGAAAUUGUGAUGCAGGACUCGCUGGCCAUGAGGGUUUUUAUAGCAGGCCGGUAAGCAUUGGGAUUUUGGGGGAUUUCACCGAGUCAGGCGAGAAGCUUGCACAGGAACCUGCGAGGUUGCGCGGGAAUGCGCUCAUAGAUGAUUCAUUGACGCCACCGUUUGGCCAAAAGAACGCCCCCGGGCGCUGCGCAAGCUUGCGCUGUAAGCCGUCUGCGGUAGCGAGGUGACAAGACGUGCGAGAGGAGGACGAAAGGCCACGUACACAUACGAUUAAUACAAAAAACGUUUGCGAUUUAAUUACCUACUAUACCACCGUCCUGGUUUAUAAGUAUGAUUUAACUAAUAAAAUACGAAUGCAUGUCGCCAAAGAUUAUAUAGUUGGAUUUGUAUUUGAACAUAGUUUCCAAUUAUAUAAUUUUUAAAACAUGCAUUAACAUUUUGUUGGUCAAAUUUGAGGGCAAAGUAUGGCACAGAAUAUAAAGGAGACUUUAGACUAGACGGAGGUGGUAGCACAUGGCCGCUCUCUACGCAGCGACGCAACUGUCGGCCGGCUUGUAGGUGACCAUUUCCUGCGUGUUCAACUGCUCUAUGCGUGUGGUUGCUUGUGGUUCAGGCGGCUGCGGCGCGCUCUGCUCGCGUCCUGCCGCGCGCGCUCUACUCUCGCGUCUCUCCGCGCGCGCUCUACUCUCGUGUCCUUUCGGGUGCUCUGCCCUCGUCCCUCCACGCGCGCUGCCAGUGUUUGGGGCCGGUGCACGAUCACGCACGUCCGUGUGCAAGCGAUUGCGCCGGGCGCGGUGGCGACGAUGCAGUUACCCGCUGCAAAAACUUCCCCUUUUAUUCCUGCAGCCAUUUACCUUCAUCUCUCGUCUCACACGACACAAUAAGCACACCCACGAGGACACAUACAGAGAGGACAUCUAGCGGUUCCAAUGGCGCUCCCCAUGGCUCCAAUGGCGCUCCCAGCGGCCGACGACGAAAACAGCGGGCAGUUCACCACGCAUCGGUCGAGGACAAGUGCCGAGUGGUCAGCUUCGACCUCGAGUACACCAUCGGUCGUGCCGGGCACGAUCAGAAGGUUGCCCUCGCCCAGUUGUGCAUGCGACAUGACGUCCUCGUCUACCACUACACCUUGCCACAAGGCCUUGCGAGCGUUUCUCCAGGUUUAUCAACAGCUCCGACUACAGUUUCGCUUUGGUGGACACCACGAACGAUCUAAAAGCGCUCUAGGUUUCGGACUUGAAAUGCCCGAAUCUUGUCAACAUCCAGCACCACAACAAGGUCCGGGCAGCGACAAAAACAAACUAAACUCCCUGGUUGACCUCGCCUCAGCCAUCAUUGACCCCUACAACGUGAAGAUGAAGGAAGAGAGCAAUAAGGACAAGAACGCCUGGCACAAUGUGUGGCAUGAGAGACUGGAUGAACGACAUGUCAAGUACGCGGCCAUGGACGCGUACACAAGCUACGAGAUGUACAGGCGGAUCGUUAUGAGGAACUAUCUUCUUCCUGACCCAGACGAGGGAUCGAGCCACAUAGCAGUGGCGGGAGCGUCACAAGAAGUAGAUGACUAGACGAUCAUUUCUCCUGCUUUAGAAUGCAUGCAAUUGUUUAUUGAGGUGUGUACGAAUGAUCUGCAUAGUCACUUAUGUAAUUGGAUGUUUAUUUCAGUUAUAUAUAUAUAUACAUAUAUAUAUAUAUAUAUAUAUAUAUACAUAUAUAUAUACAUGUUAUUCUACGGUAGACAGAGCAAUUCACACGGUUUAUUAGCAGCAAACGUCUGUCUUAUUAUGGGUCUUCACACACAUUUCUGAUUACGUACCUGUUUGCCGCGUAUCACACACAUCUUGUUCAGUUGAAUCGUUUCUGUUCUCAUGUCUCAACGCAAACAGUUCAUCCGAGUGAACCGCAUGCCGUAUAUCGCACAAACCUUUGAUCUGGCUGACCGUUUCUUUUGUGUUGCCCAAUCACAAACAGUUCAUCCGAGUGAACCGUAUGAUGUACAUCGCACACACUUUCAUCUGGCUGCCCGUUUCUUUUGUUCCUCCUCAUCACAAAUAGUUAAUUGAACUGAACCGCAUGCCCUGCAUCGCACACGCAACUAAAAUCUGAACCGUGUUUGAUGGCUCCGCCAUCACAAACAUUUUGCACCUUUUUGACUGUUUUACACCACCUUUUGUGAUUAUGGCAUCGCACACAGUUUCGUCGAAGGGUCUUUGAUCGUAGUGUCGCGUUUGGACCAUCCUGCAGUAGUGGACACCUUUUUGGGCCACAGGCGUGCACGCGGUGGUUAUCGUAGCUAGGACACUCAUGUGUGACGCUUCCAUCUGUGGGCCCAUGAGGCCACCGUCGAUGCAUGCAUGCAUCACUUUGACCUACAUCGAGAGAGGUUAAUUAAUUUCACCAUCGACGAGGAUUCUUUUGGGUUUUACAUAUUACGACAGGAGCAUAUAGUAUGCGGUGAAGAGGGGGGAAGGGGACCAUCAUAUGUAGUACGCUUCAUGAACCCUGCUCGGUGUGGGUGCAUGGUUUACGGUUUUUGAGGCAUGUGGGACAUCAAAGUUGUGCAUUUUGGGUAUUCAACAUAUAUAUGUUUGGCCCACAUGCAAAGCAGUGGUGGUUGUCCUCUCGCACCCACUUAAGCGGUUAUCAGCGAUAUCGUUACUUUCCAUCUGUGGGCCUGCUUGAUCCAUCACUACUUUUUGCCUGACAACAAGAGAGGUUAAUUUGACUUAGGAGGGGAUUAUUAUUUUUGCUUGUAAUACUGUGUGUAUAUAUAUAUAGGUAUAUAUAUAGGUCAUGCUCUGGGAUGACAUGCAUGAUGCAGUUUGAGAACACACACAUGCAUGCGUACGCAUGAAUCCAUCCCAUCGAGUCAAAAUGGCUAGUACAACAACACGUCAUGAACCGAUCUCACACUGUGUGGGGAGCUAGUGUACGAUUUUUGACGCACGCGCCACAUCAAUGUUGUGAAAUGGUAUUCAAACAUGCAUGCACGCAUCACCUCCAUACAUAUGCAUGUAGUGGUUGCCUUCAAACGGUACACUCCCUCGCGUGGUCAUCCGUGAUCACCUGGACCAACAACAAGAUAGGUUACCAUGGCGGAUUCUUCAUUUGGUUCGUGUUAUCAUAGUAUUGGUCAUGGUGAGAUUCAGGCCUUAAGUUUGAGCGCAUAUACUAUGAUGCAUGCAUGCAUGAAUCCCCGUCGUUGGCUUGAAGUGUGGUGUAACAUACAUAUGCAUUGUCAACCUAACCCUCACUCAGUGUGGGGAUUUCUAGUUCGAAAUCACGGCGCAACAUCAAAGUUGUUUCAUUGUUACUCAAAAACACACCUCUCCAUACAUAUGUUUGGGCCACAUGCAUGAAGUGGUUGUCUUCGGGGACUAGCUACUUUUGUGAUUAUUGGUGAGCUAUCCCAUCUCCGGGGUCGCAUUGACGUCCAUCACUUUGACCAACAACAAGAGAGUGGUUGUACGACCAAGGUGGAUUAUUCCUUGUUCGUUUUACGAACCAUCUUGGUGACAUAUGCCUCUCUGGCCCGCCGACUGAAAGUGUGUGUGUGUGGGGGGGGGGGCGGUUGCUACUNNNNNNNNNNNNNNNNNNNNNNNNNNNNNNNNNNNNNNNNNNNNNNNNNNNNNNNNNNNNNNNNNNNNNNNNNNNNNNNNNNNNNNNNNNNNNNNNNNNNNNNNNNNNNNNNNNNNNNNNNNNNNNNNNNNNNNNNNNNNNNNNNNNNNNNNNNNNNNNNNNNNNNNNNNNNNNNNNNNNNNNNNNNNNNNNNNNNNNNNNNNNNNNNNNNNNNNNNNNNNNNNNNNNNNNNNNNNNNNNNNNNNNNNNNNNNNNNNNNNNNNNNNNNNNNNNNNNNNNNNNNNNNNNNNNNNNNNNNNNNNNNNNNNNNNNNNNNNNNNNNNNNNNNNNNNNNNNNNNNNNNNNNNNNNNNNNNNNNNNNNNNNNNNNNNNNNNNNNNNNNNNNNNNNNNNNNNNNNNNNNNNNNNNNNNNNNNNNNNNNNNNNNNNNNNNNNNNNNNNNNNNNNNNNNNNNNNNNNNNNNNNNNNNNNNNNNNNNNNNNNNNNNNNNNNNNNNNNNNNNNNNNNNNNNNNNNNNNNNNNNNNNNNNNNNNNNNNNNNNNNNNNNNNNNNNNNNNNNNNNNNNNNNNNNNNNNNNNNNNNNNNNNNNNNNNNNNNNNNNNNNNNNNNNNNNNNNNNNNNNNNNNNNNNNNNNNNNNNNNNNNNNNNNNNNNNNNNNNNNNNNNNNNNNNNNNNNNNNNNNNNNNNNNNNNNNNNNNNNNNNNNNNNNNNNNNNNNNNNNNNNNNNNNNNNNNNNNNNNNNNNNNNNNNNNNNNNNNNNNNNNNNNNNNNNNNNNNNNNNNNNNNNNNNNNNNNNNNNNNNNNNNNNNNNNNNNNNNNNNNNNNNNNNNNNNNNNNNNNNNNNNNNNNNNNNNNNNNNNNNNNNNNNNNNNNNNNNNNNNNNNNNNNNNNNNNNNNNNNNNNNNNNNNNNNNNNNNNNNNNNNNNNNNNNNNNNNNNNNNNNNNNNNNNNNAAUCAAACCACCCUUUUCAUACAUAAAUUUGGUCCACAUGCAAGUGUGUUCGUGUUCUGACCCUCUCCCACGUCAUUUUUUGCCAAAUUUAUGAACAUUAGACAAGUCGGAUGACGCAACAGACACGGUUCACUCAAACUAACCGUGUGCCACACCGGUGCCCCUGUCACGCACACAUCCGCAUAGUACAUUGGGCUCCACGAGGCUCCCCCUCUCAAAAAUAUCUGCCCGCCUCGAGGCUUUUUCUGUUUUCAUAACACAUGGUUGUUAUCUCCGGACCGUGUGCGAUGUUUCUUGUUCCCAAUCCCGCCUGCAUCCCUAGAAAAUAUCUACCCGCCUCGAGGGUUUUUCUGUUCCAUAACACACAGUUGUUAUCCCCGGACCGUGUGCGAUGUUUCUUGUUCCCAAACCCCCCUGCAUCCCUAGAAAAUAUCUGCCCACCUCAAGGGUUUUUCUGUUUCAUAACACACAGUUGUUAUCUCCGGACCGUGUGCGAUGCACUAUCAUCAAAAUUUUCAAUAGCCCCGGCAUUUCACUCCCGCGUUUGACUCCCGUGUAGUAAAAUUUUCAGUACCCGCGUCAUUUUCACAAACUCCCCCGCCCCCCCUCCACACACACAAACAACACACACACACCAAAACCUCCUCGGGCGUGCGCGCACGCACACACACACACACACACCAAAACCUCCUCUAGCAUGCACGCACACACACACCCCCUCCCUCGAUCGAAACCCUAGCAAGGUACCCACCGCCGCUGCCGCCGCCGCCGCCUCCGCAAGGCCUCCAUUGUCAACAUCUGCCGGUUUGCCCGUGCAGCUUACCCACCGAUCUCCAUACAUAGGACGCCCUGAGUUUCUUAGAUGACGCCUGCCAAACGCCCCCUUUCCCAUGGAUCCCCAUCCCUCUAGAGCGUCGCAGCCUAAGCAUGGUUACGCUUCCCAUGGAGCUCGAGGAGCGACUGCCCCAAAAGAGGUGUAUCGUGGUCUCUUCGCCCAACGUCGCCGAGGAAGCUGACGACCAUUACUGGCGGCAGGUACUCAACCAGCGGGCUAGAGUAUGCGGGCAUGUCUCGGCCGCCGGCUACGACAUCGAGGUCAUCGACAGCGACGGCCGGACGCUGGCUAUGUCACAGGUUAAGUGGCCCGCCCACAACCCCUUGGGUUCAACCGCCGCCGAUCUCAUCCAUGUCCCCGCCGCUGAUCUCCUCUAGCUGGCUGUCAACAAUUUGCCAUCCUACAUUGCCAUCGAGCCCCUUUUGUCAUUUCUUCAGGACACGUUUUGCGACCCUGGCUUGGGAUCCACAACUUCCAAGUCAGACCUCAUCGACGGUGACCACGAGGAGGGCACCCUCUCCGGUGCUUCCAAGGGGAAAGAGCCCAUCUGCUCUUCCAAGGGGAAAGCGCCUGUCUGCGACAUCAGGGAGGACACCGUACAGCCGUGCUCUUCCAAGGGGAAUGAGCCAAUCUGCGACAACAUGGAGCGCAUCCAGGGUCCAUGCUCUUCCCACGGGAAUGAGCCCAUCUGUGACAAGUGAGGAAACCCAUGAUUUGUUUUGCCGUGCCUCUUCACAGGGGGAAACCCAUGAUUUUUUUGUCGAGUCCCUUUUGUAGUGUACUGAGAAUAUGUCCAGUUUUAAUUGCUAUAUCUGGUUGUCUGCAGUAUGCCUUGUUUAUUUCAGUUGUUCACAAUGUGAUGCUCUAUAUGUGCAAUUAUUUACCGUGCAGUACAUUUCAUCAAUCCAGUUUUAAACAUACCGAUAGGAACGCAUAUAUUUGCUUGCUGUUAAGCCUAUUAUAGCUAGCAUAUGCCUCUUUUAAAGUUUAUUGAUUGUUCGGUUGUUUGUAGUUAGCAUAUGUCCAGUUUCAAAUGCUAUCUUUGGUUGUUCGUAGUAUGCCUUCUUUUAUUCCAGUUAUUCACAACGUGAUGUUCUAUGUGUGCAAGUACGAACUGUGCAGUUCAAUUUCAUCGGUACCAGUUUCAACAAUACCACUAUGAAUGACUACAUUUGGUUGCUACAUCUUGUAGUUAACACACCUUUCCAUUUUUAUUUAACAAUAAGGAGUGUACUUAGACCGGCACAAUACCAGUUUGAAUGACUAUGUUUGCUUGUUGUUAAAUGUUAGGCCUGUAGCAGUUAACACACCUUGCUACCUCUUUGAGCACUGCGUUGGGUGGUUUUCCCUUGAAGAGGAAAGGGUGAUGCAGUAAAGUAGCCUAAGUAUUUCCCUCAGUUUUGAGAACCAAGGUAUCAAUCCAGUAGGAGACCACGCUCAAGUCCCUCGUACUCACACAAACAAAUAAGAACCUAGCAACCAACACGAUAAAGGGGUUGUCAAUCCCUUCACGGCCACUUGCAAAAGUGAGAUCUGAUAGAGAUGAUAAGAUAAUAUUUUUUGUAUUUUUAUGAUAAAGACUAAAAAUAAAGAAAGCAAAAUAAAUGGUAACAGAAAUAAUGGUAGAUUAAUAUGAUAGAGAAUAGACCGGGGGCCAUAGGUUUCACUAGUGGCUUCUCUCAAGAGCAUAAGUAUUACGGUGGGUGAACAAAUUACUAUCGAGCAAUUGAUAGAAUUGAGCAUAGUUAUGAGAAUAUCUAGGUAUGAUCAUGUAUAUAGGCAUCACGUCCGUGACAAGUAGAUCGACUCCUGCCUGCAUCUACUACUAUUACUCCACACAUCGACCGCUAUCCAGCAUGCAUCUAGAUUAUUAAGUUCAUAAGAACAGAGUAACGCUUUAAACAAGAUGACAUGAUGUAGAGGGAUAAACUCAAGCAAUAUGAUAUAAACCCCAUCUUUUUAUCCUCGAUGGCAACAAUACAAUACGUGUCGUUUCCCCUACUGUCACUAGGAUCGAGCAUCGCAAGAUUGAACCAUAAGCUAAGCACUUCUCCCAUUCCAAGAAAGAUCAAUCUAGUAGGCCAAACCAAACUGAUAAUUCGAAGAGACUUGCAAAGAUAACCAAUCAUACAUAAAAGAAUUCAGAGGAGAUUCAAAUAUUGUUCAUAGAUAAUCUUGAUCAAAAACCCACAAUUCAUCGGAUCUCGACAAACACACCGCAAAAGAUGAUUACAUCGAAUAGAUCUCCAAGAGAAUCGAGGAGAACUUUGUAUUGAGAUCUAAAGAGAGAGAAGAACCCAUCUAACUAAUAACUAUGGACCCAAAGGUCUGAGGUAAACUACUCACACAUCAUUGGAGAAGCUAUGGUGUUGAUGUAGAAGCCCUCCGUGAUCAAUGCCCCCUCUAGCGGAGCGCCAGAAAAGGCCCCAAGAUGGGAUCUCACGAGUACAGAGAGUUGUGGCGGUGGAAAUAGGGUUUCGGCUCCCGUUCGGAUGUUUCCAGGGUAUAUGAGUAUAUAUAGGCGAAAGAGGUUGGUCACGAGAGCUACGAGGGGCCCCUGAGAGUGGGGGGCGCGCCCAGGGGGCAGACGCGCCUCCGUGCCUCGUGGCCUCCUCGUUGAUUGCUUGACGUCCACUACAAGUCCUCUGGAUCACGUUUGUUCCGAAAAUCACAUUCCCGAAGGUUUCAUUCCGUUUGGACUCCGUUUGAUAUUCCUUUCCUUCGAAACACUGAAAUAGGCAAAAAAAACAGCAAUUUGGGCUGGGCAUCCGGUUAAUAGGUUAGUCCCAAAAAUAAUAUAGAAGUGUAUAAUAAAGCCCAUUGAACAUCCAAAACAGAUAAUAUAAUAGCAUGGAACAAUCAAAAAUUAUAGAUACGUUGGAGACAUAUCAAGCAUCCCCAAGCCUAAUUCCUGCUCGUCCUCGAGUAAGUAAAUGAUAAAAACAGAAUUUUUGAUGUGGAAUGCUACUUAUCAUAAUUUUCAAUGUAAUUCUUUUUUUUGUGGCAUGAAUAUUUAGAUCCGAAAGAUUCAAGAUAAAAGUUUAAUGUUGACAUAAAAACAAUAAUACUUCAAACAUGCUUACCAAGCAAUUAUGUCUUAUCAAAAUAACAUAGCCAAAGAAAGCUUGUCCCUACAAAAUCAUAUAGUUAGGCCAUGCUUCAAUUUUGUCACACAAAACGUUCUCAUCAUGCAUAACCCCGAUGACAAGCCGAGCAAUUGGUUCAUACUUUUUAACGCGCUUCAACCUUUUCAACCCUUACGCAAUACAUGAGCGCAAGCCAUGGAUAUAGCACUAUGGGUGGAAUAAAGUAUAAUGAUGGGGGUUAUGUGAGAAGACAAAAAGGCAGAAAGUCUCACAUUGACGCGGCUAAUCAAUAGGCUAUGUUGAUGCCCAUUAAUUGAUGUCAAUGUGAGGAGUAGGGAUUGCCAUGCAACGGAUGCACUAGAGUUAUAAAUAUAUGAAAGCUCAACAAAAGAAACUAAGAGGGUGUGCAUCCAACUUGCUUGCUCACGAAGACCUAGGGCAUUUUGAGGAAGCCCAUCAUUGGAAUAUACAAGCCAAGUUCUAUAAUGAAAAAUUCCCACUAGUAUAUGAAAAUGACAACGUAGGAGACUCUCUAUCAUGAAGAUCACAGUGCUACUUUGAAGCACAAGUGUGGAAAAAGGAUAGUAACAUUGUCCCUUCUCUCUUUUUCUCUUAUUUUUUUCUUUUUUUUCUUGGCCCUUCUCGUUUUUUUUCUUUGGCCUCUUUUUUUCUCUUUUUUUUAUUUAGUCUGGAAUCUCAUCCCGACUUGUGGGGGAAUCAUAGUCUCCAUCAUCCUUUCCUCACAUGGGACAAUGCUCUAAUAAUGAUGAUCAUCACACUUUUAUUACUUACAACUCAAGAAUUACAACUCUAUGUGAAUGCCUCCGGCGGUGUACCGGGAUAUGAGUCUAUGUGAAUGCCUCCGGCGGUGUACCGGGAUAUGCAAUGAAUCAUGAGUGACAUGUAUGAACCAUUAUGAAUGGUGGCUUUACCACAAAUACGAUGUCAACUACAUAAUCAUGCAAAGCAAUAUGACAAUGAUGAAGCGUGUCAUAAUAAACGGAACGGUGGAAAGUUGCAUGGCAAUAUAUUUCGGAAUGGCUAUGGAAAUGCCAUGAUAGGUAGGUAUGGUGGCUGUUUUGAGGAAGAUAUAAGGAGGUUUAUGUGUGAUAGAGCGUAUCAUAUCACGGGGUUUGGAUGCACCAGCGAAGUUUGCACCAACUCUCAAGGUGAGAAAGGGCAAUGCACAGUACCGUAGAGGCUAGAAAAUUGUGGAAGGGUGAGAGUGCGUAUAAUCCAUGGACUCACAUUAGUCAUAAAGAGCUCAUAUUCUUAUUGCAAAAGUUUAUUAGCCCUCGAAGCAAAGUACUACUAUGGAUGCGCCUAGAGGGAUAGAUUGGUAGGAAAAGACCAUCGCUCGUCCCCGACCGCCACUCAUAAGGAAAGCAAUAAAAGAACACCUUAUGCGUCAAAUUUGUCACACAACUUUUACCAUACGUGCAUGCUAUGGGACUUGCCAACCUUAACACAAGUAUUUCUCAAUUUCACAAUUACUUAACUAGCACACUCUAAUAUUACCACCUUUAUAUCUCAAAACACUUAUCAAGUAUCAAACUUCUCAUAAUGUUCAAUGAACUCAAUAUGGAAGUUUUUAUUGUACUCAUCUUUGAUGCCUAUCAUAUUAGGACUAAUUUCACAAUUAAAGCAAAUUACCAUGCUGUUUAAGACUCUCAAAUAAUAUAAGUGAAGCAUGAGAGAUCAAUAUUUUCUAUAAAAUAAAACCACCGCCAUGCUCUAAAAGAUAUAAGUGAAGCACUAGAGCAAAAACUAUAUAGCUCAAAAGAUAUAAGUGAAGCACAUAGAGUAUUCUAAUAAAUUCCGAAUCAUGUGUGUCUCUCUCAAAUGGUGUAUACAGCAAGGAUGAUUGUGAUAAACUAAAAAGCAAAGACUCAAAUCAUACAAGACGCUCCAAGCAAAACACAUAUCAUGUGGUGAAUAAAAAUAUAGCCCCAAGUAAAGUUACCGAUAGACGAAGACGAAAGAGGGGAUGCCUUCCGGGGCAUCCCCAAGCUUAAGCUUUUGGUUGUCCUUGAAUUUUACCUGGGGGUGCCUUGGGCAUCCCCAAGCUUAGGCUCUUUCCAAUACUUGUUCCAUAGUCCAUCAAAUCUUUACCCAAAACUUGAAAACUUCACACACUACAAGAAAUAUGUCAACUUGUGACCCUCACUAUUGGCCGCUGAAAGGUUAUAGUUUUUCAUUUGCGACCUUUUUGUGACAAAAAACAGAAGGUCAAAAGCUGGCAGUCGUAAACUAAAAUUAGCGACCUUCUCUCUGAGAAGGUCGUAGACGUUUACGACCAAAACAGAAGGUCGUUGAACCCAUGACCUUUUGUUUUGGUCACCGACUCUCUACCCAGGCCACGUCGGAUCCGACGUGGCAAUCCGACGUGGCAAAAUUGCGACCAAUUGAGAAGGUCGUUGAUAAGAUUCAGCCCGGUCCGAUUGGGUGUUUUACAUGGGCCAGGCCCAACAAUUUGGCCUUUUUAUAUUAUUGUUUCUUAAUAAUUUUGGUCAGCUAUAUGGGCCAGGCCCAACUAUUCAGCCUUUUUAAUUUCUGGGCCAUUACUAUUAAUUUUCUAUUUUCAGCCAUAUUAUUUUUGUGCCGGUCCCACUAGUCAGAUUGGUCCCACUUGUCAUGUUGAUAUCGCAAUUGGACCCACAUGUAAAAAAAUUCAAAAUUUGUCAAACAAUUUUCAUAAGUGGGUCCCCCUGGUCAGGUUUCCAUUUCAUAGGUAUUGAAAUUAUAUGCACAAUCAAUAUUUCAAACAGACUAUAGAGCAAAUGAAAUUCAUCCAAAACAACACUAAAUGUUGCAAUACACAAUAUGCUACUCUGACUAAUAUUACACUCCUGAUAUUACAAUACAUAAUAUGCUACUCUUGCUGAUAGGCUUCACGGCUUCACACUUCAUACUUCACCUAUGCAAAAAAAGAAGAAGAAUAAGAACGUGUAGACAGCAUCAAACAUAGCUUAUAAGCAAGAAUUGACAAUAAGCUCACUUUAACAACACAAGAUUUUGAUAUAUUUUUACAGUUCAUGAGGUCAGCUGACUAUUAACGGCUUUCCCAUAGAUUACAAACAAUUAUGUGUACAAGGCAAUUCAGCAUUUAAGUUGGAAGGUGUUCAAUAGCAAAAUAGAACAUGAUAUGUACUAAAAAACUUGAACUGGCAAUACGCAACUAAAUUGGCUGUUACAACAAGCAUGACAUGACAACAUCUGCUUGAUAGAUUUGAUUAAAUGUGUAUGAAGCAGCAGCACGCAUAGACAAUGGUAGUAUAUAUGAAGGAUUAUAGAUUGCAUAACUAGUCAACUAAUCUUCCAUCUAUAUUUCUAUCAGCAGCACACUAGAUAGGCCACACAUUUAUUCCUACAGUACAAUGAGGUAAAAACAGAUUAUGGUGCCUGCCAAGUGAGGUAAAAAUAGAUUAUCAGCAGCACACUAGAUAGGCCACACAUCUAUAUUUCUAACAACAGCACACUAGAUAGGCCACACAUUUAUUACAUUUACAUGGUGGUGGCUGGCUGACAAUCAUGGCUGCUAGCUCAUGCUGCCAGCAUGCGUGCACUUCUCCCCGCCGGAACCAACCCAACCCAAACGAAGUAACAGUAGCAAACCACACAUGUACUAGUAAACUUCAGUAUGAAACAGUUUCUCGCCGAAAGAAACUACCAAAGCAUUUCCAAGAAUUUCGAAGAAACCACCUCAAGUCAAUACAGCCAAGGAUAUUAUUUUCCACAAGCAAAAAACUAUGGUUCAGCUCCCACAUGGGCAUGGGGUUUUUUGGGUUUCAAGACACAAAUCACAGAACUGGAUGGGCAUAUAGAAGGUACAUUGUGAAUAUACAGUAUCAACCUGCUGGAGUUACUUGUCCUUAGUGAUGAGCAGAUGCUUCCUCCUUGGGCUUGGUCAUCCGGACAGCCAAAAAAACAAGCAACUGUAAGAAGAUGGAUUGAUGGUAAAAAGAGUGAAGAAUUGUGAUUCAAUGAACAGAAAAGCAUAUGUACAUUAUAAUACUGCAGACAAGAAAAUAAUAAUCCUAAUAUGAAGAUAAUUGUUUUUCUUAUUGAUGGCUGUAAGAUGGACUGAUGGUAAAAAGAGAGAAGAAAUGUGAUUCAGUGAACAGAAAACAAGACGUUAUUAUUCAGCAGUGAUACUCGAUAUUUGACAAGUAUGGUUUCAUGUAUACAAGUUAGGCAGAGCAAUGUACAAGAUAAAUCGUUUUAUAUAAAGCGUGUCCAAUCAAUAUCCAAAAUGCUAUCGAUCAGAGCAUAGAAACAGAGUCCCAAAAAUCUAAUUAGCUGCUGCGGCGACAGCCACGCGCCAUGCCGGCAGCGGCAGGCUGGGGUGAGGGUUGGGGAUGACGCAAGUGUUCCCAGGUUAUUAACAGAGAAACUGGGUGAUUAACAUCUCUCAAAAAAGAAAAAAAACAACUUAAUAUAUUGACUGCGGCAACAACAUCUACUUGUUACUGGAGUCCCAGUUCAAGAUGGCCAGAGGCCACUUGGUACCAUGGAACCUGCACAAUUUCCAUCAUAUAUAUGAAUGAGUUAGGAAGUAAAGUAGAGUUGAACUACCCAGCCUCAUACAUAUAUAUAUAAAGUGUGAUGCACUACUGCUACAGGAAGUUUCAUAGGCUUUCAAGUGAAGGGAUACACGUUGUUCAACUAUCGUGUUUAUUUUUUGUUGUUGGGGAAAGCAAUAGCUUAAUCAAUCCACUUCUCUAAAAGUAUGAACAGCCUAUCACUCAAACAGUCCUUGAGUGCUAAUAUAGUAUUGUAUUGGUAAAAAAACAUGUCACCACGAAGAGCUUUAACAGUUAGCACCAUUUUUUAUUAGAGAAGUUUAGAGAGAGAUUUGAGAAAUCUAUAUUAGAGAAAACUUCAGUGCAUACAGAAAUUCUCUCAAGUCUCAUUGCAAAUAUCAAGUGCAUACAGAAGCUUUGAUUUGAGUGGGAAUGGUAUGAAAGGGGCAUAUAAGGACAAUAUACCCAAGAGUUGCAUAUCUAUAUAGAAAUGAUGUUGAUCACAUAAGUAAAUAACAGUGAAUGACAAACGAUCUGCACUUAAGAUCGCACACACACCAACCAGCACCAAAAAAGUAAAGGGUAAAUAACAAUCUCACACUAUUGUCACUAGUGCACAGUUCUUCAUAGAAGAAACACUGCCUAAUACAUACCUACCUAGGAAAUCAAAACAUUGUAGGAAUAGGUAUAUCCAUAUAUUUUGAAGAUGAACAACAACAAAGUGAUAUACUUACACGCACACAUGCAGUUUUAAUUAAUUAAAUGAGUAGGCAACAAAUGCAAUUGGAAAUCUAGGGGCAGGAGGUAGUGAGAGCAACACAUGAGGGAUCGUCAAGAUGUAGGGGAUGUAGGUGUCUCACUUGGUUUCAAAAUAAGAUGCACACAAAGACAACCACAUAAAUAUAGCAGUGCAUAGUACUGAGGAAAACAGGGACAUCUCUUUGCCAACAUGUAUAAUUCGGAGCAGCAAUAGCGAGCAGAGGAAGAUGAGAGGGAGAUGGAGAUGCUACCUGUCGUGGUGGGUCGGCGUGGACGUGCUUGAGCUCGGGGCAGGACCUCUUGGUCGCCCUAGGAGCAGAGCAGCAAACCCCUCAUGGCCCUCCUGCUCGCGAUGCCGUAUAAGCCCGCCACCUAAGAAUAGCAAAAUAUGAGUCUGAACCAGGAUAUGGAUUCAGCAACAAUAACCAUCGUUAACAAGCACACUUCCUUUCAUGUAGGUUUAAAAUAUAAACAAACUCAUGAUUCACUUAUAUAUGAUAAAACAGAACAUAUGGUUCAGUUAUAGUCAUACCACCUAUACAAAGAUCAGGCAAAGAUAUAUUUUGACCUGAGGACCAACAUGUCUGCCUCAGCAACUAUCUAAAAUUAUCAAAUAUGCCAACAAUUAUUUAUUGAUGCUUCCCACUAAGCUUCAUUAGCUACAGGUGAAAUGAUGAGAGGUCCAGGAAGAGCUAACACCUCAUAUAAUCAACACACAAUGAUAAUAAUAAUAAUUAAAAGGAGAGAACCUACCAGAUAAAGCACGCAAUUUCAUCUCUAUCCGUUUGUGAAAAGGAUCGUUCAAGCCUUCCGAAUUCUUAUUCUGAAUUUUUUUAAAUCUACCCUCGGAUAAGACAACUUGACGGGUCCUGAUAAACCUAAACAUAUGGGAUAUAUAACAGUUUAUUUUUGCAUAUAUAUAUAUAUAUAUAUAUAUAUAUAUAUAUAUAUAACAGUUUGUACCCAAGUGGAGAAUUAGCAGAGAGAUAAAUGGAUGGGUUAAGUGUGUGUCAGUAGCAACCUCUAGCGACUUGUACCCAAGUAAGAUAUACUGACUUAAUCUCUCUGAUUCUUAGAUCUAGUCCUGCUCGUGUUUCGGUACCAUGCGUAGAGACGUGACACGACAGACUUGCUGCUGCUCCGGGCGGAAACUCAUUCACCUCAGCACCCUGCAACCCUGAGGAAGUUGUCGUAGGGGCUUGACGCCGGCAGCUUCAGGAAAUGUUGCUGGAAGGGAUCGUCUGCCGUCUGCGGGUUGCUGGUGUUCAUGUACUCAGGGUAACCCUUGAAGUUGUCAUCGGCGAACGGGUUCGUGCUCUACGCCCCGGCCUGCUUAGACAAAGCCUCGUUGGUUUCAGCAUCUUGCUAAAAUGUAGUACUAACAUGCUUCUCUCAGAUGCGUUGUGAGAGACUGAAGAAUGGUAUGCAGAGUGGAAAUUAUGCUACCUGAGGCAACAGUGGGCAAUGGAAGAGGGCCAGCUCCAUCUGGUUGGGCAGAUGGCAUGGCAGCGGAGCUGCUUGCAUGUUCGUCUGGAAGCUCAUGAAGGUACACAUCAGUCUUGAGGUCCACUCGCGGACGGCGGGGUCGAUCACGUCCUUGUACACCUUGUCCUGCCCUUGCAAAUACACCUCCUGCACCCACCCACACACACAUUCAUUCAUUCAUUCAGCAGCAUCACCAAGUGUGUGCAUGCGUAUGGAGCAGAGCAGAGGAGAGGAUUCAUGGAGGAGUACCUGCCAUCCGAAUGGGUAGACGAAGGAGUAGCCGGCCUUCUUGUCGAUGACCGGCAUGAACUUGCCGUCCGCCGCCGCGACUGCGUAGUACCUUUGUUGGGGCUGGCCUCCGCCAUGGCCCUGAUGGUGGCGGAGAGCAGCCUCCGCGCCGGCGUCUUGGCGGUCGGGGAAGGGAGGCCGAGGCCAUGGCCGUGGAGGGACCUCGUCGCCGGCGAGCACGAUGGAGUGCGGGCACUUGGUCCUGUCCUCCUCAUCUACCGGGUCCGGCAGGGACGCGCCCCCGAGGGCGUACAUGUCGGCGAAGAUGCGGGCCCCAGCGGCAGCGGCCUCGGCAGCGACCUUGCGGAGUGAGCCGCCGGCGCGGGAGGAGUUGAGGCGGCCGAGGUCGAGCCCGGAGACGACCCCGACGGCGCCGCCUCGAGGGCCUCCCGGUGCGCGCGCACGGAGGGCCGUGCUGGCGCGCCCCGCCUGCCAGCCGCCUCAUAGACGUGCAUCAGCGGUUGGAUCUGGAUGGGGAUGGCCGUGUGGCUGUGGUGUAGCGAGCAGAGGUGGUGACGGCGAUGGGGAAAAGGGAGCGGGAGCGGCAGCACCGAAGGGGAUAAGGGAUCUAGGGUUUCGUGGGUGGAUGAGGAUGAGAGGGACAUGGGGUGAGAGCGACGAGGGAGGUGUGGGCCGCUAGAUCCGGGUGCAUCCCACGGUGCUUAACGCAUGAUCCGCGUGACAUGAUUUUGGACCAAUCAGAACGCAUUAUCUCCUUUGAUGAGGUUAAGACCAUUUAAAUUGGUCAUAAUAAUUGAUUGAAAAUAAGUUGUUAAAUCAUGUAUGCUAUUUGAUGGCCUAGAAAUUUAUAUAAAAGUAAAUAGAAAUAAAAAACCUUCGCAUUGUGUCACCAAGUGUGACCUACUUUUCAGUAAAAAUAACAAACUUUGAAUAAUGCAAAUAUCAUUAAAAAAGUGUUCUCAUAAAUGAGUUUUUUGUAAGAUAAUCAUUUCUCGAGUGCCCAAAAUAAGCUUUUUUUGUGAAGGACCUACCAAAUAUUUGUUGCAAAAUUGUACCAAAUCAAUUUUCUAAAAUACUAGGACAUAUUUAAUGCACAAUUGACCAAAUGGUUGGGUGUCAAAAGUUUUGAUCCACCUAUUGUGAAAAAGACAAAUUUCUGCCGAUUUAGUAGGAAGCGGGUCAAAUUUGAACUGCAGCUGCCUCAUCGUUUGCUCUUUAUUUUUUCCAAAAAUCAUUUCUAGGUACAUAACUAUCUAUUUAAUCAUAGAAACAUCAAUUUUUUUCCAAGAUUCAACAACUAGCUAGGAACGGUCAAGCCCGCAGUUUUGACCGCAUUUUGAAACGGGCAUAAAAAAUUCAAAAAAAUCAAAAAAUUGAAAAACAUUCGCAUUGUGUCAUUAUAUGUGACCAAGUUACCAAGAAAAAUAAUAAACUUGUAAUACAAAAAAUAUUUUAAAAAAGUGUUCUCAGAAAUGAGCUAUCAUGCGUGAAGAUUCAUGGCUUUCAAGCCAAAUGAUCAAUCUUAUGGCCACAUUCAUGGCAUAGUUUGUUUUGUUGACCUCAUAUUGUGCACAAGGGUGCAUCUUGGAAUGACAAACAAUGUUGCCUAAGGAAGUUAUCAUUUUCUUUGCACGAAAAAAUCAUUUUCCAUUUUUUGAGUGCCCAAAAUGAGCUUUUUUGUGAAGGACCUACCCAAUAUUUGUUGCAAAAUUGUACCAAAUCAAUUUUAUAAAAUACUAGGACAUAUUUAAUGCACAAUUGACCAAAUGGUUGGGUGUCAAAAGUUUUGAUCCACCUCUUGUGAAAAAGACAAAUUUCUGCCGAUUCACGAGGAAGCGGGUCAAAUUUGAACUGCAGCUGCCUCAUAGUUUGCUAUUUAUUUUUUCCAAAAAUUAUUUCUAGGUACAUAAGUAUCUAUUUAAUCAGAGAAACAUCAAAACUUUUCCAAGAUUCAACCACUAGUUAGGAACGGUCAAGCCCGCCGUUUUGACCGCAUUUUCAAACGGGCAUAAAAAAUUCAAAAAAAUCAAAAUAUUGGAAAACCUUCGCAUUGUGUCAUUAUAUGUGACCAAGUUACCAGUAAAAAUAAUAAACUUGUAAUACGGAAAUUAUUUUAAAAAAGUGUUCUCAGAAAUGAGCUAUUAUUUCAAGCCAAAUGAUCAAUCUUAUAGCCAUAUUCAUGGCAUAGUUUGUUCAAAUGAUCUCAUAUUGUGCACAAGGGUGCAUAUUGGAAUUCCAAACAAUGUUGCCUAAGGGAGUUAUCAUUUUCUUUAAACAAAAAAAUCAUUUUCCAUUUUUUGAGUGCCCAAAAUGAGCUUUUUCUGUGAAGGACCUACCAAAUAUUUGUUUGCAAAAUUUUACCAAAUCAAUUACCUAAAAUGCUAGGAUAUAUUUAAUGCACAAUUAACCAAAUGGUUGCGUGUCAAAUGUUUUGAUCCACAUCUUCUGAAAAAGACAAAUUUCUGCCGAUUUAGGAGGAAGCGGGUCAAAUUUGAACUGCAGCUGCCUCAUAGUUUGCUAUUUAUUUUUUCCAAAAAUUAUUUCUAGGUACAUAAGUAUCUAUUUAAUCAGAGAAACAUCAAAAGUUUUCCAAGAUUCAACCACUAGCUAGGAACGGUAAAGCCUGCCGUUUUGACCGCAUUUUGAAACGGGCAUCAAAAAUUCAAAAAUAAUCAAAAAAUUGGAAAACCUUCGCAUUGUGUCAUUAUAUGUGACCAAGUUACCAGUAAAAAUAUUAAACUUGUAAUACGAAAAUUAUUUUAAAAAGUGUUCUCAGAAACGAGCUAUCACGUGUGGAGAUCAAUGGAUUAAUUUCAAGCCAAAUGAUCAAUCUCAUGGCCACAUUCAUGGCAUAGUUUGUUCAAAUGAUCUCAUAUUGUGCACCAGGGUGCAUAUUGGAAUGGCAAACAAUGUUGCCUAAGGAAGUUUUCAUUUUCUUUGGACGAAAAUACCAUUUUCCAUUUUUGGAGUGCCCAAAAGGAGGUUUUUUUCUAAAGGACCUCCCAAAUAAUUGUUGCAAAAUAGGACCAAAUCAAUUUUCUAAAAUACUGGGACAUAUUUAAUGCACAAUUGACAAAAUGGUUGGGUGUCAAAAGUUUUGAUCCACCUCUGGUGAAAAAGACAAAUUCCCGUCGAUUCAAGAGGAAGCGGGUCAAAUUUGAACUGUAGGUGCCUCAUAGUUUGCUCUUUAUUUUUUCCAAAAAUCAUUUCUAGUUACAUAAGUACCUAUUUAAUCAUAAAUACAUGGUUUGGUGGCGAUACGUCGAGGUUUGGACGGUGGCCGAGGGCCCCAACUCUAGAGCACGUAAACUCGCAUGCCUGCCGCGUGGUCACCGCGUGACCGUGGCGUUGCCAUGUGUUCUGGGUGGCCUAGGCAUGUCUAGUGGGUUGGGCACUCCCCAGGUAGGUGCUAGGAAGAAAAUCACAACAUAAGAUUCUCACGAGGAGACCGAUCGAUGCUCAAACAUGAAUAAGCAGCCAAGUGUUUGAUUAGCGGUAGAGGAAAUGCAUAUGGCUAAUGGGCGUGAGUUUUGGCCGAGGAUGAUCAGUUACUAAGAAGACCGUCUUCACAAAUUUUCAGCUCAAAAGGAGGAGCCUAGGUGGUACUUGCUUUGCAAAGUACCACACUGGACAUAAAUACGAAUGUUGAAGCUGGGCUCAAAAUAAUGAAUGGAAAGCUGGCAUUUGGUGGAGGAUGGUUAUUUGGGCGUAGGAAAGCAUUGUAGAAAAUGGAUACCAUUUGGACAUGCCAAAGUGGUACUUCCUUCACAAAGUGUUUUUCUGAACAGAAUAGGAAAAUGAAUAUUUUUGAAUUAUUUUUGAACUAGGCAAGGAAGGUUUUUACAUAUUUGACGAAGAUAUGACCCAAAGAAUUUAUGAGAUUUUUUGGGAAUUUUGGGAAUGACAGAAAUAUAGGUUGCUUCACAACCUAGGGCAAAAACUGCCACAUGUACAUGACACAUAGGCAAAACUGAUGAGGUGGCGCCUAGUCAUAGCAACCCACCACAAUUUACAAGGUUAUGACCAUCUAUAUUGGUCAUGAUCAGCUAGAAAUAAGGCAGCGGACCAGUGCUAUCUGCUUUAUAACCAUUUCGUGUAAGGAAAUUAUGACCUUUCUGACCAAAAUGGUCGUUAUAGUUUAGGGUUUGGAGCCCCCCGAACAGCUUUUCACCAAUUGGUCUCAAAUGGUCAUAGAUCUAUGACCAAUUCUUCCAGGGUCACUGACAGAAGGUCACUAGUUGACAUAUUUCUUGUAGUGACAACACACAACUCAACAGAAAAUCUCAUGAGCUCCGUUAGCGAAAUAAAACAAACCACCACUUUAAGGUACUGUAUUGAACUCAUUCUUUAUUUAUAUUGGUGUUAAACCCACUGUAUUCCAACUUCUCUAUGGUUUAUUUCUGAUGAAUGCUAGCGUUUCAACUCUUACGACGAAGGGUGCCAAACAUGGCACGUGCUGGAUGUCCCACACGUCAGCGAAAGGAGUGGGACAUGAACAGCGUGGUAGAGCCCAGCGUAAAAAAACAGCGUGGUAGAGCGUCUCCACUUCUUCCACUUCUGGGUCGGAGACCACACAUAGUAGUACUUAGUGGUAUGAACGAUACAAAGUGCGACCUGGAGAGAAAGACACGUCUAGUUGGAAGGUCUCGGGGCAUACACGUAAACAAAUAUAAAAGUUAAUAUGUGCCUCCAACUAAUAUAGUAGUAGUAGAGUACUUAGGCACGUACUCCAUAACAUCACCGUGCAUUGCACGUACAACAUUUAGUGGUAGUACGUAGUAAGAGACAAAUGCCGCCCAAGAGUUCCCUUCUCGACCUACUUUUGGGUGUUUGGUAGAGUGUAUGGAGGGUGCAAGAGUCCACACUAGUUUAGCACAAAUACACUAGAAGCAUGCAUGAAGAGAGCAUGCAUGAAGAGGGGUGUUGAGUUGAGCAUGCAUGAAGGGGGAACAACUAUGCUGAGACGAGAACGCAACCAAACAAACCCUAUAUGCCACACAUGUUCAUACCAUUUGUGCCUUUCUACUUCACUUACUGCGCUACAUUACUCAGGUUCGUACGUCCACUCCUGGGUACAUAUCCGUCUCGUAGUUCCAGUCCCAUGUGUUCUUCAUAUAGAUGGAAUGAUCCUUGCAUAACACGUGCACCUUGAUGCUAGAUGUCUCACGUGUUGGCAAAAGGAUGAACAAAGCUCACGUAAAAAAAAUAGAGUGGAAGAACAUAGAUUCCGGAUGACCGAGAAGGAGCAAGGAACCUCGUGGUGGAGCGUCUGCACUCAUAAUAUUAAUAUUAUUCAGCGAUAUAAAAUUAACCAAUCAUCACCACAGUGGACUGGAAGAGUACGAAACACGGCAGCCCAGUGUAGUUACAUCAUACUAGUACAUGGCUAACCCACGCUAUCACCAUAUUUCUUGGCUUCCUUGCGACACCUAUCUCUAGUAAUCCAGCAGCCUGUAUCGCUUCUCCCUCCUCGUCUUUAUCAAAGUGCGGCGGGCUGGCGUUUCUGCCGUCUAUUGAGGUCGGUUAACUAUCACAUGUUAGCGACAUGCCAAGAGCAUUCUAAAAAAAAUUUCUUUCACGUUCCGUUUUCAAAAACAAAAAAAUCCUUUCACGUACGAAAAUUUGCCUGUAUGCUUUGAGCAACUUGCAUGUCCUAUACUGCUCCUGUUUGAUACUCUAACUUAGCUAGAGGUUAGACUAACUCAUGACUAACCCUGAACUAACUGUAGCCAAAGAGGUGUUUGGGUGACAGGGUUAGAUUUACAAUAAAUGCACGUCAUGGAGAGAGAAAAGUGAUUUUUCAGUGGUCCCAAUGAGAACUAUCUCCAGUUAGCACCUCUUGGGUGGGAUAGUUUUUUUGAUGGGUUCGGUGCAACUUGCUCCAAUUUAAACCCUCAUGCUUGGAUACUUUAGGGCUAUUUGAGCCCCAACUAGCUCAAACUAACUCUAACCCAUGGAUCCAAACAGGGCCUAUGGCCAGUCUCGACGCGGAGCAGUCGCGUACACCGGGAAGCGGCGCUCUCUCGGCCGUCGCGCCACUUCAAAGCCGACGCCAGUGAGAGGUCGCCUCCGCUCUGGCCGGGCAUUAAUGCGGCACUGACGCUCCAGGGCGACGCUGACCGUUUCACGCGGAAAGCGCGCGCUGGCAAGGGAGUAUAGGUUUUGAACCGUUUCAGGUGUAGUACUGGUAGUUUGCAAAACUACUCAAUUAUUGCACUUAGUUUCCUAAGAAAUUGUGGUAAAAAAUGUUACUCCACAACCCGCUUCCCUUCUCCCUCCUCUUCCACCGCCCGCGCACGUCCGCGGGAAGCGACCGGUCAGCCCUUAUAUAGGAGUGCUAGCACAAAAAGAUGCAUGCAUGACCACUAAAAUUUCCAUAUUAAAGCGCCGCUCCGGCGGGAGUAUGGCGUAUGUUGUUACCUUUGGCCGGCCCAUGGCUACCGGGCGACGGCGACCAGAGAAGAGUCGGCGGGAGGGGAAUGAAUGCAGCUACUGUUUGGGUUCGCCUUCCGGCUUAAAUAAAUGCACAGCAUCACGUGUACCCGCGGGUGCACAAAUUGUAACAUACGUGUCUGCUUAAGUGGGCGUCACGUAACUGGUGUGUGUGUGUGAGAGAUUCUGAGAGACAGAGUGCGUGUGUGCGACUCUACUCUUCGGACAUGUACUCAACCUUUUGCAUCGGGAUAUAAGUAUAAUGGUAUUUACUUUAGCUAGUGAUUUACGUGGCCAUGUUAACGUGGUUGUGUCAAAAAAUGUCACUUCCUGCUCGUGAUUUGCGUUAUAUAAUUACAAGCAAGAUUCUCGUGCAUUGCACGGAACAUCAAUAUGCAUUUUUUACAGAACACCUGUUGUGAUUGACCCAUGCAGGAGUAAUCCCAUGUGUAAAAACUAAUGAUAUCUCGAGAAUUUUAUCGGAAAACUGGUAUCUCGAGAAUGUCAUCGAAAAAAUGAAAGAUGAGAGAUAAGGCGAGGAGGAGUGGAGCGUGGUGGUGACUGGUGGUCGGAAUGGGCGGAGGCAUGGGGAUGGACGGCGCCGGCAGGCGGCAGCGGCCACCAUGCAUGCUAGAUUGUUCCAGAGACUUAUUCCUUUUUAAUUGCUGAGCAAUGAGGUUGCGGGAGAUAAUGAUGUGGAGAGAGGUGCAGGUAUCUUUUGUAAAAUUAUCAUAGUUUGCUUUCUAUCCUCAGAUAUAGAUCAUACGGUCUGUAUUACAAGAUGGCAGGCACACCAUCACCGCCAACUCGUUUUUUAUAAGGGUACAGAUGAUAAGUUUGCUAAGUAAAGUGGAAUUUUUCCAUGUUAUGCAAGUAAAUAAAGGUGAUUGUUUAUCAUACGGGUAAGGUUGGAUGAAGGGUGGUAGGAACAAAUGCUCCGCCUAGAGCAUGUGUGUGUGAGAUGGAGUCUUAGUGCGUGUGUGUGGUGUGUGUGUGUGUGUGUGUGAGAGAGGAGAGAGAGAUGGAGUCUUAGUUUGUGUGUGUGUGUGUNNNNNNNNNNNNNNNNNNNNNNNNNNNNNNNNNNNNNNNNNNNNNNNNNNNNNNNNNNNNNNNNNNNNNNNNNNNNNNNNNNNNNNNNNNNNNNNNNNNNNNNNNNNNNNNNNNNNNNNNNNNNNNNNNNNNNNNNNNNNNNNNNNNNNNNNNNNNNNNNNNNNNNNNNNNNNNNNNNNNNNNNNNNNNNNNNNNNNNNNNNNNNNNNNNNNNNNNNNNNNNNNNNNNNNNNNNNNNNNNNNNNNNNNNNNNNNNNNNNNNNNNNNNNNNNNNNNNNNNNNNNNNNNNNNNNNNNNNNNNNNNNNNNNNNNNNNNNNNNNNNNNNNNNNNNNNNNNNNNNNNNNNNNNNNNNNNNNNNNNNNNNNNNNNNNNNNNNNNNNNNNNNNNNNNNNNNNNNNNNNNNNNNNNNNNNNNNNNNNNNNNNNNNNNNNNNNNNNNNNNNNNNNNNNNNNNNNUAGAAGGAGAUUGUUAAGUGUGAGUGUGUGUUUUACCCAUCCAGGCGGAAGUUAUGUGCACAAAAGAGGAGAACGAUUCGAUGUGGCGUUACGAUUGAGGGUAAUUAAACGUAUGGAGACAUAGAGACCUUGAACGUGCAUGUGUGAGAGGUAUACAUGUAUACGUGGGAUGUGUGUGUGUGCGCGCGCGCAUGAUCGAGAUAAAAGAAAGAAGACAUAUGUCAUAAGAUCAACGACAUGGGAGAGACGGAUCGGUAUGACAAUAUGCAUGCAUGUGAGAAUGUAGGGAAGAAGGCCCGACAAUUGAGCAUGUGUUUUUGUCUUUAAGAGAUAGUGGCGUGGGCUGGAGCAUGCAUCUAUGGUGAGCAGAGGGAGUGAGGCGCAACGAUUGUGCAAAAGAGACCAACCUAUAAAUGCAUAUGUAUGGAGAGACAUAUAUAGUGUGGGUGAUAGGAAGCAAGACUCCUUGCGAGAAAGAAAUGUUGACGGAGAAACUACAGAUAGAUACAGAGAUGGAGAUGCUAGCUAGAGGGACAUCCGCUAGUUUGGGUGUUGGAGAUGACCGUCGGGUGGUUCAAAGGGUGAAGUUAUAUAUGUGUGUGAGAGGGCACUUGACUGCAUGUAGAGAGAAACAUAUGUAGUGUGCGUGAUAGGAAUCAAGAGUGAGGGCGAGAAACAAGGUUGAUGGAGAAACAGAUAAAUAGAAAGAUAAAGAUGCUAGCUAGUGUGCGUUAGAGAUAGGAGUCGAGUGGAUCAGAAGGCUGGGUUAUGUGUGUGGGUGUGAGAGAGAUAGAGAGAGGGUGCAUGUGAGUCACACACAAACAGAUAUCAGAGAGAAAUGAGAUCCAGAGAGACGGAGUUUUGUGUCUGCGAGAGAGAAAGAUAUUUCAAAACGAGAGUGAUAGCUAGAGAGACAUACGAGGGAACGCAAGAUAUCUCUAGGGAGAGAGGGUGUGUGUGAGCGACAUACAAGAGAACAAGGGAGAAAUAUGAGACCCUGGGAGACAGAGUUUGUGUUUGUGUGUGAGAAAGAGAUAUUGAAGAGGAAGAGUCGUAGGUUCUCAUAUCUAAGGAGCGAAAGACAUCUCUGUAUGAGGGGUGUGCGAGUGGCACACAUGGGAAUAGUAGAGAGAAAUGAGACCCCGGGAGACAAAGUUUUGUGUUUAUGUGAGAGAAAGAGAUUCCACAUGGAGAAUCACAGUUAGAGACACAUAGCAGGGAGCGAGAUAUACUUAGAGAGAGAUAGAGUGAUGAAGGUCGAGGGAGAGAGUACCGUCAGUGUGUUACGAAGAUAAAAGAUCAUUGUCGACAUACAGGUAGCACGAGAGAUACCUGAGAGACGAUGAACGCGUAUAGGUCCAGAGAGAUAGUCCUAUAUAAGCAUGAGUGAUAGCUAUAUGAGACGAAUAUCUGGAUUAAAGGGGAUUCAAAUAUUUAAACUGGAGAUCACGACAUCGAUAAUAUCAUAACGCAAAUUGGUGUAUCAAACAUGCAUAUUCAUUUGAAUUUGGGCACACGUGUAAUGUUAUAUAGUUUAUCAAUAUUGGUGAUCCAUAGAUUCUUCAAUUACAAACAAUGCAUGGUUUAUAUGCAAUUAAUGUCUAAACGGGAUUACACUAUAUGUUGCGUGUGUGAAACACAUUAUACAUGUUUGAGAAGUAAAAAAAGCCCGCAUGAAACACACAUUAAUUGGAAACAGUUAGCGAGGAAUGCAUACAUUGGAUUUCAACAUAAAGUGGUUUCAAAUAUUUGAAAAUCCAAAAUGAUGGAUACAACCUUAUGAAUCUGAGAUCAUGCCAUUUUUAAACCAUAUUUAUGUAUAAAUGGUGUUGUGCUUUUGAAAGUAUAUAUAAAAAAAUGAUGUAUAUAGAAUGUAAUUCCAAUUGAAAAUGGAUCCUGCCCGAAAGAAAAAUAGAAUACAAACAGGAUUCGAAUUGAGUUGGCACGGUAAACGUGCACUCUGCAAAAUUUGAACGAAGCGGGGAAAGUCGCAGUGACCGCCCGAAACCAAAAUAUGCGAGAUGGAAAUCACUACUGCCUAUCCCUGCCACGCAAAGCCUAUCUGCUGGAUUUCUAUAGGUUUCGAUAGGGGUAGGUUUGUAAUUUCAACCAAACGUGACGUAACCGCCUCUCACCCGGAUUCAUACACGGUGGGCGCCAAAACACAGUGUGUCCUCGGCCAAAAUCGACUCCCUCCCCGAUUCAUAUUCAUACUCGAUGGGCGCCAAAAACAAACUCUCGUCGACAAAUAUUCGGUGUAUGCGAGAUUACCGUCCUAUCCCCAACUGACUAAUGUUGCUGUGAUGUAGCAGAAAUUUGAAACGAGGGCUAAGUUUGUAAAUUUCCUCGCAUGGUUCCCCCCUUCCUCUCUACCUCCCUUUUCCCCAUUCGUACUCCGUGGAUGCCAAAACACCCUCUCCACCCCACCCUCCUCCGUCCGCCGCCGUCCGCCACCCCAUCCACCGCCGUCCUCCUCCACCAUGCCGGAGCUGAUACCUCGACGCCGCCGUCCAUUACAAGAGAUCGACCUCUCUCAUCCACGGCUUCGGACCGGGAUCCUUGCAUCCCGUCCUCUCGCUUCAUCCCCGCCGUCGUCCACCUUGCCGGCGCCGCUCCUACGACCGUCUCGUCCACUGCGCCCCGCCGCCACCGUCUACCCUACUAGAUCUGCUUCCACGCCACCGACAGCCAUCGCUACCGCAGCACCGUCAAAUUCUCAGCAGAUGCGUACACGGCGCCGCACCAGAGGCGGUACUCUUUCGUAUCGGCUCAACUUAUUUAUCGCAGCAAGAAAAUAGAUCGCCACUUCUUUACUCUGAUUUCUUGUCUUGGUUGCAAAGUUGCCUUUGUCCGGUUUGCACCUUCAGAUCCGCCAUGGCACGCUCAACACUAUACUCCCAAUGCUUAUGGUUUUCCCCUUUUAUAUUCCACACUAGUUAAAUCACAGUAGACUAAAUUUCAAAAUUGGGUCAGUCAAUUUUUCAGAGCUCGCCGGUGCGAUCGAAGGGGCUCGGGUGGUUGUGGGGCCUCGCUGAACAAAGAAAACUCGACGCGGGUGGGGGUUGGGGCGGGGGUGGGGGUGGGGGUGGCGGAGGAGCACAUGCGGUGGGGGCUGGUGGUCCGGCCGGCGGCCCGUGCGGUGUUCUGUAUGGGAAGAAUCAGAGACGAUGAAGAAGAAGGGUUAGGAGACGUAGGAUCUUCAUCCAACCGCCUGAAAUGGUCGAGAGACAGCUGGGAGUUGCAUUCUUAAUACGCUCUGGUUCAUCAUGUGUGGGCACUGCGCAACCAACAUUUUAUUAUCCAAAAUCUGCUUGCUCUUCUUUACCAUGUUCCUCUUCCGUUCUUCUUUAAUAUGUACUCUCUCCAUUCCUAAAUACAAGUCUUUGUAUAGAUUCCACCAUGGACUACAUAUGGAGCAAAAUGAGUGAAUCUACACUCUAAAAUGUAUCUGGAUACAUCUGUAUGUGAUCCAUAGUGGAAAUCUCUACCAAGACUUAUAUUUUGGAACGGAGGGAGUAUGAUAGUAGUACAGUAUGUUCCUUGUACUGAAGAUGAGCAGGGACAUUUGCAGUGUAGAGGUCUAUACGGUCGGUUGUGAUGGACACUUUGAGCCUCUUUGAUUCGUAGGAUCUUGUAAACAUAGGAAUAGGAUUUGUAGUGGCCUGCCCACUUGAAUCCUAUAAGAAUAGCAAGGAAAUGCGGGGAGCUGUGUCGCCUUUGAGAGUUACACUGAUAUUAACAGUACCGCACCUUCACUUGAAGAGAGCUGGUAUCCGAAGCCUUUCUAGCCGUACCGGCAAUACUAGCACAUAUAUUCCAGCAAGUUCCACUUUGCUGAUUUUACUCUGAUGCUUAAGGUUUUCCCGUUAUAUCUACACUAUGAUUUGUGUAGCUGCUUUGUGUCGCACUAGCAGCAGUCCACUCUUGAAGCUAAACACUGCAAUGACUUACAAAAUUGGCACCAAGGUAUUGAGUGCCAUUCUGGAUGCAAUGAAACUCAUACGCUCCCCACCUGUUGAUUCUUGUUUAGAAUAUGAUCCUAAUGACUAUUCUAACCUCGAGGAGUCAAAGGCAGAUGGCCUGUCCUGUUCACCCAUCAAGGUGCCUGUUCUAAUUUGGCAAUGUUUUAUUGAUUGCGGGUAUCUUGCAUAUGUUGUCUUGCAUUUCUUCUACUUUAUUGCACCGCCAUCUGCUUAGUUUACUAAUCAUAUAUGUCGAGAUGCCAUGCCCAUCCAUUAUCAAUACAUAUUCCAUCUGUCAUCAUACCAUGUUUUUCCCCUCAAAUGCUGUUCUUGUGCAUCAGACAUCAAAAAGGAAGAGGGUGAUUGCCGAACCUGAGGAGCACCAGCAAAGUCCUUGAAAAACAUGGUGGUGCCGGAGAAAUCAGACAACACCCCACUUAUAUUGGCUGUACAACCAGUGACACAAAACGUAGGACCGACUCUAGCAGACUGUACCCAUACUUCACUGGCCACACCACUAGCCCCACCGCACAGGACCUGCAGUCCAGCAAAAGGUAUACCGAUUUCAUUUGCCAUAGCACCAGCUGUACCACAGAAAAAUCCCACUCCAGCAAAAAGUACAGCAAGUCCACCGGCCGAAGACCAAUCCCAACUGCAGAGACAGCCAAUUCCUGCAGAUUGGAAUCCCAUUCCAUUUAUUCCCAGUUUAAAAGACAAUGCUUUCAAUGUUGUUAGGGACUACGUGCAUAUAUUCCCAUCAUGGGAAGAUUAUUGUGAAGACAAACACCAUUUUCACAUCUUCCUGUCCAACUUACGUGUAAGUGCUAUUAUUCAUGGUUAUUAUUUUCCUGUUUUCUGCUGAUUGAACACGUCAAUGAUUUACAUUACAUUGUUGUAACUAGGCGAGGGUCAAUCUGGAUAGUCAGGACGAGCAAAGCUUGCUUGUGCUUUUCAAGGAAGCAUUGCAGCAGUAUCGGUGUUACCUGAGGAAAUCACACUUUGAUGGCAAGUCUAUAAACGAAUUUCCGGUGAAGUCUCCUGUGCUAAAUUUAGAAGACAUUGAAUGGAAAAACCUUGUUAUGCACUGGUCUCGUUCCUAGGAUGAGGUACUGUCUAUGAAAUCACAUGACAAUUUGAACUUCUACUUUUCCGCAUGUGCCUUACGGAUCUUUUUUGCAGGAAAUCUGCUCGAAGAAGAAUUCCGGUUUGACAAGAACGACAGGAUAUCGCAAAUAUGCUGCCCGCUGCUUUGCUCUUGUUAGUACCUGUUGUCCUGUAUCACUGUACUUGCAUACAUACCUGGUUCAUUAUGUGACAGCAGUAUGCAUGAUAGCUUGCUUAUCAAUUGUUCGCUCCAAAUUAUCUGAUCUGUAUGAAUGGUUACAUUAGUGUAGAAUAUAUCCAAUGCCAAUUUUUUUAGCUCUGCAUUGUUCUUGUAAGUACAUGAUGUCCUUUAUCAGUGUACUUAUAAUGACAGGUAAUUGUUCAUGUACCAUCACUUUGCAGCUUAUUUUCCUUUGCCCUCCAUUUUCUACACAUCAGAUCUAUAUUUACUCUUACCAUAAGGUUGGUACUGAAGAAGUUUAGGUGUGCAUUGCUCUUGGCUCUACCUUUUGCCUGUAUCGCUGCACUUACAUUUAUAGCUACUUGGUUAUGUAGCAUCACUCUUCAUCUUAUCUUAAAUAUUCUCCAUUUUUUUGUAUAUUAUCACAUCUAUAUUUACUCUUAACAAAAUGUAGAAUAAAGGUAAUGCUUUUGAAGAAGAUUCUGUGGUAAACUUCUUGAAUUGCCCCCCCCCAUCAGCAUGGAAAAGGCCUUUAUAGAGCCUGUCUUCAGCAAUAAUGUAAGUUUGUCCAUCUCAAGCCUUCAAACUUUGUUGUAUAUAUUUGGUUAGGCAUGACUGCAACAACUGUUUAUUUUUCGUGUUUGCAUCAAAUUGCUUGUUUAAAGUUUAUUAUGUAGUUCAUAAACAAAAGUUUGUCCUUUCUCAAUUUAAGUUUUCAGUUGUACAACCAAGUUCCUUCUUUAUACCAUGUAAAUUAAACUAUACGGAGCAAGUGAUCUUCUUUUGCACUGCAUGUAUGCUUCUGUUCUUCAUCUGUAAUCCAGUGGUGUGGUGAACCUACCCACUACAGCACAAUGUCAUAUUCUGCAAUGUCUUAACUAUGAACAAUGUCAUAUCAUUCUACUAUUAUUUAAACCAUCUCUUUAUUUGCCAAUCUGAAAUGGUAUAAAUUGACAGCACACUAACCAUUCAUACUUAUGAGUUCUUGAUCUGUAAUCCAGUGGUGUCGUGAAGCUGCCAACUCCUUCACAAUGUCAUUUCCUGCCAUGUCUUGACCUGAACAAUACCAUAUUGUGUUAAUGCAAUUUUAAAUUGUGUCACUUUAUUCGUCCGUAAGAAAUGUGAUGAAUUGUCAGCACUGAUACUUUUAUGUGCAAAACCUGUGAUCUGUCUGCUUGUUUAUCUUUCAGAGUGAGGAAGAUAUAAGUGUUGAACAAGCGUAGUCUCAUCAUCUUGCUCAGCUGCUUGCGCUGCAGCUCCCCAGCAGGGCUAACCUUUCUUGAACUCUAUUGAAGUGCUGUCGGUUUUGUAUAUUAUUUUGUCGGCGUGUUUAUUUGCACUGGUGGCGAUCUUUGAUGCCCAGUGUAUGUAAUCUGCUGUCUGCUUGUGCUUUAUUAUCAUAGUGGCGAACUUUGAUGCCCAGUGGAUGUAAUAUGCCGUAAUUUCUUUAUUGUAUAGUCUAGGUUUUUUCUUAUUCACGAUGCUGCAGUUAUUUUACUGUAUAUAUAUCCUGUCUUCGCAGUAAACCGGCCAAACCGUAAAAUUACGGUACAUAAUCGGGCCGUCAUGGAAUCACGAUGUAGGUUGGGCCUGAAACGUGCCGAACAGCUCACGGGCCGGCAGCAGCCCGAAAUGAACCCCGGCCCAUGAUUGUGCGAAUCAAAUCACGGGCUUUUACAGGCCAAAAUUGUCUCGGUCCUUGUUUGGCCCAAUCAGAUAUCGGCUGCGAGCAGGCCGGAUGCAAACCGGGCCGUAGUUAGGCCCAACUAUAUGACGGGCUUUUAAAAGGCCGAAAUUAAUAUCGGGCCGAAAUGUUAAACGGGCCUUUAACAGGCCAAAACUAAUAUCAGGCCGAAUUACUAAGUGGGCCUUUAGCAAGUGGGCCCAAAAGCAUAGUGUCCAGUUGACGGGCCGAAUCUGAUAUGGGCCAUAAUUGAGCCCAAAGCCUCUUAAAGGGCCGGACCUGAUCUGGGCCGUAAUUUGGCCCAGAACGUGGUAGGCUUAACGGGCAGGAUCUCAUAUGGGCCACUAUUAGGCCCGGAGCGUGGCAGGCCAUUAAUGGACUAGAUCAAAUAUGGGCCGGCAUUUGGCCCAAAACAUGGCACCGAGUUAAUGGGCCGGCCUACUAGGGUCCUCAAAAUCUUGUGGGCCUACAGCUGGGCCGGCCCAUUAAUGUCGGCAAAAUCUCGUGGGCCUUUAGCUGGGCCGGCCCAUUAUGAUCCGCAAGAAUCUUGUGGGCCUUUACCUGGGCCGGCCCAUUAUGGCACACAAAAAUCUUGUGGGCCUUUACCUGGGCCGGCCCAUUAUGGCCCGCAAAAUCUUGUGGGCCUUUAGCUGGGCCAGCCCAUUAUGGUCCGCAAAAUCUCGUGGGCCUUUAGCUGGGCCGGCCCAUUAUGGUCCGCAAAAUCUUGUGGGCCUUCAGUUGGGUCGGCCCAUUUAAACUUGAUGGGCCAGUCCACGUGUCAACAUAUCAUAGGCGCGUCUCGCCCAUUGGAUGAGUGACACCUGUGCCAACGCGGACCUGACACGUGUCUCCUCCAGCCAAUGAUGAUUUUACACAUGGAAAAUCCCCAUUGGUCGGGGCUGUUAACGGGUUAUCGGAUCCAAAACCCGACCCGAUAGCUUAAUGGCAUUCCGUUACGGUGGAUGCCACGUGUCGGUCACCCUUGACGAAAGCACUUCUGUGACGCGCGAUUUAUCGUCAUGGAAGUGGAUACUUCCGUGAUGAUAAUUUUGGUAAUGUCAUGGAACACUUCUACGACAGCACAGGUAUGACUAUCUUGAUUCUGUCAUAAAUUUGUCAUGGAUGUACAUGCAUGACAAAAAAUGCGACCUACUGUGACAAACACGUAUCAUCACGGAAGUGUAUUUUUUUUGUAGUGCCAACUACAACUAUGGAUAUCCGCCAGGCCAUCCGUGGCAAUAAACCAACUUAGGCCAAAAGCCUAAGCUUGGGGGAGUACGUAUUUCUCACCGACAUUACAUUUAUGUUCACACACUCAUUGCUAGUUGUCGGUGCUCAUACUCUUCCACUGUAUUAUCCAUGCUAGUUUAUUUUCUUUUUAGUUUUCUUCUUGUGUGUUUGAAAAUCCUUAAGAAAAACCAAAAAAAUUAGUUGUAGCUUUUAGCUAGUUUACUUUCCAUGCUUGUAGUAGUAAUAAUUAAAAAGAAAACCCAAAAAUAUUUCCCGUUCUUCUUUUGCUUGUUCGGAGCUCUCCCGUGUAAAUAGUUUUAUUUCUUUUCUUUUCUUUGGGGGUCGAUAGGAGAAGACCAUAAUGAAAUUGUUGAAGUGGCUCUUAUAUGCAUUAUUGUUGACUUAACCAAGAGCCCAUAUUGCCUUGUCUUCUCCUGUAUAUUGAAUGCUCGCGGAUUCCAGCUUAGUCCAAUGCACGUGCAAUAUUAUUAUUAUUCACAUCGUUCGGUCGUGCAAGUUAAAGGCAAUAAUGACGAUAUAUGAUGGACUGAUUGAGAUGAGAGAAGCUGGUAUGAACUCAACCUCUCUUGUUUUUGUAAAUAUGAUUAGUUCAUCGUUCUUGAUUCAGCCUAUUAUGAAUAAACAUGUUUGAAAUGACAAUUAGAGAUUAUAGUUGCUCGUGCCAUGCUUAAUUAGCUAGGAGUUUAUAAUGGUUUACCUUGCGUGCCAACAUGCUAUUAAAAUGGUUGUGAUGUGGUAUGAUGGGGUGGUAUCCUCCUUUGAAUGAUUCGUGUGACUUGACUUGGCACAUGUUCACGCAUGUAGUUGAAACAAAUCAACAUUGCCUUCAUGAUAUUUAUGUUCAUGGUGGAUUAUAUCCUACUCAUGCUUGCACUCAAUGUUCAUUAAUUUUAACGCAUGUUUAUGACUGUUGUCGCUCUCUAGUUGGUCGCUUCCCAGUCUUUUGCUAGCCUUCACUUAUACUAAGCGGGAAUACUACUUGUGCAUCCAAUCCCUUAAACCCCAAAGUUAUUCCAUAUGAGUCCACUAUACCUUCCUAUAUGCGGUAUCUACCUGCCGUUCCAAAUAAAUUUGUAUGUGCCAAACUCUAGACCUUCAAAUGAAAUUCUGUUUUGUAUGCUCGAAUAGCUCAUGUAUCAACUAGGGCUGUCCGUAUCUUCCAUGUUAGGCGGGUUAUUCUCAAGAGGAGUGGACUCCGCUCCUCACUCACGAGAAAAUGGCUGGUCACCGGGAUGCCUAGUCCCGUGCUUUAUGCAAAUCAAAUCAAAAUAAUUGCAAACAAAACUCCCCCGGGACUGUUGUUAGUUGGAGGCACUCGUUGUUUCGAGCAAGCCAUGGAUUGAUGCUUGUUCGUGGAGGGGGAGUAUAAACUUUACCAUUUUGUUUGGGAACCGCCUAUAAUGUGUAUAGCAUGGAAGAUAUCGCCAUCUCUUGGUUGUUAUGUUGACAAUUAAAGUAUGCCGCUCAAAAUAUUAUUUACCUCUGUUUUAAAAUCGAGCUCUGGCACCUCUACAAAUCCCUGCUUCCCUCUAUGAAGGGCCUAUCUAUUUACUUUCAUGUUGAGUCAUCACCCUCUUAUUAAAAAGCACCAGCUGGAGAGCACUGCUGUCAUUUGCAUCCAUUACAAUUAAUUUAUAUUGGGUAUGACUAUGACUGGAUCUCUUUUACCAUGAAUUACAAUGUUUAGUCAGUCCUUGAUCUUUAAAGGUGCUCUGCAUUUAUGUUUGGCAGUCUCAGAAAGGGCUAGCGAACUUUCAUGUUGAGUCAUCACCCUCUUAUUAAAAAGCACCAGCUAGAGAGCAUUGCUGUCAUUUGCAUCCAUUACUAUUAAUUUAUAUUGGGUAUGACUAUGACUGGAUCUCUUUUACCAUGAAUUACAAUGUUUAGUCAGUCCUUGAUCUUUAAAGGUGCUCUGCAUUUAUGUUUUGCGGUCUCAGAAAGGGCUAGCGAGAUACCAUCUUGUUAUAUCAUAUCAUGAUUGUUUUGAGAAAGUGUUGUCAUCCGAGAUUUAUUAUUAUUGCUCGCUAGUUGAUUAUGCCAUUGAUAUGAGUAAACAUGAGACCUAAGUGUUAUUGUGAAUAUGGUUAGUUAUAAUCUUUGCUGAAAAAUUGAAUGCUGGCUUUACAUAUUUACAACAACAAGAGCAAACAGAGUUUGUAAAAGUUUUUCUAUAUCACUUUCAGUUUAUCAACUGAAUUGCUUGAGGACAAGCAAAGGUUUAAGCUUGGGGGAGUUGAUACGUCUCCGUCGUAUCUACUUUUCCAAACACUUUUGCCCUUGUUUUGGACUCUAACUUGCAUGAUUUGAAUGGAACUAACCCGGACUGACGCUGUUUUCAGCAAAAUUGCCAUGGUGUUAUUUAUGUGCAGAAACAAAAGUUCUCCGAAUGACCUGAAACUCCACGGAACUUAUUUUUGGAAAAUAUUAAAAAUAUUGAUGAAAGCAUCAAGGCCAGGGGGCCCACCACCUGUCCACAAGGGUGGGGGGCGCGCCUGCCCCCCUGGGCGCCCCCCCUUCCUCGUGGCCCCCCUGUUGCUCCACCGACCUCAACUCCAACUCCAAUAUUCGUGUUCGGGGAGAAAAAAAUCAGAGAGAAAGAUUCAUCGCGUUUUAUGAUACGGAGCCGCCGCCAAGCCCUAAACUCUCUCGGGAGGGCUGAUCUGGAGUCCAUUCGGGGCUCCGGAGAGGGGAAUCCGUCGUCGUCGUCAUCAUCAACCAUCCUCCAUCACCAAUUUCAUGAUGCUCACCCCGUGCGUGAGUAAUUCAAUCGUAGGCUUGCUGGACGGUGAUGGGUUGGAUGAGACUUAUCAUGUAAUCGAGUUAGUUUUGUUAGGGUUUGAUCCCUAGUAUCCACUAUGUUCUGAGAUUGAUGUUGCUAUGACUUUGCUAUGCUUAAUGCUUGUCACUAGGGCCUGAGUGCCAUGAUUUCAGAUCUGAACCUAUUAUGUUUUCAUGAAUAUAUGUGAGUUCUUGAUCCUAUCUUGCAAGUCUAUAGUCACCUACUAUGUGUUAUGAUCCGGCAACCCCGAAGUGACAAUAAUCGGGACCACUCCCGGUGAUGACCAUAGUUUGAGGAGUUCAUGUAUUCACUAUGUGUUAAUGCUUUGGUCUGGUACUCUAUUAAAAGAAGGCCUUAAUAUCCCUUAGUUUCCGUUAGGACCCCGCUGCCACGGGAGGGUAGGACAAAAGAUGUCAUGCAAGUUCUUUUCCAUAAGCACGUAUGACUAUAUUCGGAAUACAUGCCUACAUUACAUUGAUGAAUUGGAGCUAGUUCUGUGUCUCCCUAUGUUAUGACUAUUACAUGAUGAACCACAUCCGGCAUAAUUCUCCAUCACCGAUCCAAUGCCUACGAGCUUUUUACAUAUUGUUCCUCGCUUAUUUACUUUUCCGUUGCUACUGCUACAAUCGCUACAAAACCCAAAAAUAUUACUUUUGCUACCGUUACUGUUACUUCCAUAUUACCUUUCUACUAAAUACUUUGCUGCAGAUACUAAGUUAUCCAGGUGUGGUUGAAUUGACAACUCAACUGCUAAUACUUGAGAAUAUUCUUUGGCUCCCCUUGUGUCGAAUCAAUAAAUUUGGGUUGAAUAUUCUACCCUCGAAAACUGUUGCGAUCCCCUAUACUUGUGGGUUAUCAGGCACCUGCGUGGUGACAGGCAGCCUCUACACCAACUCAGCAAGCACCUGCGUGGUGGCAUGCAGAUCUUCGUGAAAGCCCUGCCACCGCGCCACCUCAGCUGCCUGCCUGCCUAAUUUAUUUUCGUGUGCUUCUUGUUAGACCUGCUCUUCUCACAACCCCGCGCUGUGACACCCCAAAAUUUUGACCUUGUUUUAUUAAUUAAAAUUUUGCCAGGAAAUUAAACUUCUUCAUUUGUCUAGAUUUACCUUUUGAUAUUAUGGGUUUUUACAUCAAGUGGAAACUUUCCAAAAGUAUUAUUAGACUUGUACACUCUCUCUAUGAAUCAAUUCUUUAUUAGUGGAUUUAAUUGCAAGAUUUGCUCUUCCCUGAGCUUUAUUCUUUUAAAAUGAUUUUUCAUGAAUUUGGAGUCUCUGUUGCAUUGCAACCAUUUGAUUAAUGCAUUUAAAAUUUUUACCAAAAUUUGGGGAUGUCAUGUGAUGUUUCCACACCACUUUUAUGCAAAAAUAUCUUCUGGUUAUUGGAGAUUUUGAGCUCCACAUCAACUUUUCAAAUCUGGUCCAGUAGGCAUUUUUGCACUACAACCUAUUUAAAUAUUCCUUUAAAAAUUCUUCCAAGUGUUUGGAGAUGUCAGGAGAUGCAUAUAAUUCAACUUUAUGCAAAAACCCAGUGAUGUUCUAUGAAAAAUUUGAGUGAAUCAACCUCAUCUUCAUUCUGGUCCAGUUUGGUGAUUUGUACUGCAACCCUAAUUUAUUUUGCUCUGGUGCCCAUGAGCUUUUUCCUACUUAUAGUCCUCCCUACCAAACCCUUAAGUCCAGGAGAUUGGACCCAUUGGAGUAUUUUCAGUGCAUGCAAUGAUAGCCUUUAGUUUCUGCCCAAAACUGGUUUUCUCAAAAACUUACACUGACAAAUUUCUGUUUUUGCCAAACUAACCUUACCACCUUCUUUAGCUCCUAAAGAGACUAGGAUCUGGGGAGUUUGGCCACCCCAAGAGUUGCCUAGAUGCCCAUGGCAUUCUGUCGAACACCCUGUGUGCAGGAACAGUUUUGGCAUAUUUUCUAGUUUGCAUUGUGGACUUGAGCCCCUGACCCAUCCAGCAUGUCCACUAACCUCCUAGCUAUCCCUAACCCUGGCCUGUUAUCUACCAGCAUCACCCACGCUCUCUAGCACGCGCUGGCUUUUCGUCAAACACCUGAUGUGCGUGCUCUGCGCACGGCCAGAGCGCGCGUUUUGCACGUGCGUGCGCUCGGGUCGCCGCGUCGCACCCCUGGCCCUUGCUCGCCUGCAGAGCCACGCCCUGCCCUCGUCCACACACCAGUACCCUCCAAGCCUCCCUGGCGCCCUACAGCGCCGCCGUCAGGGCUCCCUUGGCGGCACACCAGCGUCGGCAGUGGGCUCUGCCGUGGACGGCGCCGCCCAAGCAACCCGCGCGCGCCAGCUGCCCCCUGGGAACAGCCCGAGCCUAUCCACAAGCCCGUCGGCACGCGCUCGUCGCCGCCACGUAGUCCUGUAGCUACAGAACAGCGGUCGCCGGCGAUCCUAUCCACGGCCGCCGCGGGACCGACCUCGAGCGCCUAUAUAAGGGGACCCCGAGCUCAACCUAGCACUCAGGCAACCUCAUUCUAACCCCCUAGUGCCCCCAUCACCCAGCAAUCGACGUCGGGAAGCUUUCUUCCCCGUCUCCGGCCAGUUCGGUCGCCGCCUCAAUCCAGUGCAGUGCGUCGCAACCGGACCCUCCCCCGCCCAUCCAACGCCACCAACCGUCUCCCCAUAGUCUUGCGGAGCUGCCUAGCGCCUCAGCCUAGACCAAGGACCACCACAGCCCGAAGUCCCUUUGCUCCCGAAGCCCCCUCCGCCGCGGAGCUCGCCGCCGGCGACUCCUUCCACCACCGUCGACCCAGCGACCACCGGAAGGACCGCCCCGGUCAGGCGGGUCCAUCCCUGCCCUCAGAUGCCCUCGAGGAGCAGCCGUUCGUCGACGGCGAUCGCCGGAGUUCCGCCUCCGUUCGGGCAGAGGAAGAGGAGGGAGGAGAGACUAGUCAAACCUGACCAGUGGGCCCGCUGGACCCACUGUCAGCAACCCAGCCCCGCCGACGCGUGUUUUAAGUGGAGACGUGUUUCGCAAAAUACGUUUUCGCUCAACAGAAAGCGUAAGCCCCUCCGAAACGUUUUCUUUUUCUGUUUUAUUUAAAACAGAACUUUGACCAAACUUUGACUGGCUAUAUCUUUUAAAAUAAAACUCCAAAUGAGUUGAUUCUUUUUCCUACCUCUCUCAAAUUUCAUCUAGUUUAUUUUAAGAUUUAUUUCAAAAAAUAUUUGGGACAACUUUUUGUACUGUUUUUGAAAUGUGUGUUAUUUGAAUAUUUCUCAAAAUAGGAUUUUGGAGAAAAGGCAACCUUCAAAAAGUGCACCCCCACAUGCAUACACUUGAAGGCAAGCAUUCUGAACUCUGGCAUAAUAUUUUUGUGUGGUGUUUUGGUACGGUUACAACACCACCGUGACUUGGUGCAUACGUUAUUUUUGUGUGACGAUGAAGUCACACACAUGAGUACAUAUUUGAGAUGCCUUACAGUUAGAAAUGGAUAUGCUGGUGAUAGUAAUCAUCCUCGCGAGCUUUCCAUGCAUACCGGCAGGAAGCCGGAAAAGUCGUGGUCUUGGGUAGACACGAGCUUGUCCCUAGUUCCUCGUUGAGACGAGUAUGUCCGGUAUGGCAUGGUGAUGCUUGAGGAGUGGUGAGUUUAUCUGUUAAUGAAAAUAUUUUUGUCAUGCUAAUCUUUCGGAGAAGACUUGGACCUCCUGAGUCGGCCGUAGGUCGAGUCUUGUUCAGUAACUUCCCCUCCUUGUUUUGUACUACCACUUGUCCCUGCUGCAGGUAGGGUACGGUUCAGUAAGUCGUCAACCCCUUACCAAAGCACACACCAUACAGAGAGGCCAUGGUGGAAGAUACCGGAUGCAUCCGGUAGGCAUGCCACCUGGUCCGGGGGCAUGGGUGUUUCCGGCUGGGACCGAGAGGGGGGCACCCCUUAGAGCACGCGAUAUAAAUUUGAUCCCAUGCUACGUCGAGGUUGUAGCCUCCCCACUUAGAGUUUGGCUUGACAGGUGUUGUGGGUGAUUCCAGACACCGGUAAGUUAAGCUGGUGUGUGCAGGUCAGGCGUGUUUUCAAUUAAAAGGCCGUAAGCGGAAUUAGCCCCGAUGGACUAAAUAAAUCCGUUACUCGUGGGUAAAGAGUACACCCUCUGCAGAGGAUAUAUCUAUUUGGAUAGCCAUGUCCAUGGGUAGGACUACAGUCUGAGAUGGGUCUAGUGACGGUAUUCGGAUGGAGAAACGGGUAAACUGGAUCAUAGUAAUGGUAUUCGGAUGGAGAAACGGCUAAACUGGAUCAUAGUAACAGUAUUCGGAUGGAGAAACGGCUAAACUAGAACAUAGUGACGGUCUUCGGAUGGAGAAACGGCUAGACUAGAACUUUGAUUAUGACCUAUGGCACAUGAGGAUUAUGAUUAUUAUUAUUGUGGACUAACCAGUUACUUCAUUUGAAUUAUUGAGUAUCCCUGGGACGGUUCUACCUCCUGGAUAUUCACUGUGAUUAUUCUUAUAUAAGCCCUUUAUGUGGCGUCGCUCAGACGCCCGACUGCGGCAUGCUUGUUAUUUAUUUAUCCUUUAUAAGCCCUUUAUGUGGCGUCGCUCAGACGCCCGACUGCGGCAUGUUUGUCAUUUAUUUAUUACUCAUAAGCCCUUUAUGUGGUGUCGCUCAGACGCCCGAUUGUGGCAUGCUUGUUAUCUUCUUUUAUUCAUAAGCCCUUUAUGUGGUAUCGCUCAGACGCCCGACUGUGGCAUGCUUGUUAUCUUCUUUUAUUCAUAAGCCCUUUAUGUGGUGUCGCUCAGACGCCCGACUAUGGCAUGCUUGUUAUCUUCUUUUAUUCAUAAGCCCUUUAUGUGGUGUCGCUCAGACGCCCGACUGAGGCAUGAUUUAUCUUAUUAUCCUUUUCAAGGCGUCGCUUCAGACACUCGGUCAGUGCAUUCUAUUUUCUACUUCCGUAUUGCAUAUUCAUUUUUUACCUGCUUGCGAGCAUCAUGGAUUUCGUUUAUUUCGUGACAGACGUUAUGAUCGUAGAAUCUUUCGGAGCAUGUUUGCCCACUAUUAUAUUAUACCCGUAUUCAUAAUGUUUGCGAGUACAUUCAAACGUACUCACUGGCUUGUCCCUGGCUAUUGUCUUGGCCAGAUUCCUCGCAUGGAGAGAGCAUUGCGUUGAUAGCCCCGGAACCUACGCAAUGAUGAUAGCAGCCUCGCGAAGAUAGGAGUUAUCCUGGUCAGCUGUUCUUGUGGGAAAUGGAGUCCCAUAGACGCAGAUGAACCACAAAUCGCUUCCGCCAUCAACCACUAGAAACCAAGUGCUGUACUCAUAGGCCACAAUGGUCUUGUACUACAUAUUUUGUUCUUUGCUUGGAAUUCUUGUAUCAAGUUGGUGCCUCAUCAGCUAACAGUAAUCCUGGGGCUGGUGAGCACAAAGGCCGUUUUCUGGGAAAUGAAUAUCCCGAAAAACCGGUCCUGACACGCGCCCGCCAACCGUAGAAGGGAUUCCAGUUAUCCCAUAGGUGUCGUUUCCCACCGACACAUUGUAUUAUCCAUGCUUAAUUUAUUUUCUCGCUUUCUUCUUGUGUGUUUGAAAAACCUUAGAAAAAAACAAAAAAUAGUUGUAGUCAGUUUACUUUCUAUGCAAGAUUAGUUGUAAUAUUAAGAAGGAAACCCAAAAAGAUUUCCUUGUUCUUCUUUUUCUUGUUGGGAGCUUUCUCGUGUAAAUAGUUUUUCUCGUUUUUGCUUUUCCCUUUUAUUUGCUUGUUCAAGAAAACCCAAAACCCCAAAAAUUUUUCAGUGUGUUUCUCUAAAUUUCUUUUGUUUUUAUUGAGUCAUACCGAGGAGAAGACCACGAUGAAAAUGUUGAGUGGCUCUCAUUUGCAUAAUUGUUAAUCUAACGAAGAGCCCAUUUUACCUUGUCGUCUCCUGUUGAAUAAAAUGUUUACAGAUUCUAGCUUAGUCCACGACACUCUUUCACUAUUAUUAUUUUCACAUCGUUCGGUCAUGCAAGUGAAAGGCAAUAAUGACGAUAUUCGAUGAACUGGCUAUGGCAGAGAGAAACGGGUAUGAACUCGACUUGUUCUGUUUUUAUAAAUAUGUUUAACCUAGUAUCCAUGAUUCAGCCCAUUAUGAUUAAACAUGUUUGCAUUGACAAUUAGAGAUUAUAGUUUCUCAUGACAUGCAUAAGUAGCUAGGAGUGGAUAAUGAUUUAUCUUGCAUAUCAACAUUGCGUUAAAAUGAUUGUGAUGUAGUAUGAUGAUAUGGUAUCCUCCUCUGAAUGUUCGAGUGGCUUGACUUGGCACAUGUUCAUGCAUGUAGCUGAAUCAAAACCAACAUAGCCUCAAUGAUAUUUAUGUUCAUGGUGUUCAUAUCCUACUCAUGCUAGUGUCCAAUGUUACUUAUGCAUAAUGUAUGUUCAUGAUCGUUGUUGCUCUCUAGCUGGCCACUUCUCAAUCUAUUUGCUAGCCUUCACCUGUACUAAGUGGGAAUUCUGUUUGUACAUCAAAAACCUUGAACCCAAGUUAUUCCAGAUGAGUCCACCAUACCUACAUAUAUGCGGUAUUACCCCGCCGUCCUAAGUAAAUUUGCAUGUGCCACCUCUAAAAACUUCAAAUAAAUAUCCUUUUUGUGUCCCUGGAUCGAUCAUGGAACGACAAGAGGUGGUCGGUAUCUUCCAUGCUAAGCGGGUUAUUCUCAGAUCGAGCGUUUAUUCACUCGCCAUCGCACGAGAAAAGGGCGGUAAUAGGGAUGCCCAGUCCCAAACUGCAAACAAAAUAGCUUACAAAUAAUCAAAUAAAAACUCCCAAUGGAGUCAAAACCUUUACAUUUACCGCUUGGGAACCGCCACUAGCGUGCUUAGCAUGGAAGAUGUUGAUAACUGAUGGUCGUGAAGUUAAUGAGAAGGGUGCAUGUCUCAAAAUAUCAUUUACCUCUGUUUUAAAAACUUGAGCUCUGGCACCUCUACAAAUCACCGCUUCCCUCUACGAAGGGACUAUCUAUUUACUUUUAUGUUGUGUCAUCACCUUCUAAAAUAAGCGCCAGAACCUGAGAGCACUACUGUCAUGCUGAUGCAUUGUGUGUAGGUAAUGUUGGGUGCAUCAUGACUGGAUCUUUUCUACCAUGAAUUACAAUGUUUAGUUGCUGCUUGAACUUUGGAGGUGCUCUGCAUUUAUGUUUUGCUGUCUCAGAAAGGGCUAGCGAGAUACCAUUAUUGUCAUAUUAUAUCAUGGUUGUUUUGACAACGUGUUGCUGUUUGAGAUAUCUUAUUAUUUGCUCGCUAGUUGAUUGUGUCAUUAAUAUGACUUAAUAUAAUUUUUAAGACUUAUUGUCGGCAUGGUUAGUUAUAAUGUUGGCUGAAAACCUGGGUACUGUUUAAGCUUAGUUAUGCAAACAAGAGCAAAAGAGUUCGUAAAAGUUUUUCUUUUUCACUUCUAGUUUAUCAACUGAAUUGCUUGAGGACAAGCAAAGAUUUAAGCUUUGGGGAGUUGAUACGUCUCCAAUGUAUCUACUUUUCCUAAUGUUUUUCCUCUUGUUUUGGACUCUAAUUUGCAUCAUUUGAAUGAAACUAACCCCGGACUGACGUUGUUUUCGGCAGAACUACCAUGGUGUUGUUUUUGUGUAGAAAUAAAAGUUCUCGAAAUGGAACAAAACUUUGCGAGGAUUUUUUUAUACAAUAAAAGAGAGUUUCUGGAGCCAAGAGCCACCGGAGGGGGGCACCUGGGUGGGCACAACCCACCAGGGCGUGCCUGCCCUCCCAGGCACGCCCAGGUGGGUUGUCCCCACCCGGUGGCCCCGCAGACCCUGAAACCGACGCUAUAAAAUCCUAUUUUUCCAGAAAAAGGGGGGAGAAAGAAUUAUCGCGAUCCACAAGAUGGAGCCACCGUAACCUCCUGUUCUUCAUCGGGAGGCGAUCUGGAGUCCGUUUGGGGCUCCGGAGAGAGGGAUCUUCGUUCCUCGUCAUCACCAACCCUUCUCCAUCGUCAAUUCCAUGAUGCUCCCCACCGGGAGUGAGUAAUUCCUUCGUAGGCUCGCUGGUCGGUGAGGAGUUGGAUGAGAUUCAUCAUGUAAUCGAGUUAGUUUUGUUAGGGCUUGAUCCCUAGUAUCCACUAUGUUCUGAGAUUGAUGUUGCUAUGACUUUGCCAUGCUUAAUGCUUGUCACUUUGGGCCCGGGUGCCAUGAAUUCAGAUCUGAACUAUUUAUGUUAUCACAAUUAUAUCCAUGUUCUAGAUCCGAUCUUGCAAGUUAUAGUCACCUACUACGUGUUAUGAUCCGGCAACCCCGGAGUGACAAUAGUCAGGACCACUCCCGGUGAUGACCGUAGUUUGAGGAGUUCAUGUAUUCACCGUGUGUUAAUGCUUUGUUCCGGUUCUCUAUUAAAAGGAGGCCUUAAUAUCCCUUAGUUUCCAGUAUAGACCCCACUGCCACGGGAGGGUAGGACAAAAGAUGUCAUGCAAGUUCUUUCCAUAAGCACGUAUGACUAUUUACGGAAUACAUGCCUACAUUAUAUUUAUGAACUGGAGCUAGUGCCAUAUCGCCUUAGGUUAUAACUGUCACAUGAUGAAUAUCAUCCAACAAAUUAUCGAUCCAAUGCCUACAAACUUAUCUUAUAUUGUUCUUGCUAAGUUACUACUGCUUUCGUUACUGCUGCACUUGCUACAAAAAUACUGUUAUCACUGUUACCGUUACUAUUGUUGCUGUCACUACUAUCAAAACUAUAAUAUUACAUUGCUAUUGGUCACGUUGCUGCAGAUAAUUAAUCUCCAGGUGUGGUUGAAUUGACAACUCAGUUGCUAAUAGUUGCAAAUAUUCUUUGGCUCCCUUGUGUUGAAUCUAUAAAUUUGGGUUGAAUACUCUACCCUCGAAAACUGUUGUGAUCCCCUAUACUUGCGGGUUAUCAUGUAGUAUGAUAGGAUGGUAUCCUCCUUUGAAUGAUUCGAGUGGCUUGACUUGGCACACGUUCACAUAUGUAGUUGAAACAAAAUCAACAUAGCCUCUACGAUAUUUAUGUUGAUGGUGAUUUAUAUCUUACUCGUGGUUGCACUCAAUGUUUGUUAAUCUUAAUGCAUAUUUAUGACUUUGUCGCUCUCUAGUUGGUCGCUUCCCAGCCUCUUUCUAGCCUUCACUUGUACAAAGCGGGAAUACUGCUUGUGCAUCCACUUUUAUAAACCCAAAGUUGUUCCAUAUGAGUCCACAAUACCUUCCUAUAUGUGGUAUUUACCUGUCGUUCCAAGUUAAUUUGCAAGUGCCGAACUCAAAACUUUCUAAUGAUAAUCUGUUUUGUAUGCUCGAAUCGCUCAUGUACCAACUAGGGCUGUCAAUAUCUUCCAUGCUAGGUGGGUUAUUCUCACGAUGAGUGGACUCCGCUCAUCAUUCACGAGAAAAUGGCUGGUAAUCGGGAUGCCCAGUCCCAUGCUCAAAUCAAAUCAAAAUAACUGCAAAUAAAACUCCCCCAGGAUUGUUGUUAGUUGUAUGGUAUCUGUUGUUUCGGACCAGCCGUGGAGUGUGCUUGUUGGUGGUGGGGGAGUAUAAACUUUACCAUUCUGUUUGGGAACCGCCUAUAAUGUAUGUAGCAUGGAAGAUACAGAGAUCUCUUGGUUGUUGUGUUGACAAUGAAAGCAUACCGCGAAAAAUAUUAUUUAUCUCUAUUUCAAAACUCGAGCUCUGGCACCUCUGCAAAUCCCUGCUUCACUCUGCGAAGGGCCUAUCUAUUUACUUUUAUUGCUGAGUCAUCAUCCUCUUAUAAAAACCACCAGUUAGGGAGCACCGCUGUCAUCUGUAUGCAUUGUUAUUAAUUUAUAUUUAGUAUGACUGUGAUUGGAUCUCUUUUACCAUGAAUUACAAUGUCUAGUCAGUGCUUGAUCUUCAGGGGUGCUCUAUAUUUAUGUUUUGCGGUCUCAUAAAGGGCUAGCGAGAUACCAUCUUGUUAUAUCAUAUCAUGAUUAUUUUGAGAAAGUGUUGUCAUCCGAGAUUUAUUAUUAUUGCUUGCUAGAUGGUUAUGCCAUUUAUAUGAGUAAACGUGAGACCUAAAUGUUAUUGUGAAUGUGGUUAGUUCAUAAUCUUUGCUGAAAACUUGAAUGCUAGCUUUACAUAUUUGCAACAACAAGAUCUAACAGAGUUUGUAAAAGUUUUUCUUUAUCGCUUUCAGUUUGUCAACUGAAUUGCUUGAGGAGAAGCAAUGGGUUAAGCUUGGAGGAGUUGAUACGUCUCCAUCAUAUCUACUUUUCCAAACUCGUUUGCCCUUGUUUUGGACUCUAACUUGCAUGGUUUGAAUGGAACUAACCUGGACUGACGUUGUUUUCAGCAGAAUUGCCAUGGUGUUAUUUUUGUGUAGAAUAAUAAGUUCUCGGAAUGACUUGAAACUUCACGGAGAUAAGUUUUGGAAUUAAUAAAAAAUAUUGGCGAAAGAAUCAAGUGAAGGGGGCCCACACCCUGACCACAAGGGUGGGGGCGUGCCACCCGACCUUGUGGGCCCCUGGACCUCCACCGACCUCAACUCCAACUCCAUAUAUUCACGUUUGGGGAGAAAAAAAUCAGAGAGAAGGAUUCAUCGUGUUCUAUGAUACUGAGCCGCUGCCAAUCCCUGUUCUUCCUCAGGAGGGCAGAUCUGGAGUCCGUUCGGGGCUCCGGAGAGGGGAAUCCGUCGCCAUCGUCAUCAUCAACCAUCCUUCAUCACCAAUUUCAUGAUGCUCACCGCCGUGCAUGAGUAAUUCCAUCGUAGGCUUGCUGGACGGUGAUGGGUUGGAUAAGAUUUACCAUGUAAUCAAGUUAGUUUUGUUAGGGUUUGAUCCCUAGUAUCCACUAUGUUCUAAGACUGAUGUUGCUAUGAGUUUGCUAUGCUUCAUGCUUGUCACUAGGGCCCGAGUGCAAUGAUUUCAGAUCUGAACCUAUUAUGUUUUCAUGAAUAUAUUUGUGUUCUUGAUCCUAUCUUGCAAGUCAAUAGUCACCUACUACGUGUAAUGAUCCGGCAACCCCGGAGUGACAAUACUCGGGACCACUCCCGGUGAUGACCGUAGUUUGAGAAGUUCAUGUAUUCACUAAGUGCUAAUGCUUUGGUCCAGUACUUUAUUAAAAGGAGGCCUUAAUAUCCCUUAGUUUCCACUAGGACCCCGCUGCCACGGGAGGGUAGGACAAAAGAUGUCAUGCAAGUUCUUUUCCAUAAGCACGUAUGACUAUAUUCGGAAUACAUGCCUACAUUAUAUUGAUGAAUUGGAGCUAGUUCUGUGUCACCCUAUGUUGUAACUAUUGCAUGACGAAUGCCAUCCGACAUAAUUAUCCAUCAUUGAUCCAUUGCCUACGAGCUCGUUUCAUAUUGAUCUUUGCUAAGUUACUUUUCCGUUGCUACUGUUACGAUUGCUACAAAACUGCUACUGUUACUUUUGCCACCGUUACUGCUACUUCCAUACUACUUUGCUGCAGAUAUUAAGUCUUUCAGGUGUGGUUGAAUUGACAACUCAGCUGCUAAUACUUGAGAAUAUUCUUUGGCUCCCCUUGUGUCGAAUCAAUAAAUUUGGAUUGAAUACUCUACCCUCGAAAAUUGUUGCGAUCCCCUAUACUUGUGGGUUAUCAGGUAGGUGGGGAAAUUCUUGAUCCUUCUGGAUGCCGAUCCCACUGUCAUCUGGGUGUUAUGUAGCGAGCCACUUGGCGAGCGGGCUCAGCGGGCCCACUCUGGCCCAACGAAUCUUCUGUUGGGCUGCAUGAUCCUCUUGGGCCUGCUGUCGACGCGUCUUGGAGUGAAGCCGUCGGCUGCCUUGGUGGUACGUGUGCUGACAGUAUAUUGAUUAGAGCCCCUAAGUUGAUGUUUAUAAACAAGGGGGAAAAGUCCAUGGUAUGCUACGUAUAUUUAAUAGAAAUAUAAAGUAAUAUACUGAGAUGUUUCAUGAAAUAACUCUCCCAUUUUUCGCCACAAAGGGGAUUUUUUUUAUUAUCAUCAGGGGAUUUAUUACUUGAGAAUGAGAGUGGUGUGCAUACUUCAGAAAGCGCUCCCUCGAUAUUCUAAAACUCCACCUCAAUAGGUUCUCCAGAUACACCGCAUUGUCAACGAAGUAAUCCUUCAUCAGCUUCGCAUGGCCCUCGGUCCUACUGCGCCAAAUGUACCUAUGGCCUUGCCGAGAACAAGCUCUAGUUCUUCUUCUUCAUCCAUCUAUCAUGACCAGCUUGUUUUUGAUCGGCUCGACAAGCGCCGACAACGAGGAUAGCAAAGAAAAAAGUCCUCUCACCCGAAUUUCGUAAAUUGGGACCUUUUUGGUGAGAACGUUUUGCCACUACUGAAAUCAGGAAAUUUGCCGUAUGUCAUUUCUUUACCGUCUGGUAACGGACGGCAAAGAAGGUCUUUGCCGUCUGCUUACAGAAAAUGGACGGCAAAGAAAUGGAUAUUUGCAAUCAGCCAUUUCUUUGACAUCAGCUAGCAGACGGCAAAGAAUCUUGUCCACCUCUUUGCUGUCUGCUAGCUGACGGCAAAGAGAACGGUAGCUAACGGCUAUGGCCCAUCCCCCGCACCCCACCUCCCACUCUCCAUCUCUCUUUCUCUCUCACUCCACCGCGCCGCCCCCGACCCCCACCGCCCUCACCGGUCCUGACCCCCGCCGCGCCGCCGCGCCACCCGCCGCCCCACGGUUUGCUGCGCCCCCGCGGCCCCUGUGGCACGGCGCCCCGCCGCCCCGCGGCAAAGCCUCCCGUUAGCCACCUAAUGUGGCUAACACCUGUUCUUUGAUGUCCAUGUUCUAUGCCAUCUGCCACCGACGGCAAAGGGUCUUUACCGUCCGCUGUGGGAAAGCAGACGAUAAAGAAGCUGUUUACCGUAGCUUACUGUGCCAGACAGGUUUGCCAUCAGCUUUUUGGUCCUUUGCCGUCUGCCAUGGUAGACGGCAAAGAAGCUGAUUCCUUUAGUGUGUCCAAUCUUUUCUUUAAUAUUGGUUCAGUACAAUUUUUAAUCUCCGACGAGAGACAUAAAACCAAAGGAAGAAGAAAGUAUAAUAAAUUUAUUUAUUACUGAUCGUUGUGUUGCGAGUUGUCUUUUUUUUGACAGGGUAAAUAUUUCAUUUCUCAGAUGCUAGCAAUGUCAUUUACAGUGAAAGAAGAAAUGAACUCAGGCGGGUCAGCUUCCCAAACCGAAGAAUUCUUCAACAUAUAUGCUUGUUUAGCCAAAGCAUCUGCUACACCGUUUGCUUCUCGGUUGCAUAAAGAAGAUUUCACCUGUCCGAUGUCAUAGGAGAGUUGAGCGCAUCCGACAAUCAUGGCUGCUUGGGAACAAUUGAAUGUAUAAGGAUCUUUUACUUCAUCAAUCACAAGUUCACAAUCUGACUCGGCUUCUAUCCUGGAGCAUCCCACAUGAGAUGACAAAUUAAUACCACUCCUAAGAGCAAUUGCUUCAACAGAAACCGCAUCGGAAACAUGUGGAACGAACCUGUCUUUAUUAUACUAAUUAUUGUUUGCUUCAAUAUAUAUCUAUACCUAAUAAUAAAUGGGCUAUUGCUUCUGGCGGUAUAUCAGCAAAAUUGCCUCAAAGUUGUAAAAUAUUACCAACCGAUGCCAUAAGUGAUAAAAAACUUUUCACACAGGGGAAUCUCUGCCUAGAUCGGCCCAUGCAGUAGGAACCUUCUAUACCACGCUCUGCACGCAGAGAGAAGACACUGCUUGCCUAUUUGGGCUGACCAAUGUCUGAGAGGCUUGUUUUUUAAUUUUUGUUUUCCUUUUCCUUCUUCAAUUUUUUUCUACUUUAAAUAAUUUGGGACUACAAAAAAUUUCGAUAAAAUCAAAAAAAUGAGAAUGUUGAAAUAAAAUGUUUAAAAAAAAUUCGCAUAUUCAAAAAUUGUGUGCAAUUUUGAAAACAAAUGUUUGAGAUAUCAGAAAAUGUUCAUGUAUUAAAAAUGUUAAUGAAAUUGAUCUAAAAUUUGUCAAUUCAAAAAUUGUUCAUGAAUUGAAAAAUAUCCUAAAAAUUCACAAACUGUUCAUGACUUACAAAAUAGUUUAUUGAUUCAUAAAAUGUUUGCUGAUUCAAAAAGUGUUUAUUAAAUCAAAAGAAUGUUCAUGCGUUUUAAAAGUUGUUCCACCGAUUUCUUAAAAAUGAUCAUCUAUUCUAGAAAUGUUCGCCUAUUCGAGUAAAAUGUUUUAAAAAAUGUUCACAAUUUUGAAAAAAUGCUUGUAAAUAAUAUAAAAUGUUCAUGAAUUCAAAAACUGUUCGUUAAAUCAAAAAAAUAUUCAUGCAUUUCAAAAGUUGCUCCACCAAUUUCGUCAAAAUGAUCUUCGAUUCGAGAAAUGUUCGCCUAUUCAAGAAAAAUGUUUAAAUUUUUUCACAAUUAAAAAAAUGCUUGUAAAUAAUAUAAAAUUGUCAUGAAUUCAAAAAAGUUCAUGAUUUUAGAAAGUGUUCAAAAAUCAGUAAAAAUGUUCACUAAUUUGAAAAAUGUGCAUGAUUUUGAAAAAUUGUUCAUGAUUUCACGAAAAUGAGAGUGAUAGCGUGUCUCGGUGAGGCAGCAAAAAUAUGGUCAUGGCCAUCGGAGAUUAUGAUUAUUUUCUCCGGUUGCAACGCACGGGCUGUUUUGCUAGUAAUAAUUAUCAAGUUAACUUUUGAUGUUUGUUUUUGAAAAAAAAUUGCUGAUCAAAAUGUGAACAAGAUUUGUUCAGAAAUAUAAACCAGAUUUUUUGAUUAAGAAAGGGGAAAAAGGAAUGCGGCCUGAACACCACAGUCUAGAUUACAUUAGUGAAAUAAAGUUAAUCAAGACUGAUGCCUAUGCUUAUGCAAUAUUUGAAGUUCUCCCUCAAAGUUUGUGAUCACUUCAUCAUUUGUUUGUGCACUAUGUAAUACAUUUAACAGUUCACGAAUGUAAAAAAUCAUUUUCAUGAAUUUUAAAAACACACAUGAAAUUUGAGAAAUAUUCGUCAAUAUGAAAAGUUUAUGAAUUGAAAUAAAUGUUCGUGCAUUUGAAAUGGUCACAAAUUUGAAAAAUUAUUUGCCAAUAUAGAAAAUGGUCAUGAAUUCAAUUUUGUUUGCAGAUUAAAAAAUGCUCAUGAAUUUAACAAACAAAUCGUGAUCCAAAAAUUGUUAGUACCUCCAAAACGAUUCUGAAUUUGGAAAAAAAAUGUUCACAAAUUCCUCUUAAGCCCCAUAAAAUGUCUCAAUCCCGUCUUCUCUCCAUUUCCCUGGUUGGAUCCCAUCACAUGCAAUCGGUGUUGGCCAGCAUGGUGGCUCCCAAGGGCUCCCCUAAGUACAUCGCUGAACCCAACUGAAUAAAGCAACGGACUACGAUUGUGGGACUUGAUAUUUCAAAACUCGAUCUCUCGCUUCAUCCAAAAUUCAUGUAGUAUACAAGAAGAAUUUAGUUCCUUUGUCUCUUUUAAUUUAAUUUAAUUUUCCUGUAGUUUAUUUUGUCCUUCCGAACAUCGUCUACUCCAUCCAAACACCUCCAACAAACCAAUCCCUUUAUUUAAGUUUUGCCAGUUUAUUUUGCUUUUCUUCAGCUUAGAAAUGUUUCCAACCAAAUCCUUCUAAGAAAGCAGUCGGCUCGGCUUGAUUACAUUUAAUUAGUUCAUAGCUUUUUGUUCUCCUCAGUUUGUUAUGUACUUCUGUUAUUUAUGGCAUAUAGAUGAACUAGAUGACUGGAUUCUGGUGGGCAGGGAUAGGAUGAAGGCAAGAGUGGAGAAGUUGCACAAUGAAGAUUUGGUCAUUAUCUUUUUUGAACCGCGCGCCCACCAAGAGCCUGGACAGCGUGACGCCAUUCGAGGCAUGGCAUGGACGCAAGCCGAACGUGCAUUUCCUGCGCACCUUUGGGGUGUGUAGUGCAUGUGAAGGACACGCGCCCUGGACUGAAGAAACUCGACGAUCGCAGUCGGCCGAUGAUCUUCGUCGGCUACGAGCACGGCACAAAGGGCUACAGGGCCUAUGACCCAACAACUGGGCGCGUGCACAUCACGCGCGACGCCGUGUUCGACGAAGGGGCACGCUGGGAUUGGACAAAGGAGGAAGGCGCCGUGAACCCGUUCAGCGACACCGACACGUUUGUGGUCGAACACCUGGUGAGCAACGCUCCAGGAGCGACGGAUGGGGGGGGGGGUGGUGCAGCCACCUCGCCUCCGACCACACCACCAGCGUCCCCAGCACCGUCGUCUGCAGCAUCGUCAAAUCCAACACCGUCUACUCCACCGUCUGUCAGCCCAGGAGGGGUGGAGCUAGUGUCGCCGCCGACGUCGUUCAGCGACAACGUGCUCGACGCGGCAGACGACAUAGAGUGCGAGCACCGUUUCCACACCCUGCAGAACGUGCUGGAUUUCAGCCCGGCGGACGACCCAGACGAAGAGCUCCACCUUCUGGCAGCUGAGGAGGCGAGCUCGUUCACUGAGGCAGAGCAAGAAGCAAGCUGGCGGGGCGCCAUGAUCGAAGAGUUGAGCUCGAUCGAGGACAAUCAAACAUGGCAGCUCACAUCUCUCCCUCCAGGGCACCGCGCCAUUGGCUUGAAGUGGAUCUACAAGGUCAAGAAGAACGCGCGCGGGGAGGUAUACUCAAGCACAAGGCUCGGCUCGUGGCGAAGGGCUAUGUACCGCAGCACGACAUCGACUACGACGAGGUGUUCGCUCCAGUAGCGUGUCUCGAGUCAGUGCGGGUGCUGGUAGCACUCGCGGCGAACGCGGGCUGGGCCGUUCAUCACAUGGACGUCAAUCGGAGUUCCUGAAUGGCGAACUCCAGGAGGAAGUCUAUGUGCAGCAGCCGCCGGGAUUUGUCAUCGCCGGCAAGGAGCAUCUCGUCCUGUGCCUGAACAAGGCCCUGUACGGUCUGAAGCAGGCUCCCAGAGCGUGGAGCACCAAGCUAGACACCUGUUUGAGCAAGCUGGGGUUCAUGCGCUGUCCGUCAGAGCACGCGGUGGACGCGCGGGGCACGGCGACCACACGCCUCAUCGUGGGCGUGUACGUGGACGACCUGGUGAUCACCGGAUCCGACGCAGAAGAGAUCACCAAGUUCAAAGGAGAGAUGCAGAAGUUGUUCAAGAUGUAUGAUCUGGGUCUGCUAAGUUUCUAUCUCGGAUUGAAGUGAAGCAGACAGAGGAUGGCAUCGUCAUUACUCAGAGCGCGUAUGCACGGAAACUCCUGGAGAAGAGUGGCAUGGCUGGUUGCAAACCCUGUCACAUCCCCAUGGAGCCCCGCUUCAAGCUAUCAAAGGAGAGCACGGCGCCACCAGUGGAUGCGACGGAGUACCGCAACAUCGUCAGCAGCCUGCGCUAUCUGGUGCACACGCGCCCUGACCUAACCUUCUCGGUUGGGUAUGUUUCACGCUUCACGGAGGCGCCAACUGAAGAGCACCACACCGCUGUCAAGCACAUCUUGAGGUACAUCGCCGGCACUCUGCAUCUGGGCUGCAAGUACGUCAGAGGAGCUGGUGAACCUGAACUCACUGGGUACAGCGACAACGACCUUGGCGACGAUGUGGACACACGCAAGAGCACCUCUGGCACUCUGUUCUUGCUCGGAGGAGGAGUGAUAACCUGGCAGUCGCAGAAGCAGAAGAUUGUGGCACUCUCCAACUGCGAAUCAGAGUACGUCGCAGCAACCACAGCAGCCUGUCAGGGAAUCUGGCUCACGCGCCUGCUCGGCGAGUUCAGAGAAAAGGAAGAGAAGGCAGUGAGACUCAAGGUCGACAACAAAUCCGCAAUCUCUCUUGCAAAGAAUCCUGUGAUGCACGACAGAUUGAAGCACAUCGAGCUCAGGUACCAUUUCAUCAGAGAUUGCGUGGAGACGAAGAAGAUUGAACUCGAGUAUGUGGCAACAGAGUUUCAGCUUGCAAACAUGCUCACCAAGCCCCUUGGUCGUGUUCGACUGCAGCAGCUGCGCUCAAGCAUCGGCAUGAUCGAGGCAACGCCCUGAACGAUCAGUUUAGGGGGUGAUUGUUGGGUAAACUUGGCCCAUACAGUUUUCUUGUGGGUGUUGAAUGCAAUUGCCAUCUUCUUAAGAGCAGCGUCCUUGACUUUCUGCACAUCUGCAUCAGUGAAAUAAUCUGGUAGGGUGAAAUGUUCCAUCAGAGAUUCCCAAAGCUUUUGUUUUGCUCUGUCGUUGACCCAAGUAACAUCUGGGCGUUUAGUUUUUGGCUCUUUCCAUUCUUGAAUGGAGAUCGGGAGUUGGUCCUUCACAAGAACUCCGCACUGACGAACGAACUUGUUCGCAAUGUUCUUAGGCGUGACGGGUUCGCCACUAGCUUUGAUGGAAUCGAUGUUGUACUUUACACCCUCCUUCAACUUUUUGCUCGGGCCGCGCUUUGUCCUGCUGUCUGUAGAAGAAGAUUUGCUCGAUCCGGAGGGCUGAAAGAAGAAAGAUCGAUUCGUUAAUAUAUCUUCAAAUAAAAAAACAUGUGGUGAUCACUAGAUGCCUGCUUAUAUAAAUAUACCUCGCCGGUAGUCUUUGUUAUUUCAAGAUUAAUAUUGUAUUCGUCAUCAUAAUCAUUGUCUGCGUCAUCAUAAUCAUAAUCAUAGUUCAUGACUUCAUCAGCUCGGUCGUCGAGAUCGAAUAUCUUAUCAUCACCCUCCCCGGUAUUGUUCAGAUAUUGGGAGCCGUCAUUUGCUUCAUUCAGAUCAUCUGGCCUGCUAGGGCUGCGUAUGAUCUCGAACAGGGCCUCUUCUCCCUCUCUGUCGGUAUUGUCCGCCAUAGCUUUUAUUUAACUAAUACAGAAGAAAUAUAAAACAAUUUAGUAUUCAAAAAUGAAAAACUGCAAUUGCCAUCAAUAAGGAGAAGAGGCAUGGAUGCAAUCAAUAAGGAAAAACUGAAUCAUAUAGUACAUAAUAUGCAUCGUCUCGAAUAAUAUAUAAUCUCGAAUACAUCGUCUCGAAUAAUAUAUAAUCUUGAAUACAUCGUCUUGAAUAAUAUAUAAUUUCGAAUACAUCGUCUCAAAUAAUAUAUAAUCUCGAAUACAUCACUGGCUAGGUAGCUAAUAAAGAUCGAAUACUAUAGAAGAAUCUAGGCCACUCACGGUUCCUGGGGCGCGGGCGGUGGACACCCAAAGACAAGGAACCAUCACAGGAUCAUAUCUCUGGUCAUCUGCCCAAAGAACCUGCCAGGUAUUGGAGAACCUGACGUCCAUAGCAGCCAUGUAGCGAUGGACGUGCUCGUCCUCCUCCCUGACACGACGACGCACCACCUCCGGCGGGGUCGGCUCCUUCUGCACCGAAUGUGGCCCACGCGAACGCCACCAAAGGAGAUCAGGGUCGACGACGGGACCCGAGGCCGGGUUACUCACCAAGCAUCGCGCCCCUCCAGGUAGCACCUCCCAGUGCCAGCCCGGCGGAGCCCAAUCCUGGACAUGGGUCCUCUGAAGCAGGACGUCGUCGCGAACGGGUCGACGGCGAGGAUGCGGGCCGGGCAUCGUCGACAACAAAUACUAUAUGCCGCAAAAGUAAAGUAACAUUUUUUAAAUGAUUGGAUUAUGAUUUCUUAUAUGCAAAUUCUAAAUUUUAUAACUAAAAAUAUAAUAAACUAAAAAAACAUCGACCAUAUCUAAAACUAACAUUUCUAACAUUUCUAUAACUAAAAUUGUAUAACUAAUUUUUCUUUAACAUUUCUAUAACAUUAAUACAGAAAAAACUAACAUUUCUAUAUAUAACUAACAUUUCUAUAUAACUAACAUUUCUAUAACAUUAAUACUGAAAAAACUGAAAAAACUAAUAACUAAUAACUAAAAACAGAAAAACUAAAAACUAAAAACAGAAAAACUAAAAACAGAACAAAAUUGUGUAUGUGUGUGUAUGGUGUGUGUGUGUAUGUGUGUGUAUGUGUUGUGUGUGCAGGCGACGGCGACGGCGAGCCAAGGCGACGGCGCCGGCGGCGCGCGCGGCGGCUUCGAUUGGAGGGAGAGGAGAGGGGGGACAGAGGCUCACAGCGCGGGCGAGGUCGAGGCGACGGCGACGCGGGCCGGUGCGGGGACGGGGACGCGGGCCGGUGCGGCGCGACGAGGACGGGGGCGGCGCGGAGUCGACGGGGACGGCGCGACGGCGCGGGACGGGACGGCGGCGAUGAAGCAGAGAGAAGUGGGAGGAAACUGACGAAAUUUUCAUAAGUGUUGUUUAUAUAGGAGGGGCCUUUAGUACCGGUUGGAGCCACCAAUCGGUACUAAAGGUCGAUUUUGGCCAGACCAAGCGGCGGGAAGCGCACCCCUUUAGUACCGGGUGGUGGUUGCAACCGGUACUAAAGGCCCACCUUUAGUACCGGUUGGAGCCACCACCCGGUACUAAAGGGGGUGCGCUGGCGCAGGUGCGGUGCGGCAAGUUUAGUCCCACCUCACUAGCCGAGGGGCGCCCGCACUAGUUUAUAAGCCCCAGUGUGGUAGCUCUCUCAAGCUCCUCUCCAAAGCAGGCCUACUGGGCCUAGAUGUUUUGUGCUGCCCUGUGGGCCUACUGGGCCUUUGCGGGCCUGCAUCCUGGCCCAACAACAGGUUGGGUUUCUAGUCGUAUGCAGGCCGCUGUGGCGCAGUAGGCGGGCUUUUUAUUUUCUUAUUUUUUUUGCUUUAUUUAUUUUUGUUUUAUUUAUUUUUGAGUUGUUUUUUGCUGUAUUUAGAGUUUCUUUGUGAAUAUUUUUGCUUUAGGUACAAAAAAUUACAAACUUUCUAUUAGUGCCGGUAGUUUACAAAUUUGAGUAGUUUACAUUUUGAAUUAUUUGAAAUUUGUGUGAAUCACUAGUUUGUGAAUAAAUUAACUUUGAAAAUAGAUUUUCAGUGAUUCUUUUUUCUUAUGUUUAAUAUUAGUGUGUUUUAUCAUUAUAUUCAAUUUGGUAAUGCUUAGGUUAUUUAAAGAAUGAAAUCCCUUUGUAACGGAUGAGUUUUCGUCCGAAACCCUGAUACUUCGAAAGAGAUUGUCCAUUUUAUACACGAAGUGCAUCCAGUUUUUGCGGUAACCCUCUCUACGUUUUUGCACAUGCUGUGUGGGUGAAAUUAUCAUACCAUGCCAACUUUCAACCUUUUCUGAGUUCAUUUGAAAUGCUUUUCAAUUUCAGGGUCAUUUAGCUGAAAAAAAUCAGUAAAUGCAUGAAAGAAUUUGUUUGCACAUAAAAUUUCUUCGCGUUUCAAAUGCCAAAACACAUAACUACCCUAACUAUUACAGAGAUUCCCUCCUGGGUGUGAAACACAGAAGAAAGUGAUGAUAGUGAAGCCGAUCACAUCCCAGAUCUUUGGGUGUGAAACUUUUUCGUCGUGUAUGUCCCUUUGCGUCGUAGCCAUGGAAAAUCUUCAUCAUUUAACUGGAUGCUCGGGUCAAUAUUCACUGUGAAUGGAGCAAUUUCAUCAAACUUUUCAUAAUCUUCUGACAUGUCUGUCUUGUCAUCCACUCCCACGAUGUUUCUCUUCCCAGAAAGAACUAUGUGGCGCUUUGGCUCAUCGUAUGAUGCAUUCGCUUCCUUAUCUUUUCUUUUUCUCGGCUUGGUAGACAUAUCCUUCACAUAGAAAACCUGUGCCACAUCAUUAGCUAGGACGAAUGGUUCGUCUCCAUACCGAAGAUUGUUGAGAUCCACUAUUGUCAUUCCAUACUGCGGGUCUUCCGUUACCCCAUAUCGUGUCAUAUUGACCCAUUUGCACCGAAACAAAGGGACCUUCAAACCACGUCCAUAGUCAAGUUCCCAUAUCUCCUCUAUGUAACCAUAAUAUGUUUCCUUUCCCGUCUUGGUUGUUGCAUCAAAGCGGACACCACUGUUUUGGUUGGUGCUCUUCUUAUCUUGGGCGAUCGUGUAAAAUGUAUUACCAUUUAUCUCGUACCCUUUGAGAGUCAUUAUAUUCGAAGAUGGUAACUNNNNNNNNNNNNNNNNNNNNNNNNNNNNNNNNNNNNNNNNNNNNNNNNNNNNNNNNNNNNNNNNNNNNNNNNNNNNNNNNNNNNNNNNNNNNNNNNNNNNGGAAUAUUGUCUCAGUGUAUGCUAUGGCACAAUUGGUUGCGCAGCCUACAAGGUACAAACGCACACAGGCCCAGCCAGAAGCCCAGCCGAGUGACCUAACGAAAAAUCGAACUCAGCCUACAUACGACGUACAAAGAAACAGACAGUCGGACGAAACCAAGAAUAUAACCUUCCUUUAUUAGUAGGUAUACAUGAGUAUAGACUGGGGUAUACAUACAAAUAUAUAUCAUGUCAGGACAUCUGGUAAGUGCACCCUAUGAUGAUCAAUGAGUUUGACAUAUCUUUUAGGUACGAUCAUGAUGAUCCAUGGCGCACUCAAGAGGAGCGUGUGUUGCCAUGAGCCAGGAACUCUAUGAGGUUGCGGUUGAAGACACAUGGCCUCUCCAGUUGUACAAGAUGCCCUGCUUUGCUUAUGCGUCGCAGGUUCGCCUUCUCCCCUAGCUUGCUGCACCCAUAAUUUAAGAACGAUAGUACAUGUACUGUCUGACGAAUUUGUUGAAGGAACAUGUGGAUAAUAGUUGUUUUCUUACUGUUUCAGACACUCAGCAUCCUCUAUGGGCCACAUGUUGUCAUUUUCACCCCACAACAGGAGUAUGCUCUGCACCCAUCAAAGAAAAAAUUAAUGGAAUGUUAAUCACAAGGAACUUGAGGACAAAGAACGCACUUUCUCAAAUUUCAUUGGUGUGCAGCAAGCUGUAACUUUUUUACGACAAAUAAUUCAAAAAUGGUUAUUUUCUAACAUGUGACGUGGGCUGUAGAUAUAAAAAAGAAGAAAUAUUUCAUCCGCAGAGCUUCUAAUGAGAUGUUCUAGUGCUACAGAGCUUUGUGGUUCUGCUGUAAUUUCCAACGCUAGGGAACACGGUCCAAAUUGCCACAUAAUGUAAUGUAUAUAUCGUAUCAUAAAAUUUGAAAUCCGAAAUCAAUCACACAAUUAUGUAAAAUGAGAAAGCUUGCAGCAAAUAUUUGCUCAGGGAGAUAAAGAAUGAACCUACUGUAGGAUCCAAAAAUUGUUUCUUUAAUGACGGAUUCGCCUAUUUCUCCCUAGCUAGAUACUAGAUGCAUGUCACCAUAAUCUAGAAGUUGUGAAGCUUUAGCUGUAGAAAAGUGCAACGUCCUCCUGAAUUUGCACAUAAAUUUCUAAACUAUGCAACCGCAUAAUGAAAGAAGAAGUUACAUAAAGAAUCAACAUGCUGAGACAUAGACAGUCCUCAUGGCGGUGCUUCAAAACAAAAAUUCUAUUGUAGUAAUUUUCAACAACUGUCCAUAUACCAGACUUCAGGAUUCAUCCACGUGUAAAAGGAUGAGAAAAAUGUUGAUCUAACGAUAGUCAGUCGUUAAGUGCGUGGGAAUCAAUAUGUAUAAUUUAACUAUCACGGUGAUCCUUUUUGACUUCUCGGUUCUCAUCGUGAUUUGCACGGUAGUUGGAGAAUCAAGAUUGGUUCAAAUGGUUAGCAUCAUCGAUUCAGACAUAAGAAUAACUAUGUCCAAUUAUGCAUAGACGAAUUCCUUAUUGUAAACUGGUUGGAGACUGUCAGUGCAUAUAGCGAUGAGAAGUUUGAGAACCUGCUGAAAAACAGGGGCAAAUGCUUCUGUGUCCCCGAGGACUAUAUCUUCUAUCAUCUCAGCUCUCUCCUUUUGGUUGAAAUACAUCACCUGAACAACAAAGCACGUAACGGAUGGUUCAUCUUAGUUUUAACAAGACAAAGAAGGGAGCAGAAAUACCUUAAGAAAGUCCCUGAGAAGGCGAUCCGGAAACCACGGCUUCAUGUGCAUGGCGUUGGAGAACAGCAACCUGAGCUGGCCAACCGACUCCGGCACCAAGAGCUCCGUCAGCGAUUGGGCCCAGCCAAGCCUCCUCAGCAAGUCAUCCCUCAUGGCGCUAGUGUACUUGACGGUGCUGCCGGAGGCGACGACGGAGCGGACCUGGUCCGGAUGCACGGCCGCCAGCUCGAAUGCUACGAACCCGCCGUAGCUCCAGCCCACCACGUCGGCCGUACCGACUCCAAGCUUCCGUAGAGCCGCCGCAAGGCACCGUGCCUGGAAGGCCACGGAGCGGUCUGGCAACGGCGAUGUGGAGCCGCCGAAGUGCACCAGGUCGGGGACGUACACGUCGUAGCCACGAUUGGCGAGGGCGCUCACCUGGAGCACCCACGUCAUAAUGCCGUCGCCGGCGAAGCCGUGCACGAGCACCACGGGCUGGUGCUUCUUCCGCUGCUUCUGCUUCCUGUCCGGUGCAUCGUCAUUAUCAGGGAGCCAGAGGUUUAUGACAGUGCCCGCGUCAUCGACGGCAACGGCGUGCUGCCGGAGGCCGGCGUUUGUCGCCAGACGGGCGACUAAGUGUUUUCUUAGCACUUGUAUCCAGUUCACCAUCCUAUGUAUGCACGUACGUGGUUGCUGCUUAUUUAUUGCUUAAUGGCUGUUGGCAAUUUUAUCGGGGUUUAGGUAACCACAUUUGCAAUGUACCAUGGCGGUUAGCACUUUUUAUUUAUAGGCCGCGCGAGCAUUAAUUAUCUCUUGUCGUCGAUUCCUACCAAACGUCGUCAUUGGUACAGCUCGCGAACUUCUUUUUCUUCCAGAAAACAUGGUUGAAAAGAAAUUCUGCAGACAUGUAAAUUACACGAAAUUCCGAGACGAUUUUUACAUUAGGAAAGAGAUUAGACUACCCACAAUGAGAGUAACAUAGGUAGUAACAUCACACAUAUCUAGGUUAAAUAGAUGAUGUAGCAUGCAAUAAAUGAAGAAAGAGAUGAUAGUGUAACAUAGCUAGUUACUACUAGUAUGAAUAACAUCACACAUAUCAAGGCAAGAUGUGUCUAUAGUCUAAUAAAUGAAGUGCUCCAUGUUACCACACAUAUAUUACUCCCCACUAUAGAGGUAGUAACAUAGACUAGUAACAUAGGCAUGUUACUAGUCUAUGUUACUACCCAUUAUGGCUAGUCUUAGGCCAGAAAAUAGUGUUCGGGCUAACGCUCUGGCGAUGAACGCCGGACAAACCCUAGUCUCACAACCUGCUGUCAAUGACCAUAUGGUGAACAAUGGGCGUGUGGUGUUCUCUUUUUGAAAAAAAAACCCUCAAAUUCUUAUUUUUUGUUUUUUUCUCGCAUAAAGGCCCACAUUAACUGCAUGUGUGGCAUUGGGUGGUCCCACCUGUCAGCCGAACAUCACAAAUUUUAUUAGUAUUAGAAAGAAAAAUAGGAGUCAGGCAAGGAUUCAAACCGUUGACCUAUAGUUAGCCGAGAGCACGGCUAGCCAACACACCAAAUAACAGUUAAAAUCAUAUAAGGAUACUCAGCCUUUAUAUCUUUGUUAAGAGCAUCUCCAACAUGCGCAUAAAGUUUCGCGCGGGCUUGCGGUCCCGCUCCCGCCCCCGAAACCCUCGCUGCCACCACCUUCCCCUGCCCGUCUCUGGCGGGAUCCGGCCGCCCUCGCCGGCGCACAGCCCGGAUCCGCCCCCCUUCCCCCGCCCUUCCUUCCCCGGCCCUCUUUCCGCCCUCACGCCGCCUCCCCGGGAAGCGGCCGGGGCGGCCCCCGCGCCUCUACUCUUGGCUUCGCCGCCUCAUCCUCUCCCCGGCCGUCGCCGGCGGGCACCCCCGGCUCCUGCCCGGGGGGUGCCGGCGGCGGCAGGAUCUCCUCUCCCCGCGCGCGCGUCCUCCUGGCCCGGGGCAGGGGGCGGCGGCGGUGUNNNNNNNNNNNNNNNNNNNNNNNNNNNNNNNNNNNNNNNNNNNNNNNNNNNNNNNNNNNNNNNNNNNNNNNNNNNNNNNNNNNNNNNNNNNNNNNNNNNNNNNNNNNNNNNNNNNNNNNNNNNNNNNNNNNNNNNNNNNNNNNNNNNNNNNNNNNNNNNNNNNNNNNNNNNNNNNNNNNNNNNNNNNNNNNNNNNNNNNNNNNNNNNNNNNNNNNNNNNNNNNNNNNNNNNNNNNNNNNNNNNNNNNNNNNNNNNNNNNNNNNNNNNNNNNNNNNNNNNNNNNNNNNNNNNNNNNNNNNNNNNNNNNNNNNNNNNNNNGGUGUCGCUCGGCUUGGCGGCGGUCCGGUGACCCGGCGGGGUGGCCGGAGGCGGACGUGGUGGCGGCGCUGCUCCUUGGCGGCGGGGCGGCGUGGUGGUGCGGGGUGGCCGACGUUGCGCCCCCGGCCCAGAUCUGGGCCCGGCGGGCCCCAUCUGUGUCCUAGCGGGCCAUCCCCUCGGCGUGGCCUCGUUGUCUGCGGCGCGGUGAGGAGGAGGAGCGGCUCGGAUAUGGGGCGUCGGCGCCGAUGGCGUGCCGGCAGCAGUGCGAAGGCGGGAGCUUUACGGGCCGGGCCUGGUGUGCUCCUGCUAUUGCGUCCGGACGGCUACCGUCGCUGACGGUGGAGGUGGGGCCCUCCCGCGUGCCGACGAUGCUGAUGCCCUAGUCCCGGCUCUGAUUGUUCGUCGCGCUGUCCUCAGUUCGCGGUGCCGUGGUGAGACGGCGUGGGGGCCUCAUGAUCGCGUUGGCGCAAGGUGGUGGUUGGUUUGGUGGCUGGAUCUGGAGCGCCCGAGGUGCGUGUUGGGAUCGGAGGAAACCCCUGUCGGCGUGGCCGACACCGGCGCAGUGUCGUCUGUGGGUGCCACCUGACCUUCCGGGAGGGCGUCGGGGGUUACCCUUCCUCUCGCCUCGUCGUGUACCGGGGGAAACCCUUGGCAGCAGCGUCGUCAUCGUCGCGAUCCUUCUUGGAGGUGUUGAUAGGUGCCGGCGCUUCGGAGUCUUGGAGCCUAGUGGAAGAUCCCGGUGGGCGUAGCAUUUACGAGGCUUCUUCGUUUUUGUUGAUCCGCCGUCGUCGGCAUUUGUUUCUGUUGCUCAUUCUCUGUCUUUUUUUUGGGAGUGAUUGUGCUGCUUCCGCCCCAGCACCUAUCCAUGUACGGUUCGCUUGGUUGCUUUGUAUACAAAGCGGGGAACCCUUUUUCGGUAAAAGUUUUGCACGCUAAAAUAGUUUUAGCAUGCCACUGUAGCAUUUUUAGCGCGUCGGACCCAACAUUGGUUUAGCAGAUGCCCAAAAACGCGCGCAAAAAAAACACGCAGUGCAAAUUGUGAAGCGCGCGCAAUCCGGCACCCCAAAUUUGCAGCUUCUGAUAGCGCUUUUUAGCGCGUGCCCAAUCCUUUUUUGCGCGUGCACUAUUUUACAGCUUCUGCAGAGCUGUCCGGCGCCCAAAAACACCGAAUUUUAGCGUGCGGAGCAAUUUUUGUGCGCCUGUUGGAGAUACUCUAAAUAACGUGAAAUAAGAAUUCUUAUUCAGAAAAAAUGAUACAGCCGUGGGAUUUCGCACCAACGACCUGACAGUUACCACGAGGAGGACCUAGCAAAUACUCCCUCCGUCCUAUAAUAUAAGAGCGUUUUUUACAUUAAGGUAGUGUUAAAAAUGCUUUUAUAAUAUGGAACGCAGCGAGUACUAUACAACAAACGGCAUUUCGUGCCUUAAUAGGAUUGUUAACCUUUAUACAACAGUACGCCCGCUGGCCUAAAUAGACUGCAGUUAUUGCGGCCCAUUUUAAACAUGUUAGUUUUUUUCUUUACUUUUUUUUAGCCCCAAAAAAUGUAAACUAUAAGUGUACAUAUAAUUGUAAAUACGUUUUCAUUUGAGAAUCUGCAGUCCAAGGCAUACUAGGCUAUGUUUUUGCACAUAUAUUUAUAUUAAUUUAAAAAUACAUAUCUAACUUUUAGAAAACACACGAAUUUUAUUAAAACAACAUAAAAACAUUAAAGCUUGCACAACUUUGUAUACAAAAUGAACAUUUUAUAAAAGAAAACUUGUAAAUUUUUGAAGUGAUAUGAUAAUUGACUCUUCAGCUAACGAGCACAUGAACUAACUACAUGCAGCUCCAGCUGCGCGGACGACCCGGCUGCCUCCAACAGAUCCCAACGGCCGCUACUAAUAUGCAGCCCCUUGUGUGAAUUAUGACUACAUCAGGAUAGUUUAUUAGCAGCGAGACAUUUUGACGAGUGGGAGGCCGCCAUUUAUAUCGUACGCAACCCAAUGGUAACAAAUUAUUUAGUGGCGUGUCGCACGCAACCCACUGGUAACCAAUAUACCGGUGGCGUGUCCUUACCCACACACCACAUCUAUACGCACACAUCAUAAUUAACUUUUGCCUAAAAUUUUAAAAACAUACUUACAUUCAACUACUAGUGGCGUGUGAAUAGACACAGAUGCGCCACAGGAAACGUACCUACUAGUGGCGUGCUCUUAUCCCUCCAAUCUACUAGUAACUAUUUUCAGUAUAUUUCAGAGAAAAAUACCACAAUUAGAAUUAAAUUCAAAUUAUUUAUAAGGAUUGAAAUAUUCAAAAAUAUAUAUCCAUAUGCAUAUACAAGAAUAGACACCAAUCUAUUAAUUACAUGUAUUCCAAUACAUAUAUACAUUCAUUAAUUCACCAUAUGCAUCCUAUGGAAUUGAUUACGCACAUGUCAUUUCUCAGCUACAUACAUACAUCAAUAGACCAUAUACAUCACUUGAUUAAAUUGUUGAUCUUCGUUUGCUCCAUAUAUAUGGCAAAGAAAUAGCAUGUCCAAAGAAAUUUAAAGCGUCUAUUAGCAUUGAGAAUGAGGCGUGAAAUGCUCAUAUAGGUUGUCAUGCUAUUAUUUUGUAGGCAAAGGACUCAUAUUCACUAGUAGAAAACAGGGCUUUGGUCCAAGCUCGAUCUACACAUUAGUCCCGGUUGCAUUACGAACCGGGACUAAUGUGAGCAUUAGUCCCGGUUCGAGCGGCUAGGGCGCCGGUCGGGGCUCGGCGGGCAUUAGUCCCGGAUUAAAUGAGACCUUUAGUCCCGGUUGGAGACACCAACCGGGACUAAAGGGGUUGAGGCUUUAGUCCCGGUUAGAGCCACCAACCGGCCGGGACUAAAGCCUCAAGCCCUUCAGUCACGGUUGGAGCCACCAACAGGGACUAAACGGGUUAUGAAAGUUUCUUUUCUGUUUUUCCAUAUAUUUUUUUGUUAUUAGUUUCUGUUUUAAAUUGCUUAUAUCUUUAGGAUAUUCGUUGUUUCUGAGUGAUUCUUUUUUCAUUAGAUUCAAAACUUGUCUAGUUUCUGUUUGUGCAAUUAGUUUUCAAAUUUGAAUGGUUUCAAUUUGAAUUUGUUUAAAUUUGCUUCAAACCCUAGAUUGUGAAUAACUUGAGUUUAAAAUAGUAUUUAAUUUAAUUCUUUUUGCUCCCCAGUCACAUGUUAGAUUGUUGUCAAGGUAAUAUUUAUUUGUAUUUUUUAGAAUAAUUUAAAUUAGGAUUUUAAUUAAAACAGUAUUGUUUUGCUUAUACAGUUGUUUUAGUCCUUUAAUUGUUGUUUUUAAUUAUUUUUAGUUAGUUCUUUCUGUAGAUUUUAACAUGUUGUAGUAUGCUUCUGUUAGACAACAGUAGAUAAAAUUUUAUAAUUAAUUAAUAUUAAUUUUGCUACAGUUUUGUAUUAAUAGUUGUUUAGCCUUUAAUUAUAAUUGAUACAAUUAGUUUUGCUAUAUUAAAAAGUAAUUCUUUUUGCCAAUUUAAUAGAACGUGACUCUAGCUUGGUUAACCUUAGUUGUGUCUCUGGCUGGGACUAUGCUAGCAGAUGUAGUCGACGGUAGGAUAGGAUGGACACCAACCCGGACUAAAGGGGUUAUGCAANNNNNNNNNNNNNNNNNNNNNNNNNNNNNNNNNNNNNNNNNNNNNNNNNNNNNNNNNNNNNNNNNNNNNNNNNNNNNNNNNNNNNNNNNNNNNNNNNNNNNNNNNNNNNNNNNNNNNNNNNNNNNNNNNNNNNNNNNNNNNNNNNNNNNNNNNNNNNNNNNNNNNNNNNNNNNNNNNNNNNNNNNNNNNNNNNNNNNNNNNNNNNNNNNNNNNNNNNNNNNNNNNNNNNNNNNNNNNNNNNNNNNNNNNNNNNNACUUCAAAAAUUAAAAUCCUUCGAGAUGUAGUUAUUUUACUACAUCUACUAGUUAGGAAAAUUAAAAAACAUAAAUUUUCAUAUGUUUUGUAAAAAAAGUGUUAUGAAAAAGUAAAACGGCUAUAAAUUUUGCAUACGAUGUCGAAAAAAACCGUAUAAUAUAUCAAAAUGUUCAGCACGAGAAGCCGGUUCCGAUUUCGAUUGCCAUAGGACGUUUUGCAAAAAAUUUAGAAUCCUCAAAUUCUUAAAGGAAAAAAGGUUAUCCUCAAAUUAAAGUUCUUUCGAAUUUUUGGUCAAACUCUGGUCAAACUAUGGUCAAAUUGUGGUCAAACUAUGGUCAAACUACUUAUUCAAUAAAUAUUAGUGUUACUAAAUAAUUAUUGUUUUUUAUAAUAAAGUUUCAAACUCAAACGGUAAAAUGUGUGACUUCAUGCUCAAGUUCGACUCCUAAAAUCAAACAACAACCGUUGCUGCAACUAGACAGACAUCGUAUAUAGUGAUUCAGGGAUUCACCAUUUUAUACCUGAGGUAGUACCAGAUCAACAAAUUAUAACCAUUUUAUCAAUGAAUCCAGAUCAGGCACUUGUGCUCAGCCAAACAUAGAAAGCUCAUUAGUUUUCAUCCGGUUCACAUCACGAAGAAGCAAUUGAUUUCGGCAUAUGAAAAAUAAUUUUAAAAAUUAAUGAUGUCAUAUUUGGAUUCCUCACAUAUUUCAGAUAAUAAUGGAUUUAUUAUUUGUCGAAUUUCGAUUUACAGAUUUAAAGAUAUUAAUUACGCCAUAUUAAAUGAAUAAAUGGCAAAAAUGAAUAAAAUAAUAUUAUUACUUAUUUUAUUUUCAUUGAAAUUCAAUAUUAUUAUUAUUUAUUUUAUUAUAAUAAUUGUUUGGAAUUCAAAAAAUUAAAUCAUGUGACAUCAGGACCUAAGGGUUAACUGGAUUGAUAGCUUACUAUUGUCAGGAAAACAACAAGUGUAGACUUGGAAAACGCAGAAGUGAAGCGUGCUUGGGCUGGAGUAGUAAGAGGAUGGGUGACCGGCCCGGAAAUUAGACGAUUUGGAAUGAGUGCUCCACACUGGAGCAGUGAUGAGGGUGAUUAGAGAUUGAAUUGUCAAAUAAUUCAGAAAUUUGAAAAUAAAAAAAAAUCAAAAAAUAUAAUUCAAAAUCAAAAUUUCAAAAAAAAUCCUUUAGUCCCCGGGACUAAAGGAAGGUGGAGCCUUUAGUCCCGGUUGGUAACACCAACCGGGACUAAAGGUUCUCCAACCCCACUCCAGAUAGCGGCCACGUGGAGCCCCUUUAGUUCCGGUUCGUAACACAGCCGGGACUAAAAGUGGUGGGCAUUAGUCCCGAUCAUUUUGUCCCGGUUGGAAAACUGGGACUAAAGGCCCUUACGAACCGGGACUAAAGGCCAAUUUUCUACUAGUGAUUUGGAGCCAAAGCAGCAAUUUGGGAUAAUUUUUGAUGCCAAGGCAACAUUUUGGAGCCAUUUUUGUUCAUGUCACCCAUCUAGACUUGAGGAUUGUUUUCUUCGUGUUAACAAAAACACCAACAUCACAUAUAUUACGAUUAAAAGCUUGUAUCUUGAUGGUUCCUAAGAUGUUUCAUCCAUAAAAGUUCACAAACCACUCUUGUAUCACAUGUUUACUAUGGACGGUACUGGAGAGGUUUGUGAACCUGAAAAAUCUUGGGAACACUGAAAUUAGCAGCCGCUAGUGAUAAUAUAUAUGAUGUUUAAGUUACCGUGAAUAUGAAGACAACGAUGUCGAAGCCCGGGUGGGCAGUAUUUGUUGAUGCCAAUCAAAUAGAAGAGAAUUAUUCCUUGAUGUUUCGAUACAUGAGAAACCUUCUAAGAUUCAUCAAGAUACAAUAUUUCUAACACCCUGGGACUGGCACUAUAGAGAUCUAGCACCUCCUCUAGCAUCUACAUUAUAUCGAUCCUAGGGUGCCAUAAAACACAAUGUGCGGAUCGCACCAUAAACUCUACGAGGGUGGAACAGUAAGUAUCACAAUAAAAUUGACGAAAGAAGCUGCAACAAUGACAAAUAUACAACAGCGCCAAAGAUUUAAAUGUUACAAAUGGAUACAAUAAGAGUCUUUCGACCAAAAUACAACUCAUACAAUGUAAGAGAAUAUGUACUUUCUACAUGUAAAGUUCAAUGAACUUGCAUAAGACGGCUAAAGCACAGUAAAUGAUGUCCAUAUCCUAGCCCAGACCAUUGCCUAUCUAGUGUCGUCCUUCAUCAUACCUAUUAAAAGAACAAAUAAUGCAAGAUGAGUACCCAACUAUACUCGCAAGACAUACAUGAUAUCUAUCUACUUAUGCAUCAUUCGCAAGGAAAUGGGUAUGUGUUGGCUUAAACAUGAAGCAUUAAGCAUUCUAUGGAGACACGUUGCAACUUGUGUCUAUCAGAGAUAAGUUAAGAGAGAGUAUAAGGAAAAAGAUCACAUAAGAACCAUCUAUUCCUAUCAUCAAACAUAACAUCACACCAUGAAUCCUCCCUUGCAUCACCCACAAGGAAGUAAGUCCAUGCAAAAUUACUUAAUACUUUAGAAACUAACAAGUUUAUUAAGUGGUCAAGUUUUCACAAUUAUGGUUUCUUUUUACUGGAGACAAAUAAAAUACAUGAAAUUCUGAGGGCAUUCGUGUAUUAGGAAAGAGCUAGGGUGAGAAGAUGGGGCUUAACUGGGGUCCAUGUCAUCCAAGCACCCCAUCCCUAGGGCAUCCCAAUGAGGUAGAGGGCUCCCUUCCCCAUCCGAUGAUCUUUAAAUAUUCCGAAACUUCUUCUAGAUUGAACACCACGUCAGGAUAGUUUGUUACUCCCUCUGUUUCUUUUUUACUUAGGGUAUUAGAUUUUUUAAAGUCAAACUUUGCAAACAAGCUUGGAUGCCAUCCCACUUUCGAUAUGGUGUGUCCAUUCGAAAAUCAAUUUCUAGGAAUUAAUAUUUUCAUAUUUUCACCAAAGAGGAGUUUUCACAAAUUUAGUAGUUACAACUACAACACAAAUUCGCCCGGGAAGCUGAUCUAGGUCGGCAGUAUAGCGAUACGAUGUGUGGACGAGGACAUCAGUGAAGCGCGUACCAUGCGGCUGACGAUGGGGCUGGUGAAGUGCCAAACCCCUCGAGGGCACUUCCCCACACCAGCCCAAGACAAGUCACCUGCGCGCGGGACUGAGUUCAUGGUACAAAAAAGCCAAACACAAUAUAUGCUAAGGUUGACAGGAGUAUUACAUGAUUGUUUAUACAAUGUUGGCAUAACGUUAGAGAUUGUAUCUACUUAUGCGUCAAUCUGAAGUAAAGGGGUAUGUGUGGGUUAAGCAGAAAGCACUAAGCAUUCUAUGGAGAAAUGCUACAAUUUGUGUCUAUCAGAUAUAAGGCAAGAGAGCUAUAAGGAAAAUGAUCACAUAAGAACCAUAUAUUCCCAUCCUCAAACAUAACACCAUGUCUUGAAUGCUCAAUUGCAUCACCCAUAAGGAAAUAAGUUCAUGUCACUUACAUUGUUGGCAAGUUUAUUUAAUACUUCCUCCAUUCCACAAUGUAGUGCACCCGCGUUUCCCACGAUCCAAGUUUGACCGUAAAUUUAACCAACGAGACUGAUUGUGGCAGGAUCAAAAGUUAUAUCACCGAAUUCAUUUCGAAAAUACGAAUUCGGUGGUAUAAUUUUUGUUCCUGCCGCAGUCGGUCUCGUUGGUUAAAUUUAAGGUCUUGAAUCUCGGGAAGCACGGGCACAAUACAUUGUGGAAUGGAGGGAGUAGUUGAACUAGUUAAUAAAUUAGAAACUAGCAAAUUUAUUAAGAGAUCAAGUUUUAGCCAUUAUGGUUGGCGUUAUUCUACGAUCAAGUAUAAAAUCUCUAACUCAUCAAUAACCACAGACGAGGCUAUUUGAAUAGAUCUAACAUUGCACGGACGCACCAAGUUACCCAUACACAUGCGAUAUUCUUUUAAUGUCAAACACGAAGUUAUGAAAUUCAAAGAACCCUAUGUAAAUUUCCCGAUUUGGACUGCCUAAAAUCAUCCACAAAUGAUCUAAAAUGAGGAAGUGCUCAACUUUAAAAUUUGGUCCGCGGGUUCCGGCAUUACUUGCCCCAAUUUGGUAGGAAUCAGACGUUUUGGACAUAAUUUUUGAGUUAUUUUCUUCUACAGGAAGUUCGGACGAGUUGAGAGGCGAUGGCCUAUUUAAACGACACAAAAUAAAAUAGUACAACUACUGCUUUUCAUAUACUUUGCCUCCAUCGCUUGUUCUUGAUCCAUGUUUUAAUUAUUGAAAAGUAGUGGAUCCUGUGUUUCUAGGUGUGGUGGGAUUGACCUAACGCUACCCAUGGCCACUUCAUUCCCUCAUGGGCUCCAUCUAGGGUGUGUGGGUUUCCAUCUUAUGAAAAGUCUCCCCGGGGCGACUUGCUUAUUGCUCUCUAAGCAAGGCUCCUUGAUGACAUUGUCAUGCAUACCACGCUCAACAUCGGGGGUACACGGUGAGAUCUAAAUGUGUCAAAGGUUAUAUCAUAAAAAUGUUACAACUAUUAUUUAGAUUAAGCAUAUAUGAUCAAAUUACGAGGAAUUAUUUAUUACACUGCAAUAUUAUUGGUAAUGUAUCACAAUCGAUGAGCAUUUAUUAAGGUAACCAUCUUUCGCCAUCUAACUAAGGAUAUUAAGAGGACAAUUUUUGAUAAUUAUAUAUUAUUACAAUUUUUGGUAGUUAGAUAUUAGAAUCACCCCUUAACAAGAAGUAUUAAUGGGCCUGCAGGUUUGUCUACAUGCCUGUGACACCCCCGAUUCAAUCGUACAUUAAUCAUACACGCAAACAUGUACGAUCAAGAUCAGGCACUCAUAGGAAGAUAUUGUUGGGAAUCGUAGCAUAAUUUAAAAUUUUCCUACGCUCACCAAGAUGCAUCUAUGGAGUCUACUAGCAACGAGGGGAAAGGAGUGCAUCUACAUACCCUUGUAGAUCGCGAGCGGAAGCGUUCCAAUGAACGUGGAUGACGGAGUCGUACUCGCCGUGAUCCAAAUCACCGAUGACCGAGUGCCGAACGGACGGCACCUCCGCGUUCAACACACGUAUGGUGCAGCGACGUCUCCUCCUUCUUGAUCCAGCAAGGGGGGAGGAGAGGUUGAUGGAGAUCCAACAGCACGACGGCGUGGUGGUGGAUGUAGCGGGUCUCCGGCAGGGCUUCGCCAAGCUUCUGCGAGAGAGAGAGAGAGGUGUUGCAGGGGAGGAGGGAGGCGCCCAAGGCUUAGAUGUUGCAGCCCUACCUCCCCCCCACUAUAUAUAGGGCCAAGGGAGAGGGGGGGCGCAGCCUUGCCCCUUCCUCCAAGGAAGGGUGCGGCCAGGGGGGAGUCCUUCCCCCCCAAGGCACCUCGGAGGUGCCUUCCCCCUUUAGGACUCUCCCUUUUUUCUUAUCUCUUGCGCAUGGGCCUCUUGGGGCUGGUGCCCUUGGCCCAUAUAGGCCAAGGCGCACCCCUUACAGCCCAUGUGGCCCCCCGGGGCUGGUGGACCCCCUUGGUGGACCCCCGGACCCCUUUCGGCACUCCCGGUACAAUACCGAUAAAGCGCGAAACUUUUCCGGCGACCAAAAUAAGACUUCCCAUAUAUAAAUAUUUACCUCCGGACCAUUCCGGAACCUCUCGUGACGUCCAGGAUCUCAUCCGGGACUCCGAACAACUUUCGGGUUUCCGCAUAGAUAUAUCUCUACAACCCUAGCGUCACCGGACCUUAAGUGUGUAGACCCUACGGGUUCGGGAGACAUGCAGACAUGACCGAGACGCCUCUCCGGUCAAUAACCAACAGCGGGAUCUGGAUACCCAUGUUGGCUCCCACAUGUUCCACGAUGAUAUCAUCGGAUGAACCACGGUGUCGAGGAUUCAAUCAAUCCGUAUGCAAUUCCCUUUGUCAAUCGGUAUGUUACUUGCCCGAGAUUCGAUCGUCGGUAUCCCAAUACCUAGUUCAAUCUCGUUACCGGCAAGUCUCUUUACUCGUACCGCAAUGUAUGAUCCCGUGACUAACGCCUUAGUCAUACUGAGCUCAUUAUGAUGAUGCAUUACCGAGUGGGCCCAGAGAUACCUCUCCGUCACACGGAGUGACAAAUCCCAGUCUCGAUCCGUGCCAACCCAACAGACACUUUCGGAGAUACCCGUAAUGCACCUUUAUAGUCACCCAGUUACGUUGUGACGUUUGGCACACCCAAAGCACUCCUAUGGUAUCCGGGAGUUGCACGAUCUCAUGGUCUAAGGAAAAGAUACUUGACAUUGGAAAAGCUCUAGCAAACGAAACUACACGAUCUUUUAUGCUAUGCUUAAGUUGGGUCUUGUCCAUCACAUCAUUCUCCUAAUGAUGUGAUCCCGUUAUCAAUGACAUCCAAUGUCCAUAGUCAGGAAACCAUGACUAUCUGUUGAUCAACGAGCUAGUCAACUAGAGGCUUACUAGGGACAGGUUGUGGUCUAUGUAUUCACACAUGUAUUACGAUUUCCGGACAAUACAAUUAUAGCAUGAAUAAUAGACAAUUACCAUGAAUAAAGAAAUAUAAUAAUAACCAUUUAUUAUUGCCUCUAGGGCAUAUUUCCAACAGUCUCCCACUUGCACUAGAGUCAAUAAUCUAGUUCACAUCACCAUGUGAUUAACACUCACUGGUCACAUCACCAUGUGACCAACAUCUAAAGAGUUUACUAGAGUCAACGAUCUAGUUCACAUCACUAUGUGAUUAUCACUCAAUGUUCUGGUUUGGUCAUGUUAUGCUUGUGAGAGAGGUUAUUAGUCAACGGGUCUGAACCUUUCAGAACCGUGUGCUUUAUGAAUAUCUAUGUCAUCUUGUGGAUGCUACCACGCGCUAUUUGGAGCCAUUUCAAAUAAUUGCUCUACUAUACGAAUCCGGUUUACUACUCAGAGUCAUCCGGAUUAGUGUCAAAGUUUGCAUCGACGUAACCCUUUACGACGAACUCCUUUCCACCUCCAUAAUCGAGAAAAUUCCUUAAUCCACUAGGUGCUAAGGAUAAGUUCGACCGCUGUCAUGAGAUCCUUUCCCGGAUCACCAUUGUACCCUCUUGACCAACUCAUGGCAAGGCACACUACAUGUGCGGUACAUAGCAUAGCAUACUAUAGAGCCUAUGUCUAAAGCAUAGGGGACGACCUUCGUCCUUUCUCUAUCUUCUGCUGUGGUCAGGUCUUGAGUCUCACUCAAUACUCACACCUUGUAACACAGCCAAGAACUCCUUCUUUGCUGAUCUAUUUUGAACUCUUUCAAAAUCAUGUCAAGGUGUGCUGUCUUUUGAAAGUAUCAUCAGGCGUCUUGAUCUAUCUCUAUGGAUCUUGAUGCCCAAUAUAUAUGUAAGCAGCUUUAUCCAGGUCUUCCUUUGAAAAACUCCUUUCAAACAACCCUUUAUGCUUUCCAGAAAUUUCACAUCAUUUCGGAUCAACAAUAUGUCAUUCACAUAUACUUAUCAGAAAUGUUGUAGCGCUCCCACUCACUUUAUUGUAAAUACAAGUUUCUAACAAACUUUGUAUAAACCCAAAAACUUUGAUCACUCCAUCAGAGCGUAUAUUCUGACUCCGAGAUGCUUGCUCUAAUCCAUGGAAGGAUCGCUGGAGCUAGCACACCUUUUAGCAUCCUUAGGAUUGAUAAAACCUUUCUGAUUGUAUCACAUACAACCUUUCCUUACGAAAACUGGUAAGGAAACUUGUUUUGACAUCCAUCUGCCAGAUUUCAUAAAUGUAGCUAAUGCUAACAUGAUUCCGACGGACCUAAGCAUCGCUACGGAUGAGAAAAACUCAUCGUAGUCAACUCCUUGAACUUGUGAAAAUACUCUUUGCCACAAGUCGAGCUUCAUAGAUGGUAACAUUACCGUCCAUGUCCGUCUUCUUCUUAAAGAUCCAUUUAUCUCAAUGGCUUGCUGAUCAUCGGGCAAGUUCACCAAAGUCCAUGCCUUGUUCUGAUACAUGGAUUCUAUCUCGGAUUUCAUGGCCUCGAGCCAUUCGUCGGAAUAUGGGCCCACCAUCGCUUCUCCAUAGCUCGUAGGUUCAUUGUUGUCUAGCAACAUGACUUCCAAGACAGGAUCACGCAUCACUCUGAAGUAGUGCGCAUCCUCGUCGUCCUACGAGGUUUGGUAGUGACUUGAUCCGAAGUUUCAUGAUCAAUAUCAUAAGCUUCCACUUCAAUUGGUGUAGGUGCCACAGGAACAACUUCCUGUGCCCUGCUACACACUAGUUGAAGCGACGGUUCAAUAACCUUAUCAAGUCUCCACCAUCCUCCCACUCAAUUCUUUUGAGAGAAACUUUUCCUCGAGAAAGGACUCGUUUCUAGAAGCAAUUACUUUUGCUUCCAGAUCUGAAAUAGGAGGUAUACCCAACUGUUUUUGGGUAUUCUAUGAAGAUGCAUUUAUCCGCUUUGGGUUCGAGCUUAUCAGCCUGAAACUUUUUCACAUAAGCAUCGCAGCCACAAACUUUUAAGAAACGACAACUUAGGUUUCUAUAAACGGUGUCGUCUCAACGGAAUUGCGUGGUGCCCUUUUUAAAGUGAAUGCGGUUGUCUCUAACGCCUAACCCAUAAAUGAUAGUGGUAAUUUGAUAAGAAACAUCAUGGUAUGCACCAUAUCCAAUAGGGUUCAGUUAUGAUGUUCGGACACACCAUCACACUAUGGUGUUCCAGGCGGUAUUAAUUGUGAAACACUUUCCACAAUGUCUCAAUUGUGUGCCAAACUCGUAUCUCAGAUACUCAUCUCUAUGAUCAUAUCACAGACAUUUUAUCCUCUUGUCACGACGAUCUUCAACUUCACUCUGAAAUUGCUUGAACCUUUCAAUAAUUUAGACUAGUGUUUCAUCAAGUAAAUACACUCAGCAUCUACUCAAAUCAUCUGUGAAGUAAGAACAUAACGAUAUCCACUGCAUGCCUCAGCAUUCAUUGGACUGCAUACAUCAAAAUGUAUUACUUCCAAUAAAUUGCUCUCUUGUUCCAUCUCACUAAAACCGAGGCCUUUCAGUCAUCUUGCCCAUGUGGUAUGAUUUGCAUGUCUCAAGUGAUUCAUAAUCAAGUGAGUCCAAACGAUCCAUCUGUAUGGAGUUUCUUCAUGCAUAUAUACCAAUAGACAUGGUUCGCAUGUCUCAAUCUUUUCAAAAAUGAGUGAUUCCAAAGAUCCACCUACAUGGAGCUUCUUCAUGCGUUCUACACCAAUAUGACUCAAGUGGCAGUGCCACAAGUAUGUGGUACUAUCAUUACUAUCUUAUAUCUUUUGGCAUGAACAUGUGUAUCAUGGCGAUCGAGAUUCAUUUCAGGUGCAAGACCAUUGAAGGUAUUAUUCAAAUAAACAGAGUAACCAUUAUUCUCCUUAAAUGAAUAACCGUAUUGCGAUAAACAUAAUCCAAUCAUGUUUAUGCUCAACACCAAAUAACAAUUAUUUAGGUUUAACACCAAUCUCGAUGGUAGAGGGAGCAUGCGAUGCUUGAUCACAUCAACCUUGGAAACACUUCCAACACAUAUCGUCAUCUCACCUUUAGCUAGUCUCCGUUUAUUCCGCAGCAUUUAUUUUGAGUUACUAACACUUAGCAACCGAACCAGUAUCUAAUACCCUGGUGCUGCUGGGAGUACUAGUAAAGUAGACAUUCAUAUAACGUAUAUCCAAUAUACUUUGUCAACCUUGUCUGCCUUCUCAUCUACCAAGUAUCUAGGGUAGUACUGCUUCAGUGACCAUUCCUCUCAUUACAGAAGCACUUAGUCUCGGGUUUGGGUUCAACCUUGGGAUUCUUCACUAGAGCAGCAAACGACUUGCUGUUUCAUGAAGUAUCCCUUUUGCCCUUGCCCUUCUUAAACUAGUGGUUUUACUAACCAUCAACAAUUGAUGCUCCUUCUUGAUUUCUACUCUCGCGGUGUCAAACAUCGCGAAUAGCUCAAGGAUCAUCAUAACUAUCCUUGAUAUGUUAUAGUUCAGCACGAAGCUCUACUAGCUUGGUGGCAGUGACUAUGGAGAACUAUCACUAUCUCAUCUGGGAGAUUAACUCCCACUCGAUUCAAGCGAUUGUGGCACUCAAACAAUCUGAGCACACGCUCAACGAUUGAGCUUUUCUCCCUUAGUUUGCAGGCUUAAGAAACUUGUCAGAGGUCUCAUACCUCUUGACGUGGGCACUACUCUGAAAUCCCAAUUUCAGUCUUCGGAACAUCUCACAUGUUCUGCGAUGUUUCAGAAACGUCUUUGGUGCCACAAUUCUAAACCGCACCGAACUAUCACGUAGUUAUCAAAACGUGUAUGUCAGAUGUUUUGUAACAUCUACAGACGACGCUGAGGUUCAGCACACCGAGCGGUGCAUUAAGGACAUAAGCCUUCUGUGCAGCAAUGAGGACAAUCCUCAGUUUACGGACCCAGUCCGCAUAAUUGCUACUACCAACUUUCAACUAAAUUUUCUCUAGGAACAUAUCUUAACCAGUAGAACUAAAGCGCAAGCUAUGACAUAAUUUGCAAAUACUUUUUUACUAUGUUCAUGAUAAUGAAGUUCAUCUGAUUAUGUACUCCCACUCAGAUAGACAUCCCUCUAGUCAUCUACGUGAAACAUGAUCCGAGUUCAACUAGGCCGUGUCCGAUCAUCACGUGAGACGGACUAGUCAAGAUCGGUGAACAUCUCCAUGUUGAUCGUAUCUUCUAUACGACUCAUGCUCGACCUUCCGGUCCUCCGUGUUCCGAGGCCAUGUCUGUACAUGCUAGGCUCGUCAAGUCAACCUAAGUGUAUUGCGUGUGUUCCGAGGCCAUGUCUGUACAUGCUAGGCUCGUCAACACCCGUUGUAUUCGAACGUAAGAAUCUAUCACACCCGAUCAUCACGUGGUGCUUCGAAACGACGAACCUUCGCAACGGUGCACAGUUAGGGUGAACACUUUCUUGAAAUUAUUAUAAGGGAUCAUCCUACUUGCUACCGUCGUUCUAAGCAAAUAAGAUGCAGAAACAUGAUAAACAUCACAUGCAAUCGAAUAGUGACAUGAUAUGGCCAAUAUCAUCAUGCUCCUUUGAUCUCCAUCUUCGGGGCACCAUGAUCAUCUUUGUCACCGGCAUGACACCAUGAUCUCCAUCAUCAUGAUCUCCAUCAUUGUGUCUUCAUGAAGUUGUCACGCCAACGAUUACUUCUACUUCUAUGGCCAACUCGUUUAGCAACAAAGUAAAGUAAUUUACAUGGCGUUAUUCAAUGACUCGCAGGUCAUGCAAAAUAAUAAAGACAACUCCUAUGGCUCCUGCCGGUUGUCAUACUCAUCGACAUGCAAGUCGUGAUUCCCAUUACAAAAAUAUGAUCAAUCUCAUACAUCACAUAUAUCAUUCAUCACAUCUUCUGGCCAUAUCAUAUCACAUAGCACUUGCUGCAAAAACAAGUUAGACGUCCUCUAAUUGUUGUUGCAAGUUUUUACGUGGUUUGUAGGUUUCUAGCAAGAACGUUUCUUACCUACGUAUGACCACAACGUGAUUUGCCAAUUUCUAUUUACCCUUCAUAAGAACCCUUUUCAUCGAAUCUGUUCCGACUAAAGUAGGAGAGACAGACACCCGCUAGCCACCUUAUGCAACUUGUGCAUGUCAGUUGGUGGAACCUGUCUCACGUAAGUGUACGUGUAAGGUCGGUCCGGGCCGCUUCAUCCUACAAUGCCGCCGAAACAAGAAAAGACUAGUAGCGGCAAGAAGAAUUGGCAAACUCAACGCCCAUAACUACUUUGUGUUCUACUCGUGCAUAGUAACUACGCAUAGACCUGGCUCAUGAUGCCACUGUUGGGAAUCGUAGCAUAACUUAAAAUUUUCCGACGCUCACCAAGAUGCAUCUAUGGAGUCUACUAGCAACGAGGGGAAAGGAGUGCAUCUACAUACCCUUGUAGAUCGCGAGCGGAAGCGUUCCAAUGAACGUGGAUGACGGAGUCGUACUCGCCGUGAUCCAAAUCACCGAUGACCGAGUGCCGAACGGACGGCACCUCCGCGUUCAACACACGUACGGUGCAGCGACGUCUCCUCCUUCUUGAUCCAGCAAGGGGGGAGGAGAGGUUGAUGGAGAUCCAACAGCACGACGGCGUGGUGGUGGAUGUAGCGGGUCUCCGGCAGGGCUUCGCCAAGCUUUUGCGAGAGAGAGAGAGAGAGAGAGAGGUGUUGCAGGGGAGGAGGGAGACGCCCAAGGCUUAGAUGUUGCUGCCCUCCCUCCCCCACACUAUAUAUAGGGCCAAGGGAGAGGGGGGGCGCAGCCUUGCCCCUUCCUCCAAGGAAGGGUGCGGCCAGGGGGGAGUCCUUCCCCACAAGGCACCUCGGAGGUGCCUUCCCCCUUUAGGACUCUUCCUUUUUUCUUAUCUCUUGCGCAUGGGCCUCUUGGGGCUGGUGCCCUUGGCCCAUAUAGGCCAAGGCGCACCCCUUACAGCCCAUGUGGCCCCCCGGGGCUGGUGGACCCCCUUGGUGGACCCCCGGACCCCUUUCGGCACUCCCGGUACAAUACCGAUAAAGCGUGAAACUUUUCCGGCGACCAAAAUAAGACUUCCCAUAUAUAAAUCUUUACGUCCGGACCAUUCCGGAACCUCUCGUGACGUCCGGGAUCUCAUCCGGGACUCCGAACAACUUUCGGGUUUCCGCAUACAUAUAUCUCUACAACCCUAGCGUCACCGGACCUUAAGUGUGUAGACCCUACGGGUUCGGGAGACAUGCAGACAUGACCGAGACGCCUCUCAGGUCAAUAACCAACAGCGGGAUCUUGAUACCCAUGUUGGCUCCCACAUGUUCCACGAUGAUAUCAUCGGAUGAACCACGGUGUCGAGGAUCCAAUCAAUCCGUAUGCAAUUCCCUUUGUCAAUCGGUAUGUUACUUGCCCGAGAUUCGAUCGUCGGUAUCCCAAUACCUAGUUCAAUCUCGUUACCGGCAAGUCUCUUUACUCGUACCGCAAUGCAUGAUCCCGUGACUAACGCCUUAGUCACACUGAGCUCAUUAUGAUGAUGCAUUACCGAGUGGGCCCAGAGAUACCUCUCCGUCACACGGAGUGACAAAUCCCAGUCUCGAUCCGUGCCAACCCAACAGACACUUUCGGAGAUACCCGUAAUGCACCUUUAUAGUCACCCAGUUACGUUGUGACGUUUGGCACACCCAAAGCAAUCCUACGGUAUCCGGGAGUUGCACGAUCUCAUGGUCUAAGGAAAAGAUACUUGACAUUGGAAAAGCUCUAGCAAACGAAACUACACGAUCUUUUAUGCUAUGCUUAAGUUGGGUCUUGUCCAUCACAUCAUUCUCCUAAUGAUGUGAUCCCGUUAUCAAUGACAUCCAAUGUCCAUAGUCAGGAAACCAUGACUAUCUGUUGAUCAACGAGCUAGUCAACUAGAGGCUUACUAGGGACAGGUUCUGGUCUAUGUAUUCACACAUGUAUUACGAUUUCCGCACAAUACAAUUAUAGCAUGAAUAAUAGACAAUUACCAUGAACAAAGAAAUAUAAUAAUAACCAUUUAUUAUUGCCUCUAGGGCAUAUUUCCAACAGAUAUCACAAGACAACUCUAAAAAAAUAAAAUAAGUCAUACAAGCAUCAUAAUACAAGCCAGGCGCCUCGAGGGCUCGAAUAAAAGUGCUCGAUCAUAGACGAGUCAGCGGAAGCAACAAUAUCUGAGUACAGACAUAAGUUAAACAAGUUUGCCUUAAGAAGGCUAGCACAAACUGGGAUACAGAUCGAAAGAGGCGCAGGCCUCCUGCCUGGGAUCCUCCUAAACUACUCCUGGUCGUCGGCGGCGGCCUGCACGUAGUAGUAGGCACCUCCAGUGUAGUAGGAGUCGUCGUCGACGGUGGCGUCUGUCUCCUGGGCGUCGGCAUCUGGUUGCGACAACCAGGUAGAAUGGAAAGGGGGAAAAGAGGGAGAAAAGCAACCGUGAGUACUCAUCCAAAGUACUCGCAAGCAAGGAUCUACACUACACACUACUAGAAAAAGGGUUAUAGAUAAUAUGGACACUAAUGGCGCAUCACACAUGUGGUGCGCCACUACUAUAUACUAAUGGCGCACCAUGUGUUGAAUGGCCAUUAGUGUCCAAAUACUAAUGGCGCACCACAUCCACGGUGCGCCACUAGUAAAAAAAAAUUAUAAUUUUUUUCAAAAUUACUAAUGGCGCACCACUCCCACGGUGCGCCAUUAGUAAUUUUGUUUCAAAUUUUUUUUCAAAUUGUUUUUUUUAACUACUAAUGGCGCAUCAUGGGUGUGGUGCGCCAUUACUAGUUGAACUAGUAAUGGUGCACCACUCCCACGGUGCGCCAUUAGUAAUUUUGUUUCAAACUGUUUUUUUUUCAAAGCUACUAAUGGGGCACCGUGGGUGUGGUGCACUUGGCCCAAACAUUCCACCGAAUGCACCCCCCCGGACCGCCUUUUCAGUUUUAAAAAAGAUAAAAGAAAAUGAUGGAAAUGUCAAAAAAAUAAAAGAAAAUAAGUUUCCCAUGUGAUAUGUGGUCUACUUGUUGGGAAAAUUUACAAAUAUGAAUUUCGACUUUAUUUGCAAAAUCUCUCUGGAAUUUGUAAAAUGAGCAUAACUUUUGCAUACAAACUCGGAUUAAAAAAAAUUAUAUGAAAUAUCAUCUACUCGAAAAGUUACAUCCGAAUUUAACAGAGGGAACCCGUUAAACAUUUACAAAAUCCUCAAAAACCUAACAGAAAAAAAGUUACGGGGCUUUUAAGAUCUAGAGGGGAAAAAAUGAAAAAAAUUCAAACUUACUAGUGGCAAAAAAAAAUUGGUUUCGAACUUUUUUUGGAAUUUUUUUUCAAAAAAUGAUACGUAAUAUGACCGGGAAGUUUGAAAUAUUUUUCAAAAUUUCAUCAUACUCAUGAACAUGAACAAAGUCCUAGACAUCAACAAGGUUUAAUAGGAUUGAUAUGAUAGAUAUAUCAACAAGUGCCUGUUAAGUGAGGUGGUGCUGGGGUUGGAUAGAACUGCGAAGUUAAGCGUGCUCGGGCUGGAGUAUGUGAGGAUGGGUGACCUUCCGGGAAGUUUGACCACUUAGUGCGAUUUGACUUGAGAUUAAGCAUGUUGACCUGAGAUUAAGCCAUAGUGACCCGAGAUUAAGAAAAAAAUGAAUAAAAAUUUGCAAAUUCUAUGUGGUGCGCCAUUAGUAAGCCAGAGCACAUGGUUAAAUAUGGCCUCCUGGGAGGCAUUCUAAUGGCGCACCGAAUGGUAUACUAAUGGCGCACCACAUGGUGCGCCAUUAGUAUCUGGUAUACUAAUGGCGCACCUGUGGUGCGCCAUUAGUAAUAAAAUUCUAAUGGCGUGGUGCUAGUGGCACACCUGUAGUGCACCAUUAGUAGGCAAAACAGGUGCGCCACUAGCAGGCCUUUUCCUAGUAGUGACAUAUGCAUGGGUAUAUGUGUAAAGAGGCAAUAUCGGUGGACUGAACUGCAGAAUACCAGAAUAAGACUACGCUUCUGGCAGCCUCCCUCUUGCAGCAUGUAGAAGAGAGUAGAUUGAAGUCCUCCAAGUAGCAUCGCAUAGCAUAAUCCUACCCGACGAUCCUCUCCUCGUCGACCUGUGAGAGAGCAAUCACCGGGUUGUAUCUGGCACUUGGAAGGGUGUGUUUUAUUAAGUAUCUGGUUCUAGUUGUCAUAAGGUCAAGGUACAACUCCGGGUCGUCCUUUUACCGAGGGACACGGCUAUUCGAAUAGAUAAACUUCCCUGCAGGGGUGCACCACAUUACCCAACACGCUCCAUCCCAUUUGGCCGGACACACUUUCCUGGGUCAUGCACGGCCUCAGAAGAUCAACACGUCGCAGCCCUACCUAGGCACAACAGAGAGGUCAGCACGCCGGUCUAAAUCCUAUGGCGCAGGGGUCUGGGCCCAUCGCCCUUUGCACACCUGCAGACCUAGCCUCCCUAAUACAAGAGCAGGCGUUCCAGUCCAAUCCGGCGCGCGCCGCUCAGUCGCUGACAUCACGAAGGCUUCGGAUGAUACCACGACGCCGAGUGCCCAUAACUGUUCUCGCGUAGUUGGUUAGUGCGUAUAGGCCAGUGGCGAGACUCAGAUCAAAUACCAAGAUCUCGUUAAGCAUGUUAAUUGAAGUAUCCGUGAACGCCGACCAGGGCCAGGCCCACCUCUCUCCUAGGUGGUCUCAACCUGCCCUGUCGCUCCGGCACAAAGUAACAGCCGGGGGCCGUCGGGAACCUAGGCCCACAUCUAUCGGGAUGGAGCCACCUGCCCCUUCAGCCCCCAUCUCCGAACAGUAUCAUAAGUAAUGUAACAUUAUAAAGUUUAUAGCAUGUGCCCAUGAUCACCUCCCGAGUGAUCACGGCCCAGAAGUAUAGCAUGGCAGACGGACAAGAAUGUAGGGCCACUGAUGGAAUACUAGCAUCCUAUACUAAACAUUAGGAUUGCAGGUAAGGGUAACAACUGUAGCAACAAUGAUAGGCUAUGCAACAGAAUAGGAGUAACCGAACAGUAACAUGCUACACUACUCUAAUGCAAGCAGUAGAGAGAAGAAUAGGCGAUAUCUGGUGAUCAAGGGGGGGGCUUGCCUGGUUGAUCUGGCAAGAAGGAAGGGUCGUCAACACUGUAGUCGAACUGGGGGUCGCCCGCAGUCUCGGGGUCUACCGGAAAGAAGUAAUGGAGGGGGAACAUAAUAAAUAACAGAGCAAUCAAAGCAACACAAAGCAUAACAUGGUGAUACGCGGUGCUAGGGGUGACCUAACGCAGUAGGAGGUGAUACCGGCGAAGGGGGGAAACAUCCGGGAAAGUAUCCCCGGUGUUUCGCGUUUUCGAACAGAUGAACCGGAGGGGGAAAGUUGCGUGUUCGCUAUGCUAGGAAUGUGUGGCGGAUGAACGGGCUGCGUAUUCGGAUUCGUCUCGUCGUUCUGAGCAACUUUCAUCUACAAAGUAUUUUCAUCCGAGUUACAAUUUAUUUUAUAUGAUUUUCUAAAGUUUUAACUAUUUUUAGAAUUUAUUUAAUUAUUUUAAAUCAACAUUAUCCAGAAUAGUGUAAGCUGACGUCAUCAUGAUGUAAGCAUGACGUCAGCUGUCAACAGGGUGUUGACUGGGUCAAACUGACGAGAGGGUCCCGCAUGUCAUUGACUGAUUAAUUAACUAACAGUUAAUUAGAUUAAAUAGUGAUUAGAGUAAUCUAAUUAUGAUUAACUAAAUUAAUUAAUUAAUUGAUAUUUGUAUUUAUUUAUUUAUUUAUAUCUUUUUUUAACGUUCUGGGUGGGGCCCCUUUGUCAUAGGCCCAUAGGGGCCAAUCGGGCGAUGGGCGUCGGGCGCUGGCCCGUGGGUGUGCACCCGACUGGGCGCCGCGGGGCGGUUGGCGGGCGUCGGCGCCGGCGCAGGCGAGGUGCGUCGGGUGGAGGCGACAGGCUACGACGCGGUCGUGGGGGGAGGGGUCGCUCCCCCGAUCCAGAAACGGGGCGGGGAGAGGGAGGAGGUGAGGACGGGGCGGCGUCGGUGAAGGGCGACGGGCGUCGGGGGCGACAGGGUUGGGCGAGCGGCGCGGGGCGCCGAGCUUGAUUCCCCCGAUCCAGAUUGGAUCAGGAAGGGGGGAGAGCGACGUGGGAGAGUGGGGGAGGGAGUGGGGUAGUGGGGGGUUGUGCGCUAGGGUUUCUAGGGUGGGGAGGGUUAAUAGGCGCGGCUGGGCCGGCCUGGUUGGCCCGGCGGCUAGCUGGGCCGAGGCCUAGUGGGGGGGGUCCUCCUCUUUUUCUUUUGCUUUGUUUUAUUUCUUUUCUUUAUAUUUAUUCUUUCGUGAUUUAUUUUAGUUACAUUUAUUUUAAUUUUAGUAAAAUAUACACUUAGCAUCUAAAUUAGUAUUUCAACUUAGUCCACGGUCACAAAAAGUCUAAUCCCCAGAUAACUUAGUUUGACAUUUUAUUAAUUAUAAAAGGCAUUUAAUUAAUGGUUUUGCUAUUGUUUAAAUCCUUAUAGUUCAAUUAAGCAUUUUAUAAAAGCUUGGUUUCUCCACCAUAAUUACUUACGAUUUAUUUGACACAACCCGAACAUUUUAAUUUUAAUUUUUGAAAACUUUUCUUGUUUGCCUCUCAUUUGAAUUUGAAUUUGAAUCGGUUUUGAACUAACGCGAGUUUAACAACAGUAAUCGAGGUGACGUGGCAUUCAUUAAUAGUGGUUUACUGUAGCUUAAUUAUCCGGGCGUCACAAUGCCAGGAAUGACAGGCAGUAAUUAGACUAAGCAUCUUCCAAGAGAUAAGGUAAUUGUACACUGUUGGUAGUCAUGUACCCAUUAAUUAGGCUAGGCUAAUGUUUAUCUAUCAGCAUUGGGAACAAAAUACAUAGGGAUAUUAAGAAGCUUUUACAUGAUGCUAGUUAUAUGUUACAAUCAACCAUAAGAAUAUGUUAGCCCUGGGACUAGCACUAGUAGAAAACGGGUCUUUUGUCCCGGUUCUAGAACCGGGACUAAAGGGUCGUUACUAAAGCCCCCCCUAGUCCCGGUUGUGUUACGAACCGGGACUAAAGGCCCUCCACGUGGCCGCUGUCUGGAGCUCGACCUUUAGUCCCGGUUGGUAACCGGGACUAAAGGAAUAUUUUUGAUUUUUUUCGAUUUUUUGAAAAAAAAAAUGAAUUUUUUUGAAAUUUUCAAAUUUCUAAAUUAUUUGCAUUUAAUCUCUAAUCACCCCUCAUCACUGCUCAAUCUAAUCUCUAAUCUCUAAUCACCCCUUAUCACUGCUCAAUCUAAUCUCUAAUCUGUAAUCACCCCCCAUAAUUCCAAAUCGAUAUUUUUGAAAAAAAAAAUCAAUUUUAUUGAAUUUUUCAAAUUUCUGAAUUACUUGCUUUUAAUCUCUAAUCACCCCUCAUCACUGCUCAAUCUAAUCUCUAAUCUCUAAUGACCCCCCAUAAUUCCAAAUUGUCUAACUUCCCGGCAGGCCACCCAUCCUCUCACUACUACAGCCUAACCACGCUUAACUUUAGAGUUCUAUUCCCCCUUGUUUCCAAGUCUGCACUUGUUGUUUUCCUGACAAUACUAAGCUGUCAAUCCUAUUAACCCUUAGGAGUUGAAGUUGAGCAUUAAGUCACACGUUACACCGUUUGAGAUUCAAACUAUUAUUCUUAAAACCAAUGAUUAUUUAGUAACACCAAUAUUUCUUUAAUAAGUAGUUUGACCAUAGUUUGACCACAGUUUGACCAGAUUUGACCAAAAUUCAAAAAAACUGAAAUAAUUAUUUAGUAACACUAAUAUUCUUGAAUAAUUAUUCAGUAACACUAAUAUUUCUUGAAUAAGUAGUUUGACCACGGUUGACCAGAUUUAACCAAAAUUCAAAAAAACAUAAAUUUGAGCAUAUCUUUUUGUCCUUUUAGAAUUUGAGGAUUCUAAAAAUUUGCAAAACGGCCGUAGGCCGUCAAAAUCAGAUGUGGUUUUUCGUGCUGAACAUUUUGAUAUAUUAUACGUUUUUUUCUGACAUCGUAUGCAAAAGUUAUAGCUGUUUUACUUUUUCAUAACACUUUUUUGCAAAACAUGUCCAAAUUUAAGUUUUUUAAUUUUCCUAACUAGUAGAUGUAGUAAUAUAACUACAUCUCGAAGGAUUUUAUUUUUUGAAGUUUUUAUCUUUUUUUUCUUUUUUCAAAACUGAAAUGGCUGAGACACGAACCGGGACAAAAGGGCAUCACACCCUUUGGUCCCGGUUCGUGUCUCAAACCGGGACUAAAGGUCUCAUUUGAACCGGGACUAAUGCCUUUAGCCGCUCGAACCAGGACUAAUGUUCACAUUAGUCCCGGUUCGUAAUGCAACCGGGACUAAUGUGUAUAUUGAGCUGUGACCAAAGCCCUGUUUUCUACUAGUGUAGCACUAUACAGAUCUAGCACCUCUGCUAGCAUCCACGUUAUAUCUAUCCUAGGAUGCCCAUAAAACACAAUGUGUGGGUCACAAAUAAAUUCUACGAUGGUGGAUUUGUAAGUGUCACAACCAAAUCAACGAAAGAAUCUGCAACAACGACAUAUAACAACAACUUCGAAUAGCCAAAUGUAAACAAAAAUGUAUACUAUAAGAGUCUUUCAGCCAAAAUACAACUUAUACAAUGAAGCGAAUACGUUCCUUAGACAUGUAAAGCUCAAUAAUUGCCUUAAGAAGGCUAAAGAAAUGCAAACGAUGUCCAUAUCUCUGCCCAGAUAUCUUUCUAGGAUAACAUGUUAAUUUUGUCCUUCAUCAUACCUAUUCCUAAAAUCUUACCAUCUGUAGCAAUCUGGAUCAAGAGAAUAAAUAAAGCAAGGUGAGUACACAACUGUACUCGCAAAACUUACAUCAGAUCUAUCCACUUAUGCAUCAUUCUCAAGGAAAGGGUUAUGUGUCGGUUAAACAAUAAGCACUAAGUAUUCUAUAGAGACACGUUACAUCUUGUAUCUAUAAGAGAUAAGGUAAGAGAGUGUACGAGGAAAAAGAUCAAAUAAGAACCAUCUAUUUCUAUCAUCAAACAUAACACCUCACCCUGAAUCAUCCCUGGCAUCACCCACAAGGAAGUAAGUCCAUGGCACUUACCUCAUUGGCACGUUUUUUAUUAGUUGAACUAGAUAUAACUUAGAAACUAACAAGUUUAAUGAGUGGGCAAGUUUUUGCAAUUACGAUUAAAAUUAUUAUAUGAUCAAGGACAAUAUCUCUGAGCCGUCCAUUACCACGGACAUAGAUAUUUGAAUAGAUUUAACCCUACAGGGGUGAACCAAGUUACCCAUACACAUUGGACCGCCUCUUGUUGAACGCGGAAGUUAAGAAAUUGAAAGAACCCUAUGUUAAUGGCUAAAUCUAUAUUGCCCAAAAUCGCCCUCAAAUUAUGUCAAAUGAGAAAGUGAUGAACAUCAAAAUUUGGUCCGAGGUUCCGGGCCACAGCGCGGAAGCUCCAAGCUUGCUUCAAUUAGGACUUUUUUUAUAUGUUUUGGACAUGAUUUUGAGUUAUUUUCUUGUCCGGCUGCCUCAUAUAUAGUUGAGAGGUGACGGACAAUCGAAACGACACAAAAUCAGUUAGUACAUAUACUUUUCAUAUAGCUAUUGCCUCUCUCCCUUGUUCUUGCUCUCUCAUUUGAUUUAUUGGAGAGUAGCGGAUCCGGUAUUUCUAGGUGUGAUGGGACUGACCUAAAAUUACCCAUAGCCGCUGCAUUCCCUAAUGGGUUCCAUCUGGAGUUUGUAGGGUUUGGUCUUGUGAAAAGUCUCCCCUGCGUGUCUUGCAUAUUGUGCGUCAGGCGAGGUCCUCGGCGACUUUGUCUUGUAUACCGCGCUCGGCUUCGGGGCUACACAGUGAAAUCUUCAUUUGUCAAAGGUUAUCAUGAAAACGGUAAAACUAUUGUUUAGAUUAAGAAUAUAUGCCCAAAUAAUAUGGAAUUAUUUAUUACGCUAUAGUUUUACUGGUAAUGUAUCACAAUCUAUGAGCAUUAAGAUAACCAUGUGCCACCAUAUAAGAAAAGGAUAUUAAGAGGGCAAUUUUUUAUAACUAUACAUUAUUACUACCCUUUUGGUAGUUAUAUAUUACGAUCACCCCUUAAGAGGAAAUAUUAUUUGGUCUGCAGGUUUGUUGGCUACAUGUCACGAAUGACGAGCAAUAAGUACAGUAAGCAUCUUCCAACAAUGUACGUAGGAUGGUACUGUUGGUAGUUGUAUACCCAGUAAUUAUAUUAAUAAUGUUCAUUUACCAGUAUUGGGAACAGGAGACGCGAUGAUAUUAAGAAGCUUUUACAAGAUGCUAGGUAUAUGUUACAACCAUCCAUUAAAGACAGUAUAACCGAACCCUUUUCGAGCCCUCUUACGCACUCACUAAUUUAGGCCGUCGGAUCACGUGUCCGAGCGGUUCUUGGCCGUCCAAGGCAGUCUUUUCCCCCGUGCGGGCUGAUACUGGGCCGGCUGUCCUGGGCCGCUAUUCCCGCGGCCGAAUUAGGAGCUUCUAGUUCACUGGCAUGAGCUAACGUCGGAUGGCGAAUGUAUGAUUGUGAUUCUGCUCCGCGUCUUCGUAGCCCCCACUAACCUCCCCUCCCCUCCCCUCCCCUCCCCUCCCGGCACCACGUCACGCUCCACACCCCCAACCCCUCCAAGUGCGUUGCCGCUGUCCUUGUUGCCGCAGAGAGAGGAAGAUAGAGUGACGACAAUGGUAACGGCGAGCCAAACAGAUCGCCCACACCAUGCGGAGUGGAGCCGCUCAGAUCUUCGCGAUGGCGGCGGCCGACGUCACCACCAUCCUCUACAGGUCUGUGUACCUCUCCUCCUCCUGCGUCUCCUAUUUUCUAUGAGUCGGUUGCUCGAUCUGGUCUCCGAGAUGGUUGAAUGGGAGAGGAACAUGAGAGGCCGAGCCCCAGAGUACGGUCGUCGCUGUCAUGCAGGAAGAUGCUAUAUCGAGCCUGCCGCCGCCGCCUCCACGCAGGAAGAGGCGUCCUGAGUGGCUACCGAGGCUGAAGACGGACAAAAGAGAAACCUCAAGGAGGCCGACGCAGGCGCGGUGGCGAAUGGCGCCUGGGAGGACGCCAGCCGACCGCAUGUGGAAGGCAACCCACAGGUUAAUCUCUACGACACCCCACCCCACUCUAUCCAUGUGUGUGUUGUACCUAGGGUUUAGUGCACAAACCAGUAAGACCAAUCUUGCAGUUGGACAUGCUAAUGCUGAUGACUUGUCUGAACAUAUGUGCAGGGACAACGUGAACCUGCAAAAUCAAAUAAGAAAAUGCGCAUGUACACUAUUAUGAUUUGUCAUGGGCUAAUGAAAUUUGCAAGCCUAAUUUGUCAAAGAAUGGAGAUCUCACCUGAUCCAUAUGGAGUAAACCCCACUCCCUGUUCCAGAUUUCUUCAAUAAUCUUAUCUGAAUCUUCAGACCGUUUGCCCCCAAAUGCCACCAUGUUAUAUAUGUAGUCACAACAACACCAGCCAUCCCUUGAAAUUUCUCUGUUUUAUCUUAUGUAAAACAGCUGUUAUGUUCAUCUCUUAUACUUGACCUGAGCUUGAACUGGAAUGCCCAUUUAUCAAUAGACACAGCAUAUGUGACUAAGCAUAGAUAACUCUUCUUAAUACGACAAGCUCCAGCCACACCUACCAAGGACAUACCAGCACCACAAGGCCUGACCUUGCUCUGCCUGCAAAGUCAUGGCAAAAAUUGUUCAGAAAAGGAGAAGAAGCAGCAGUUCAUACUCUGCAGAUACUUGAGUUCCAAAACUAACAAUUAACAAAUGAACCCAGGGCAGUAUUUUCUUGCUAACGCUGAGAGCAGUGAGACUGUCCCUAUAUUUUGCAUAAAUUUGACAGAUUAUUUCAGAAUUUGGUAGAAGUCAAUAAACCCAAAAGAAUGCUAAUGAACCCAAAAAUGUCCAUUGGGCAAAAAAAGAAAAUGCAUACUUCUAACCGCUAGCCUACACCCUACAAGGUAGAGAUCAUACUUUAGUUUGCGGAGCAAAUGCGCUGAGACAAUCUGCAAAUGAGCUCAAGUGCAACAAAAAUUUUACAAAGGAUGCAGAUGUUCUUUCAAAUGCCAUGACUCGUCCAGUUGAAUUGUUUGUAACUCAUGUGAGUAUUGACAAGGCUGAGCAGCUUAUUAAGAGUGUUAUAGCUGAGGUAUGCUAAAGGUAUCGGUUUGUAGUAGUUCACUUUAGAUGCAAUCUGUGAAGUUACAUCUCUAUGGUUCCAUCAAAUACAUCUAUUCCAGGCUGAGCUGGCGGUUCCUCUACCUUGAUAGCCAAAGUUUUUGGGUCCAGACAGUCCGGUUCAGAGGAGUUUGAGAGUGAAUGCAUGCGCUCGGGCUCCCCCAACCUUGACCUCGACGUCAAGCAGUGGUGCCCCUCUCAUGGCCAGUUGAAGUGGCGUCCCCAGGCACGCUGCCAUCAAGAUGGAGACCAUGCUUCAGCCCUUCAGCCACCGCUGGCCUUGUCGUCCUCUCUAGGUUCAAGGAGGAGCGAGUAGGAGGACAUGGAGUAGCACUCGUAUAUCGUGUGUAUCCUUCACUUUAUUAUUCCAAAUCAGAUUACCCUGCCAAGGUCAGUACUACUUUUUGUUGUUUCUUGUUAUCAAUAUUUUUGUAUCGCUUCUAAAAUGUCAAUUGCCAAUCAUUCUCCAUAGAUGUAGUCAUCCAGUUCUAUGACCUAAAAUAUAUGUUAUCCUUUGCUCAGUUAGUACAUAAAUAUUCAGAAAUAGUUCACCGUGUAAUUUAAGAUUAAAAUUUAUGUUAAUUAGGCUUUAGCUUGUCAUGCUGCUUUUGUCUGUUUGGUGAAGUUGAACUAAAAACAUAAUUAGCAUUUUUCUUCAUGUGCUCAUCAUCAGCCUUUAAUGUGGAUGUUGUACUGACAUGUAAACUUCUUGCAAUAGUUGUAGUGUGUACGGAUACUAAUUUAUAUGAUCUCUCUUUUCUUCCCUCCCUUUAUUAGGUCCGCUUGGUGGUUAAAGCGAUAUGUAAAUCAAUCAUAGUAAAAUACUGCACAAGGAAGAUGUCUUAUCUCCGGUCUUUAAUUUGGACGUCACAUUUAGACUUCCUGCCAUAACCAUGGUGUGUAGUGAUACUAAUAUGUAUGCUCUCUUUCCUGCCUCCCUUUUUAUUUUUAUUGUGAUAUGUUUGGAGGCUAAAGUAAUUUGUAUCUCAAUUAUUGCUAGAUCACUAAGCUAGGAAUCUGCUUUGACUAAAUGACUGAAUAAAUAUCACAUGUAAUCUUAGUAAGCUCUCCAGAAUAAAGGGAAACAACUUCUUGGUUCAUAUUCAGAUACUGAAAUUAACUUUUAUGUUUGCAUCAUUGCUAUUACUAUGUACUAUGCUUGGAUGGUACACCAGCCUCUUGUAACUUGAUAUAUACAAAACGUAGUCAAACUUCACCUCUUCUAUUGCUAACAAAUAUAUAUGCCAGGAUACACUACUAGGAAAACGGCUAUAGCUCAUAUGCACAUUAAUGGCGCACCAGGUAUAGCAGUGGCGCACCAGAUACAGGUACGCCAUUAAUGGCCAUAUUACUAAUAGCGCACCUGGUGUAUGAUGCGCCAUUACUAGUUUUAUCCUGGCCCCACACCCCUUCCCAGACUUAGCAGUGGCGCACCAGGGUAUAGUGCGCCAUUACUAGUUUUAACUAGUAAUGGCGCACCACACCCACGGUGCGCCACCACUAACAAUUUUUUUUAUAUAUUUUUUUCAAAACUAGUAAUGGCGCACCACACCCACGGUGUGCCACUACUAACAUUUUUUUACUUUUUUUUCAGAACUAGUAAUGACGCACCACACACCAGGUGCGCCAUUAGUAACCCUGGUUACCAAUGGCGCAUUCCUAGGAGGUGCGCCAUUGGUAACCUGAGAGCAGCUAGAUAUUUUCGACAGCCACCUACCACACUCACUUUCCCCACUUCAUUCUCUCCACCUCUACCAAGCUUGGUCUCGGCUGCCUCGUCCUCCUCACCUUUAUUGAGAAGACGUACAAUGACCGAGGCCAACAGAGGACGGACGGAGAUAUAAUCAAAGAGCACAACUCAUGUUUCACGCGUUGGUUCAAGGACAAGCUUCUGUCGUACCCUUUACAUGAGGAUUCUUCCGCGGAAGAAAAACUCAUAUUCGCCUUGUCACAGGGCGCCGAGCACAACCUGAUGACCUAUGAGGCGUACGGUAUCAACGGCUACACAUUCUACACCGAGGAAAAGGACAUGAAGAGCGAUUAUCAGAACUACGGGGUAACGAUGGAAUCCUACACCGGUAACGACAAGGACAGAUGCUACGGAAGGAUCGAGGAGAUCUGGGAGCUGAGCUACGCUGGAGAGAAGGUCCUGACGUUCCGUGUCAGAUGAGCCAAGAGCGUCUUAAAAGAAGACCGGUAUUUCACCACCAUGGUUAUACCCGAAGCCAAAUCCAAGACCGCGGGCGCCAACGUCACCGCGAAAAAUGAGCCAUGGGUACUGGCUUCCCAAGUGGACCAAUGCUUCUUCAUUACCGACCCGUCAAAGCCCAGUCGUGUUGUCGUGAGGAGAGGCAAAAGGAACAUCAUCGGAAUGGAUGGAGUCGCCAAUGAGCAAGACUUCGACAAGUACGGCGACCCGAAGAUGGAAGAUGACGACGACGAUGAAGUACCAUACACCACAAGAAGAAGCAGGACCACCCUACCUAAAGGACGUCCGUUCAAGAGAAGAACUCCAUUUGCGAAAAAGAAAGGCAAGAAGAUUGUGAAAAGAUAGCUAAGAUCGAAUCACGACGUGUCGACCGCGUGUGUAUCAGUGGCAAGCUCAAUUAUUACAUGCAACUAAGUUGAAGUAUGGAAAUGGCAUUUCUUCUGUUCUAGUCCUCUAUCCAGUAACCUCUUUUGUUCAAAAUAGUGGGGAUUAAUGUUGUCUGUACUUACCUUCCAUUUGUAACUUUUCCAUCACCAAGUUGAAGUAUCGACCACGCCUUCUUCCUGGAUAUUUAAUUUUUGUUCUUCUCCCUCUUGUUUUGUUGCAAAUCAUCAUUUACAGCCACCUUGGGCUUCUUUGUUUAUUCUGGUAUUUUAUUUUUCAGUGUUCCUUUUCCUGCUUAAAUUUGCAAACAUUUUUUGAAAAUGCGAAUAUUUUUCUAACUCACAAAAAGUAUUGAAUUUGUUAAUAUUUUUUAAACUCAUGAAUAUUUUUAAAUUUCACGGGCACUUUUUGAAUUCAUGAAUAUUUUUUCAAAUUUGAUGAUAUUUUUUCAUAUUCAUAAAUAUUUUACCAAUUCACAAAUGUUUUGCAACGCAAAUAUUUGAAAAUUAGUAAUAACUACUUAUAUCGUAACAUUUUAAAAUUUAUGGUCAUUUUCUAAAAAAUUAUUACAUGCAAAUAAAAUCCAAAAAAAAGUUAGUAAUGGCGCACCAGGAGAAGGUGCGCCAUCACUAUCACGGUGUUUAUGGCGCACCCCUGGAAGGUGCGCCAUUAAUAUACCAAUUUUUAUUUAUGUUUAUUCUGAUAUUUUAUUUUUCAGUGUUCCUUUUCCUGCUUAAAUUUGCAAACAUUUUUCUAACUCACAAAAAAUAUUGAAUUUGUUAAUAUUUUUUGAACUCAUGAAUAUUUUUAAAUUUCAUGGGCAUUUUUUGAAUUCAUGAAUAUUUUUUCAAAUUUGAUGAUAUUUUCAUAUUCAUAAAUGUUUUACCAAUUCACAAAUGUUUUGCAACACAAGUAUUUGAAAAUUAGUAAUAACUACUUAUAUCUUAACAUUUUAAAAUUUAUGGUCAUUUUCUAAAAAAUUAUUACAUGCAACUAAAAAUCCAAAAAAAAUGUUAGUAAUGCCUCACCAGGAGAAGGUGCGCCAUUGCUAUCACGGUGUUUAUGACGCAUCUCUAAAAGGUGCGCCAUUGCUAACUCUCCCCCACUAAAAGAUCCCAAAUCCUCCCCAAUCUCACACCUCUCUCCCCCCAAUCCUGCCCCCGUCCUGCGCCCCCGACCUGCGCCGCCGCCCCCACUACUGGAAUCAGCUAAUUUGCCAUCUGCCAGCUCUUUGCAGCUCUUUGCCAUCAGCUACCCAAAAGCAGACGGCAAAGAAAUGGCAGACGGCAAAGAAGCUCUUUGCNNNNNNNNNNNNNNNNNNNNNNNNNNNNNNNNNNNNNNNNNNNNNNNNNNNNNNNNNNNNNNNNNNNNNNNNNNNNNNNNNNNNNNNNNNNNNNNNNNNNNNNNNNNNNNNNNNNNNNNNNNNNNNNNNNNNNNNNNNNNNNNNNNNNNNNNNNNNNNNNNNNNNNNNNNNNNNNNNNNNNNNNNNNNNNNNNNNNNNNNNNNNNNNNNNNNNNNNNNNNNNNNNNNNNNNNNNNNNNNNNNNNNNNNNNNNNNNNNNNNNNNNNNNNNNNNNNNNNNNNNNNNNNNNNNNNNNNNNNNNNNNNNNNNNNNNNNNNNNNNNNNNNNNNNNNNNNNNNNNNNNNNNNNNNNNNNNNNNNNNNNNNNNNNNNNNNNNNNNNNNNNNNNNNNNNNNNNNNNNNNNNNNNNNNNNNNNNNNNNNNNNNNNNNNNNNNNNNNNNNNNNNNNNNNNNNNNNNNNNNNNNNNNNNNNNNNNNNNNNNNNNNNNNNNNNNNNNNNNNNNNNNNNNNNNNNNNNNNNNNNNNNNNNNNNNNNNNNNNNNNNNNNNNNNNNNNNNNNNNNNNNNNNNNNNNNNNNNNNNNNNNNNNNNNNNNNNNNNNNNNNNNNNNNNNNNNNNNNNNNNNNNNNNNNNNNNNNNNNNNNNNNNNNNNNNNNNNNNNNNNNNNNNNNNNNNNNNNNNNNNNNNNNNNNNNNNNNNNNNNNNNNNNNNNNNNNNNNNNNNNNNNNNNNNNNNNNNNNNNNNNNNNNNNNNNNNNNNNNNNNNNNNNNNNNNNNNNNNNNNNNNNNNNNNNNNNNNNNNNNNNNNNNNNNNNNNNNNNNNNNNNNNNNNNNNNNNNNNNNNNNNNNNNNNNNNNNNNNNNNNNNNNNNNNNNNNNNNNNNNNNNNNNNNNNNNNNNNNNNNNNNNNNNNNNNNNNNNNNNNNNNNNNNNNNNNNNNNNNNNNNNNNNNNNNNNNNNNNNNNNNNNNNNNNNNNNNNNNNNNNNNNNNNNNNNNNNNNNNNNNNNNNNNNNNNNNNNNNNNNNNNNNNNNNNNNNNNNNNNNNNNNNNNNNNNNNNNNNNNNNNNNNNNNNNNNNNNNNNNNNNNNNNNNNNNNNNNNNNNNNNNNNNNCCGACCCCGACACGGCACCCCGAGACCGACACGACACCCCGACCCCCGACACCUCCCGAAAAGGUGUUCUUUGGCCUUCCAGAAGCCGACGGGCUCAUGUAUUUGUGAAUUAUUAGUUAGGUCAUAUAUCUUUCGAUUUUGUUAUGAAAAACAUCAUAUAUAAUUGUGUUGAUCGGGUAGUUUUAAAUGUGCAGUCGUUUCAUCGCUGCGAGGUUUGGUGUUCGACGACCUCGCCGUGCGUUUGACGAGCUCUGCCCCUUCGUUCGUGGGUGAGCACAAAUGACAUGUCCUCCUCCCCCAUUAAUUAUUUGAUCUAUUCCGAUGAAACUUGAUAGCUAGCUAUAUAUGUGUCUUGAAUCAUCAGUAUGCGUAACCAAUAUGUGUCUCCCGUUCGAAAGCGUCAUAGUUAUAAAUAUGCAUGCAUUUGCAUAUUUAUAACUUUGAUUCUUUCGAAUUGUCCAACGCUAUCCAUGGACAGCCCGAGUAUGUUUAGAUUGGGUUCGUUUUCCCAUAUGCUUUGCUCCGGAUCCGACGCAUAAAUUUUGUCAGUGCCUCCCCUGUUGUUCUCCGGGUACACAUCCUCUCUGUUUAUUGCAGAGACGUGUAUCAGGAGAACAGCGGGGAGGUGCUGCCGAAAUUUUGCGUAGGAUCCGGAGCAUAGCAUGGGAAAAUGAACCCAAUCUAAACAUACUCGGGUGGGAUUAGGACCUAUCAUUACCUAUUAGAGUGUAGGUUGCAUGGACGUAAUAAAAUUGACAAAGUAGAUCAACUGAUGAAUAUAUACAUGGUGAAUUAUAUAUAUAUAUAUAUAUAUAUAUAUAUAUAUAUAUAUAUAUAUAUAUAUAUAUAUAUAUAUAUAUUUGUUGUGUGUCUAGUAGCUCUGAAAGUCAAGAUGAGUGAUCGUGCGUGGAUGUACACCGGUCACACUGGUCAGAACAAAUGGAGCACUGAAUGGUUCACAAAAACCAACGGGUUUGUGCGAGCCGCAUUUGCAAAUGGCCAGAGAAAAACCUGGUGCCCCUGUUUACGGUGCGGCAAUUGGGAAAAGAGGAUAGAGGCUAAAAUGGGCAAACACCUGCAGAAGAGUGGUUUUACGCCCGAUUAUACGGUGUGGACAUUUCAUGGUGAGUCUUCCCAACGUGACCGAGCUGAGGUGGAUCGUCGUCGCACCGACGAGCAUGGUACCGGGAUGGAAAACAUGGUGCAAGACUUCGAUGAUGCUCGGGAUUCGGACGAGGAGAUGGAGGAAUCUGCAAAGGCCUUCAAUGAAAUGUUGGAGUCUUCAAAACGUCCGCUCCAAGAGCACACUGAGCUUUGUCAGUUGGAUGCCAUCUCACAAGUAAUGGCUCUGAAGGCUCAGUUCAACUUGGGCAGAGAAUGCUACGAUGCAAUGAUGACAGUAUUUGGACGCUUUCUACCCAAAGGCCAUGUAAUGCCUGCAAACCUGUACCAGUCGGACAAAAUCCUCCGUGCACUAAAGAUGCCCUAUGAUAAGAUACAUGCCUGUGAGAAAGGAUGUGUCUUGUUUAGGCUUGACUAUGCAGACUUGAACUAUUGUCCCAUUUGCAAGUCUUCCAGGUAUGUUGUGGUAGACAAUGGUAUGGGUGAGAAGACACAGACCAAAAUCCCCAUUAGUGCUCUUCGGUAUAUGCCAAUCGUACCAAGACUUCAACGUCUUUUCAUGGUCGAAGAGACGGCCAGACAGAUGACAUGGCACAAAACGGGCAAAAGAACCGAACUAGAUGCACAUGGGAAUCUGAUGAUUGUACACACAUCGGGUGGUGUUGCGUGGAAAAAGUUUGAUGAAUUACGUGGUGACAAAGCGGCAGAUCCGAGGCAUCCUCGAGUCGGCAUCAGCACGGAUGGGUUCAGUGUGUUUGGUAUGACAGCAGCCCAAUACAGUUGUUGGCCCGUAUUUGUCUUUCCACUCAAUCUCCCCCCCCCCCGGACAGAUUCUGCAAAGAAAGAACAUUUUCCUAACGUUGAUAAUUCCAGGGCCCAACUAUCCGGGGAAAAAUAUGAAUGUGUACAUGCAAACGCUUAAGGACGAAUUGCAAGAAGCCUGGGAUAAUGGGUUCAAGACAUACGACGCCUAUAGCAAACGGAACUUCAUAAUGCGUGUCUGGUACAUGUACUCGACGCAUGACUUGCCGGCGUAUGCGUUAUUCGUUGGCUGGUGUGUGCAUGGAAGGUUCCCAUGCCCCACAUGCAAGGGAGCUCUUGAGUUUCGUUGGCUUCAGGCCGGUCGCAAGUUUUCUUGCUUCGACAUGCGUAGACAGUUCCUGAAUCCUCGCCAUAAGUUCAGGAAAGACAAGAAGAACUUCAUCAGAGGUAGAGUUGUCAAAAACUCUGCACCACCUGCAUUCACAGGCCAACAGACCCUGGAUCAGUUAAACGCUCUCGAGCCAGAUCUAGAGCGUCCAGGGUACUUCAAGGGGUAUAAUUCUAAGCACGCCUGGACUCACAAAACAUGCUUAUGGGAUCUGCCUUACUUCAAAGACCUCCUUUGCCCACACAACAUCGACGUGAUGCACACUGAGAAGAAUAUCGCCGAGGCACUUUUUGGUACAUUGUUCGGCAUAGAUGGGAAGUCAAAGGAUAAUACUAAGGCUAGAGUCGAUCUGGAGGCGCUAUGUGAUAGGCCGUUACAAAACAUGAAAGAACCGAAAGGAAAGCAGAACUGGACGAAGCCAAAGGCAUGGUUCAAUCUUGGAAGGCCAGCUAUGAGGGAAAUUAUCUUGUGGGUGAAAAUGCAGUUGAUGUUCCCCGAUGGGUAUGCAGCGAAUCUACAGAGGGGAGCCAGUCUUGAUAAAUUGAAGAUAUUUGGUCUCAAGAGUCAUGAUUGGCACAUAUGGAUUGAGCGGGUAAUGCCGGUGAUGUUGCGUGGCUUCAUCCCUGAGGAUGAAUGGCUAGUACUGGCAGAACUAAGCUAUUUCUUCCGUGUUCUUUGUGCGAAAGAACUAUCGCCUGGCGUGCUAGAAGAAAUGGAAGAGUUGGCGCCGGAGUUGAUCUGCAAGUUAGAGAAGAUCUUUCCACCGGGCUUCUCUAAUCCAAUGCAACAUUUGAUUUUGCAUCUCCCGACCGAGGAAAGAUUGGGGGGGCCCGUGCAAAAUCGUUGGUGCUAACCAACUGAGAGGAUGCAGAAGACGCUUCGACAAAAAUGUAAAAAUAAACGUAGAAUUGAAGCAUCGAUGGCUGAGGCAUUCAUCACUGAGGAGGCGGCAAACUUCGUGACAGCACACUACGAAGCCAAAAAUCGUCAUUUGCAUAAUCCGAAGCCUCAGUACAAUGCUGACGACCCUAAAAAGGGUGGAUCAAACCUCAGCCUAUUCAAAGGGAAUCUCGCACCAGCUAGUGUUUCAAAUCCAGUAUCUUUGGAUAACGAACAAUGGCGGACCAUUUCGUUGUAUAUCUUCAACAACCUGAUAGAAGUGCGGCCGUACAUCGAGUAAGUUCUCGGUACAUAGUUUCGCAACUUCUAUUUUCUUUGAACUGCUCUUAUUCCUGGAUAUUUCAUACAGUCGAUACGCCGCCUUAUUCUCGUAUGGAGCGGUGAUCCAAAAGGAUUCUGUCGAAGAGUAUGAGCUUCUCGCAAAGCAAGGAGGCGGCUAUCCCGGUUUCAUCUCUUGGUUCAAACAAACGGUAAUUUCUAUUAGACUUGUAGGCUAAUUUGUAGGCGGCUAUCCCGGUUUCAUUCGCUAAUUUGUGCGUAAUGCAACAAUCCUCUCAUAUUAAACUUGUAGGCUAGUUCAGAGUCUAUGGACGCCGAAUUGAGACAAGUCGCUAAUGGUUUUGACUAUAAGGUCCGUUCAUUUGACAAAUACGACAUCAACCGGUAUCGCUUUCGUACCUAUGGCAAAGAGCUAUCUAUGGCCGACCGAAAGUCUACAAAUUGUUGUGUAUCUGCUAUCGGCGAAGGAGGUACCGAGUAUUAUGGGAGAGUUGAAGCAAUUUAUGAACUUCUAUUCUAUGGUGAAAACCCACCGAAUGUCGUAGUCUUCAAAUGUUAUUGGUUUCAGCCGAAGGAGACUAGAAGGACUCAUGAACAUAUAGGGCUAGUUGAAAUCAACCAAAGCACCCAUUUAGAUGUUCCUGAUGUCUAUAUUACGGCUCAACAGGCGACCCAAGUAUUCUAUCUACCGUGGGCCUGCCAAACUAAUCCAAAUCUGAAAGGUUGGGAUGUCGUUUAUGAAGUGCCGCCACGUGCUAGACUAUCUCCCCCAAAGGAAGAGGAUUAUGAACCUCACAUUAACCCAGACACAUAUGAAGGAGAAUUCUUCCAAGAGACACGUCUUUCCAAAAAGCGUUUCAAGAACCGCUAUACUUCACCCCAAAAUAUUGAAGUAGACAGCGACAGUGAAUCCGACAUCACCCCAGAGGAGGAACAAGAAGAGCCGGAACAAGAAGAGGUUACUGCUGCGGAUGACCUGUCAUUGCUUGACCGAUUACGUCAAGGUGGCCUUGCACAUGUUGAUGCCACUGAACCCUAUGAGCCCGUCAUUGAUUAUAGUGAUGAUGAUGAUUAUGCAUUUAUUGAUGAUACUGAUCGAGAUUAUUAGUAGUGUCAGGUAUUAAAAAUUUUAAUGUUGUACUUGAUGAUGAUACACUUAAGUGAUACACAUAUUAUUAUUCAUGUCGGUCUUCUUUUUAUGUUGUACUAAUUUCGUUUACUGUUUGUCAUGGCAGGUGUUGAAAGAUGGUGGGCGCUGGUCGGGAGCGCGCCAAGGCCCCUUCUUCGUCGGCGCGUGGUCUGAGGUCUUCCAUUCCAGACGCACCUCUCCACCGAGCGUUGCUGGACAGUAUGGCCACACCGCCGGGCCCUUCUUCGUCGACCGCGGUGCCCAGCAGGGGACGAGGUAGGAAGAGAGGAGGUGGGGCACGUGGUCGCGGGAGAGGAGGUAGGGUGACUGCUACGGCGCCUUCCUCGCCGCCACCCCCAGCUGUUUCACCCGAGCACGUGACUGCUAGGGUGGACGCGUCCGAGGAGGAGGCUACACGGACUCCGGUCCACGAGCCUCCGGUCCACGGGUCUUGGGCCCACGAGCCUCGGGUCGACUGGCCUUCGGCCCACGAGAGUUCGGCCCACGAGACCCCGGAGGAGCACACGUCCGGAUGGGGUACCUGGCCGGAUCAGCCCGACGAGCCGAGUGGCCAUGCUGAUGAUGGCGGGGAGCCGACUGAUCUUGAGGAGGAGGGGGGCACCGUCUACCAGCGUGGUGCUACACGGCUCCCGUCCGUGUCGGCGACCCGCGAGCAUAGGUGGUUGAUUUUCCCUGAUGGGGAGAGGUACCUAAGUGCAUUUAAUAUUUUUGUACCUUGUGCAUUCACGUUUCUUUAAAUAACUAAUGCGUUGGCCUUGUCAUGCUGCAGGGGUUGGGACCACCAUCAUAGUGUCUGCCGGCCCAACUCCGUCCUUGGAGUUCUUUUCCGGCAAAACUUCCCGGGGUUUGUCACGUUGCCUGGUGAGGGUCGGCUUCCAGAGCUUGGAUUGAGCUGGGAGCACUACGUGGCUGCCCCGGCCCCGCCGGAUGUCAUUAUCGACGGUGUCGUGUGCGACACGAGGGAAGACAUGGUGAUCAGGACGUUCUGGGUAAUUUCUCCUUUACACAUUUAAAAAUCUUCAACUAGCUAGUUAUUAAUUGUACUAAUCAAUAUUGUCUCAUUUGAUUGCAGACAUUCUACAGGUGUGAGGAGGGAUACGAGGAGGACGCGGCACAUGUUAUCGAGAACGUCUGCAAGCGCCUACUCCAGAACUUACGGCACGAGGCUCAGGUGCAGGCUGUUCGAGACUACUACGCCUUGCGUGGUAUCAAGAAGACCAAGCCGGCGUGCCGCGAUAAGUUCCUGAGUAAGGAGCAGUACAUGAAGGUAAUUCUUAAGGCCUUCUACUUAAGUUCCUUCAUUUAGUAAUUCUUAGCCGUAGCGCUCAAGUUUCUAUUUGCUAACUUAGGCGCCUCCAAGAUGGUGUGCGGAUCGGAUGGAUUGUUGGGAGGUGUUGGUCGAUGAGUGGUGCUCAAAAGAAUGGCUAGCCCUCCACAACGAGGCCAAGGACAAACGUGCCCAAAUGGAAGGUGUGCCACACCAUCAAGGCAGCUCCAACUUAUAUCAGUUCGGGCGCAACUGGGUAUGUGGUUUGCUUCAUGAUUCAUGCAAUUCAUUCAUCAUGCUAGCUUGAGCCCUUUAAUUACUAAUUUACAUUGUUUCUCUCUUUCAGGCACGCCACAAUAAGGUGGAUAAGGUGCCAGAGGUGUACGACCUGUAUGCCAUGGCCCACACUGCCUCUUUCAAGAAAGUCAAGGCUUUCUCUCAGUCUGACCUCGAUGAUGCAAACAACUUCACCAACAUCUCCUCCCACAACAAGCUCGUGAGAUAUAGAGAUGAGGGGAAGGCGAGGAAAGGGGAGGACUUUAACCCGAGCCAGGGUCCCAUUGAUCCAGAGCUGGUGAUGAUAUCUGGUGGAGGGAGGUCCCAUGGCUCCAUAGCCAUUGGAGAUGGACUUAUCCGUUGUCCUAGCACUCUCCCGGAGAUCAAGGCGCGCCAGUCGAGCUCCGCUCCUGAGAUAAGGCCUCGUGAACGGCCAGUGCAACUCGCCAUCAAGGUUAGUGAUACGUACUCAGUUAUCUUUCUCCAUUACAUUGUGUGCGCUUCCAUCAAUGAUUACAAAUGGUCAUGUGAGUGGUGUUGCAGGCUGCUAUACAGAGUGAGAGAGAUCGAACGGAGAAACUUCUGGCGGAGGCGGCGGAGAGGCAGCGGGAGUUGGAGGAGAGGACGACAAAGAUGAUGGAGGAGGAGAGGGCACGGAAUGACAUGCAGGCAAGGGCCAUGUACGAGCUCCUUGUGGUAAGUUUCUUCUGCAGAUUAGCCAAAACAUUCAUGUAGUGUUUGUCUCAUUACUAACUAGUAUGACUGAGUCGUCGAAACCAAAUGUGCAGUCUGUGUGCGAGAAGACAGGUCAGACCGCUCCGCCGAUGCCAGUGAUUGCUCCUGGGACCACGGUGAGUUUUAUUUGAAUGGACAUUACUUGCUAGUCUUAACAUUUGAGUGUCAUCAUGCUAACAAGACAUUGGAAAUGAUCUUUGGUGCAGCGUAACUCCAGACAAGCAUCGCACGAUCCUUCUCCAGCUACCGACACGAGCCACCCCGCUCCUACACCUCCUGGAUCUUGGUAAGUUUAUCUAGUGUUUUGCUUAACACAUGCAUAAAGACCUAGACUUAGCUUUAAUUAGCUUAGUUAGCUCAUAGACGAUCCAUUUUACUUAAGUUAGCUCUAAAAUGACCCAUUUUACCUAGGUUACCUUAUAAAUGAUCCAGUUCAUCCAAGUUAGCUCAAAAAUGACCCAUUUUACCUAGAUUAGCUCCUAAAUGAUCCAUUUUACCUACGUUAGCUUUAAAAUGACCCAUUUCAACUAGGUUAACUCCAAAAUGACCCAUCUUACCUAGUUUAUCUCAUAAACGAUCCAUUUCAACUAAUUUAGCUCAUAACCGAUCCAUUUCACCAAGUUAGCUAAAAAACGAUCCAUUUCACCUAAAUUAGCUCUUAAAUGAUCCAUUUCACCUCAGUUAGCUCAAAAAGAUCCAUUUCAACUAAAUUAGCUCAUAAAUGAUCCAUUUCACCUAAGUUAGCUCAAAAACGAUCCAUUUGACCUUAGUUAGCUAAAAAACGAUCCAUUUCACCUUAGUUACCUCAAAAACGAUCCAUUUGACCUUAGUUAGCUCAUAAACGACCCAUUUCAACUAAGUUAGCUCAUAAAUGAUCCAUUUCACCUUAGCUAGCUCAUAAACGACCCAUUUCAACUUAGUUAGCUCAUAUAUGAUCCAUUUCACGUAAGUUAGCUCAUAAAUGACAUACUCUUCUUGUUCUAGUCUUCUUCUUGUUCCACUCUUCUUGUUCUAGUCUUCUUCUUGUUCUACUCUUCUUGUUCUAGUCUUCUUAUUCUAGUCACCUAUUUCUAACUUUCUUAUUUUUUAUUUUGCAGAUUUCAUUCACUUGACGAAAGCUUGCAUAGAUGGAGUGCUCCUUAUCCCUUUCUCUGUUUCUUUUGUAUCGUUGAACUAUGCAUGUAUCUUGGUAGUUGGAUGAACUAUGCUAUGUAUGAUGGAACUUGGUAGUUGGAUGGAACAUAUGUGAUGAAGUUAUGUGAUGGAACUAUGUAUGAUGGAACUAUGCAUGUUGGAUAUCUUAUAUGUUUGCUGUGAAAAUUGUUGUCAUAUAUAUCUUAUGUGAUGGAACUCUGCCUUGUGAAAUAUAUCUAUAUAUGCCAUAUAUAUUUUCUGUGAAAUUUUUUGGAUUUAAUAAAAAACAGAAAAAAAGACCCAAUAUGCAGGCUCUUUGCCAUCUGCCACCGACGGCAACGGGCUCUUUGCCGUCUGCCACCGACGGCAAAGAGGACACAUGGCAUCCAGCUGUGCUUCCUGGGAGCUGACCCAUUUGGUCAGUUUGCCUACAGUGGCAGACGGCAAAGAGUUUGCCGUCAGCGGCGGACGGCAAAGGCCUGCCAUGUAGUGACGUGUAGAUGACAUCAUACGGCGGACGACAAAGACAGUAGAAACUUUGCCGUCCGCUGGCAGACGGCAAAGGCACUAGAAUGUUUGCCGUCCGCGGCGGACGGCAAAGGCCUGCCGUUAGCCACUUAACGGACUGAGAGCACAAUUAUUGCCGUCCGCCCUCUUUGCCGUCCGCGGCAGACGGCAAAGAGCCUUUGCCGUCAGCCGCCAGGAAGCAGACGGCAAAGUAGCUGUUUACCGUAGCCUACUUUGCCGGAGCCUUUUGCCGUCCGCCAUUCAUGCCUUUGCCGUCCGCCAUGGCAGACGGCAAAAUAGCUGAUUCCUGUAGUGCCCGACCCACUGCGCCGCCGCCCCGACCCACUGUGCCGCCGCCCCUACCUGCGCCGCCGCCCUGCCUCCUUGGCCCCCCUCCCCACUUGCCCCCUCGCGCUUCCCCUCGCCCUCUCCGCCUUCUCCUCUCCUCCAGAUCCGCGUCGGCAACCCGCGCGCGACGCGCCCGUCGUCGGCCACCUCGCACCGCCGUGGCAACCGUCGACCUCGUGCCACACCGACGUGCACAAGCACUCCACCUUCCUCGACUACGUCUCCGCGGACAAGCCGCAGGACGCAGGACGCCCCCGCGACGCCUUCCCCGCCACCGGCUUCCUCCUGGGCCCGGCGGACUCUGGCGAGCUCUCCCCCGAGCCCGCUUUGCUCACCUGCAGGUCACCGUGAGCUCCUCAAGGUUUGCCCUCCACUUCCCAUCCCUUCCCUUCCUCAUCUCGGUUCCUUCCCUUCCCUGCUCUCUUCUCUGACCCCCAUCUCAUCUAUCUUCUGCUCUCUUCUCUAGGUAGGUGACGACCACGCCGCAGCGAGGUUCUCCAAAUCCCGGCGACCUAGGUAUGAUUCCCUCCUCCUCCGAACCCCCCUACUCAUUUGUCUUCCAUUUGCUGCGGCAAAUCAGCAGUCCAAGCCCAAGGUCCUCGAUUUGUUUGUGCAGCAAAUCAAGCUCGUGUCUUGCAAAUUGCCACAACUGAACCAGCUGUAGUCCUCCCUAGUUUACUAUGUAAUGCAUAUUUACAAGAAUUGCGCUUGUACCUCCCUUGUCACCAUUGCUGAGACGAAUUAAUAGACUCAUUGGGGUAUGACAAUCGCUGUGAACCGAUGAACAUAGCAAAGAAGGAGCCCAACUGAUGAAUUUGAGAAGAAACGGCUAUGCAGAUUUAAGAGGAAAAGCACUAUUACCGUUCAAAAAAAAUUAGCAACACUAUUAGGUGUAGGCAAUGCGAUGGUGGAAUUAAUGAAGUUAGUUGUUGUGUUGCUGGUCAUUGCCAUUUGUGUGUUAGUAGUUCUUAAGAAUUGGUUGAAUGUAAUCCUAAUGGCAGUUGGUUGAAUUGAGCAAAUUUGAGAGCAACUGAUGGUUAAUGCAGAAGUAAACUUUAAGCAGAAUUGAGACAUGCAAAAUGCAGGAAUAUCCUCCGAGGAAUAUUGAGAGCAAUUUUCAUUUAGAAAGGAACAAAAUUGAUGUUCUCUGAACGUGUUUGGGAGACAGAUAUGUACUUGUCUGAACAUGCAACAGAGCUUGCCCAUAAAUGUUCUAAAUGAACAAAAAGUAAUGUUGAGGACAAAUAUUUUUCUUGGAGCUCUCUUUCUGAAUUGAUGUCUGCGUGCACGAGUUCAAAUUGAUAGAAUUGAUGAAUACAAACUUUUUUUUGAGGGAGAUGAAUACAAACUUGAUGCAACAGAAUUGAUAGAAUUCAAAUUGAUUAGCCUAGUAGUGGAAACUGAUGUCUGUCUGUCUGUCUGUAUGCACAAACUAAAUUUCAGCACAAAUUGAUACCUCGUGAGUAAAUUUAUAGAGCUUAAUAAUACGUACAUUAUAUAGAGAGCUGGAAGCUGCCAAGGUACUCUGUUUUGUUUUGUGAUUCAACAUGAGGAGGAUCGACUGUCCGACUGACUGCAUUCUACUGUAGAUUUAGUCUUCUACAUUAAAUAUGGCUGGCAAUGGAGAUUCUCAUUCUCCAAAGUACAGUUAGCUCCAAGUGUCCAUUUCCUGUGUUAAUUUGAUUUAUUCCUGCAUGGGGAAAACAAUAUCUUUUCACCUGUGAAUUAAUUGAUUGAUGUUUGUUUUGUUCAGGUCUUGACUCAGAAGAAUCUCACAAAGCACAGAGGCUGUCUAGAAAAGUUGCAUAAGAAAAAAAAAGGUACCUAUAAACAUUCUGGUUAUCGCCACCAUGCUAUUUGCUCAUUGACUACGAAAUAAUUAUAUAGUUUUGAAGUUUAUUUAGGUGUGAACUGUAACUCCUGAUUAUGGGCAAUUAUCAAUCAUGCUUAGUAUUGUUUCAUGGUUAAUUUAGCUGAUGAUAUAUACAACAUGGAAGUGUGAGGGGAUGUUACAUUACAUUAUCAUGUAGAUAUCAGAAACCAUUUUUGGUUCUUUCCUCCUGGGGGAGGGGAAGAGAAUACAUAGGAACAUGAUGGCUGUGGGCUUCUAUAUGCUGGCUUCUAUAUGAUGGCAGCUUCCAUGGUGUUAUAUAUGAUGUUAUAUGAUGGCAGCUUCUAUAUGAUGGCAGCUUCUGAUGUGAAAUGACCCCUUUCUCCUGAAAUGUUGAUUAAUUUCCGUUUCGGUUGAGAAUGGGGCACUCCUAGGUCAAGAAAAUUAGCAAAGGUCAUGCCCAAUUUUCUUGACCUAGAAGGUGCCCGAUUCUCAACCGAAACGGAAAUAUUCCUCUAAAUCUGAGAAGGAUAGAUACUACCUUGAUCUCAUCCAAUAACUCUAGUAGCAUUUUUUCCUAUUUAGAGCGAACAUGGCCGACAACGAUGAGGCCGGCGGUUCGGGCAAGCCAUUCUGGCAGCUGUCCCAGGAGAUGGAGGAAGAACCUCACCACUAUGAGGACGCCGUGGAAGACACCGAUCCCGACUACACAACCCCUAAUGGCGUCGGGGAUGACACCACUGAUGGUGCCGCCGGGGAUGCCACCACUGAUGGUGCCGCCGGGGAUGCCACCACUGAUGAUGGCAGCGAACGCAUAGAUGGCAGCCAACCGAAGAGGCAACGGAAGGACUGGCGCCCGAACGUGCUCGGCACCGUCAAGGAGGAAUUUACUGAAGUGUCCUCCAGUGGGCAUCCAACGGCGCCCAAAGAAUUAGUCAGUGGGUACGUGGGACAACUCGGGUGCAUUCUCCGGAGCACCGUCUCGAUCAACACCGAGAACCUAAGGCAUCGUGACCAAGGGAAUUUGCGCAACCUCCUCUUCACGAAGCUGCACGAACGAUACAAGUUCCCCUGUGACUUUGCAAACACACGCCUCUCAGGGAAUAAAGUGAACAGUGCUGCCCUCAUGAAGAUGAGCACGGCCCUGGCUACUUGGAGAGCCGCGGUGAAGAGAAGGAUUCUCCGUGGUGAUAGUUAUGAGAAGAUCAAGGAGACAAAUCCUUCGAUCAGCGAAGCUGACUACCUGGAGUUCAAAAUCAAGUGCGAGAGCAACGCAUCCGCGGAAUCAAGUCAGUGGGGGAAAGAUAUGCGGGACUUGAACUUAGGGGUCCACAAACUCGGUCCCGGUGGUUACAGAGUGGCGGAACCUAUAUGGGACAAGGAGGACGCGGAGCGUGCCGAGCAAGGCCUACCGCCCCUCUUCUAUAAAUACCCUGAUAAGCAGACCAGGUACUAUGUCAGGGCCCGGUACAAGGUGGACCCGAUAACAAAGGAGCUUACCACGGAUCCGAAGACCAAGGCGCUUGAGCUUGUUCUGGUAAGGAAUACACCCCCGCGUAAUUAGCUUCAUAUGGUUGCAUUCUAAUUAAUGAAGCCAAAUUUCUAAAUGGUUCACGUUCCUUCCGCAGGAAACUGAAAGCAGUAGCGCGGGAUCUCAGAGCUCCCCUUGGGACCGCACUUUAAAUAGGGCGUUGAACGUAAUGAAACACAAGGAUAAGUUCAGUAAGCCGUCGUCAGCUGGUCGUGUGGCCGGUAAAGGCUUGUCCACGAAAUGGUCGGAAUACUAUAAGGCUGAGCGAAAGGAGAGAAAGACCACCUCGGAAAUCCAGGAGCGUGAGGUUAAAGAACUUAAGGCACAAGUGGCGCGGAUUCCGGAGAUAGUCCAAGAGCAAGUGCGAGACCAACUGGGAGCGACGAUCACCGCCAUUAUUCCUACCUUGCUUGAGGGGCUGCAGGCGUGGAUUGCGGGCGGCCAACAGGGGCCGCCCCCGAUUCCCAGCUUCACGGGCAGCAACUCGCACAACGCGCCGGCAUUGGUGUCUCCGGCGGAGGCGGCAUUGGUGUCUCCGGCGUCGGCGCCGGCACUGGAGCUUAAUGCACCCGGGUGUGGGAAGAAUACGCCGGCCGGCACCUCGGCAGCAAGCGGCCCCUCCGUCACUUGCACGCCCGCCGUUGGCGGUGCCUCGACAUUAGCCGAGCUCGACGCCAUCACGGUAACUAAGCCUCGGCCGAUGACUUCAUCUCCUUGCCUUUGACUGGGCAUCCCUGACGCCCUACAUGUUUUCGCAGGGUGCCACCGACGUUCCAUGCACUCUCCUGCACUUCGUGGACGGCGAGUUGAUCGAUGUCGCCAAGGCCAAAAUCGUUCAACCGGGCAACCGCGUGUUCCACGGUAAUCCGAUGCCACCCACCGUGUAUAGGGCUCAACUGGUUCGGGUGCUGCGGGGCUGCGACGACUUGUUACCUCCGUUCGACCCCCUAGGGCCGACGAAGAUGAUGUGAUGACCCUCAGCGCCUGCUUAAGCUGGCCCCUGCUUUGGCCGAAGAGCCAGAUUCGUUUGGGGGCGGGGGACACCACCCCACAGACAACACGCCAGCCGUGCCGGCGCCAAGCCAUGGCAAGACCGCCGCAACGCUACCGCCGUCAGCUGAUCCGGACAUGCAUAUGGCACAGGAUCCGGACGACGACGAUGACGGUACAUUUUCCAACGUCGAUAAGUACUUCAACGAACAUGGGUACGGUGACGAAUUCUUGGGGCCUCCUUCUCAAGAACCCAACCCUGCAAAAGACGAUCGCGAUCUAGCUGGUACCUCGGAGAAACCCAAUUGCAACAGGCGUCGUCUGGCGUUCAGUUCUCAGGAGACGCCUCCAGCUGCCGCCUUCACCGAGACUCAAGUAGCUGAGGUGCGAAAUAUUAUCGGCCCCAACACACUCAAGAAAGUGGUCUCUGAGCAGAACUCGAUCCCAUUACAGCAGAAGAAGCAAAAGGGACGGAAAAGAAAGAAAAACAAGGGUGCGAGCCAGCCGGCACCGAGUACGAUACGUGCUCAGGACGGGCCACCAACACCUAAGGAUAUCUUGAGGAGGGUGCAUGUGGCGGGUAGGCCGAUGCUAUCGACUAAUCUGCUCAAUGCAGCAACCGGUGCUAUGCGGAGUCUGCAUGACAGUGUUCUUUCUAUGGAGAAGCGGCGUCUCUCCGAGAAUGAUGUGGCAUACCCGGUUUUCGUGGCCAAGGUGCCAGAGAGCAGGGGCUUUGUCGAUAGCACCAUCGGGCGUAUGAUCGUCCUGCGGUUUGAUGACAUCUUCGCUAUGUUUAACCUUCAUCCGCUGCACUACACCUUCAUUCGGUUAUUUUCGCUCAGUAUGGAGAUGCGGAUCAUUAGAGACAAGACCCCGGACAUCGUGAUAGUCGAUCCCUUCAACAUGCGUGCCAAGAUCUUGGGCAGCGCUGGGGACCGGCAAGUCGCGAGUUCAUACCUCGAAGGCGUCGUUCUGGCGAACCCAGAUAAGGAUAACUUCCUUGUGCCUUACUUUUCCGAGUAAGUCAUCCCCUCACCGCCCCGUAACAUAUGAUUUCUUAGAUUAAGAUCGUUCUUUUUUUUCUAACAUUCUGUGUUUUGUGCAGUGACACACAUUGCACACUCAUCCUCUUAAGCAUGAAAUAUUCCAUGGCCACGUAUUUCGACUCGGACCGUCAGUCGAAGAAAGACUACACAAAUAUCAAGAAAGUUCUUGAUGAUGCUCUCCCCGGCUACGCCAAAUCUGGAGGCACCUUCAGGAGGCCAAUUUGUAGGUACGGCAAGCACGUGUUCACCCACGUAACAACGUUCCCCUACGUCAAGCAGCCGCCUGGCAGUCAGAAGGAUGCCUACUACGCCCUCCAUCACAUGCGGGCGAUCGUACGGGACCAUAAUCACCUUACGCUACCAAAUAAUCUCAAAGAUUGGGCCGCACGCUUGUCGGCAAUCCAGGACGAGGACAUCAGACAAGAAUUCUUUCGCAUCCAGUCAGAGUUUGCGGAAAUCAUCUAUCAAGAUGUCCUCGGGGCAGUUCUACCUCAAAUAUCAACCGUCCAACAGUGAAAUAGAAACAACGCUACAAAUGCAGGCCGACAACAACCGCACAUUCAUGCCCAUCACGAAAGACGGCGGCUUCAUCCACGCUCCGGGUCCCUGAGUCGAGUCGAUUAGCUCAUGUUGUAAUUAAACUUUAAUGAACUUGUUUGUCUCUUUAGUUUGGACAGUCGUUCAACUUAUAUGUAAUCGAUGCUAUUUAUUAGUAGGACCAUGAAUCGUGCUAUUAAUGUGUUACUUUUCUCUUCCGAUCCUUUUGUUGCAUACUUAUAUAUUGCUUAUAUAUUAUCUGUGAAUUGCUACUAACAUUUUGUUUGUCUAGUGCAUAGAGAUGCCGUCGUAUGUCGUGUGCAAGGGUAAGGUUCCCGGAGUCUACGACGACUGGGAGGAGUGUCGGAGACAGGUUCACCGUUUCAGCGGUAACAGUUACAAAGGGUACACCACUAGGGCGGAGGCGGAAGCUAGAUACACGCGCUAUCUAGUGGGAGAGAGGAGGGAGCGUUGGAGGAACCGGAUGAAGACCAGUUUCAUCGCGAUGAUGCUCAUCGUGACCGCAGCUCUCUUCUAUGUGAUGGUAGUUUAGAUGAUCGAUAUCGACUUUGUAAUGUGACGACAAACUCGGCUAAUAUGAUGAACUUUGCUAAUGUCUCGAGACCUAAACUUGGCUAAUGUUUGAACUUUGUUCGCUAUUUCGAAUUUGGAGACUAAUAUGAUGAAAAUUCGAUUGUGUGAUGUUUAUAUUCUGUGCUGUAACGUAUUUUGUAACCUGCGCAAAUACCAGAAAAGCAAAAAAUAAUAAUUCUUAAUAUUCAUAGUAGUGGCGCACCAUAUUGAGCAUUAGUGGCGCACCAAGGCUAAAUACCAGUGGCGCAUUUUGGGGCAUAGUAAUGGCGCACCAUGGGGCAUACGUGAAGGUAAAUAUGGCCCCCUAGAAGGCAUAGUAAUGGCGCACUAUUGGACAUAGUAAUCGCGCACUGUGUGGUGCGCCACUAUUAUCUGGGAUACUAAUGGCGCACCAGAGGUGCGUCAUUACUAUUUGUUACUAGUGGCGUGUUAAUAGUGGCGCACAUAUAGUGCGCCAUUAAUAGCAAAAACAUAUACAACACUAACAGCCUUUUUUCUAAUAGUGAUAUGUAAAUUUUAACCGACAAUGCAUCUUACAUAAAUUCAUAUCAUUUUAUUGUCAAAAUAGAUAGGCACGGCAACGCGCGCCACCCAUGAUCUAGUUAAGAAAAAUUUAGUCACAUGUGAGAAGGCAGAACAAGUCCUUCUCGUCUGAAACGAAACUGCCACAGCAUCGCCCGUGUGGGUGACAUGGGAGGCAAGCCAAUCCACUUUUCUCGGGGCAUCCUCCUUGUGCCCGUCCCUCGCCGCUGCUGCCGGCCAGCUCCGGCGUGCUGGCCACCGCAGCCUGCGGCGGCGGCGGGUCGCCAUUCAAGAUGCGUUUUGGACGGCGUGAAGCCUUGUGCGGACAGUAACUUGACGCAGUGGAGGUCCAGGUUGCAAUGGUGACAUCGAUCUAUGGUAUAUGGCAGCCUCGCUGCAACGCCUACCUGCCUCCCCCUCUCCCUGGAGAGCCGGCUCACUGUGGCCCGACGCGGCUCGUGGGUGUUGAACCUGUAUUUCCUAGCCCGGUUCAGUAGCUAGCUUAGUUUUUCUCCAGUUAGCAAAUAAAUGGCCAAGUCACGUGUGCAUGUAUACGAUGAGGCCGAUCCUAGUUUCAGUUAGUAGUUAGCUAGGUUGGCGCGGCUGUUAGUGUUGCAUGGGAUGGCAUGCAGCGUAGCUCGCGGCACGCGUGCAUCAUUCGCACGUCGAGCGUCGUGGGAUGGCAUGGCCGGUCUGCUCGCGUGUGGAGUUGAUCUUUUCUUUGUAAUCUCAGUACAAAUAAGAGAAAUGAAAACGGGAAAAGCUGCAACAGUACGCAGCACAAAACACCUGAGUCAUCGUCUACCUCUCCUCCUCCGUGUCAUCAUGAGCUAGAGCACGCCGGCGUUCUCGGUUCCAACAAGUGGCAUCAGAGCCGCGUCGUUCCUUGGUGACCAUGGCCGGUUUGACUUCUCGGGGGCACUCUGGUGACCGCUGACGCCGCGGCGGCGGCCCGUGCAGCAGCUGGCAAGAGCGACGACGACGGCGCACGCUCGCUGACCCCAGACCGCAGUCGCAGCCGUGGCCGCAGUCGCAGCCGCAGGCGCGGCAAGGAGAUCGUCGUCCACGAUCGCAUGGUCUAGGAGCGCCUCGUCCCGAGCGGCACCACGGUGUGGCCGAUGCUCACCCCGACGAACUAUUUCGAGUGGUCCAUGUUGAUGCAGAUUAACAUGGAGGCCAACUUGAUGUGGGACGCGGUGGAGGGAAACCCGUCGAGCGUCCCCAACGACAAGGCGGCGCUGGCGGCCAUCCUAUGAUCCAUUCCGCUGGAGAUGGUGGGUGUGAUCGUGGUGAAGAAGACGGCGAAGGAGGCUUGGGGCACGAUAAAGACCAUGCGCAUGGGUGUGGUGCGCGUCCGCGAGGCCACGGCGCAAUGGAUGCGCUCCGAGUUUGAGGCGAUCGUGUUCCGCGACGACGAGAUGCUCGACGCGUUUGACAUGCGGAUCACCUCGCUCAUCAACAACCUGCGCUCGCUCGGCGACACCAUGGAAGAGGUGAGAGUGGUUUAGAAAUUCCUCCGCGUCGUCCCGUCUCGGUACAUGCAGAUCGCUCUCGCCAUCGAGACGAUGCUCGACCUCAACAUGCUCUCCGUUAAGGAGCUCGUCGGUUGUCUGCGCUCCGCGGAGGAGCGCUACCUCACCAACGAUCAAGGUGGAGGUCGCGGGGCAGAGUUGUUGAUGAUGGAGGCGCAGUGGCACGCACGGAAGAAUCAGCGUGCCCAAGGCCAGAACAGCGGCCAGGGCGGCGGUCAAGGCGAGUCCGGUGGACCAGGCGGGUCUGGCGGACAGGGCGGCGGCUCAAACCGUCGCCGCAGCAAGCAGCAAAACCGUCGUGGCAGCGGCCAGGGCGGUGGUGGAAAUGGCGGGCGCGAUGGCGCGCCGAACGAAGAGCGCGACAUGUCCCAGGUCAAGUGUUACAAUUGUAACAAGCCUAGGCACUUCUCCAAACUAUGGGUGUUAAUCACAUGGUGAUGUGAACUAUUAGUGUUAAAUCACAUGGCGAUGUGAACUAGAUUAUUGACUCUAGUGCAAGUGGGAGACUGAAGGAAAUAUUCCCUAGAGGCAAUAAUAAAGUUGUUAUUUUAUAUUUCCUUAUAUCAUGAUAAAUGUAUAUUAUUCAUGCUAGAAUUGUAUUAACCGGAAACUUGAUACAUGUGUGGAUACAUAGACAAAACACCGUGUCCCUAGUAAGCCUCUACUAGACUAGCUCGUUAAUAAAAGCUGGUUAAGUUUCCUAACCAUAGACAUGUGUUUUCAUUUGAUGAACGGGAUCACAUCAUUAGGAGAAUGAUGUGACGGACAAGACCCAUCCAUUAGCUUAGCAUAAUAAUCGUUUAGUUUUCUUGCUAUCGCUUUCUUCAUGUCAAAUACAUAUUCCUUCGACUAUGAGAUUAUGCAACUCCCGAAUACCGGAGGAAUGCUUUGUGUGCUAUCAAACGUCACAACGUAACUGGGUGAUUAUAAAGAUUCUCUACAGGUAUCUCCGAAGGUGUUUGUUGGGUUGGCAUAGAUCGAGAUUAGGAUUUUUCACUCCGAGUAUCGGAGAGGUAUCUCUGGGCCCUCUCGGUAAUGCACAUCAUAAGAAGCCUUGCAAGCAAAGUGACUAAUGAGUUAGUUGCGGGAUGAUGUAUUACGGAACGAGUAAAGAGACUUGCCGGUAAUGAGAUUGAACUAGGUAUGUGAUACCGACGAUCGAAUCUCGGGAAAGUAACAUACCGAUGACAAAGAGAAUAAUGUAUGUUGUCAUAACGGUUCGACCAAUAAAGAUCUUCGUAGAAUAUGUAGGAGCCAAUAUGAGCAUCCAGGUUCUUCUAUUGGUUAUUGGUCGGAGAAGUCUCUCGGUCAUGUCUACAUAGUUCUCGAACCCGUAGGGUGCGCACGCUUAACGUUCAAUGACGAUUUUGUAUUAUAUGAGUUAUGCGAUUUGGUGACCGAAUGUUGUUCGGAGUCCCGGAUGAGAUCAAGGACAUGACAAGGAGUCUCGAAAUGGUCGAAAGGUAAAGAUUCAUAUAUAGGAUGAUGGUAUUCGAACACCGGAAGUGUUCUGGGGGUUACCGGGUACAUAUCAGAGUACUGGGGGGUUACCGGAACCCCGGGGGUGAGAUAUGGGCCAUAUGAGCCAUAAGAGGGAGGCACACCAGCCCACAGGCCCCCCCCCUAGGCAGGAGGCCGAAUUGGAGAAGGAACAAGGGGGGUUCAGCCCCCCUUCCUUUCUCUCUUCCCCUUCCCUUUUCUCUCCGAUGAAAUAUGGUAAGGGGGGAGGCCGAAUUGGGAGGACCCCAAGUAGGAUUCCUCCUACUUUGGGCGCCCUCUUGGCUGCCUCUCCUCCCCUCCNNNNNNNNNNNNNNNNNNNNNNNNNNNNNNNNNNNNNNNNNNNNNNNNNNNNNNNNNNNNNNNNNNNNNNNNNNNNNNNNNNNNNNNNNNNNNNNNNNNNNNNNNNNNNNNNNNNNNNNNNNNNNNNNNNNNNNNNNNNNNNNNNNNNNNNNNNNNNNNNNNNNNNNNNNNNNNNNNNNNNNNNNNNNNNNNNNNNNNNNNNNNNNNNNNNNNNNNNNNNNNNNNNNNNNNNNNNNNNNNNNNNNNNNNNNNNNNNNNNNNNNNNNNNNNNNNNNNNNNNNNNNNNNNNNNNNNNNNNNNNNNNNNNNNNNNNNNNNNNNNNNNNNNNNNNNNNNNNNNNNNNNNNNNNNNNNNNNNNNNNNNNNNNNNNNNNNNNGGCAUCGCUAGAAUACACAUCAACAAUUGUUAGCCGUGUGCGGCGCCCCCUCCACAGUUUACGCCUCCGGUCAUAUCUUCGUAGUGCUUAGGUGAAGCACUGCUCGGAUCACUUCACCAUCACCGUCACCACGCCGUUGUGCUGAUGGAUCUCAUCUACGUCCUCGACACUUUGCUGAAUCAAGAGUUCAAAGGACGUCAUCGAGCUGAACGUGUGCAGAACUCGGAGGUGCCGUACGUUCGGUACUUGAUCGGUCGGAACGAGUAGAAGUUCGACUACAUCAACCGCGUUCUCAAACGCUUCCGCUUUCGAUCUACGAGGGUACGUAGACACACUGUCCCCCUCUCGUUGCUAUGCAUCUCCUAAAUAGAUCUUACGUGAGUGUAGGAAUUUUUUUGAAAUUGCAUGCUACAUUUUCCAACAAAUUCAUCAGGUAGCUCCUCUGCUCCUGAUUUCUUGAGGUGUUCGUGCUCGAUCUACUUGCUCCUGUUACUAUUUGCUUGUGUCCUUCCAAGCGUUGCCAAAAAAAACUUGUGAUAUUGUGGCUUUUGUUCUGUAAGACAAAACCUUGUAUUCUUAUUUCAGAAUACUAAUUAAACUGCCAGAAUCUUGUUGGGGCUUCGGAAUUAGUUUCUCGAGUUUGUAUCGAUGGUAUUUAUCAACUGCCAUAGUCCCCUUCAUUUCAGUCUAUUAAGCAAAAUCAGGCCACGUGUAUGUCCCACAACAAGUUAUCCAAAGGCCCUAGUGUUUUAGAUUGACAAAAGUCAUGACAGUUUUCUGCUACAGCCUAGAGUGAAUUAUAUAUAUGACCUAUUAAUUUUUCUAUAUAGAUGUAAACUUUAUAAUACAUGAAUAUAACUUAUAUACAUGAGAAUAAAUAAAUACGGAUGAACAUUUUAUUUCAUAUAUAUGAAUAUAUUUUUUAAAUCCAUGAACUUUUUUUAAAACAUGAAAUAGUAAUAAAUGAAUUUAUUUGUUGUAUACAUGAACUUUCAAAUACACGCUGGACAUUAUGUAUUUCUAAAUCCCUAAAAAAUACUAGACUUAUUUAAUACAUUAGCAAUGCCAACAAAAUGUAACUUAUAGAACCAAAAGGAAACAAGAUAAGAAGUCAUAGAAGAAUGAAAAAAAACACUUACUGUGCCGUUGGUACACUUAAAAUGUCGAGAACUAAAUCACAAUAUGAUUGACAAAAGAGCCCCAUUCUUGCAAUCAGCAUGAAAAAGAAAUUGUAAACACAAAACAUACCGCUAGCACACAUUAAAACCUCAUAGCCCAGCACGUGAAGAAAAAUAAAGGUCCAAACAUGUGUAGCAAACCGAGAAUUAAGAAAAGGGAAUGUCCUACCAUUUAAUCAUACAUAUGCAAAAUAAAUCAUUGUUGGCUCACCAUUAAUUACAAGAUUCAGCUUGUAUGAAUCGUUAUUUCUAGCUCGUAGCGGGAAAUACUUCGGCAAUGGUAGAUGUGCGGAGAGUGGCUCACUCGCCUUAGUGUACCGAUUCGCAUCGCAGCGCACCGGCGCUCACGCGCAAGGGCCGACCCACUAAAGCAGAGUGGCUCGCUCGCCUUUGUUAGUUUUUCUUUUUGCUCGCCUUUUUUUUUGGUGUUGCUCUGUUGUUCAAGAAAAACAAAUCGGCUACCCUUUUUUUUAACUGAAAAAUGUUCAUGAAUUUGAGAAAAGUUCAUGGAUUUGAAAAAUGUUCAUGCAUUUUAGAAAUGUUUUUGAAUUUUAAAAAAGUUCAUGAAUUUCAAAGUUCGCAAUUCUAAGAAAAUUCAAGGAUUAAAAAGUUCACAAAUUUGCAAAAAGUUCACCGAAUUUGAAAAAAAUUCCUGGAAUUUGAUUUUUUUAUAUGAAAAGGAAGAAAAAUAAAAAGUAGGACAAAAACCAGAAUAAAAAACCGAGUAGAAAACACAGAAAUAGGAAAAAGAAAACUCGAUUGAAAGCUUCUAGAAGAUUCAAAAACCGGUCGGAAGCUUCUUGAAGCUUCACAAAACCGGUUUGGGAGCUUGUAAAUCUACUUUUCUUAAUUAAUAAAAAAUUACUAUCACGAACAUUCUUAUAAAUACAUAUCAUUUAUGUAAAUUUUUGAACAUGUUUUCAAAUUCUCGACCAUUUUUUCAAAUUUGGGAAUGUUUUUUCAGAUUCAUGAUUUUUCCGAAAUUUAUAAAAAAAAUUAAUAAUUUGUGAACACUUUUACAAAAAAUUAAAUUAAGGAAUAUUUCAAAUUGUUGUACAUUUUUUUUCAAAUUCAUGAAUAAUGUUUAAAUUGAUGUACAUUUUUAAAAUCUGCUAAUAUUUUUGGAAAGUCAUUAACUUUUUUACAAAUCGGUGAAUAUUUUUUACAACUUAACUUUUUCAAAAUUUUAAAUUGUACAAACUUUUUUUGAAUAAGUAAAAGCGCCUAGAAAUAACCGAUCGGGAAAACUGGCUGAAAGAACCGGCCGACCCCAUAAAAAUGAUCCUUGCAGGUUCGAACAAGAAGCUCAAGAAUGGGCGAGCCCACCCACUCCGGAUACACGUUAUAACGCCAAUUCCCCACAAGGGGCGGGGAAUCGGAGCUCCCAAAGAAAAUACUGGAAUAAAAGAAAAUCCCAGAAAUGUCCCAUGUCAUUCCUACCGAAUCACCAAACAUAACACAACACAUAAAAAGAAAGCAGCAAAACAUUGCAUGGAUCUUGACGCCUAGAUCGCGACCAAGAAUUACUCCCAUCGUCCGGGUGCUUAAGGCGGCUAACCAAAACAAGAUAUUCUAGGAGUAUUAGUCGUCAGUUAAUUAAUUAGCACCCUUUUUUUGCGAAGAAAUAAUUAGCACCCUAACAAAGCACAAUUUCAUUUGCAUGUGAGCGGCAUCGAGGAAAUCGUAGGAUAUAUGUGCAUGCAAACACAUGUGAGAAAGAGGGAUUUGCGCUCGUAACUGCAUCCUUUAAUUACGGGAUUUCCAUUGUGAUCGUGUUGAGUAAUUGAGGGAAUAAUUGUGGAAGAAACUCGCACCAUGGUUGGUUGUUUUAGCGCUUCAAACUUCACGCGAUUAAGGGCCAGUUCGUUUGCACGAUUCUCCCAGAAUCGAACCCCUCCCCAGCUUCUCCUAGAAUCUUUAACCCACAUUCGUUUGGCAGUCCUACCUAAUUAGACGGUAACUAGCUACUAGCUAGGAUUGUCAUACGAAUGAGGGUUGAAGAUUCUGGGAGAAGCUCGAAAGGGGUCCGAUUCCAGGAGAAUCUUGGAAAAGAACCGGCCCUAACUCCCACUAGCGUCUUGGUCACCCCGCACUUUGGUAAAUGCACCAUGCAUCCGGACGGAGGGAGUAACUAAUUCUAAGUCGACAGGGAACUAACAAAACUGUUUUUUUCUUUUCUUUGGAGGAUUUCGUUAGAGCGUGCAGUAACAAUGUACACAUAAUACAGUGCGCAUUAAUUUUGUUUGCAAAAGUGAAACAUCACUACUAUAUUUUAGGACGGAGGGAGUACAAAUACUCGGGCCUUCUCAGUCUCAGUAGUCGGGCCGACCCAGCUGCUGCUGCAACAGAAUGCGCCCUCCACUGGUAAAUUCUUGCUCAGUCCAAAAUAAAUUGGUUGUUAUGGAAACUAUAUUACACUGAUCUUGCAUUAAUUUCAUUGAUGCGUGACUGAGAAUCAUAGUGAAAUGGAAACACUGUUUGUACUAUGUGUCGAGAAGGAAGCCAGAGACUUUUCUUCUCCUGCGAGUGCAGCAUGGAGAGAGAACGACAGAGAGAUGGCCACAUGACCGUGGGUGGUUUACGCUUACAGGUGAGAGGAUAGGAAUUUUAGGCAGGAGACACGGUUGGUAUCCAUUCCUUCAUGGGCCCACCUUUUGGAGCAAUGCACGUCGGGGUUCAAUCGGAUUGGUCCCAAUGUACCAAGAAUCUUCUCUCUCGAUCGACUAGCCAGCUGAGCGAGCUGUCCACGCCUUCGGGAAUCAUGUACAAGCAGGGCCCAGCAGGCCGAGGCAUAGCCACGGGCCCCUCGUCCCAUGGGAGGCCCUAUUUCCAGUAGGAUCUUCAUCUUGGCGUGCAAGCCGAGAACCCCUCAGUCCGAUCAGGGCUUUGGGUCGGUAGCGAACCUUGUAGCCCUAGGUCUCGUCCCUCUUUAUAAGGCGAGACCAGGGAUAGCUAGAGGCAUCUGACAUCUAGCCAUAGUCUCGAUAGCAACAUCUCCCCUCAUAGUAAUCCCCUUACGUGAGGCGUUUAUCCCACAUCAAUCAAAUCAUAGNNNNNNNNNNNNNNNNNNNNNNNNNNNNNNNNNNNNNNNNNNNNNNNNNNNNNNNNNNNNNNNNNNNNNNNNNNNNNNNNNNNNNNNNNNNNNNNNNNNNNNNNNNNNNNNNNNNNNNNNNNNNNNNNNNNNNNNNNNNNNNNNNNNNNNNNNNNNNNNNNNNNNNNNNNNNNNNNNNNNNNNNNNNNNNNNNNNNNNNNNNNNNNNNNNNNNNNNNNNNNNNNNNNNNNNNNNNNNNNNNNNNNNNNNNNNNNNNNNNNNNNNNNNNNNNNNNNNNNNNNNNNNNNNNNNNNNNNNNNNNNNNNNNNNNNNNNNNNNNNNNNNNNNNNNNNNNNNNNNNNNNNNNNNNNNNNNNNNNNNNNNNNNNNNNNNNNNNNNNNNNNNNNNNNNNNNNNNNNNNNNNNNNNNNNNNNNNNNNNNNNNNNNCACGACAGGCAGGGGAUGCGCCGAUCAGAGACCUGACCCUGAUUGGAUCUUGACUUCAAGCCGGCGACUUCGCGCCGGGCGUAAGUUUCAUCUCUGGCUCCUUCACCUUCAUCACGGACAAGACGGGUCGGCUCUACAACAGCCCGCCGCCGCCCUGUCCGAACCCUCUUCUUCGGCACCCUCGAAUUCAUCACCGAUCGCUACGAAUACAUCCGACUCCGUGUGGCACCACUCCUCCGAGCUCUGGAUGCGGCUUCCAAGCAUGCUUCGGAGCUCGUGGGAGACUGAAGGAAAUAUGCUCUAGAUGCAAUAAUAAAGUUAUUAUUUAUAUUUCCUUAUAUCAUGAUAAAUGUUUAUUAUUCAUGCUAGAAUUGUAUUAACUGGAAACUUAGUACAUGUGUGAAUACAUAGACAAACAGAGUGUCACUAGUAUGCCUCUACUUAACUAGCUCGUGAAUCAAAGAUGGUUAAGUUUCCUAACCAUAGACAUGAAUUGUCAUUUGAUGAACGGGAUCAGUCAAGACCCAUCUGUUAGCUUAGCACUAUGAUCAUUUAGUUUGUUGCUAUUGCUUUCUUCAUUACUUAUACAUGUUCCAAUGACUAUGAGAUUAUCCAACUCUCGAAUACCGGAGGAACACUUAGUGUGUUAUCAAACGUCAUAACGUAACUGUGUGAUUAUAAAGAUGCUCUACAGGUGUCUCCGAAGGUGUUUGUUGAGUUGGCAUAGAUCGAGAUUAGGAUUUGUCACUCCGAUUGUCGGAGAGGUAUCUCUGGGCCCUCUCGGUUAUACACAUCACUAUAAGCCUUGCAAGCAAUGUGACUAAUGAGUUAGUUACGGGAUGAUGCAUUACGGAACGAGUAAAGAGACUUGCCGGUAACGAGAUUGAACUAGGCAUGGUGAUACCGACGAUCGAAUCUCGGGCAAGUAACAUACCGAUGACAAAGGGAACAACGUAUGUUGUUAUGCGGUUUGACCGAUAAAGGUCUUCGUAGAAUAUGUAGGAGCCAAUAUGAGCAUCGAGGUUACGCUAUUGGUUAUUGACCGGAGAUGUGUCUCGGUUAUGUCUACAUAGUUCUCGAACCCGUAGGGUCCGCACGCUUAACGUUUGAUGCCGAUUUGUAUUAUGAGUUAUGUGAUUUGAUGUACCGAAGUUUGUUCGGAGUCCCGGUGAGAUCCCGGACAUGACGAGGAGUGUCGAAAUGGUCGACAUGUAAAGAUUCAUAUAUUGGAAGGUUGCAUUCGGACAUCGGAAUGGUUCCGAGUGAUUCAGGUAUUUUUCCGGAGUACCAGGAGGUUACCGGAACCCCUUGGGGAAAGAUAUGGGCCUUAUGGGCCAUAGGAGGGAGGCUAACCAGCCCACAAGGGGCUGGUGCGCCCCCCACAAGGGAGGAGGCCGAAUUGGACUUGGUAAGGGGGCGUCACCCCCCUUUCCUUCUCCUACUCCCUCUCCUUCCCCUUUUCCCCCUCCGGUAGAAGGAAAAAAGGGUGGGGACGAAUCCUACUAGGACUGGAGUCCUAGUAGGACUCCCCUCUCCCUGGCGCGCCCCUUGUUGGCCGGCCUCCUCCUCCCCUCCUUUAUAUACGGGGGUAGGGGGCACCCCAAAGGCACAACAGACAAUCUCUUAGCCGUGUGCGAUGCCCCCCUCCACAGUUUUACACCUCGGUCAUAUCGUCGUAGUGCUUAGGCGAAGCCCUGCGCCGGUAACUUCAUCAUCACCGUCACCACGCCGUCGUGCUGACAGAGCUCUCCCUCGGCCUCAGCUGGAGCAAGAGUUCGAGGGACGUCACCGAGCUGAACGUGUGCAGAUCGCGGAGGUGUCGUGCGUUCGGUACUUGAUCGGUUGGAUCGCAAAGACGUUCGACUACAUCAACCAUGUUACUUAACGCUUCCACUUUUGGUCUACGAGCAUACGUAGACACACACUCCCCGCUUGUUUCUAUGCUUCUCAUAGAUAAAUCUUGCGUGAUCGUAGGCAAUUUUUUUUGAAUACUACAUUCCCCAACAGUGGCAUCCGAGCCAGGUCUAUGCGUAGAUGUUAUAUGCACGAGUAAAACACAAAGAGUUGUGGUCCAUAAUAGUCAUACUGCUUACCAGCAUGUCAUACUUUGAUUCGGUGGUAUUGUUGGAUGAAGCGGCCCAGACCGCCAUUACAUGACCGCGUUCAUGAGACUGGUUCUACCGACGUGCUUCGCACACAGGUGGCUAGUGGGUGUCUGUUUCUCCAGCUUUAGUUGAAUCGAGUGUGGCUACGCGGCACUAAAGGGUGGGGACUAAAGGUCCCCCCUUUAGUAUCGGUUCUGCACCCGACACUAAAGGGUGGGGACUAAAGGUCCCCCUUUAGUACCGGUUCUGCACGAACCACCGCUAAAAGGCCACCAUGUGGCACGAGCCAGCGUCGGGGGUGGGGAGCCCUUUAGUACCAGUUGGUAACACCAACCGGUACUAAAAUAUUUGGGGGGUUUUGGAUUCAUGAUUUCUUUUUCCUUUAAUUUUGUGUUUUCCAUUUAAUUCUUUUUCGUUUGCUGGUAUUUUAUGAUACUACAUAUUGUACACGUUAUGCAUAUAUAUAAAUAGAAUUUCCCGUAGAACCGAUCAUAUAUAUAUAUAUAUAUAUAUAUACACACACACAAUUAGGUAUAUAUACAAUUUCUCCUACAUUUUGCCUUGGUGCUUCGGAGCACGAUGACAAUUGGGAGUGGUUCAUGGGGACGGUAGUGGGUAAUGGUAUUCUCCUUUGGGAUCUAUGACCUGGUCGAGCAAAAAUCCCGCUAUUUCCUCUUGAAGUGCUCGUAUGCGCUCUGUUGGUAGGAGCUGCUCCCGCACGUCUUUGAACUGUUAAGAAGGAGAUCAAUAUGCAUGUGUAUUAGUUGUGUGACUAGAUAUAGAUAAUCAUGUAAAAUUUGGAAUAGUAUUCUGGUAAACGUACCCAUUGCUGUUUAUCAGAUUUGCUCCUUUCGGACGCCAUCAUGCGAAUGUUCUCGCAAAUGUAGUAUGCACACACUUCAGUUCCCGGAGCCUGCUUCAGGGCCUUUACGAGAAUGGACUUUAAUCAGAUAAUAAUUAAUCAAGCAUGAUAAUUAAUGGUAUUGAGACAAGAAUUAAAGAGAUAGCUAGCUAGUACUACUUAAUUACUUACCUUGGGUCGAAACCAAUAUAGCUUUUUUCGCCAUUUGCCUGGAGUCACGUUGAUGAACUUUGCCCAAGCCCUGCCCGCCGGCAAAGAAAAUGAAUAAAGGGGUUAUUAAAUAGUUGAUAUCAGGAAAUGAUGAACUAAAUAGGCCGAGAUAUAGUUAAUAAUGAUUGAAAUUACCUAUCGACUAUCCCCUUCGAGAUGGUGAAGUCACUUUCUUUUUUAAGUAGCGAGUCCAGUACUUCAACUGUUCCUUCUUCAACUUUAAUGAUUAACAAGAUUUGCAGGCGCACAUGUUUGCAUGUCUUAAUUAAGCGGGCAUGUGCAUAACACUAAUCAACUACCCUAAACCCUAUACACUUAAUUAUUAACAUCUAGCUAGCUAGUAAGCAAAAAAAGCAUUUGUAGUACAAGACAGUGUGGCUCACAUGAAGUUGUAAGGAAGUAGUAUAUCUUCAUUGGUAUUGAGGCGCUUCAAGAACUCUAGCAUGUUUUUCUGUACUUCUGCUUGAUAGUAUUUCAAUUUCCAUGUGUGUUCAUUAAUGGUAUUUGGGUCAAUGAACCCAAUGCCAUAGCGUCCAGCUUUUUUCAUUUCAUACAUCUUCAUCCUGCAUAAUAACACAGAAAAGAAUAUAGUAAGGAUAAUUACAGGUAAUGAUUGAACAAUGAGCACUACAGCUAGCUUGAGACUUAAAUUACAGAAAGAAAUCACUUACAGACAAUAGCAACUGACGAGAGAUUUGUCGAGUGCUUCUUGAUUGAAUAACUGAAAUAGUUCUGAAUACUCAACAGACAGAGCUAGCUUAUGGAAGUAAUGCUCUUCCUUGACUUUCACCAUGAGGGACUCUCGAUUGGAACUCUUGGUAAUUUUCAUGUACCAAUCAUGCAAUUCAUACAUUCUCAUUGGGAGGUUCUUGACCUCCUCGGGCUCGACCAAAGGUUCGCCGCAGACAUAUUUCCGUUUUAUUUCCUCCUCUCUAAGCGGAGACAUGGGCUCGAUCUCGAGGAGUUGUCCAACAGUGAUACCGAGCAUUUCAGCCUGCAUUCUAUGCUCCCCGGUUAUUACCAGCUAAUUGCCCAGCUGGGGAACGGUUUUCCCACAUGGGGCGCCGAUACUCUCAUGUGUUGGCACAACAAGCGGGGGGAUCGAUUGCGUCGCCUGUUCUCCUAGCUGGGGAACGGUUUUCCCGCAUUUUUUGCCAGCUGCUUGGCUCGAGCUCGAGCUCGACUCCUUCUGUAGUCGUGCUCGAUGUGCCUUCCUGAUUUGGCGCUCAUAGUCUGAGUCAACAGGCUUCGGAGCUAGUGGUCUAGCCAUAUGAAUAAAGUGGUCAAUCUUUUCCUCAAGCACUUUCUCCCUAGGCGGCGGUGCCGGUUUCGGUCCAAAAUGGGCGUCCACUUGGGCCUUCACUAUGGCUGUGUUUUGCUCCUCGGUCAUGUCGUAAGGCUUCUGAGGAAGAGGAGUGAGGCUUGGACCAUAUUUAUAUCGCUUACCUCCGCCUGUACCUCCUGCACUACCUCGACUCGUAUCGCUACGCACCAUAGCUACGUCGGCUCUCUUCCGUGAUUGCUGAGGCGGCGGAGACGGCUGACGUGGCUGAGUUGGAGCAGGAGGAGUGGCCUGACGCUGUGCCGGACUUGAAGCAGGAGGAGUGGCCUGACACGGUGUCGGACUUGAACUAGGAGGAGUGGUCUGACGCUGUGCCGGACUUGAAGCAGGAGGAGUGGCCUGACGCUGUGCCGGACUUGGAGGAGGAGGAGUGGCCUGACGCUGUGCCAGACUUGAAGCAGGAGNNNNNNNNNNNNNNNNNNNNNNNNNNNNNNNNNNNNNNNNNNNNNNNNNNNNNNNNNNNNNNNNNNNNNNNNNNNNNNNNNNNNNNNNNNNNNNNNNNNNNNNNNNNNNNNNNNNNNNNNNNNNNNNNNNNNNNNNNNNNNNNNNNNNNNNNNNNNNNNNNNNNNNNNNNNNNNNNNNNNNNNNNNNNNNNNNNNNNNNNNNNNNNNNNNNNNNNNNNNNNNNNNNNNNNNNNNNNNNNNNNNNNNNNNNNNNNNNNNNNNNNNNNNNNNNNNNNNNNNNNNNNNNNNNNNNNNNNNNNNNNNNNNNNNNNNNNNNNNNNNNNNNNNNNNNNNNNNNNNNNNNNNNNNNNNNNNNNNNNNNNNNNNNNNNNNNNNNNNNNNNNNNNNNNNNNNNNNNNNNNNNNNNNNNNNNNNNNNNNNNNNNNNNNNNNNNNNNNNNNNNNNNNNNNNNNNNNNNNNNNNNNNNNNNNNNNNNNNNNNNNNNNNNNNNNNCUGAGGAAGAGGAGUGAGGCUUGGACCAUAUUUAUAUCGCUUACCUCCGCCUGUACCUCCUGCACUACCUCGACUCGUAUCGCUACGCACCAUAGCUACGUCGGCUCUCUUCCGUGAUUGCUGAGGCGGCGGAGACGGCUGACGUGGCUGAGUUGGAGCAGGAGGAGUGGCCUGACGCUGUGCCGGACUUGGAGGAGGAGGAGUGGCCUGACGCUGUGCCAGACUUGAAGCAGGAGGAGUGGCCUGACGCUGUGCCGGACUUGGAGGAGGAGGAGUGGCCUAACGCGUUGGUGGACUUGGAGGAACGGGAGUCUGCUGACGCGGUGGCGGACUUCGAGGAGGAGUGGGCUGACGCGGUGUUGGUGGCCUUCGAAAGAUGAUGCAAUCCUUUCUCCAUAGGAUGAUACGAUGUUUGGCCUCUCCCAGUGUGUGCUCCUCGUCACCUCCAGGAAUGUCAAGCUCUAGCCCCGAAUAUUGGUCCACCACCUCAUCAACCACGACACGAGCAUAGCCGGCUGGAAUCGGGUUGCAAUGGAAGGUUGCAUCGGGGGGAUUUGUAUAAGCAAUGGCGUCCUCCACCUUCAUGGAUAUGUUCUUCAUUUUGAAGUGUAGCUCACAGUUAGUGUUCUCCAUGAUGUCAUCCAAAGGGUAUCUAUCUAGCAGUGCGUCGCCCGGGGCGGAACCCACGCUGCUUCUCGGCAUGGAUUGGACGGUGCUAUCCAAUGCUGGAUCAUCCGCUAGCUGCUGCCGCUGCUGAGACCCCCUUUCCUGGCUAAGUGAGGAGAUCUGCUGCUGCUGCCGCUGGAAUUUGAGUGCCAAGUCCGCGUGCGCUGAUUCUAGGCCUUGAAGGCGUUCUGCUUCCUGCUUCCUCUGCUCCUCCUCCAGGUUCCUCUUCUUCUCCUCCUCCAUCUUCCUUCUUGCACAGCUUCUGUAGUCCGUGUUCCAGUCCGAAAAGCCCUCAUACCACGGAACAACGCCCUUGCCUCGUGUUCUUCCCGAGUGUUCAGGAUUUCCCAGGGCGCGCGUAAGCUCGUCGUUCUCUCUGUUGGGCGUGAACACUCCCUUUCGAGCAUCUUCUAUUGCUUGAAGUAACUUAUCUUCGGCUCCUUUAAGACAUGCCUUCUUCGAAACCUAGCCUGUCUUCGGGUCCAACGCCCCCCCAUGCGCAUAGAACCAAGUUCUGCACCUGGGGGGGCAGCUCUUAGUAACUGGAGUGACCUCUGCAUCCAGCAUCUCUUGCUCAGACUUAUCCCACUUAGGCAUUGCCACCGCGUAGCCACCUGGCCCCAGCCUAUGGAACGGCUCCUUUUUUGCGGCAUUGGCCUUGUUUUUUCUCGACCGUUCCUUAGAUAAUUCUGAUUCCUUGAAUUUCACGAAAGCGGGCCAGUGAUCUCUUUGCUUCUCCAGUGUUCCCUUGAAUUCCGGAGUCUUCUUUCCUCCUUCGACGUACUUGGUCCAUAUAGUUUUCUUGUGGUUGUUGAAUGCAAUUGCCAUCUUCCUAAGAGCAGCGUCCUUGACUUUCUGCACAUCUGCAUCUGUGAAAUGAUCUAGUAGGGUGAAAUGUUCCAUGAGAGAUUCCCAAAGCUUUUCUUUUGCUCUGUCAUCGACAAAAGUAAGAUCUGGACGUGGCUUUGCUGGCUCUUUCCAUUCUUGAAUGGAGAUCGGGAGUUGGUCCCUCACAAGAACUCCGCACUGACGAACGUACUUGUUCGCAAUGUUCUUAGGCGCGCUUGGUUCGCCAUUAGUUUUGAUGGCAUCGAUGUUGUACUUUACGCCCUCCUUCAACUUUUUGGCCUAGCCUCGCACUGUCCUGCUGCCUGUAGAAGAUUUGCUCGAUCCGGAGGGCUGAAAGAAGAAAGAUCUAUUCGUUAAUAUAUCUUCAAAUCAUUUAAAACAUGUGAUGAUCACCAGAUGCCUGCUUAUAUAAAUAUACCUCGCCGGUCUCUGUUAUUUCAAGAUCAACAUUUUCUUCGUCAUCAUAAUCAUAGUUCAUGACUUCAUCAAUUCGGUCGUCAUGGUCGAAUAUCGUAUCAUCACCCUCCCCGGUAUUGUUCAGAUAUUGGGAGCCGUCAUCUGUUUCAUUCUGAUCAUUUGGCCCGCGAGGGGAGCGUAUGAGCUCGUGUAUGGCCUCUUCUCCCUCUUUGCCGGUAUUGUCCACCAUAGCUUUUAUUUAACUAAUCCAGAAGAAAUAUAAAACAAUUUAGUAUUCAAUUUACAAUGCAUGCAUGCAAUCAAUAAGGAAAAACUGAAUCAUAGUACAUAAUAUGCACAACGAAUAUAAUCUCGAAUACAUCGUCUCGAAUAAUAUAUAUAAUCUUGAAUACAUCGUCUCGAAUAAGCUAGCUAAUAAACAUCGAAUACUACAGAAUAAGCUAGGCCGCCACUCGCGGUUCCUGAGGCGCGGGCGGUGGACACCCAAAGAGAAGGAACCAUCACAGGAUCAUAGCUCCGGUCAUCUCCCCAAAGAACCUGCCAGGUAUUGGAGAACCUGACGUCCAUAGCAACCAUGUAGCGACGGACGUGCUCGUCCUCCUCCCUGACACGGCGACGUACCACCUCCGGCGGGGCCGGCUCUCUCCACAUCAAAAGUGGCCCACGUGAACGCCACCAAAGGAGCUCAGGGUUGACGACGGGACCCGGGGCCGGGUUCCUCACCAAGCGGCGACCCCUGAAGGUAGCACCUCCCAGUGCCAGCCCGGCGGAGCCUAGUCCCGGACAUGGGUCCUCUGAAGCAGGACGUCGUCGCGAACGGGUCGACGACGAGGAUGCGGGCCGGGCAUUGUCGAGACAAAUACUAUAUGCCGCAAAAGUAACAUUUUUUCAAUUAUUGGAUUGUGAUUUCUUAUAUACAAAUUUAAAAAUGCUAUAAUUGCAUAUGUCAAAAUUCUAUAUGCAAUUUCAUACUAAUUAAGCAUCUAACACUAAAAACAGAAAAAGCAACUUCUAUACAUCCAUUAAAAAACAGAAAAAUAACAUUAUAUAAAAAAUCCGUACUAAUUAAACACUAAUUAUAUCGAACUAACAUGCAUUCAUACAUAUAUACUAGUGAAAAAAUAAUAAUCUAAAACAUCUAAACUAAUUAAACAUACAAAAAUACAUAUAUACUAAUUAAAUUAAGGAAAUGUGUGUGUGUGUGUGUGUGUUCAUCAUGCUUGUGUGUGUGUGGGCUCGGGGAGGGGCGGCGCCCAUGGUGGCCAGGGGCGAGGGAGAGGGGGGAGAGCUCACAGCGGGGCGACGGCGACGGCNNNNNNNNNNNNNNNNNNNNNNNNNNNNNNNNNNNNNNNNNNNNNNNNNNNNNNNNNNNNNNNNNNNNNNNNNNNNNNNNNNNNNNNNNNNNNNNNNNNNNNNNNNNNNNNNNNNNNNNNNNNNNNNNNNNNNNNNNNNNNNNNNNNNNNNNNNNNNNNNNNNNNNNNNNNNNNNNNNNNNNNNNNNNNNNNNNNNNNNNNNNNNNNNNNNNNNNNNNNNNNNNNNNNNNNNNNNAGACGAGAGCUGCGACAGGGACGGGGGCGACGACGGCAACGGCGCGCGACGGGGGCGGCGACAGGGACGGCGUGGGACGGGGGCGGCGACGGCGUCGAUCGAUCGGGGCAGGCAGUGCUUCGAUGGAGAAACAGAGGAGGAAACAGAGGGAGAAUGAAAUUUUUUCAAGUGUUGUUUAUAUAGGAGGGACCUUUAGUCCCGGUUGGAGCCAACAACCGGUACUAAAGGCAUAUUUUUGGCCAGGCCAAGCGGCGGGAACGACACCCCUUUAGUACCGGGUCGUGGCUCCAACCAGUACCCAAGACCCCCCUUUAGUACCGGUUGGAGCCACGACCCGGUACUAAAGGUGGUGCACUGCCAGGCGAGGGCCCAGAAGUUUAGUUCCACCUCGUUAGCUGAGGGGCGCUCGCACCUGCUUAUAAGCCCCGCCGCCGCUGCUAUCUCGAGCUCCUCUCUAAAGCAGGCCUUUUGGGCCUACCUCUGCUACGAUGCCCUGUUGGGCCUACUGGGCUAGCGGGCCUGCAUCCUGGCCCAACUAGAAUUUGGGCUUCUAGUCGUAUGCAGGUCGCUAUGGCCCAGUAGGCGGGCUUUUUUUCAUUCUUCUUUUUUUUCUUUUCUGCUUUAUUUAUUUUGUUUUAUUUAUUUUUGAGUUGUUUUUUUGCUGUAUUUAGAGUUUCUUUGUGAAUAUUUUUGCUUUAGGUACAAAAAAUUACAAACUUUCUGUUAGUGCCGGUAGUUUUCAAAUUUGAAUAGUUUAAAUUUUGAAUUAUUUGAAAUUUGUGUGAAUCACUAGUUUGUGAAUAACUUAACUUUAAAAAUAGAUUUUUGAGUGAUUCUUUUUUCUUAUGUUUAAUAUUAGUGUGUUUUAUCAUUAUAUUCAAUUUGGUAAUACUUAGGUUAUUUAAAAAAUGAAGUGCCUUUGUAACAGAUGAGUCUUCGUCCGAAAACCUGAUACUUCGAAAGAGAUUGUCCAUUUUGUACACGAAGUGCAUCCAGUUUUGCCGUAACCCUCUCUACUUUUUUGCACAUGCUAUGUGGGUGAAAUUAUGAUACCAUGCCAACUUUCAACCUUUUCGGAGUUCAUUUGAAGUGUUUUUCAAUUUCAGGGUCAUUUAGUUGAAAAAAUCAGUAAAUGCAUGAAAGAAUUUGUUUGCACAUAAAAUUUCUUCGCGUUUCAAAUGCCAAAACACAUAAGUACCAUAACUAUUACAAAGAUUCCCUCCUGGGUGUGAAACACAGAAGGAAGUGAUGACACUGAAGCCGAUCACAUCCCAGGUCUUUGGGUGUGAAACUUUUUCUUCGCGUGUGUCCCUUUGCGCCGUAACCAUGGACAAUCUUCAUCAUUUAACUGGAUGCUCGGGUCAAUAUUCACUGUGAAUGGAGCAAUUUCAUCAAACUUUUCAUAAUCUUCUGACAUGUCUGUCUUGUCAUCCACUCCCACGAUGUUUUUUCCCAGAAAGAACUAUGUGGCGCUUUGGCUCAUCGUAUGAUGCAUUCGCUUCCUUAUCUUUUCUUUUCGGCUUGGUAGACAUGCCCUUCACAUAGAAAACGUGUGCCACAUCAUUGGCUAGGACGAAUGGUUCGUCUGCAUACGCAAGAUUGUUGAGAUUCACUGUUGUCAUUCCGUACUGCGGGUCUUCCGUUACCCGCCUCGUGUCAUAUUGACCCAUUUGCACCGAAACAAAGGGACCUUCAAACCACGUCCAUAGUCAAGUUCCCAUAUGUCCUCUAUGUAACCAUAAUAUGUUUCCUUUCCCGUCUUGGUUGCUGCAUCAAAGAAGACACCACUGUUUUGGUUGGUGCUCUUCUUAUCUUGGGCGAUCGUGUAAACUGUAUUCCCAUUUGUCUCGUACCCUUUGAAAGUCAUUAUAUUCGAAGAUGGUAACUGGGACAACAAGUACAGGUCAUCUUCAAUAGCGGCGUCAUGCAUGGCACAUGUCUGCAACCAGCCGGCGAAAGUCCCCGUUUGUUCACAUGUAAUCCAGUCGUCAGACUGUUCUGGGUGUUUGGAGCGUAGAAAAUUCUUGUGUUCCUCCAUAUAAGGAGCCACCAAGGAGGAAUUCUGUAGAACUGUGCAGUGUGCUUGAGUGAGAGAAUGCCCGUCCAUACAUAUUAUUUGAUCCCCUCCUAGCGUGCCUUUUCCAUCUAGUCUGCCCUUAUGCCGCGAUUCAGGAACACCAAUCGGCUUAAGGUCGGGAAUAAAGUCAAUACAAAACUCAAUGACCUCCUCAUUUUCAUGGCCCUUCGAGAUGCUUCCUUCUAGCCUAGCACAGUUAUGAACAUAUUUCUUUAAGACUCCCAUGAACCUCUCAAAGGGGAACAUAUUGUGUAGAAAUACAGGACCCAAAACGUUAAUCUCUUCACAUAGGUGAACUAGGACGUGCGUCAUGAUGUUGAAGAAGGAUGGUGGGAACACCAACUCGAAACUGACUAGACAUUGCACCAAAUCAUUCUCUAUCCUUGGUAUGAUUUCUGGAUCGGUUACCUUCUGAUAGAUUGCACUGAGGAAUGCACAUAGCUUCACAAUGGCUAAUCGAACGUUUUCCGGUAGAAGCCCCCUCAAUGCAACCGGAAGCAGUUGCGUCAUAAUCACGUGGUAGUCAUGAGACUUUAGGUUAUGGAACUUUUUCUCUGCCAUAUUUAUUAUUCCCUUUAUAUUCGACGAGAAGCCAGACAAUACCUUCAUACUGAGAAGGCAUUGAAAGAAGAUUUCCUUCUCUUCUUUGGUAAGAGCGUAGCUGGCAUGACCCUGAUGUGUGCCGUCUUUUCCAUGCAUACGUUGCUGGUCCUCCCGUGCCUCCGGUGUAUCUUUUGUCUUCCCAUACAUGCCCAAGAAACCAAGCAGGGUCACGCAAAGAUUCUUCGUCACAUGCAUCACGUCGAUUGCGGAGCGGACCUCUAGGUCUUUCCAAUAGGGAAGGUCCCAAAAUAUAGAUUUCUUCUUCCACAUGGGUGCGCGUCCGUUGGCGUCAUUCAGAACAGGUUGUCCGCCAGGACCCUUUCCAAAGAUUACCUUCAAAUCCUUGACCAUAUCAUGUACAUCAGCACCAGUACGGUGGCGAGGCUUCGUCCGGUGAUCCGCCUCACCUUUGAAAUUCUUGCCUUUCUUUCUUACGGGAUGCCUGCUCGAAAGAAAUCGACGAUGUCCCAGGUACAUAUUCUUCCUACAAUUAUCCAAAUAUAUACUGUCGUUAUCAUCCAAACAGUGCGUGAAUGCGUGGUAUCCCUUGUUUGUCUGUCCUGAAAGGUUACUGAGAGCAGGCCAAUCAUUGAUCGUCACGAACAGCAACGCCUUUAGGUCAAAUUCUUUCUGUUUGUGCUCAUCCCAUGCACGUACACCUUUUCCAUUCCACAGUUGUAAGAGUUCUUUAACUAAUGGCCUUAGGUACACAUCAAUGUCGUUGCCGGGUUGCUUAGGGCUUUGGAUGAGCACUGGCAUCAUAAUGAACUUCCGCUUCAUGCACAACCAAGGAGGAAGGUUAUACAAACAUAGAGUCAUAGGCCAGGUGCUAUGGUUGCUGCUCUGCUCCCCAAAAGGAUUAAUGCAAUCUGAGCUUAGACCAAACCAUACGUUCCUUGCGUUACCUGCAAACUCCUCCCUGUACUUUCUCUUGAUUUUUCUCCACUGCGACCCGUCAGCGGGUACUCUCAACUUUCCGUCUUUCUUACGGUCUUCACUGUGCCAUCGCAUCGCCUUGGCAUGCUAUUUGUUUUUGAACAAACGUUUCAACCGUGGUAUUAUAGGAGCAUACCACAUCACCUUGGCAGGAAUCUUCUUCCUGGAGCGCUCGCCCUCGACAUCACCAGGGUCUUCGCGGCUGAUCUUAUAGCACAAUGCACAAAUUAAUCAUCAUCCAACACAAAAUGAUGUCUCUCGUCAUCAUCUCGAAAUAGCGAUACAAGUUAUGAGAUGUCUUGAAUACUUGCAACUACAUCGUCAUCCAUCUAAAGAAUGAUAUAGACAAGAAGAGGUUUGACUAUGAGUGAGAGUGGAACUAUGCAGUACAUGAGGCGGCGGUAUGAGUCCUCUCUCGCGUUAGCGUGAAUCUCAGGUAACUAGCUUCCGCUUCUUGUCUGCUUUUGAACCAUUUAUGGAUGGCGCCCGAGACCCGCUCAGAAUAUUUUCCCUGCACAUAAUCAUCAUUUUCCAAAUAUAACAUGUCCAAAACAUCACAUGUCCAAAUUCCAAAUAUGACAUGUCCAAAUCACAUGUCGACAUAUCACAUGUCCACUUCAAAUUUGCAUAUAACAGGAAGAAAAAUAUAGAACUUGAAGAAAAAUGCAAGAAGUUUUUUAAAUAGGCUUCAUACCACCUAAUUAUAUCACAUGUCCAAAUUCUGUUUUUUUAGAACUUGAAGAAAAAUAUAUCACAUGUCCAAAUUCUAUUUUUUUAAAUAGGGUUCAUACUACCUAAUUAACUAGGGUUCAUACUAAUUUUUUUUAAAACAGCAACAAUUGCUUUAACUAAAAAACUUAAAUAGAAACAAUUGCUUUAACUAAAAAUAGCAAUAGUUUGAAACCUAGGGUUCAUACAAACUACCACUAAAAAAUAGCCACUAAUCUGUCCUAGGGUUUUCUUUAACAAGGGUUCAUACUACCUAAUUAAAUAGGGUUCAUACUAAUUCUAAUUAACUAACUAGCACUAAAAAUAGCCUAGGGUUCAUACUAAUUAGCACUAAAUAGCUAGGGUUCAUACUAACAGAGAGAGCUAGGAGAGAGCAGAGAAGAGGGGAGGGAAGAGUGCUUACAGAGGGGAGAUGGUGGCACCGAGGCGCGGUGAGGCGGGGUCGGGGGAGACGGGGUCGAGGGAGACGACGACGAGGCGGGAUCGAGGGAGACGGCGGCGGAGAGUGAGGGCAGGGGCUCCGGCGAGGGCGAGGACUAGGGCUCUGGCAGCGGCGCCGAGGGGGAGAAGAGAGAGUAGGUAAUUGGGGGAGGGAGCAGAGGAGGGAAGGCCGCGUGGGGGGUUAAUUAUGUCAAAAUAGCUUUAGCAGUAGCGUGGGAAAAGAAAACGCGUUGCUGCUAAAAUACGUAGCAGUAGCGCGCUCCUCACAAACUCGCUACUUCUAAGCUAGGCCUGCCGUGUGGACAAGUUCAAACUUAGCAGUAACACCCUACCCUAAAAGCACGCUACUACUAAUUUGAUAGUAGUAACGCGGUUUGCAGAAGGGCGCUACUACUAUACCUAGCAUGUCGGCAACGGUGUGGCAAUUAUAGUAGUAGCGCGUUUUAUUCCUGCCACGCUACUGCUAAGUGGAUAGCAGUAGCGCCCUUUCUGACCAAGCGCUACUGCUAAGUAGUAGUAGCGCCUCAUUUUAACACGCACUACUGGUAAGAUUCUGUGUAUAAGGUUUUCCCUAGUAGUGAUAUAAACCAUUGCAAGAGCUAAUCUAGCAAUGAGAGAUGAAAGGACAAAGUUGCUAACCUUUCUGAUCAGUUGAAUGGAUGGGGGCCUUCAAAUCUUGACAAAAUUUGGGAAAAAUUUGUGAUGAGCUCGAGAGGAAGAAGGGAAGAACAGAGGAGAGGGAGAGGGAAAGGGGGGAGAAUAGAGUGGGGUGGACGAAGGGUUUAUAUAGGACGACCUUUAGUACCAGUUCUAGGCACGAACCGGUACUAAAGGUGCUGGAGGGGCCCUAGACUGACAACAUCCUGCCACCACUCUCUUUAGUACCGGCUCGUGGCACGAACAGGUGUUAAAAGUUCGGCAAGAACCGGUACUAAUGAGAGCGGCCCGCCUAGCCGUUGGAAUCGGCACUAAUGGUCACAUUAGUGCCGGCUCAAAUUCAAAAAGGGACUAAUGAGCUGAACAUUUGACCCUUUCUCUACUAGUGGAUGAUCAUGUUUUGUAUAACUUAUCGGCAACUGGCAGGAGCCUUAUGGUUGUCGCUUUAUUGUAUGAAAUGCAAUCGCCAUGUAAUUGCUUUAUUUUAUCACUAAGCGGUAGCGAGAGUCGUAGAAGCAAUAGUUGGCGAGAUGGCAACGAUGCUUCGAUGGCGAUCAAGGUGUCAAGCUGGUGAUGAUGGUGAUCAUGACGGUGCUUUGGAGAUGGAGAUCAAAGGCACAAGAUGAUGAUGGCCAUAUCAUAUCACUUAUAUUGAUUGCAUGUGAUGUUUAUCCUUUAUGCAUCUUAUUUUGCUUAGUUCGGCGGUAGCAUUAUAAGAUGAUCUCUCACUAAAUUUCAAGGCAUAAGUGUUCUCCCUGAGUAUGCACCGUUGCGACAGUUCGUCGUGCCGAGGCACCACAUGAUGAUCGGGUGUGAUAAGCUCUACGUUCACAUACAAUGAGUGCAAGCCAGUUUUGCACGCGCAUAAUACUCGGGUUAAACUUGACGAGCCUAGCAUAUGCAGAUAUGGCCUCGGAACAUUGAGACCGAAAGGUCGAGCGUGAAUCAUAUAGUAGAUAUGAUCAACAUAGUGGUGUUCACCAUUGAAAACUACUCCAUCUCAUGUGAUGAUCGGACAUGGUUUAGUUGAUUUGGAUCACGUGAUCACUUAGAUGAUUAGAGGGAUGUCUAUCUAAGUGGGAGUUCUUGAGUAAUAUGAUUAAUUGAACUUUAAUUUAUCAUGAACUUAGUCCUGAUAGUAUUUGCAUAACUAUGUUGUAGAUCAAAAGCUCGCGCUGUAGCUCCCCGUUUAUUUUUGAUAUGUUCCUAGAGAAAAAUAAGUUGAAAGAUGAUAUUAGCAAUGAUGCGGACUUGGUCCGUGAUCUGAGGAUUAUCCUCAUUGCUGCACAGAAGAAUUAUGUCCUUGAUGCACCCCUAGGUUACAGACCUAUUGCAAGAGCAGAUGCAGACGUUAUGAACAUUUGACAAGCUCGGUAUGAUGACUACUUGAUAGUUUAGUGCACCAUGCUUUACGGCUUAGAACCGGGACUUCAAAAACGUUUUGAACGCCACGGAGCAUAUGAGAUGUUCCAAGAGCUGAAAUUUGUAUUUCAUACUCAUGCCCGUGUCAAGAGGUAUGAGACCUCUGACAGUACUUUGCCUAUAAGAUGGAGGAGCCCGUGAGCAUGUGCUCAUAUUGUCUGGGUACUACAAUUGCUUGAAUCAAGUGGGAGUCAAUCUUCCAGAUAAGAUAGUAAUUGACAAAGUUCUCUAGUCACUAUCACCAAGUUACUAGAACUUCGUGAUGAACUAUAAUAUACAAGGGAUGACGAAACUAGUUCCCGAGCUCUUCACGAUGAUGAAAUCAGCGAAGGUAGAAAUCAAGAAAGAGCAUCAAGUGUUGAUGGUUAACAAGACCACUAGUUUAAAGAAAAGGGCAAAGGGAUAGAAAGGGAACUUCAAGAAGAAUGACAGGUAAGGUGUCACUCCCAUGAAGAAGCCCAAAGCUAGACCCAAGCCUGAAACUGAGUGCUUCUACUACAAAGGAAAUGAUCACUGGAAGUGGAACUGCCCUAGAUACUUGGCGGAUAAGAAGGAUGGCAAAGUGAACAAAGGUAUAUUUGAUAUACAUGUUAUUGAUGUGUACUUUACUAGUGUUUAUAGCAACCCCUCGGUAUUUGAUACUGGUUCAGUUUCUAAGAGUAGUAACUCGAAACGGGAGUUGCAAAAUAAACAGAGACUAGUUAAGGGCGAGGUGAUGAUGUGUGUUGGAAGUGAUUCCAAGGUUGAUAAGAUCACCAUUGCACACUCCCUUUACCUUCGGGAUUAGUGUUGAACCUAAAAUAAAUGUUAUUUGGUGUUUGCGUUGAGCGUGAAUAUGAUUGGAUCAUGUUUAUUGCAAUACGGUUAUUCAUUUAAGUCAAAGAAUAAUUGUUGUUCUAUUUGAAUGAUAAAACCUUCUAUGGUCAUACACUCAAUAUAAAUGGUUUAUUGAAUCUCGAUUGUAGUGAUACACAUAUUCAUAAUAUUGAAGCCAAAAGAUGCAGAGUUGAUAAUGAUAGUGCAACUUAUUUAUGGCACUGUCGUUUAGGUCAUAUUGGUGUAAAGCGCAUGAAGAAACUCCAUUCUGAUGGACUUUUGGAGUCACUUGAUUAUGAAUCACUUGGUACUUGCGAACCAUGCCUCAUGGGUAAGAUGACUAAGACUCCGUUCUCCGGAACAAUGAAGCGAGCAACUGACUUAUUGGAAAUAAUACAUACUGAUGUAUGCGGUCCGAUAAGUGUUGAGGCUUGCGGCGGGUAUCUUUAUUUUCUGACCUUCACAGAUGAUUUGAGCAGAUAUGGGUAUAUCUACUUGAUGCAACAUAAGUCUGAAACAUUUGAAAAGUUCAAAGAAUUUCAGAGUGAAGUGGAAAAUCAUCGUAAUAAGAAAAAGUUUCUACGAUCUGAUCGCGGAGACGAAUAUGUGAGUUAUGAGUUUAGUCUUCAUUUGAAACAAUGUGGAAUAGUUUCGCAACUCACGCCACCUGGAACACCACAACGUAAUGGUGUGUCCAAAUGUCAUAACCGUACUUUAUUAGAUAUGGUGCGAUCUAUGAUGUCUCUUACCGAUUUACCACUAUCGUUUGGGGGUUAUGCAUUAGAGACAACUGCAUUCACAUUAAAAAGGGCACCAUCUAAAUUCGUUGAGACGACACCGUAUGAACUGUGGUUUGGCAAGAAACCCAAGCUGUCGUUUCUUAAAGUUUGGGGUUGCGAUGCUUAUGUGAAAAAGUAACUGUUGGGUACACCUUCUAUCACAGAUCCGAAGGCAAGAUAUUCAUUGCUAAGAAUGGAUCCUUUCUAGAGAAGGAGUUUCUCUCGAAAGAAGUGAGUGGGAGGAAAGUAGAACUUGAUAAGGUAAUUGUACCUUCUCCCGAAUUGGAAAGUAGUUCAUGACAGAAAUCAGUUCCAGUGAUGCCUACACCGAUUAGUGAGGACGUUAAUGAUAUGAUCAUGAAACUUCAGAUCAGGUCACUACCGAACCUCGUAGGACAACCAGAAUACGUUCCGCAGCAAAGUGGUACGGUAAUCCUGUUAUGGAAAUCAUGUUACUAGAUCAUGACAAACCUACAAACUAUGAGGAAGCGAUGAUGAGCCUAGAUUCCACAAAAUGGCUUGAGGCCAUGAAAUCUGAGAUGGGAUCCAUGUAUGAGAACGAACUAUGGACUUUGGUUGACUUGACUGAUGAUCGGCAAUCAAUAGAAGAUAAAUGGAUCUUCAAGAGGAAGACGGACGCUGAUAGUAGUGUUACUACCUACAAAGCUAGACUUGUCGAAAAAAGGUUUUGACAAGUUCAAGGUGUUGACUACGAUGAGAUUUUCUCCCUCGUAGCGAUGCUUAAGUUCGUCCGUAUCAUGUUAGCAAUUGCCACAUUUUAUGAAAUCUGGCAAAUGGAUAUCAAAACUACAUUCCUUAAUGGAUUUCUAAAAGAAGAGUUGUAUAUGAUGCAACCAAAAAGGUUUUGUCAAUCCUAAAGGUGCUAACAAAAUGUGCAAGCUCCAGUGAUCCAUCUAUGGACUGGUGCAAGCAUCUCGGAGUUGGAAUAUACGCUUUGAUGAGUGGAUCAAAGCAUAUAGUUUUAUACAGACUUGCGGUGAAGCCUGUAUUUAGAAGAAAGUGAGUGGGAGCGCUACAGCUUUUCUGAUAAGUAUAUGUGUAUGACAUAUUGUUGAUCGGAAAUGGUGUAGAAUUUUUCUAGAAAGCAUAAAGGAGUGUUUGAAAGGAGUUUUUCAAAGAAAGACCUCGGUGAAGCUGCUUACAUAUUGAGCAUCAAGAUCUAUAGAGAUAGAUUAAGACGCUUGAUAAGUUUUUUCAAUGAGUACAUACAUUGACAAGUUUUUGAAGUAGUUCAAAAUGGAACAGUCAAAGGAGUUCUUGCCUGUGUUGCAAGGUGUGAAGUUGAUUAAGACUCAAAACCCGACCACGGCAGAAGAUAGAGAGAGAAUGAAAGUCAUUCCCUAUGCCUUAGCCAUAGGUUCUAUAAAGUAUGCCAUGCUAUGUACCAGACCUAUUGUAUACCCUGCCCUGAGUUUGGCAAGGGAGUACAAUAGUGAUCUAGGAGUAGAUCAUUGUACAUUGGUCAAAAUUAUCCUUAGAGGACUAAGGAAAUAUUUCUGGGUUAUGGAGGUGAUAAAGAGUUCGUCGUAAAGAGUUACCUCGAUGCAAGCUUUGUCACUGAUCCGGAUGACUCUAAGUCUCAAUCUGGAUACAUAUUGAAAGUGGGAGCAAUUAGCUAGAGUAGCUCCGUGCAGAGCAUUGUAGACAUAGAAAUUAGCAAAAUACAUAUGGAUCUGAAUUUGGCAGACCCAUUGACUAAACCUCUCUCACAAGCAAAACAUGAUCACACCUUAUUACUCUUUGGGUGUUAAUCACAUGGCGAUGUGAACUAGAUUAAUGACUCUAGUAAACCCUUUGGGUAUUAGUCACAUGGAGAUGUGAACUAAUCAGAUAAAGAUGUGAACUAUUGGUGUUAAAUCACAUGACGAUGUGAACUAGAUUAUUGACUCUAGUGCAAGUGGGAGACUGAAGGAAAUAUGCCCUAGAGGCAAUAAUAAAGUUGUUAUUUAUAUUUCCUUAUAUCAUGACAAAUGUUUAUUAUUCAUGCUAGAAUUGUAUUAACCGGAAACUUAGUACAUGUGUGAAUACAUAGACAAACAGAGUGUCACUAGUAUGCCUCUACCUAACUAGCUCGUGAAUCAAAGAUGGUUAAGUUUCCUAACCAUAGACAUGAGUUGUCAUUUGAUGAACGGGAUCACAUCAUUAGAGAAUGAUGUGAUUGAUAAGACCCAUCCGUUAGCUUAGCACUAUGAUCGUUUAGUUUGUUGCUAUUGCUUUCUUCAUGACUUAUACAUGUUCCUAUGACUAUGAGAUUAUGCAACUCCCGAAUACCGGAGGAACACUUAGUGUGCUAUCAAACGUCACAACGUAACUGGGUGAUUAUAAAGAUGCUCUACAGGUGUCUCCGAAGGUGUUUGUUGAGUUGGCAUAGAUCGAGAUUAGGAUUUGUCACUCCGAUUGUCGGAGAGGUAUCUUUGGGCCCUCUCGGUAAUACACAUCACUAUAAGCCUUUCAAGCAAUGUGACUAAUGAGUUAGUUACGGGAUGAUGCAUUAUAGAACGAGUAAAGAGACUUGCCGGUAACGAGAUUGAACUAGGCAUGGUGAUACCGACGAUCGAAUCUCGGGCAAGUAACAUACCGAUGACAAAGGGAACAACAUAUGUUGUUAUGCGGUUUCACCGAUAAAGAUCUUCGUAGAAUAUGUAGGAGCCAAUAUGAGCAUCGAGGUUACGCUAUUGGUUAUUGACCGGAGAUGUGUCUCGGUCAUGUCUACAUAGUUCUCGAACCCGUAGGGUCCGCACGCUUAACGUUCGAUGACGAUUUGUAUUAUGAGUUAUGUGAUUUGAUGUACCGAAGUUUGUUCGGAGUCCCUGUGAGAUCACGGACAUGACGAGGAGUCUCGAAAUGGUCGAGAGGUAAAGAUUCAUAUAUUGGAAGGUUGCAUUCGGACAUCGGAAUGGUUCCGAGUGAUUCGUGCAUUUUUUUCGGAGUACUGGGAGGUUACCGGAACCCCCCGAGGAAAGAUAUGGGUCUUAUGGGCCAUAGGAGGGAGGCUAACCAGCCCACAAGGGGCUGGUGCGCCGCCCACAAGGGAGGAGGCCGAAUUGGACUUGGUAAGGGGGCACCACCCCCUUUCCUUCUCCUACUCCCUCUCCUUCCCCUUUUCCCCCUCCGGUAGAAGGAAAAAAGGGUGGGGCCGAAUCCUACUAGGACUGGAGUCCUAGUAGGACUCCCCUCUCCCUGGCGCGCCCCUUGUUGGCCGGCCUCCUCCUCCCCUCCUUUAUAUACGGGGGAACGGGGGCACCCCAAAGGCACAACAGACAAUCUCUUAGCCGUGUGCGGUGCCCCCCUCCACAGUUUUACACCUCGGUCAUAUCAUCGUAAUGCUUAGGCGAAGCCCUGCGCCGGUAACUUCAUCAUCACCGUCACCACGCCGUCGUGCUGACAGAACUCUCCCUCGGCCUCAGCUGGAUCAAGAGUUCAAGGGACGUCACCGAGCUGAACGUGUGCAGAUCACGGAGGUGCCGUGCGUUCGGUACUUGAUCGGUUGGAUCGCGAAGGCGUUCAACUACAUCAACCGCGUUACUUAACGCUUCCGCUUUCGGUCUACGAGGGUACGUAGACACACUCUCCCCGCUCGUUGCCAUGCUUCUCCUAGAUAGAUCUUGCGUGAUCGUAGGCAAUUUUUUUUAAAUACUACGUUCCCCAACACGUCUGCCCUCUGCUGGUUCCGAUAAAUAAGUUGCUGCACCUGGGUUAGCAUGGCGAGCCGAAAUAGUUGAGCGCUGUUUCAUUUUUCCAAUCAAAAUUUAACUAACCCAUGAAAAUAAGUGCGUUUACGGAUCAUGCGGCUGAAAGUGAUUUCAGUUUCAGUCGAUUGUAUCCGGACCGUUGGAUGUCAAUCCCCUCGCCCCCACCAUCCCACCCGUGGCAAGCCAACAAAGCAAACCGCCUCCCCGCCUUGCCGGUGCCACCUUCGCUGGUUAUNNNNNNNNNNNNNNNNNNNNNNNNNNNNNNNNNNNNNNNNNNNNNNNNNNNNNNNNNNNNNNNNNNNNNNNNNNNNNNNNNNNNNNNNNNNNNNNNNNNNNNNNNNNNNNNNNNNNNNNNNNNNNNNNNNNNNNNNNNNNNNNNNNNNNNNNNNNNNNNNNNNNNNNNNNNNNNNNNNNNNNNNNNNNNNNNNNNNNNNNNNNNNNNNNNNNNNNNNNNNNNNNNNNNNNNNNNNNNNNNNNNNNNNNNNNNNNNNNNNNNNNNNNNNNNNNNNNNNNNNNNNNNNNNNNAAACAUCUGCCUGUGCCACCGCGUCGUCGCCGACUCCUGUUCUGGCUCGCUACAGGGAGGCCUUGGGGAGACGCCACAGUUGGGCGUCAGACAAUCAAUUGCAUUUUCCAGGCAACUGACAAACAACAAACACAAAAAUUUCCAAUUACAAAGAAGACUACACAAAUGUACGCACCCAUGCGAGUCCAUUAAUCAACAAGUCCCGCAAAAUACUGAAAACAUAUUGUACGCAAGUGUGUGUACAUUUGUAUUUAAAUGAUAUGAAAUAUUCAAAUGGUGUGGAAUAAUACAAUGUCAAAAAUCAAUCGAAGCAUCAUGAUUGCACCAAACUUGUCAUGAUUUCAACAUUUAUGGAUAGGAUAAUGCCAGAUUGCUAGAACGCCCGACGGAGAGAAAAUUUUCAGUGUCCAUUAUAUUUUUGUAAGGUCUUUUUUUUUUGCAAAAAAACUUCCAAUCUAUUCAUCCUCAAUUAUGACAGUGUUGCAAGAAAACUUCCAAUCUAUUAAUUUUUUGCAAGAAAAUUAAUUUCGGAAAAUUAGUUACCCCUCUUACGUAGCAAGAGCACAAGUUUCUCUUCUUUUAGACUCUGUUUUUUGGCUACUCAAAGCUGCUGCAGUUCACAGUGCUACGUCGGUUACAGGCUAGGCCGGUUGUACCUGACGGCCCAAUGACAGCCUAGUGCUAAUGAAGAUGACAAAACAACGUGGCUGCUGCUAAUCUUAAUAGCUAAGAAAAACUAACACACCUAUACUACCAUGCUAAGAACCCCGUUUCGGUAUAACCCCCCACAAAACAUAUAAACCAUUGCGAAAUCAUACACAAAACGUAUGUCAAUCCCUAUUUGACGCCGCAGCAACCUAGCUUCGCUGAAGCGAGGGGUCCCGACGGCCCAGUUUAGGCCAGGCCAUGUCGCUCUGCUGUUUCUUUCUUUUUCUUUUCUUUUUUUAUUUCUGUUUCUAUUUCCUUUUUUUCCUUAUCUUUCUUUUUUCUUGUAUUAUACAACGUUCAUUGCAAGUUUAUAUACAAAAAUCUUCAUCAUAUAUUUAAGGAAAUGUUCACCCUACAUUGAGAAAAUGUUCAACAUAUUUCUAGAAAAUGUUCAUUGUGUACUUCAAAAUUGUUCGGAGUAUAUCACGAAAAUAUUCAAUGUGUACCUAAAUUUUGUUCAGUGUAUAUCACAAAAAAAACAAAUCAACGUUUAUUUAAAUAAUUGUUCAGCGUUUAUCACAAAAAAUUUGGUGUGUAUUUUAAAAUUGUUCAACAUAUAGUAAAAAUUGUUAAAUAUAUUUAUAAAUUUAUCAUCAUAUAUAAAAUGUUUCAAAAAGUAUUCGGAAUGUCAAAAGUUUGUUCAUGUUUUUAAAUUUUUGUUCACUUUUUUAAAAGAAUCUAAAAUUUAAUUAUUUGUUCGAAUUUGAAAAUUUGUUCACAGUUUUUAAAGAUUAUUCGAAUUUUAUGAGAAAAUUUGUUCACAAUUUUUUCCAAGAAAUGUUGAAAAAUUUGAAAUUUAAAAACCAAUCAGUAAAAUAAAAAUAGAAAUUAGAAAGCAAUUUUGUUUUGAAUUUCCUCGAACAUUUUUUGUGUUUGUGUAGAUGUCUUUUGUACCCAGAAAUAUUUUCCAAAUUCUGAACAAAUUUUGAAAGCGUGAACAUUAUUUAAAAUUCCCAAAUAGUUAUUGAAUUUGUGAUUUUUUUAAAAAGGGAACAUUUUUUGAAUUUGUGAACAAAUCUUGAAAAUGGUGACAUUUUUCGAAUCGAUGAACAUUCUUGAAACCCUCGAGGGCUUGGGCGGCCCAACAGGCGCCCGAUAGGAGCGAUGCCGUCGCCCAGUUAGGCGAAGGCCUGUGCAUUUUGUAUUUUGUAUUUUUUAAUUUUCUUCUUUUUUUUGCUAAUUCAUUUCUCCUUUUGAACCUUAUUAUUCUUUUUGAAACAUGUUCAAAAAUUUGUAAUAUUGUUUGGAAUACCAAAAUAACAUUUUUAAGUAACUGUUUUAAAUUAUGAUUUAAAAGUCUUUUUAAAAAAGAGCAUUUACUGUUUUUCAAUUUAUCAUUUUGUAUUUAUUAGUUAUGUUAAAAGGUAAAAAUAACAGUUAUUAAGUACCUGUUUAAAUUAUGAUUUUAAAUAUAUUUUUUCCCAAACUCGGCAUGGAUGCCUACCAUGGGCAUGCUCACCUCUUGGCAAAUUUGAAUUCGAAGGAACAGAUAUCGUACGGCGCCCACUGUAGGUUCGGGUGCACCAUGGUUCUGAAACUCUCCUCUCUUGUAACAAUCGCACGAACUUUGUUGACGAAUAAAGCAGCGUUGUUCCCUUAAAAAAAAGCGCGAGAUUGGUUCUCUCCAAAAAAAGGAGGAAAAAGAAAGUGCUGUUUCUCGAAACCGCUUUCUGCCUUUCUUUCACUUUUAUUGCUAGGUAACUUCGAGAGCCUGUCUUCCAUUCCUUCUCAUCUUCGAUAGAAGGAUCUGGCACCAGCUUCAAAGCACUCACAGACCCACCCUAGUACUAUAAAUAGUUCAGUGCGGGCCGUGACUUCAUCCGCAAUUCAACACCAUCGUCGUCAUUGUACUAGUCUUGGGCGGAGAGCAAGAAGCUCAAGGUAUGUGGAUGCCUAGUAUAAGAGCGGCCGCAGCGAGGAUCACCCGGCCCGCGUGGUCAGCUGUUGGGGUAACGGUGCCGAGGAGGAUGGAGGGCAUCGGCCGUAACUGCGCACCACGCUACUUCACCGACAGGAUCCGCUCCGGCAGGGUGCUCAGCGAGGAGGAGCGCGCCGCCGAGAACGUCUACAUACAGGUAACUGCUUAGCCUUUUUUUUUUGUAGGCGCUGUUGUGAAUCUAAGAGUUGAUAAAGAUUUGUGUUACGUCCAUGGUCCGUCUGAAGCAAGUGGGAAAAUAAAAUAAAGUUUGGACUAAACCAAACUGAACUGUAUUUACGUACUAUAUUUAUUCUGCAGAAGAUGGAGAGGGAGAAGCUGGAAAAGUUGAGGAGGAAGAAGGCGGAUCAGGAAAAGGCCGACGCAGCAAAGAGCGCCAAAGGAAACAACGAGGUAACAAACCAAACGAACCAUCUUUACGGGCCUCGAGUGUAAUUAACUUGUGGUCUCUCUUUUGUUUUUAUUUUUAUUUUCCAAAAGGAAAAACAAUAUGAAAGCUGUUUUCUCCUUUGGCUGCCACUGAUGAUCUGCUUUCAUUCUACUUACGCUGGGCUACUGCAGAAGGGUGAGGGAGCUCAUCCAAGCUGAUUCCUCAGAUCGAUCAGGUCCUCCGUUGGCGGCGCUGGUGUUACAUGUGAUACAUGUUCGCAAAUGUAGUAUUUUUCCUUCUGUUCUGGGGUUAUUUAUAGAUAGAUCAUGUAGAUGCUGUGUGCUGCUGUGAAAAUAUGUGCUUCUCGGUGGAGCUUUGGUAUGUUGUCCUUGGUGGAGGCAGGAGGCUCUGUCCACCAGAAUCAUAUCUUGUCGCUGGAGUUUUCUGUUUACUUUGGAUUAGCAACCUGUGCAUGAGCCGCCACCUGUGCGAGCCAUGCAUGCAUCUGCAGGGGCGUGAGAUGCACCCAUCUGCAUCAGGCUUUUUUCCUUUAUGUCUUGCAUCAGGCUUUUUUCUUAUCUUUUUGUGACGAAUAAAGCUAUAUAAGAGAAAGAAUCUAAGACCUUAUGCUAAUUUCAAGACUUUUAAUAAGAUGGCUGCAUGCAUCGCUUAGAUGCAGAGGCCGGGGGCAAGCCUUCUUUUUCAAAAAAAAAAGAGAAAGAAUAGACGAAAAGUUAACACGGCACCAAAACUGCUGUCUCUUGAGUACUUCUUCUCCACUGGUUCGCGUGUGUGCAGUGUGCUCAACCUUUUUCCAAAUAAUAGACGGAGAUUCCCUACCGUAUUACUCCCUCCGUCCUUAAAUAAGUGUCUCAACUUUGUACUAGCUCUAGUACAAAUUUGUACUAAGCUUAAGACAAUUAUUUUGAGAGGGGGAGUAUUAUUCGCGUCGUCGUACUAUUCUGAAAGGCUGAAAGUGUGUGGUGUAUGUGUCUUCAUUAGGGAGAGAAAUUGUAGGUGCAGCACAGUCCUUCUUUUUUAUUUUCGCUUUCAAUUUUUAAUCUAUUCAUAUCUUUUGAACUAAAAUAAAUUAAAUUUCAAAUGCAUAUUCAUGUUUCUGGUGAAAACGAGUGCUUUCAUAUGAGAUCCAUUUUGCAUACGUUUUGGUGAGUUACUAAAAAUUUCAACAAGUUUCAAUUUCUAAAACUUGGUACAAGCGACCGACGAAAAUUGUGAGUUUCAGAUCCUGCGACUCACAAAAAUGUUUUAACUUCAGGAACUUGGAAUGAGCGAUUGACAAUAUUGUGAGUUUCAUAUACGGCGACUGAAAAAAAUGUUUCAACUUCUGAAACAUGGUACGAGCGAUUGACAAAAUUGUGAGUUUCAAAUCCUGCGACCGAAAUAAAAGAUUCAACUUCUAACACUAGUACAAAACAGGGCUUUCGUCACAGGGCAAUUUUCACAUUAGUCCCGGUUCAGUCACGAAUCGGGACUAAUGUGAGCAUUGGUCCCGGUUCGUGCGGCUAAGGCAUUAGUCCCGGUUCACCUGGGCCCUUUAGUCCCGGUUGGUGCCACGAACCGGGACUAAAGGGUGCGAUGCCCAUUAGUACCGGUUGGUGGCACCAACCGGUACUAAAGGUUCACCAACCGGUACUAAUGGGCUUUGAGGCAUUAGUACCGGUUCAUGGCACGAANNNNNNNNNNNNNNNNNNNNNNNNNNNNNNNNNNNNNNNNNNNNNNNNNNNNNNNNNNNNNNNNNNNNNNNNNNNNNNNNNNNNNNNNNNNNNNNNNNNNNNNNNNNNNNNNNNNNNNNNNNNNNNNNNNNNNNNNNNNNNNNNNNNNNNNNNNNNNNNNNNNNNNNNNNNNNNNNNNNNNNNNNNNNNNNNNNNNNNNNNNNNNNNNNNNNNNNNNNNNNNNNNNNNNNNNNNNNNNNNNNNNNNNNNNNNNNNNNNNNNNNNNNNNNNNNNNNNNNNNNNNNNNNNNNNNNNNNNNNNNNNNNNNNNNNNNNNNNNNNNNNNNNNNNNNNNNNNNNNNNNNNNNNNNNNNNNNNNNNNNNNNNNNNNNNNNNNNNNNNNNNNNNNNNNNNNNNNNNNNNNNNNNNNNNNNNNNNNNNNNNNNNNNNNNNNNNNNNAAACAAAAAAAAUGAUGGAAAUGUCAAAAAAAUAAAAUAAAAUAAGUUUCCCAUGUGAUAUGUGGUCUAGUUGUUGGGAAAAUUAACAAAUAUGAAUUUCGACUUUAUUUCCAAAAUCUCUCUGGAAUUUCUUAAAAUGGGCAUAACUUUUGCAUACGAACUCGGAUGAAAAAGCUUUUUAUAUGAAAAAUCAUCUCCUCGAAAAGUUACAUCCGAAUUUAACCGGGGGGGCCCGUUAAACAUUUUCAAAAUCCUCAAAAACCUAACAGAAAAAAAGUUACGGGGCUUUUAAGAUCUGGAGAGGCAAAAAAAUUCAAAAAAUUUCAAAUUGUGGUCAAACAAUGGUCAAACUAAUUAUUCUAGAAUAUUAGUGUUAAUAAAUAAUUAUUUCAAAUUUUUUGAAUUUUGGUCAAAUCUGGUCAAACUGUGGUCAAACUGUGGUCAAACAAUGGUCAAACUAAUUAUUCCAGAAAUAUUAGUGUUACUAAAUAAUUAUUAUUUUUUAAAACAAUAGUUUCAAACUCAAACAGUGAAAUGUGUCACUUCAUGCUCAAGCUAAAUUCCUGAGGGUUAAUAGAAUUGACAUCUUACUAUUGUCAGGAAAACAACAAGUGCAGACUUGGAAACGAGGGAGAAUAGAACCCGGAAGUUAAGUGUGCUCAGGCUGGAGUAGUAAGAGGAUGGGUGACCGUCCGGGAAGUUAGAUGAUUUGGAAUGAUGAGGGGUGAUUAGAGAUUAGAGGAUAAAUUGAGCAGUGAUGAGGGGUGGUGAUUAGAAAUUAGAGGUUAAAAUAAUUCAGAAAUUUGAAAAUCAAAAAAAGUUUAAAAAAAUUCGCAAAAAAAAAUAAAGGUGGAGCUCCAGGCUGCGUCCACAUGGACGGCCUUUAGUCCCGGUUCGUGUAAGAACCGGGACUAAAUGGGGGAGGCAUUAGUAACGACCUAAAGCAUUUCACAAUGACCUGCACAAAUCAUAGAUUUUUCAAGGUGCUAUAAAUCUCUGAGGACGGCUAGACUAGAUUUGUUCAAAACGGUAUUCGUCUAGUUACACUUCCCCCUUUCAUUUCAGUCUAUUGAGCAACUUGAGCAAAAUCAACCUAGAAGUUUAUCAUAAGGAACUAGUGUCUAUGAUUGACAGAAUAUUCUUUUCGAGUGAAUUUGUCGAUAUACUUUUCUUAUAGCCAAUUUAUUUAUACUCUAGCUUCAACGCCAAUAGUAAUUACAUGCAGAAGAGUAAGUUGUCACCAGAAGUUUCGGUGGAAUAGCUCAGCUGAUAUAUGUCCAGAUAGAGAAUCCAGAAUUUUUUUAUCAAAAAAAAACAAAACUGACGAAUAUGGCUUUGGUAAUGUGCAAGGUUUUAUGCCGAGAGUAAAUAAUUUUGUAUGGCAAAUAUCGUUUUUGUGAGUAAUACUAGGUGUCAACUAAAGUCAGCUAUUAUCUAAUACUCCCUCUCUAUUCACAAAUUAAGAUGUUUUAACUCCAGCCUUCAAUUGUUGGUGCUUGACAUGCCGCUCAAAGCUGUCCUGAACCCUGAUGUCUUCUUCUCAGGGCUCUCCCAACCCAGCUGCCCCCCGAAGCUCACUAGCCCCUUCAACGGUAGGGGGUGCGAGCGGCAGCGCAGCCUGAAGGUCCAGCUCGCUGAAGAUUGCGCAUGCCAUUUCAGAUGGUGGCCUCUGGGGUGGUUGUUCUGCUCUUGUACAACACCCUGCGUAUCAGCAUCCAGACUUCCUGUAUUCGGUUUACAUCAAAAAAACACUUUAUAUGGUAAGUCCAAGGCUGAGGAGACUUGGUUGAUGAAUUCAGUUCAGUAGCCUGAUCAAAGAUGUGGUACAUUAUUCUACCACUGAAAGAGCUAAGCAUAGUUUAGAGCGUAGAUUCACUCAUUUUGCUCCGUAUGUAGUAUAUAUUGGAAUCUCUAAAAAGACUUAUAUUCAGAAACGGAGGGAGUAUAUAUUAGUUAUAAGGGACAUUGGUAGUCAAAGUUCAGGAAGCUAUGAUUUCCAAAUCUUUAACUUAAUAUUGCAUACACUCAUAUUUUAGAAACCAAACCGUACAACUUGUGAAUAAUGUAUAAUUUGUUUGAAUAUUCCAGACAGAUUUGCACCAAGAAAAGAUAAAGAAAUGCUUGACAGUCUGGACAUUCAGACACAGACUUGCAAAGCUACAAUCAUGGCUGGGCUGAGUGUUACUACGUACUAAUACUCUCUAUUUAUUUAUUUCUCUUCAGUCCAGUUUGCCUAACACAUCACAACAUCCUAAAGAAUAAACCACAAAGGCAGGCGUGCACAUGACAACAGAGUGAUGAUCAGUUCACAAAUUCGGUAAGUAAACACAGAGUAGUCUGCUCUAAACAUACUGUACUAGCUAGCCAGGUACAAGUGUCAAUCAGGUGCAGCACAGACACAAACACAAACACGUGGCUCUAACUGCAUUACUCUGUACUGAAUUAUUAUUACCAAAUCAAAUCAUGCAUGAUGAAAUCAAAUUUCCUGAAUUACUCUGGUGCUGCUGCUGGAAGACGUCAUUGUCCAGGGAAUUUGCAACUGCAUUUGUAAGGCACUAACUAGUUCAGGGAGCAAAAUCAAUCGCCAACAUUGAAUUUGCCAUCUGCUGCACGCAGAGCAUUGGAAUGGAGGAAGAAAAGUAGAAGAGUAAGAACCCAACUAAAAAAUUCAGAGUUAAAAAUAUUAACAAAAAAACUCAACAAAUUCAGAAGCAGACCAACAUCUGUGUAAGUUCAAAAGCAUUAGCUGAAGAGAUUUUCAGAACGCCAUAGCGAACACACAAGAGAGAAGACUGCAUAACAGAACAAUCUAAGAAGAUAAAUAACUUGGACAAUCCUAACUAAAUUAGGACACAAAUAAAACAAGAACCAACAACAUUUUAUUAUUUAUUCGGACUGAAAUAACAGCAUUGUUCCCACAUGGAGUGCACAAUUAUUAAAAGAUGACACGGUCCAACAUGUAACUAGAGCGUACCAUGGACGAUUCAAACUCUACGAGAAAGCACCCACAAACAAGAGACAGGGACUCUCCAGCUUCCCCGGGGAGAAGGAGACGCCGGCAUGCUGGAGGCGGCGGCAUCGUCUCCGUCUCGUCUUGUUACCCUGGGCGGGGGAUUCUACGGGAAUUGCGUGAUCGGGCGGACUAGCGUGGGGAAUCUUCGGGAUUUCGAGGAAUUCAGAAUUCAGUCAUAUGGACGCCACCCCCAUCUGAAAACCUCCAGAACAGCUCCAGGACAUUAAGAAGGGAGGGAUUAAGCUGAGCUAAGCAGCAUAGAUCAAGACCGUCAUGCAGCGACCGGAGCUUGACGGUCACGAUAUUGUCGUCGUCAGGGCAAAUAAUAAUCUGAGAAUAAAACAAAAGAAUGAGUAUGUGUAUUGUUUGGAGAAAUAGAAUUAAGAUAUAUCAUACAAAAAAACUCUGAGAGAAAGGACUGACGGUCUAUAAAGGUACGAAGGGUGGGACGGUUGUGAUGGGCGUCCGCUGCAUGCCUCAACACAACAUCCGCUUCCUCCUUGCACUUAACCGAAGAGCUUCCUUCCUCAAGCCAAAGGAAAACUGUGAUUUUCUGGAGGGAAGGGAGGUGUCCCAUGCCGACAUCCAGGUCACCGCGGCCAAUAUCUGACGCUUGGGCUAAGAAAACCAGGACUUCAAACCUUGCCAUAGCUCCUCGUGGAAACAUAGAUGGGAAACGUUUGCAUUUUAUACAUCCCAGAAAAAGACGGUGGCAACUCUCCAGGGGGUCCCUCCUGCCUCCCGCGUCGCGGCCUGUCGUCUUCUCCUCCGGCGGCAAGGGCUGCAGUCGGCACAGGUCGUGGGUGGCUGCCUCUUCUCCGGCGCGGGCUGGCGGAGGUGGCGGCGCGGCAGCGGUAUGCUUGACCCCCUCCUCUACGGCCGUCGUGGCGCAUGAAUCGGCUGCUGGUGGCGGCUCCUCUUGUACUCUGGUGUGGCUCGGCUGGCCGGUGAAUGGCAAGGCCGUCGCCGCGAUUUGGAGGUGCCAGAUCGGGUGUCUCUGGUGGCUGCAGCAUGGCUGGCCGCCGGCGUUUUCCCUGCCCAGAUCUGGCUGCCGGCCGCUCCUGCCAUAGGAGCUUGUUUGGGGCGGAAAGAUGGGGUCUUUGCUGCCCCUUCACCGGUUGACGAUGUCGGUGUGCGGGGGCGGCGGUCGAGGGGCGGUCUCGGAUACCGGGGCGGCGGCCUCGGUGGUGGGAGGCGCGAUGCUCGUGGGCGGAGCUCGCGGCUUGGAUCUUGGCCGGUUACCAUGGUCGUGCGGGCGGCGUGGUAGCUUGGGUAUGACGGUCGGUGGCGGUGGUUCUGCAGCGUGCUUGCGGCACUCCGUCUCGGAGGCGAAGAGGGCUUGCCGGGUGAAAACUCUUUCUGGCUUUGCCAGGUCGGCGGCGGCGGCGCCUACGGGCGUCUUAUCCUUCUUGAAGGCGUCGCCGUGGUUCCUCUUCCUCCUCCGUGUUGCUCCGAGGGAAACCUCGAUCCCUGGAUCAGGCGGUGGCGGUACUUAGGUUCCAUGACCUUGUUGAAGGCUCCGCCUUGGAGUAAUCGGUUCGUCGUGCACAGCUCCGACUCUUCGCUGUGAUUCGUUCACGGUUGAGGCACCCGGCGACUUCAAGCGGCGCUCUCUCUUCCUUCCUGUAGAUGGCUUGGAGUUGUGUUGGGUGGUGUAGCUGUUCCCAACAUUCUUGUAUCUUGCCCUGUGUAUGUUGGUGUGGAGUUGUAUGAGGUUGGUUGUAACUGGAUCGUUGCUUUAAAUAUAAAGCGGGGCGAAAGCCUUUUUCAAUAAACAUAGAUGGUGCUGUGAGAAAACCCAUGAAGCGGCUGUAUCUCAACCAUGGGAAUGCAUUAAUGCCAACAAUGAAUGUUUCGAUACGAGUGUGCUGAGCUUUGCUGCUCUCCAGCAUGAGAAAACGAAGCGAAGGAAGCUUGCUGAGGAUCUGCAUGUCAACUUCCGGCCACACUCUGUCCACUGUUAUCCAAGGAGGAGAGGAGGGGAAGCGAUGAUGAAUUAACCCACCUUGGCAAUGUCGUGGUGCAGCGGUGAAAAAAAAGGGCACGAAGCUGACAUCAAACCUUGCACCGCCGGGCCAGACACGAUCAGCAGAAAUUCUUGAGUUCGCAUUUUCCACAGAUUGCCCAGAGACGCCACCAAAGAAUUACACACGCUCUCAUCGUUCACAUUCCAAAUAAGGCCUAGCACUCUCGGCUUUAUCAGUUGCCCUAGCUCUUUCUCAGUCAUAGAAGAACCAUCAACCAAUACUCCAGUCAAUUCUUCUAAGGACGCCAGGUUCCCGAUCCCAACGGGCAACACCGCAUAGAAUACAUAUAGGCACAUCAAAUAUCUUCGACGGACAACACUUGAUGGGAUAGCUAUACUUGAUUUCUGCGCUUGUCCAUUGAUACGUCUUCAACGUAUCUAUAAUUUUUUAUUGUUCUAUGCUAUAUUAUAUUCUGUUUUGGAUGUUUAAUGGCUUUUAUUAUACAUUUUUAUAUUAUUUUUUGACUAACCUAUUAACCGGAGGCCCAGCCCGAAUUGCUGUUUUUUUGCCUAUUUCAGUGUUUCGAAGGAAAAGGAUAUCAAACGGAGUCCAAACAGAAUGAAACCUUCGGGAACGUGAUUUUCGGAGCAAACGUGAUCCAGAGGACUUGGAGUGGAUGUCAAGCAACCAACAAGGAAGCCACGAGGCAGGGGGGCGCGCCUACCCCCUGGGCGCGCCCUCCACCCUCGUGGGCCCCUCGUGGCUCCACCGACCUACUUCUUCCUCCUAUAUAUACCUACGUACCCCCAAACCAUCUAGGACAGAGCCAAAACCCUAUUUCCACCGCCGCAACCUUCUGUACCCGUGAGAUCCCAUCUUGGGGCCUAUUCCGGCGCUCCGCCGGAGGGGGCAUUGAUCACGGAGGGCUUCUACAUCAACACCAUAGCCUCUCCGAUGAUGUGUGAGUAGUUUACCUCAGACCUUCGGGUCCAUAGUUAUUAGCUAGAUGACUUCUUCUCCCUUUUGGAUCUCAAUACAAAGUUUCCCUCGAUUCUCUUGGAGAUCUAUUUGAUGUAACUCUUCUUUUGCGGUGUGUUUGUCGAGAUCCGAUGAAUUGUGGGUUUAUGAUCAAGAUUAUCAAUGAACAAUAUUUGAAUCUCCUCUGGGCUUUUUUAUGUAUGAUUGAUUAUCUUUGCAAGUCUCUUCGAAUUAUCAGUUUGGUUUGGCCUACUAGAUUGAUCUUUCUUGCAGUAGGAGAAGUGCUUAGCUUUGGGUUCAAUCUUGCGGUGCUCGAUCCCAGUGACAGUAGGGGAAACGACACGUAUUGUAUUGUUGCCAUCGAAGAUAAAAAGAUGGGGUUUAUAUCAUAUUACAUGAGUUUAUCCCUCUACAUCAUGUCAUCUUUCUUAAAGCGUUACUCCGUUCUUAUGAACUUAAUACUCUAGAUGCAUGCUGGAUAGCGGUCGAUGUGUGGAGUAAUAGUAGUAGAUGCAGGCAGGAGUCGGUCUACUUAUCACGGACGUGAUGCCUAUAUACAUGAUCAUACCUAGAUAUUCUCAUAACUAUGCUCAAUUCUAUCAAUUGCUCGACAGUAAUUCAUUUACCCACCGUAACACUUAUGCUAUCUUGAGAGAAGCCACUAGUGAAACCUAUGGCCCUUGGGUCUAUUUUCCAUCAUAUUAAUCUUCCGUCAACAAGCUAUUUUUUUGCCGUUUAUUUUGCUUUCUUUACUUUUAGUCUUUAUCAUAAAAAUACCAAAAAUAUUAUCUUAUCAUCUCUAUUAGAUCUCACUUUUGCAAGUGGCCGUGAAGGAUUGACAACCCCUUUAUCGCGUUGGUUGCAAGGUUCUUAUUUGUUUGUGUAGGUGCGUGGGACUUGAGCGUGGUAUCCUACUGGAUUGAUACCUUGGUUCUCAAAAACUGAGGGAAAUACUUACGCUACUUUACUGCAUCACCCUUUCCUCUUGAAGGGAAAAUCAACGCAGUGCUCAAGAGGUAGCAAGAAGGAUUUCUGGCGCCGUUGCCGGGGAGUCUACGCACAAGUCAAGACAUACCAAGUACCCAUCACAAACUCUUAUCCCUCGCAUUACAUUAUUUGCCAUUUGCCUCUCGCUUUCCUCUCCCCCACUUCACCCUUGCCAUUUUAUUUGCACUCCUUUUCUCUUCGCCACUUUUUCACUUGCUUCAUCGUUAUGGCUAGUCCUUUUUCUACUCCUUUGUCUCCCGAGAAUGAAGUUAUCAAUUUUAAACAAAGGGAGGGAGAAAAUUUAAAAGAUGCUUGGUAUAGAAUUUGCAAUGCUCAAAAUAAAUCUGCCAGAAAGCAAUCUACUUCCGUUCUUCUUCGCAACUUUUAUGUAGGCGUCACUCCUUGGAAUAGAUAUAUUCUUGAUACCAUUACCGGAGGGAAUUUCUUGGGUAGCCAUACUUUUGAUUCUUAUAAUGCUAUGAUAGAUUUGUUUGGUUCACCACCUUUUUUGGUUAAUGGAACUAUGUUAACUUUGAUUGAGAAUUUGGAUAAAAAGAUCCACAAUCAAAUUACCCAAUAAGGAUCUAAGGUAGGAGUUACUUUGAUUUUUUUUAAAGAAAAGGAACCCAUAGUUAAUGAAAUAAUAGAUGAAGAUUCCACUAGAAUCGAUAAGCUUGAGGGCACUAUUACCAACUUAGGGUCCGCUUUUUCUUCCGUAAAAAACACUCCAAAUCCUCCUACCAAAAUUUCCAAGCUUAUGUACGUUCCUAAAAAUAAGGGUGAAUCUUUUAGUAAGGAAACUGCGGAUCUCAAAUCAAUAAGUAUUCAUCCCAACUUUCUCGCUAUCAUUAAGGAACCUUUUGCUACGAAUGAUUUUCUUGAUUUCUUUCCUAGGAGUCUGAUCAUUAAUAAGAGGAAAGAAAUUCCAAAGGGUUAUAGGUGUUCUAUUGAAGAAUUGCCUACCAAAGAUGGCAAUACCUAGAUCUAUCCUUGUUUUUAUGCCUAGCUAGGGGCGUUAAACGAUAGCGUUUGUUGGGAGGCAACCCAAUUUUAUUUUAGUUUUUUGCUUUUUGCUCCUGUUUAGGAAUAAAUAUUUGAUCUAGCCUCUGGUUAGAUGUGUUUUUACGUUUUAAUUAGUGUUUGUGCCAAGUAAAACCUAUAGGAUCUUCUUGGAUGAUAGUUAUUUGAUCUUGCUGAAAAUUCCAGAAACUUUCUGUUCACGAUUUGUUUUUUUAAAAAUCACCAAAACGUGAUAAAAUACUGAUUCCAAUUGCAGCAGAUCAAUAAACAAAUUAUCUAGGUCGUCCUAUUUUGAUAGAUUUUUCUAAGUUCCAUAAGUUUGCGUUAGUUACAGAUUACUACAGACUGUUCUGUUUUUGACAGAUUCUGUUUUUCGUGUGUUGUUUGCUUAUUUUGAUGAGUCUAUGUUUAGUAAAAGAGUUUAUAAACCAUAGAGAAGUUGAAAUACAGUAGGUUUAACACCAAUAUAAAUAAAGAAUGAGUUCAAUACAGUACCUUGAAGUGGUGUUUUGUUUUCUUUCGCUAACGGAGCUUACGAGAUUUUCCGUUAAGUUUUGUGUUGUGAAGUUUUCAAGUUUUGGGUAAGAAUUUGAUGGAUUAUGGAACAAGGAGUGGCAACAACCUAAGCUUGGGGAUGCCCGAGGCACCCCAAGGUAAAUCUAAGGACACCAAAAAGACAAAGCUUGGGGAUGCAUCCCCUCCUUCGUCUUCGUCCAUCGGUAACUUUAUUUGGAGCUAUAUUUUUAUUCACCACAUGAUAUGUGUUUUGCUUGGAGCAUCUUGUAUGAUUUGAGUCUUUAAUUUUUAGUUUACCACAAUCAUCCUUGCUGUACACACCUUUUGAGAGAGACAUACAUUAUUCGGAAUUUAUUAGAAUACUCUAUGUGCUUCACUUAUAUCUUUCGAGCUAUAUAGUUUUGGCUCUAGUGCUUCACUUAUAUCUUUUAGAGCACGGUGGUGGUUUUGUUUUAUAGAAACUAUUGUUCUCUCAUGCUUCACUUCUAUCAUUUUUGAGAGUUCUACAAAACAGCAUGGUAAUUUGCUUAAAUUAUGAAAUUAGUCCUAAUAUGAUAGGCAUCCAAGAUUAGUAAAAACUUUCUUAUAAGUGCACUGAAUACUAAGAAAAGUUUGAUGCUUGAUGAUUGUUUUGAGAUAUGGAGGUAGUAAUAUUAAAGUUGUGCUAGUUGAGUAAUUGUGAAUUUGAGAAAUACUUGUGUUGAAGUUUGCAAGUCCCAUAGCAUGCACGUAUGGUAAACGUUGUGUAACAAAUUUGAAACAUGAGGUGGUCUUUGAUUGUCCUCCUUAUGAGUGGCGGUCGGGGACGAGUGAUGGUCUUUUCCUACCAAUCUAUCCCCCUAGGAGCAUGCGCGUAGUGCUUGGUUUUUGAUGACUUGUAGAUUUUUGCAAUAAGUAUGUGAGUUCUUUAUGACUAAUGUUGAGUCCAUGGAUUAUACGCACUCUCACCCUUCCAUCAUUGCUAGCCUCUUCGGUACCGUGCAUUGCCCUUUCUCACCUUGAGAGUUGGUGCAAACUUCGCCGGUGCAUCCAAACCCCGUGAUACGAUACGCUCUAUCACACAUAAACCUCCUUAUAUCUUCCUUAAAACAGCCACCAUACCUACCUAUUAUGACAUUUCCAUAGCCAUUCCGAGAUAUAUUGCCAUGCAACUUUCCACUGUUCCGUUUAUCAUGACACGUUUCAUCAUUGUCAUAUAUGUGCCAAUAUUGUUCUUGUUGCCUCUGUACUUCAAAAAAAUCAGUCACCAUGCAUAGACCUGCACUGGAUUGGUCAGUAAAUGACGUGUGAUAUAAGAUCAGACUGUAUCAUCAGCAUGUGGCAAAAAAUACUCAGGGAUAUAUUCCAUAAUCGACUCUUUUCACUAUGUCCGUUUUCCGUCCACUUUGGCGUUCUGGGUGGUUCGACUUUAAGUGAUUAUUCCUCACCUUUAUUUCGCUUCCACUUUAAGUGAUCCCUCACCUUAUUAACUACUACACUAUUAAUUCUAUCAGGACUUUCUUUAUACAAGCUUUUAAAUUCAGGCGCAGCAUGUGAUACUUGUUCAAUUAACUAGUACAUCUGGUGUGUCCAUGUGUCGACAUUAUUUGAGCGGUUUCAUUCAUAAGUUUCCUGAGUAAUAUAAUCUCUAUGAAAGACUAGCAAUAGGGAUAGGCACCUUUACACCCACCCACCCACCCAUAGCCACUCACCCUCCCACCGAGAGACCAUCUUAUUCCCACUCAUUGCCGCAGCUGCAAACACUACACCUAAUUCAUUAACAUCCAAAAGAUCUCACGGACGAGCGACUAUGGAGGUCGUGACCGGGGCGAUGAGCACUCUCCUGCCUAUGCUCGGCGACCUGCUCAAGGAGGAGUACAACCUGCAGAAGAACACCAGGAGUGAGAUCAAGUUCCUUAAAGCCAAGUUAGAGAGCAUGGAAGCUGCCCUCAUCAAGGUUUCAGAGGCACCCUUGGAUCAGCCACCUGACAUCCAGGUCAAGCUUUGGGCAAGGGAUGUCAGCGACCUGUCCUAUGAGAUUGAGGACAGCGUUGACAGAUUCCGGGUGCGCCUUGAGUGCCGGGAACAAAAGAAGCCACAGAGCUUUAUGGGUUUCAUCCAGAGAAGUAUGGACAUGCUGACAAAGGGCAAGAUGCGACACAAAAUUGGCGUCGAUAUCAAAGACAUCAAGAGCCGUAUCAAGGAGGUCUGUGAGAGGCGUGAAAGGCACAAGGUUGACAGUGUUGUGCCCAAGCCCACUGGCACAAGUACUGAUACCCUUCGCCAGUUAGCCUUGUUUAAAAAGGCGAUCGAGCUUAUUGGCAUCGAAGAGAAGAGCGUUGACAUGGUCAAGAUGCUAAUGGAGGGAGACGAGGUGAUCAAGAAGCAACCCAAGCUGAUCUCUAUUGUUGGCUUUGGAGGCUUAGGGAAGACAACUCUUGCUAAUAUGGUGUAUGAGAAGCUUCGAGAGAAAUUUAAUUGUGGAGCUUUUGUUUCCGUUUCUCUUAAUCCCGACAUGAAGAAGCUUUUCAAGAGUUUGCUGCAUCAACUUGGCAAGGACAAGUACAAUAACAUCAUGAAUGAAUCAGCGUGGGGCGAGACACAACUCAUAAGUGAGAUAAGAGAAUUCCUCCAAAACAAGAGGUAUGUGUGUUGUACGCUAGUGCCGCUGCCAAUUUCAUCAUCUAUUUAGGAGUUCAUCUUAUCAGCUCUGGAGUCUUUCCAGUUCAUGUGUGUGCUUACUAUGUACUAGGACAGUGUUUCCUACUCCCUCAAUUAAUUCGUGCUGGCCCUAAUUAACUCACGCUGCAUCGCGCCUCGCUCCACGGGCGGCAUGCCCUGAAUGGCCGGCCAAUUACUCCCGGAUUAUAAAAGCACGCCAAUCUGACCUAUUGGAUCCAAACCAAGUAGAAGUAGUACUAUUAUACUAAGUUGAGCCGUGGAAAUCUGCGCAGGGGUGAAAAUGGAACAGGAGUCAUAAAUGUGCCGCCUUAAUUUUCAGAACAAACUUCAAAAAGGUACACGCAGUUUUUCCGAGAAUGGAGGGAGUAUUAUCUAUAAUAUAUCACAGAGACACACACACACACACACACACACAGUGAAUGCCUCUCUCCAAAAACAGUAUUUUGUUAUACAAUUACCGAGAAUAUAUCUAACAAUAACUAAUAGAUCGUGAAAAGCAGGGUCUGUAUAUGUAGGAAGCUGAAAUUUAUAAUGUUACAAUUUAAGAAUAAAUAAAAUAUGUUUCUAUCUUUUUUCAUCCUAAAUUUACUAUCUUCCAUUUUUUAUACUUGGAGGGACUUCUCUCUAUAAAUUAGACUUAUGUUGAAUAUUGGCAUCAUAUCAUCCGGCAGCACUAAAAAUUAGACGUAGGUUGAAUAUUGGCAUCAUAUCAUCCGGCAGCACUUCCCCUAUAUCAGGAAUGCCCACAACAAACAAUCUGAUGUCAUAAUACUUUCACAAGUAUACUGUUUCUCAAUAGUGAGCAGAGGCAAAAGUAAGUGCAUAUUAAUGAGGGUGGUGGCGAGGUGGCCUCAUGGAGCUCGAUGGCUCCCCUAGCCCCUUAUCUAUUUUUGAAUUAAGUUCCAAACUAUCUCAACUGUUCAAUUAGGUGAAAUCCUAGGUCAAACUAUGCGGCUCAGCUGACUUAAACAAACUAACAGUCCAUAUUGUUCGCUUUGACGAGGUGAACUAAUUAAAUCACUGAGUAUGGUUAUCCAAAUGAGGAUUAGAUUUUAAAUUCCAUUUUCCACCCAUGUGUCUCACAAUUUAGGGUUAAGUUAUUUAUGGGGCGUUGCAACUUUCCUCAGUUUCCUGAUUAUUUAUUGCAUUGUACUAUUUCACUUAGGUAGCUGAAUACUUUAUCUUUACUUAUAUAUGGCCUUUUGGCAUUACGUCGCAGGUACUUCAUUGUCAUUGAUGACAUAUGGGAUAAAUCUGCAUGGAGAAUUAUUAGAUGUGCUUUGAUUGAGAAUGAAUGUGGUAGUAGAGUAAUCGCAACAACUCGUAUUCUGGAUGUUGCCAAAGAAGUUAGUGGUGUUUAUCAGCUUAAACCACUUUCUACUAGUGACUCAAGAAUGCUAUUCUACCAAAGAAUAUUUGGAACUAGAGAUAAGUGUCCUUCUGUUCAGUUGGCUGAAAUAAGUGAGUACAUCUUACGGAAAUGUGGUGGAGUACCAUUAGCUAUCAUUACACUGGCUAGUAUGUUGGCUAGUAAAAACGAACAUGAAAAUACAUAUACCUAUUGGUGAAAGGUGUACCAAUGUAUGGGUUCUGGGCUAGAAAAUAAUCCUGACCUGAUAGACAUGAGAAGGACACUAUAUAUCAGUUACUAUGACCUGCCUCCAAAGCUUAAGGCUUGUUUACUGUAUCUAAAUUUGUAUCCAGAGGAUUAUAAGAUUAAAACCAAAAAAUUGAUAUGGAAAUGGAUAGGUGAAGGAUUUGUUCAUGAAGAGCAGGGAAAGAGCCUGUAUGAUAUAGGAGAGGAUUACAUUGCUGAGCUCAUUAACAAAAGCUUGAUCCAACCGAUGGAUAUCAAAUUUGCUGAUAAGGCGAACUCUGUCCGUGUACACGACAUGGUGCUUGACCUUAUCACUUCCUUGUCAAAUGAGGAGAACUUUCUCGCAACAUUGGGUGGUCAGCAGUCCAGGUCACUGCCAAGUAAGAUCCGUCGACUGUCUCUCCAAAUCAGCAAUGAAGAGGAUGUCCAGCC
rnacentral:lncRNA from 1 species